GCUCACUGUACUGGACCUAGAACGCAUGCCUAUCAAUACCAUCCCAGAAGGCAUAGGAGAACUUAUCCACCUUAAGUACCUGUGCUUAAGGAGAACCCGCAUAAAAAGGCUUCCAUCGUCCAUAGGUCGUCUUACAAAUCUACAAACCCUAGACUUUCAAAGCACUUUCAUUGAAAUAAUUCCUUCUACCAUUUGGAAAUUGCACCAUUUGAGACAUCUAUACGGUCGUGGUGUGGUUUCAAGCCAGUCAGUGAUAGAUAAGUGCAGGAAUGGCCCUUUGAGUGUUGACCACCUAACAAACCUCCAAUCGUUAGGUUUAAGAGCAGGCAGUUGGUGCUGUGGUGAAGGCUUGGGAAAAUUAACUGAGCUUAGAGAACUGAUAAUUGAAUGGACCAAAAUGGCACAAACAAAGAACCAUGGAUUUUCCGAGUCAGUAAAAAAGCUAACUGCUCUUCAAUCCUUGCGUUUGUAUACUUUAGGAGCGGAAAUGUUUACCUUGCCGCACCUCAUGCCUUUCUCAGACCACACCUACCUUUACCAUCUAAGUUUAAGAGGAAGGCUCGAAAGGUUCCCUGAUGAAAUUGAAUUCUACCCUCCAAACCUCAUCUCCUUGGAAUUGGAAUGUUGGAAUAUAGAGCAAGACCCAAUGGUGACCCUAGAGAAGCUGCCAAACUUGAGAUUUCUCAUAUUAUCCCUUUGUUACUCUAUGGUAAAGAAGAUGGUCUGUACUUCUGGAGGAUUCCAGCAACUCGAAACCCUUACGCUCUGGGGUUUGAAAGAAUUAGAAGAAUUGAUUGUGGAGGAAGGGGCAAUGCCUGAUCCGAAGGAUUUAGUAAUUGAGACUUGCCCUAAAAUGAAAAGGCUUUCCCAUGGAUUGCUGCAACGAAAAAAUUUGCAGCACCUAAAGUUGUAUGAUUUGUCUCCUGAGUUAAUGGAUGAGCUUUCUCUGAUAGAAGGAGAAGAUCGGGAGAAGAUCUGCCUCGCCACCUCAAUACACGGGUGGAGGCGUACGGCAUCAUGAAGGCUCAGGAGAAGUUUCAUAAAGCGCUACCAGGAAAUGCUUGGACUGUAUUGAAGAGCAUUUCCAAUGCAACAAAUCUUUCUCUACUUGUCUAAGCUCGUCUUUUUCCUUGUUUUUUCUGCUUUUGUGAAACAUACGUGUUUGUGUAAGAUGCUUCCACGUUUUCAAAUAAAGUGAUCAGUCAGUUUAUAAUUGAACCUCAAUGGAGUUCUAAUAAGAGAAAACCAACAUAAUACAUGCAAGAGUAGAAGCCCGUACACUUCUAAAAGCUUGGGAAGUGUUUUUGAAAUCAGUUUUUAAAAAUAAUUUUUUAAUGUUCUCAUAAACAAAAUUAUGUUUGAAAAUUGAAUUCUAAAAAAUAAUUUUUAUUCUCAAAAACAAAAAAAAACAUGUUUGAUUGAGUUAAUAAAAAUAACUUUUAACAACAAAUAAAACAAAAAAAACUUGUUUGGAAGUUGUUAUUGUUGUAUUUUUUUUUGAAGUUGGAUAUUUUCUUUAAUUAACUUGAUGUUAUAAAUCUAUAAAUAAUUUUUACAUUCACAUUUCAUUAAAAAUAAAAAAUGUUCCAUUUUGAAAUUUUUUUGCAUUAGUUUUAAUUUUUUAAACAAAAUAUUACUUUAUAAUAUGUUUGAUUUCAAUAAUUAGUAAAUUAUCCUAUUAAAAUAUCAUAAAUUGGUAAAUAUCAAUGAUUGGAUUUUAUGAAGAUAAAAUUUAUGAUAUCAAACAAUAAUGCAUUAUACUUGGAAACUUAUGAUCUAUUUUUUCUAUUUUGAAUAUAAUUAAUAAUAUAAAAAUUUAGUUAAUAAUGAUAUAUUUAUGAUAAUUUUUUAAAUAUUAUAAUUUUAUUUAAAAUUAAAUUUUAUAUUUAAUUAUUAUAUAAAAGAUAAAAAUUGUUAAAGUAAAUCAAAUUAAUUUAUUUAUAAAAAUUUAUUAAUCUUUACUAUAUAUAUAUAUAACAUAUUGGGAUGAAAACCAAGAUCAAUACCUUUUCAUUUUUUUCCCUCCUCUGUAUCUCCCUGUUCUCUUUUCAGUUCUUUGUCUCCUCUUGUUCUUCUUCCAAGAUCCAAACUUUUAUUCAGGUGAACUAUUUCUCUCUUCUAAAAUCAAAACAUUAUUCAUUAAGGCCAAAAUUCAGAUAUGUGGUUGUUGCAGAGAUUCCUGGUAAGGUUUCAGGUUUUUUUUUUUUUAAUUAUUCUUUUUUAUUUUUUGCAUUCUUAGUCUUUUUUGUGUUCUUGUUUAUGUUUUGUUUUAGUUUUUGGGAAAUCCUAGAAUUUAUGGAGGUUUUGGCUUUGAAAUAUGAUAAAAUCCUGAAAUAUCAAUAUAUAUAUAUAUAUAUAUUGAAACGGAAAUGACCAAAAAAAAAGAAAACCGGAUAAUGUUGAAUUUUUGUGAGACCGAUUUUCCCAUUUUCAUCCCCAAUUUUUUUUUUUUAAUUUUCCCUCAUAGUGCAAAGAAUUUUGCCUUAGUGCAAAGAAGAGGUGAGAACGCACAAAGAACACACUAGAACACUCAUUGAAAACAUGAAAAGCAUUCUAAUUUUUUUAUUUUUUUUGUUCUUAGAACAGUGGCAAAAACACAGUGAUUACCAUUUUUUUUUUUUUUUUGUUAUCUAAAAACCAAGCUUUAGAAAACAUGAAGAACACUUGAGAACAGAAAACAUUCUCUUAUCAAACUUUUUUUUGUUUUUGUUUUUUUUUUUUUUUGUGAUUUUUUGUUCUCAAAAACAAAAAACAAAUUUUGAAAACACUAACCGCACAUGCCCAAACAUUAAGGUUAUGUUUGGUUCCAGAAAAAUACUAAGGAAAGAAAAUAACUGUAAAGGAAAAUGAUUUUUUUAUGUUUGAUUGUCCUAUAAAAAUAUAAAAGAAAAUCAAAUAUAAUUAAAAUUAAUUAAAAUUUUAUGUAUUUUAAAAUUAUUUAAUAUUUAUAUUGAUAAGUUAAAAUAAAUAAAAUGAGUUUGAAGUAACAAAAAUAAUAAUUUAUCAAUUUUUAAUUUAUUUUUUUAUUUUCCUUUUCUUUUUCUUUUCUUUUACUUUUCCUUUGUAUUUUCUUUCCCCUAAAUUUUCCUUCAAAUUUUCUGGAACCAAACAUAGCAUAAAAGCAUUGCAAGAUAAAUAGUUCAAACUCAAAUCAACUCUGAAAAUUUAAACAAUGACAAUUCGUAGCAUGCAACUUAAAAAUGAAGAACAAAAAUUUAUGUAAGUGAAUGGAUUCAAUCUUGUAAUUUAAUUUAAUUUUUUAAUAUUCAAACAAUAGGAACAAUUUAGAAUAACUUAAUGAUAACUUAUAGAUAAAAGAUUGGAAGGUGAAUGGUUAGAUAAGAUAAACUUGGAAGCAUAAUGAUUUUGAUCUAAUAUUAAUAAUUAUAGUAAAUAAUAAGGGAAGUUAUGGUAUGAAAGAGUUUGCUUAUAGGAUAAUUGUUGGAUUUGUUAAAAAAUGGAAAUUUAAUAUUAUUUUUGCAAGCAAACUGGUUAAUGGAUUUUUACUUAUUUAUAAAUUUAUAAAUAUAAAAAUUGAAGACAGAAUAAUGACCAUUAGGGUGGAAAACAAACAAAUUAAAGAAAUAAAAAAGACAAAUAUAAAUUUAUUAUUAACUUAUUUAUUAUAAUAAUAUGUUAAUAUAAAUUUAUUUAUGAUCAUGAAUAUGAAUUUAUUAUUAAACUUUUAUUAUUCAUUUAUUAAUGUAGAGAAUUACUCUUUUAAUGUAAACUCUUUUAUUUAAAUUUUUUUUCUACUAUUUUUUUAAAAUAUUUCAAAAAAAAUUAUGUUUAAAAUUUUUUCUAUUAUAUUUUUGUAAAAUAUUUGAGGUGGGUUGAAAUAAAUUACAAUUCAUGAGUGAUUAUGAAAAUUUUAAAUGCAUUUAUUUAAAAAAUGGUUGUUUGAUGAUAAAUUAUUUUCUUUAAAUAACCAUUACAUAAUUUCAAAUCAAUUAAAAUAAUAUAUAUAAAAUGACAUCAUACAUAAUUUUAUUAAAAUAUGAUAUUGUGGACCCGUAUUUCGGCUCAUGUGUUUUUCACUCAACGACGAACUCGAUUUUUAUUUAAAAAUAAUUUUAUUUAUAAAAAAAAUGAGUUGGAGUAGCUUGUAGACCCCUUCCAAAGACCAAGGGUUUUUCAUUCGUUCUAGGACCAUCUGGGAGGGAAAUUUUUUUCCCUUUUUUUGGGAGUGGGGACCUCUUUCUGGAGGAAAACCGGUUGCAUAGACGGGUGGCAAAGGGCAUGGCUGGCCAUGGUGGUGGUUGAGGAUGACAUCUUCCCUGGGUGAGGCGCAGUGAAGUGAGGAGGGGCUUACGGGGGAAGAUAGAAAACAGAGGGAAGGAAAAAUUUGAGAUGGGGGGUGGGGGGGGGGGGGGGGGGAAAAAAAAUUUCCCAAAAAAACCAAAAAAAAAAACCUGGAACCCCGCCAACCUUUUUUUUAAAAGAAGCCUUUCCAGGAAGGACCCCCGUUUCCCCCCUUUUUCCGUUCCCUAUCCUCCCCCCCCUAUUUUUGGAAAAUAAUGUUUUUUUUUAGUAAGGAAAACCCGGUCCCUCUUUAACCUUCCCUCAACCCCGGAAAAUCCAUAGGAUUUUUGUCCUUGUUUUCCCCCCCCCUUUAAAACCCCAAAAUUACCCCCCCGUUUUUCUAACAAACUAUAGACCCCCCACCCCCCUGCCCCCCCNNNNNNNNNNNNNNNNNNNNNNNNNNNNNNNNNNNNNNNNNNNNNNNNNNNNNNNNNNNNNNNNNNNNNNNNNNNNNNNNNNNNNNNNNNNNNNNNNNNNAAAAAAAAGGGGGGGGGGGGUGGGUGGUGGUUUUUAAAAAAAAAAGGUUUUUUAUUUUUUUUUUGGGAAUUUUGGGGGGAAAAUUUUUUUUUUUUUUUUGGGGAGGGGGGGUUUUUUUUGGGGGAAAAAAGGGUAAAUUAAAGGGGUGGAAAAGGGAAGGGUGGUAAAGGGUGGGGGUAGGAAAUAAAAUUUUUAUUGGGGAGGGGAGAUAAAAGAGAGGAGGGGUUAUGGGGGAAAAAAAAAAAAAAGGGGAAAGAAAAAAUUUGGGGGGGGGGGGGGGGGGGGGGGGGGGGGAUAGAAGAUUUUCUAGAGAGAGCAGAAAAAGAGAGCUUGGAGUCAGGCGAGCUUUUGUUUGAGAGGAGGCUUUUCAGGUAAGGACCCUGUAUUCACCAUUGUUUCUGUUCAUUAUCUUCUCCAUCUUAUUUUUGGAUAUUAUUGUUUGUUUUGAGUAUGGAUAUCAGGUUACAUGUUUAGCUUUCAUUGAUCUCUGGAAUAUCUAUGGAUUUGUUGUCAUUGUUUUAUCAUCUCUUUGAUAUCUCAAAAUUUACACCCCUGUUUUUGUAUGAACUUAUGGUCCCUCAACCCGCUUGCAAGCCCGUGGAUGGAACAAAUAAAUAGGGCUUUUUUUUUUUCUUUCUCUAUACUCUGUUUUAGUAAAAGUUCCUUUCAUGUUUUCUUCUGUCCUUAAUGGAAUUGUUCUUAAGCGUGGUGCAGUUUGGGUUGGACUGAUGGGUUUGGUUCUUUGAACUGUUCAUGGCAUUAUCCGCAUUUGGACCAAGUUACGACUGUUGAGACACAAUGAAGGGAUCCCUGAAGAAGGCAUUACGGUUGAAAAAGUCGAGAAUCCUCCUCUUAUGGAUAUUCCCACUGAAACUGGUUCAAAAGCAGUUGGAAAUUACGCCCUUGAACACGUCAGUGAGCAUGAGGACCAUACCCACAUUCUCAUUACCCUCCAUCCUCUAUUCCACCAUACCCAUUUUUCACCUCCAUCACGCAUGGCACGAGACUUCUUUUUUGCAAAAAACACCCAACAUACCCAUUACCCUAUGUAUCUUUCCACCUCUCAAUACCCACAAAAACCAUUCCCCCAACCGUGCCCAUCACCACUUCCUUAACUGCACCACCAAUCCCCUUUCUCUCUCUAAGUCUUCAUCUCCCAACACCCACUAAACUCAUUUUCUUACUGAUAAUGGAGACACAUCCCUACACCAGCUUAAGAACCUUUGCAUUCGCUGCACCCAAAACGGAGCAGUAUGGUGUUCGUUUGCUGAAAUUCCACAUUUUGGAAAGACAUCAUUACCGGCAUCGAUGGAAUGUGUAUCAUCAAUGAGCUCAUUGCAACUGCCAUUGCCUGUGGCUUUGAUAAGGAGGCCACCAAUGUUGGUGAGAAGAAUGCCACCAGCCACAUGUUGAUUUAUAUGAGGACUAUGCAAUAGGCUAUAUUUCUAGGUCAACCUACCAUGCAUUUUAUAUAUAUAUUGGUUUUCUAAGUGGUAUUUUCCAAGGAAAGUUGUUUGGCAGCCCAUGCACGGCCACUUUUGCAUGCCCCAUUCCUUUCAUUUUAUUUUAUUAUCCUACAUGUCAGAAUCAAGACUCUCAAAGUUUUAGUUUUCAAUUUUUUUUUACUCUAUUUUUUUUAGUUCUUCAAAACUCCGACUCUUGGACGUAAUUUUAAAAAAAAAUUCAAUCUUUAAAUAAUUUUUUCAAAAAUUGGACUUCUGAAUUUAAUUUUCAAUUUAAAAAAUUCCAAGUUUUACAUUCAUUUCUUUAAUCUUUAUUGUUUACAUCAUUAUUAUUAUCUUAUUUACUUACUUACUUAUUUAUUUAUUUAUUUAUUUCCCAAAUUCCAUCUUAAAAAAAAAAAAAGAAAUCUCAAAAUUAUAACUUCCAAAUUUAAUUUUCGAAUCUAAAAAAUUCCACUAUUCAUGUUCAUUCAUUUAAGUAUUAUUUUCGUUAUUAUUAUUAUUAUUUCAUUUAUUUAUUUAUUUCUUUUAAAAAUUUCAAUCAUUAAAGUUCAAUUCUUAAAAAAUAUGACUUCCAAAUUUAAUUUUCAAUCUAAAAAAUUUCACUAUUCACGUUCAUUUGUUUAAAUAUUAUUGUUAUUAUUAUUAUAAUUAUUAUUAUUAUUAUUCCAUAUUUAUUUAUUUAUUUCUUUUAAAAAUUUCAAUUAUUAAAGUUUAAUUCUUCAAAAAUCUGACUUUCAAAUUUAAUUUUAAAUCUAAAAAAUUUCACUAUUCACAUUCAUUCGUUUAAAUAUUAUUUUUGUUAUUAUUAUUAUUAUUAUUCCAUAUUUAUUUAUUUAUUUCUUUAAAAAAAAUUUCCCAUCAUUAAAGUUCUAUUCUUAAAAAAUCUGACUUCCAAAUUUAAUUUUCAACCUAAAAAAUUCCACUAUUCACGUUCAUUCAUUUAAAUAUUAUUUUCGUUGUUAUUAUCAUUAUUUCAUUUAUUUAUUUGUUUAUUUUCUUUAAAAAUUCCAAUCAUUAAAGUUCAAUUCUUCAUAAAUCUGACUUCCAAAUUUAAUUUUCAAUUUAAAAAAUUCCACUAUUCACGUUCAUUCGUUUAAAUAUUAUUUUUGUUAUUAUUAUUAUUAUUUCAUAUUUAUUUAUUUAUUUAUUUUAAAAUUUUCGUAUUUAAACAAUUCUUAAAAAAUAUGACUUCCAAAUCUAAUUUCCAAUCUCAAAAAAUUCCACUAUUUACAUUAAUUUGUUUAAUGAUUAUUUUCGUUAUUAUUAUUAUUCCAUUCAUUUACUUAUUCACUUAUUCAUAUAUUUAAAAUUCCAUCUCUAAAUGAUUUUUCGAAUUUCCAAUCUCUAAAUUCAAUUUCCAAUUUCCAAAAUUCUAACUUUCGUAAUUAUUUAUUCAAUCAUUAUUAUUUUGUCAUUAUUAUUAUUCCAUUCAUUUAUUUAUUCACUUAUUCAUUUAUUUAAAAUUUCGUCUUUAAAUAAUUAUUCAAAAUUCCGAUUUCCAAAUUUAGUUCUCUAAAAUUCCAAUUUUCCUAUCUCCGAACUUCAUUUUCAGUUUCCAAUAUUCUAAUUCUCGCAUUUAUUCAGUUACUCAUUUAUUAUUAUCAUUAUUACUAUUAUCAUUUUAUUCAUUUAUUUCUAAAAAUUCCACUUUCGAAUGAUUUCCAAGAUUUCCAAUUUUUAUAAUUCAAUUUUCAUAGUUUUUACUUCUCAAAUAAUUUUCAAUUAUGAUUUCUUUCAAAAUUUAUCCAAAGUCCCAAUUUUCGUAAUUUAUUUAUUUAUUUUUAAAUCCUAAACUCUCAAAUAAUUGCCAAAAUUUCAAUUUCUUUCAAAUUUAAUUUCCAAAAUUUUCAUUCUUACAUUUAAUUCCUAAAAAUCCAAUUUUCAAAUAAUCUCUAAGAUUUCAAUUUUCAAAUGAAUUUCAAAAAUCCAGUUUUUCCUCGAACAGUUUUAAUUUUUGUUUGGUGAUGCAUGUGAUAUGUGUUGUGUUCUUUAUUGUACACUAACCCCAUUUUUAUGAUAGCACAUUGCUCGUUCAUGGCCUAGGUAUGCAUCCACUCUCAUUCUAGUCAUUUUCUAUGCAUGUUUUGAUUCUCAUACGUACAUGAUCGAUUUGAGUAUCCAUUGAUUUUCCUAUUGAUUGCCACGUCAGCUUCAUUUUAUUAGUAGAGACUCGACUUUAGGGACUUAGAGGGGUGCUACAGUCUUUACCGUACCUUCCUGAUAAGUAAUCUGGCCCUCGAGCCCAAUCCGAUUUUUCACAGACCACAUUUUCCAAAAUAAGGAGUCACACUUAGAGUUUUCUUUCUUAUUUUGUUUACCCUUUUAAAAAUAAAACAAAAUAAUGAUUGGAUAAAUAAUUGUGAAAGUUAGAAUUUUGGAAAUUGGAAAUUGAACUUAGGGAUUGGAAAUUUAAAGAACUAUUUAGAGAUGAAAUUUUAAAUAAACGAACAAAUGAAUAAAUAAAUAAAUAGAAUAACGAAAAUAAUAACGAUUGGAUAAAUAAUUGCGAAAUUUGGAAUUUUAGAAAUUGGAAAAUGAAUUUAAAGAUUGGAAAUUCGAAGGAUUAUUUAGAGAUGAGAUUUUAAAUAUAUGAAUAAGUGAAUAAGUAAAUGAAUGGAAUAAUGAUAAUAACGAAAAUAAUCAUUAAACAAAUGAAUGUGAAUAGUGGAAUUUUUUAAAUUGGAAAUUAGAUUUGGAAGUCAGAUUUUUUAAGAAUUGUUUAAAGACGGAUUUUUUUUAAAAAGAAAUAAAUAAAUGGAAUAAUAAUAAUAAUAACGAAAAUAAUACUUAAACGAAUGAACGUGAAUAGUAAAAUUUUUGAGAUUGAAAAUUAAAUUUGGAAAACGGAAUUUUGAAAAAUUGAACUUCAAUGAUUGGAAUUUUUAAAGGAAAUAAACAAAUAAAUAAAUGAAAUAAUGGUAAUAAUAACAAAAAUAAUAUUUAAACGAAUGAACGUGAAUAGUGAAAUUUUUUAGAUUGAAAAUUAAAUUUGGAAGUCAGAUUUUUUAAGAAUUGAACUUUAAUGAUUGGAAUUUUAAAAAGAAAUAAAUAAAUAAAUAUGGAAUAAUAAUAACAAUAACAAAAAUAAUAUUUAAAUGAAUGAACAUGAAUAGUGGAAUUUUUUAUAUUGAAAGUUAAAUUUGGAAGUCAAAUUUUUGAAGAAUUAAACUUUAAUGAGUGGAAAAUUUAAAAUAAAUAAAUAAAUAUGGAAUAAUAAUAAUAAUAACGAAAAUAAUAUUUAAACGAAUGAAUGUGAAUAGUGGAAUUUUUUAGAUUGAAAAUUAAAUUUAGAAGUUAGAUUUUUGAAGAAUUGAAUUUUAAUGAUUGAAAUUUUUAAAAGAAAGAAAGAAAUAAAUAAAUAGAAUUAUAAUAAUAAUAAUAAAAAUAAUAUUUAAACGAAUGAACGUGAAUAGUGAAAUUUUUGAGAUUGAAAAUUAAAUUUUGAAGUCAGAUUUUUAAAAAAUUGAACUUUAAUGAUUUGAAUUUUUAAAAGAAAUAAUUAAAUAAAUAAAUGGAAUUAUAAUAAUAAUAACGAAAAUAAUAUUUAAACGAAUGAAUGUGAAUUGUGAAAUUUUUAAAAUUGAAAAUUAAAUUCGGAAAUCGGAAUUUUAAGAAUUACUUAAAGGUAGAAUUUUAAAAGUGAAUAAAUAAAAUAAUAAUAAUAACAAAAAGAAUAAUGAGUAAAUAAAUAAAUAUGGAAAUGGGAAAGCUUUAAAAAUUAUUUGAGAGGUGGAAUCAUGAAAGGAAUUUUGGAAAACUGGAGUUAGGAAAACUGUUAAAAUAAUAAGAAAAUAAAUAAAAAGUCAAAAACUUACUGGGCCAUGUGCCAAAGUGACCACACUUAGAGGUGGCCAAAGUGGAAAAAGGUUUUCAAAUGAUGUUUGAACAUCCUGGCAGCCCAAAGAAAAAUAAAACGAAGUGUUGCAACGUGCACAUCAUGAAUUUACAUCUGUGGCCCCACCAUCAACUACAAGAUAUUUCCAAUUGUAAUGCCUUAGAUACUUUCUAGCAUCAUUUAAUGCAACCUCAUAAGAAGUCAAAAUUAUAGGAAAUUUGGGGCUAAUUUUUCUUGGCAUAUACUUCAUUCGUAUUUGAUCUCUUUCUUUCCUAUUGCCGUGGUAGAUUAUUGCAUUUAUUGAGGGCACAAACCUUGCUAUUUCAUUUGCCCAGUUUGAGAGAGUAGGAAGAGGAGCAAUGACCAAUUAGGGGCCAUCUAACCCCUUUCCUAUUUUCCCCACACCGAUCAAAGAGAUAUUUCUGGGCAUUCAAACUCAAUGCUGCAUAAAUGGGAUGAGAACCACAUAGCUAAAAUGCCGCUCAAUAGAAACAGACCAAUAACAAUUUGCCAUUUCACAAAUUCUUCACUCUUUCUUCUCCACAGGAAGAAAGAAAAAAAUAAAAAUAAAAAUACACAAACACUUAUCCCCCUUUUGAGGUUUUCACUGUAAAAAUGCCUCAAUUAAGGUACCUGACAAUUUAGAGACACAGAUGAGCCACAAAUUUCACUGGCACAAUCAAAUCUUCAGGCAAAAACGCAUACAGUUGAAGGAACAUAUAAAGAAAGCAUCAGAUGGAAUAAAAAUAUAGGAAAUUGAGUGCACAAAAGGGGUUACGAAUGUAAAAUUCACAGGCAAGGCAAUCGAUGCAGCGAAGCGAAAUAAAAUAUCAGGAUGAAUUCCGCUGGAAAAGUCGUCAAAUUCAACAAAAACUGAUCUCACCUAAAAGACCACUUUUCAAAGGAAAGCUCGCCUGACUCUGAGCUCUGUUUUUUGCUCCUUCCCGGAAAUCCUCUAUCCCCAAGCUAUCCACCCUCAAACUAGUUUCUUCUCAAGCUCCUCAAAUUUUCCUCCAGGCAAGAUCGCUCCUCCAACCAAGCCCCCGAAAUUUUUUUUGGAAUCCUCUUAAACGCCAGAAAAACCUCCUAUCCUUUCUUCUUUCUUCUUUCUUCUCUCACAAGUCUUCACCUGCUCCCUACUACCACCAUGCUGUCUUUGCCACAUGUCCCAUGCGGCUUGCCCCCUCCAGAAAGAGGUCCCCCCACUUCCAAAAAUGAAAAAAUUUCAAUUCCCAGGUCGUCUGCAAAAGGGGUCUACAGAUAUUAAUUAAUAAAUAAUAUUUAUAAAUAGAUAUAUUAAAUAUGUUAUCUUAUAAUAUGAUUAUAUUAAUAGAAAAUAUGUUGUAAUAUAUUACAAUAGCAUAUUAUCUGUUAUAAAAUAUGAGAUUUUGUACCAUUAUGGUAACUUGUAGAUGAUCAUCCAUAUAUAUAUAUAUUGUAAUUCCCUGUAAAAUGGAAGGACCCAUAAUGAAAUUCUAUUGAGUUUUCUCGUGCAUUUUCAUUAUUUCUUUAUAUAUAUAUUUAUAUUUAUUGUAACUCCCUGUAAAAUGGAGGGACCCCUAAUGAAAUUCUAUUGAGUUUUCUCGUGCAUUUUAUCAUUUCUUUCUAUCUUCUUUUUUCACUUUUAUAACACGUUAUUAGCACGAUAGUCUCUACAAAAGAAAUAGAAAGAUUUUUCUCUCUUCAGAGAAAUAAAAAGACUGUCAUCUUUUUUAUCCCACAAAAAGGUAUGUCAUAAACUUAUAUAAUAAUUUUCUAUUUUAUUUAUAUAUGUGAUAAAAUUACCUUUUGAUUUUCUAUUUCACUUAUUUUAUUUGAAUACAUAAAUAUGUGCAAUCCCUAUAACCAGAAGUUAUGGGGUAAAUUACAAAAUUACAAAAACAUGGCCAGAAGUUAUGUAUAUGAUCCCUAAUUAUCUAUUUUUAAUUAUACGAUAUAACUGGAAGUUAUACCAAACAAUAUUAUAUAGCCAGAAGCUAUAAAAGUAAAUAGUUCAUAACCUGAAGCUAUAUACAAAUCUACAUAGUGAAAAUUCAUAGCCUGAAGCUAUGAAUGAUAUUAUCUUUUGAUUUCUUUUAAUUAUAUUGUAUAACCGAAUGUUAUAAAAAAAAAAAAAAAAUUAUAGCCAAAGGCUAUACAAUAAAUAUUUCAUGACUUGAAGUUAUGUAUAAAUUUAUACAUUUUUGUUACGAUAAAAUAGAAUGUUUAUUAGAAACUACAUUAAAAAUGUUUUCAUGGUCAAAAGCUAUAUAAGCCAUACUUUUUGUACUUAAGGCAGAAAUUUGAAAAUAUUGAUAUUUUAAUUUUGUAUAGCCGGAAGCUAUAUAGAGAAUUUCUAACUACGGUAUAACUAGAAGUUAUACGAACUAAAUUGUCAAUUAAUAAUUUUAUAAAAUUUUAUAGCUAGAAGCUAUAUAGAGAAUAUUUUAUAGUAAUAAAAUUAUGGCUAGAAGUUUUGACAAAUUUAUUCUUUAGAUAAUAUUGCAUUGUUAGCUAAUUUCUUGAAUUCAUAGUAAUUAUUUUACUUUAUGAUAAUAUGAAAAAUGUUUAUCAUGAUCAAUCUAUGUAGAGAAGGAAAGUAUAUAUUCAUAUACAUUCUUAUAAUUAGAAGUUAUAUAAUAAUUUGUAUUUGAUGGCUUGAAGCAACAUGAAAAAUAAUUUGUAUAUUGUUAUAGCCUAAAACUACAUGAAUAAUUAAUUUGCAUAUUUUUAUAGCCCGAAGUUAUAUGAAAAACUUUUAUAUAUUCUUGUAGGCCAAAACUUGAAGCUAUAUGGAAAUUUUUUUGUGUAUAUUUUAUAUCUUGAAAAAAAAAUGUAAAAUAUUUUCAUAGCCUAAAGUUCUAUGAAAGAAAAUAGGUAUUUCAUAUAAAUGAAAACUAUAGAGAUUAUUAUUUUAUAUGUUAUUACAGCUAAAAGCUAUAAAAAAAAACAAAGUUAAUAUUAUAUAAUUUCUCAUAACUAAGAUCUAUGUUGAAUAAUUAAUUUUAUAAUCUUCCAUGGCUAGAAGCCAUAUAGAAAAUUUAUGAUUUGAAGUCAUAUAUGUAAAACAAAAUAUAUGUUAUACAUAAAUAGAGAUUAUUAUAAGUAUUAUGAUAUAAACAUUGUUGUUUCGCUUAUAGCCUAGAUUUACAAGAAUUUUAUAUAUUUUUAUAACUUGAAGUUAUGAAAUAUGAAUUCUUCUUUUUUUAAGAAUUCAAUUAUUGACAUCCUUAAUUUUCUAUGUUUUGCAUUUGAAUGUAUCAUUAGUAUUCUUUCUAUUAGAUAUGAAGGUUUAAAUAUUUAGAUCUAUAAUUUUCAUACUUCAUUUUUUAGUUAAAUUUUUCACAUUCUUUCUAUUAUGAAACAUGAAUACUCAUCAUGUUUCAUGAAAAGGCAUAGUUAAAAUUUUCACAUUUAUUAAUUUAUUUAAAUAUUUUUAGUUUUCUAUUUAGUUUGUUAUUGUAGGUAAUUUCUAUGUCAUUAAAGUAUGAUAGUCCUUUAGUUCUUUAGAAUAAUAUAGAAGAAAGUAUACCCACUAAAAGACUACGAUCCUCUUUUAAGUUCUCUAUAACUAGAUGUAAUUGAGAAUAGUGAGUUUUUCAUUAAUAACCACCAAUAUUUUCUAAUCGGAUUGGAAUUGUUCCCCAAAGUGAAAUCCAACCGAUUAGGAAUACGAUCAUAGAAUAGGAUAUGAUCUAAAUCUAGUAUACAAUAACUUCUUAAUCCAUGAGGGUCAUUGUUUCCCCAAGAAGAAAUUUAGACCAUACCACCAGAAGUGGUGAAAUGAAAUGAAAAAAAAGGGUUAGGUUUGUAGUAUAAGCCUACCAAAGUUGAACAAAAAAUCAUUGUUGAUGCAUACUAGUCAUACGAUCAAGCAUUUCAUUGACUUUUACCAAAAUUAAAAGAAAAAAAAAAAUAGUAAAUAGAAGGUUAACAUAUCUAGAUUAUUAUAACUUUCUUAAGAAAUCCUAAUGAUAAAAUUUACUAAUUGAUUGGUGAUGGAAAAAAUGUUUAUUCUUAUGUAGGAUCUUUACUUUCUCAUGUUGUGUCUUUUUUAUCUAAUAUAGUACAUAUCAUAUUUGCUAAUAAAUGUUUAUGUUUUAUUUACAUAUAGUAUUGAUUGCUUAAUAAGUAUAUUCUAAGAUGUAUAUCUCAUUAUUUGUACAAUAUGUAAUAAUUGAUGUCAUUACCAUAUCAAUUUAUGGAAACUUGAUUGAAAGCUCUUGAAGAGCUUAUAUUAUGUCACUAGUUGAUUGAUGUCAUUACUACAUAUAUGAAUUUAUAAAAACCCGAUUAAAGGCUCUAGACGAGCUCAUACUAUGUUACUAAUGGCACACGAAUCCAUAUGAAUGGUACUUGACAUUCUAUCAAAUCUAGAAGAAUUUGAGAUGACCAACUUGGUCCCCCCAGGGUGAACAAUGAUGCAUCAACUCCUUGAAAUAUCAAAUGGGGAUUCAUUAAAGAACUAGAAGUUUCUUCAACUAGUGACUAGUAUAUUUGAACCUUUGAAGGAUAUUAUUACAUGUUAUGUAAAUUUAUAGUUUAAAGAGACAAUUUCCCACCAUUGGGGGGNNNNNNNNNNNNNNNNNNNNNNNNNNNNNNNNNNNNNNNNNNNNNNNNNNNNNNNNNNNNNNNNNNNNNNNNNNNNNNNNNNNNNNNNNNNNNNNNNNNNNNNNNNNNNNNNNNNNNNNNNNNNNNNNNNNNNNNNNNNNNNNNNNNNNNNNNNNNNNNNNNNNNNNNNNNNNNNNNNNNNNNNNNNNNNNNNNNNNNNNNNNNNNNNNNNNNNNNNNNNNNNNNNNNNNNNNNNNNNNNNNNNNNNNNNNNNNNNNNNNNNNNNNNNNNNNNNNNNNNNNNNNNNNNNNNNNNGGGGGGGGGGGGGCAAGUCAAUUCUAGAAGAAUGGCGAGACAUUACAUGGUAUGUACCUUCUUUGUCUCAUCUGCAUCCCUGUACAAGGUAGUGUGAACUAGAAGUUCAAAGGAUUAUUCAUUUGUAAGGACUUGCAAAUUAGUUACCUAAUGUUUUCACAAAUAUAAAAAAAAGUAACAAAGUCACACAUGUCGACUAUGAAUACCCUGACACAUAUUGAUGUCUCUAAAGGACAAUUGAAAAAUGCCAUAGCAAGUGAAUUAAUACACACUUAAAGCGUGGUAGACCUGUUGGAUCAAAGGAUUUAGUUCCUAAAAAAAAAAAAAAAAAAGGAACAACAUAAGAAAAGUUUGGUACUCUUGAAGAGCUUACAAAUAUGAAAUGGUCAAAUGAUGAAAACCAACUUGGUAAAUAGUUAGCCCUUGAAGAGACACAAAUUGAUCAAAUACCGGCUAAACUCGUUAGCAAAACAAGAGGAAUUUGGACUUGUAGUUCAAACACCUAGAAACAUAAAGCCUAUUGCAUAUAAAUGGAUCUUUGUGAGAAAGUGAAAUGAGAAUAAUAAAAUAGUAAGAUAUAAAGCACAACUUGUUGCUUAAGGUUUCUCUCAAAGACUUGGUAUAAACUAUAAGGAAACUUAUUCCCCUAUAAUGGAUGUAAUCACAUUUUGAUACUUGAUAAGUUUAAUGGUCUUUGAAGGGCUAGAUAUGUGUCUCAUGGAUGUUGCUACAGCUUAUUUAUAUAGGUUUAUAUAUAUAUAUAUAUAUAUAUAUAUAUAUGAAAGUCCUUAAAUGAUUUAAAUUACCUAAAGAAACUAAUCCAAAGCCUCAAAACAUGUACUCAAUCAAACUAAUCUCUAUACAGAUUAAAGCAAUCUAGACGCAUGUGGUAUAAUGGUUUGAGUGAGUAUUUGUUAAAAGAAGGAUAUGUGAAUAAUCCAAUUUGACCAUGUGUUUUUAUCAAGAAAUUGAAAAUUGGGCUUACAAUAAUUGCAGUAUAUGUGGAUGAUUUGAACCUUAUAGGGACUCCUAAAGAGCUCACAAAAACAUCCAAUCAUUUAAAGAAGGGAUUUGAAAUUAAAGAUUUAGGAAAACAAAACAUUGUCUCGGCUUGCAGAUCAAACAUUGUUCAAAUAACAUAUAAGUCCAUCAAUUGACAUAUAUAGAGAAAGUAUUAAAAUGAUUUUAUAUGGAAAAAUCACGUCCACUUGAUUCUCCCAUGGUUGGUCAUUCACUUGAAGUGAAUAAAGACCUGUUUCGUCAUAGAGAAGAAAAUGAAGAAUUGUUUGGUCCAAAAGUACCAUAUCUCAGCGCAAUCGGUGCAAAAUGUAUCUUGCAAAUUGUACUAGACUAGACAUAGCAUUUUCUGUUAACUUGCUUGCAAGAUACAUUUUUGCCCCAACUAGAAGGCAUUGGAACGGGAUUAAACAUAUAUUGCGAUACCUUUGUGGAACAAGUGAUCAUGGCUUAUGUUAUUCAAAAGAAUUAAAAUCGCAAUUGAUUGAGUAUGCUAAUGUAGGAUAUCUUUCAGAUCCCCAUAAAGCUCAAUCCCAAAUGGGAUAUGUCUUUACUUAUGGUGGUACAACAAUAUCUUGAAGAUCAAUCAAGCAAACGAUGGUAGUCAUCUUUUCAAAUCAUUCAGAAAUUCUUGCAAUUCAUGAAGCAAGUCAUGAAUGUAUAUGACUAAGGUCAAUGAUUCAACAUAUUCAAGAAACAUGUGGACUACCUUCCAUAAGAGGCAAUACAACUAAAUUACAUGAAGAUAUUGUUGCUUGUAUUGUAAAAAUUAAAGGAGGAUUCUGAUUACUACUCAAAAAGUGCUAUUUGAUAGCCUUUAAUUAAUCCUUUUUAACACUUUUGAGUAGUAGUUUAGGCCUUUUAACUCAAUUGGCAUGUUAAGGAUCCUUUAAAGCAAUUUUGAUCACUUUGUGUAAGUUUUGGUGCUUUUGAUAGUAUAUUGAUCACCAAAGCAAGUCAAGACUGAGGAGAGCUAUGAGGAAUCUUGGGCAAAGUUUAGAAUUCAUUUGCCAAGAGUGAAUCCGGAUUGCAAGGAGAAAAAGCAAAGAGGAUCAGUCAUGGAGCAUAUUAUUGAUGAUAGUCGUAGCAGCCACUUUUGAAGCACUUUCUGAAGUCCAAAUGAUGCAUGCUAUAUACCAUUUCAAAGCUCAGGAAGUCAACAAUCCAAUACUUCAAACGGUGCGUGAUUCGGAGUUGAAACGAAGAAGUUGCAGCCAUUACAAGUCAAUCACUCUAAAGUGUUGCGGAAUCAGCCUUUUGUUGCGAGAAUUUCGCAGCACUUUUGUACAGUAAGGUGUUUCUCCUUCUGACGAUUCACGAACCAUGCCGCGAGAAGGGAGCUGGGAACCUCAAGGUGGAAGCCAACUUCGCAGCCUGGUGAAGAUAGCUCGGUGUUGCGAAAUAAUUUCGCAGCCCUCUUGGGUGUCUGCGAAAUUUCGCAGACACCAUUUUUCUCCUGCGAAAUGGUUCCUGAAGCCUCCCGACGCUUGCUACCGACAUUGGGAGAUAUUUUCCAUUAGAUUUUUGUUGUCUAAAUCCCAAAAUACUCCUUGUAAACCACCAAUUACAUGAUUCCUUAGUUUUUAAGUUAGUAAAAAGACCAAAUAUCUUUGUAACAAUUAGUUUUAUAUUGGUUUGAUAUAUAUACCUCUCGAGAGCCUGUACUCGGGGAGGAGUUCCUUCUGUAAGAGUUUAGGAAGCAAGUAAAAGGUCUUUUCUUUCUACUGCCUUACCUUCUCACUUUGUAUUUUCAUUUUAUUUCUAAGUUAUGAAUUCUCUGAGGAGUUUUCCCCAGAGAAUGAGUAACUAAACCUCCAAUUCCUUGGAGCUAAGGUUGUCGGGGAAGGUUCCAAGUGCAAGAAUGCAAAGCUCUGUGGUUUUAGCUAGUAAUGAAGAGGAAGUGAAAUCCUUUAGUGAUUUCAAUGUUUUUAGUUAACUUAAAACACCUUGGAGUCACCUGGGCCAACACUUGGUAAGGCAAGUGAUUUCCAACCAUGGAAAUGCACUAGUUUACCCCUUGCGAGCCUCUGGUAGGUGUCUUCAAGGUAGGAUUCUGGAAUUACCAACACUUGGUAAGCUUUUGGACUCCUAGGAGACAUCCAUUAGUUAUCUCUUGCGAGUUUGUGAAGGGAAGUCCAAGGUUAAAGAUCACCUUGAAUGGUAAGUGCUCGUGAGAGGCAUGAACCAUUGCAAGUUGUAUCAGUGAGAGAAUUAAAGUGAAAUCUAAUUGAAGGAGUCUCUGUACAUCACCGGUUAGAGAAUUGACUAUAAGUUGAAUCUCUAAUGCGAGGAAAUGAACCAACUGACCGGAGCUAUGUCUUUUGCAUGAGGAACCACCCCAGUGAACCUAAAUCUCCAAGGAAUGUUUUUUUUCCUAAAUUAUUCCAAACUUCUGUUAAGUUAGUUAGUUUAAGUCUCAACCUUUACCAAUCAAAGUUUGUGUUUUAUUUCUUAAGUUAACCGUGAAAUGAAGCAAGACCAAUUCACUUGGAAUUGGUAUCCUUGAUUGCUUGUUCAUCAUUCCCAGUGAACGAUCCUAGAGCCACUAUACUAUAGUAGCUUUUUAUUUGCUACCCUAGUGUAUGGUGUUAUAGGUAUAAAUUUUGUUGAUCACUUCCUCAAUCAAGGAGCACCAGCUGAACACAAAUCAGCUGAGACACCAAUUGGACAUGAGUCAAAUGGCGCCGUUGCCGGGGAAUGAGUGUCAAGUUCAUUGUGAUACCAUUUUUGAGCACUUGUGAUUUUCAUCACAAGUUGGUAAAGUUUCUUUCACUUUACUAAUUUUCAUUCUUUCUUUGUUUAUUCAUAAUCUAAGUUUAUCUUUUUAAAAUUUAGUCUAGUUUAAUUUUGCUAUUGUAGCCCUGUUUCUCUUGUUGUCCUUUGUUCUUGUUGUCCUCUGUUUUCAUUUUUAGUUGCAGGUAGAUACUAGUUGUGUAUGCCAAAGUGGAUACGAGACAUUGGAGGUAGGCUUAUUAAGUGUGAUACACCUCAGAGAGGAGAAUUUGAAGUAAUCUUGAAUAUCAUGGAGGCUGCACCUGAAGAUCAGCAUAGUCACCAAGGUCGUCAAGACAAUCUCAAUGAAUUCCGAUCAAUGAGGGACCAUAUGCAUCCACCUCGUAUGAGUGCACCAUCAUGUAUAGUGCCCCCUACAGAGCAGCUAGUGAUCAGACCGUAUCUUGUUCCACUUCUACCAACUUUCCAUGGGAUGGAAAGUGAGAAUCCGUAUGCACACAUCAAGGAAUUUGAAGAUGUUUGUAAUACAUUCCAAGAGGGAGGAGCUUCAAUUGAUUUGAUGAGGCUUAAGUUAUUUCCUUUCACUUUAAAGGAUAAGGCCAAAAUUUGGCUUAAUUCUUUAAGGCCAAGGAGUAUCCGCUCUUGGACUGAUUUACAAGCUGAAUUCCUCAAGAAAUUUUUUCCUACUCAUAGAACAAAUGGCUUGAAAAGGCAAAUUUCAAACUUCUCAGCUAAAGAGAAUGAGAAAUUCUAUGAGUGUUGGGAAAGAUACAUGGAAGCUAUAAAUGCUUGUCCUCACCAUGGCUUUGAUACUUGGCUAUUGGUGAGCUAUUUUUAUGAUGGUAUGUCAUCCUCAAUGAAGCAACUCCUCGAGACAAUGUGUGGAGGAGAUUUCAUGAGCAAAAAUCCAGAGGAAGCUAUGGAUUUCUUGAGCUAUGUAGCUGAUGUUUCAAGGGGAUGGGAUGAACCAACUAAAGGAGAAGUGGGAAAGAUGAAGUCUCAGUUGAAUGCUUACAAUGCAAAAGCUGGGAUGUAUAAUUUAAAAGAAGAUGAUGACAUGAAAGCAAAGUUGGCAGCUAUGACAAGAAGAUUGGAGGAGCUGGAGCUGAAAAAAAUACAUGAAGUGCAAGCUGUUGCUGAAGCACCAGUGCAAGUGAAGCUGUGUCCCAAUUGUCAAUCAUUUGAACAUUUGGUUGAGGAGUGCCCUGCAAUUUCAGCUGAAAGGGAAAUGUAUAGAGAUCAAGCAAAUGUUGUUGGACAAUUUAGGCCCAAUAACAAUGCUCCUUAUGGAAAUACCUACAAUUCAAGUUGGAGGAAUCAUCCAAAUUUCUCAUGGAAGGCCAGAGCAACUCAAUACCAACAGCCGGAUCCACCAUCUCAGCAAUCUUCAAGUAUUGAACAAGCAAUAGCCAAUCUCAGCAAGGUAAUGGGAGAUUUUAUUGAAAAGCAAGAAGCCACUAAUGCUCAACUCGAUCAAAGGAUUGACAGGGUGGAGAGUAUGUUGAAUAAAAGAAUGGAUGGAAUGCAAAAUGAUAUGAACCAAAAGUUUGAUAACAUCCAAUAUUCAAUUUCAAGGCUUACAAAUUUGAAUACACUGCAAGAAAAAGGAAGAUUUCCUUCUCAACCUCACCAAAAUCCCAAAGGUGUCCAUGAAGUGGAAAGCCAUGAGGGAGAAUCAUCACAGGUGAAAGAUGUGAAAGCUUUGAUCACUCUAAGGAGUGGUAAAAAGAUUGAGCAGCCAACACCCAAGCCACAUGUUGAAAAAGAAGAAGAGAUAAAGAAAGGGAAGGAAAUGGAAGAUAAAGAGAGUGAGAUCAGUGAAGAAAAGAAGGACUCUGAUUCAACAAUCAAAGCAAUUCCAGAGAAAGAGCUUCUGAAGGAAGAAAUGCUGAAGAAAUCAACUUCUCCACCUUUUCCUCAAGCAUUACAGGGGAAAAAGGGGGUUAGAAAUGCAGCUGAAAUCCUUGAAGUCUUGAGGCAAGUGAAAGUUAAUAUUCCACUGCUGGAUAUGAUCAAACAAGUUCCAACGUAUGCAAAAUUCCUUAAGGACUUGUGUACUAUCAAAAGAGGGUUGACUGUAAAUAAGAAAGCCUUCUUGACUGAGCAAGUAAGUGCAAUCUUACAGUGUAAGUCUCCUUUGAAGUACAAAGACCCUGGAAGUCCCACCAUUUCAGUCAUGAUUGGAGGAAAGGUAGUGGAGAAAGCCUUGCUAGACUUGGGAGCAAGUGUGAAUUUGCUUCCAUACUCUGUCUACAAGCAACUGGGACUUGGAGAGUUGAAGCCAACAGCAAUCACUUUAUCUCUGGCAGAUAGAUCAGUGAAAAUUCCAAGAGGGGUAAUUGAGGAUGUAUUGGUUCAAGUAGAUAAUUUCUACUAUCCAGUCGAUUUUAUUGUUCUUGAUACAGAUCCUACUGUAAAGGAAGCUAAUUUAGUUCCUAUCAUCCUUGGAAGGCCAUUUCUUGCAACUUCAAAUGCAAUCAUUAAUUGUAGAAAUGGGCUUAUGCAACUCACUUUUGGUAAUAUGACACUGGAUCUAAAUAUUUUCUAUAUGUCUAAAAAGCAUAUCACUCCGGAAGAAGAAGAAGGUCCAGAAGAGCUAUGUAUUAUUGACACUUUGGUGGAGGAGCACUGCAAUCAACAUAUGCAAGACAAGUUGAAUGAAAGUCUUGAGGAUAUUGAGGAAGGAUUUUCUGAAUCUCCUAUUGGGCUUGCUACUCUACAAAGUUGGAAAAAGGUAGAAGAGAUUCUACCUUUGUUCAAUAAGGAAGAGGAGGCAGCUGUUGAAAAAGAAAUUCCAAAACUCAAUCUGAAGCCUUUACCUGUGGAGCUGAAAUAUACAUAUCUUGAAGAAAAUAAUCAAUGUCCUGUUGUGAUAUCUUCAUCUCUGACCAGUCAUCAAGAGAAUUGUUUAAUGGAAGUUCUCAAGAGGUGUAAGAAAGCAAUAGGAUGGCAAAUAUCUGACUUGAAAGGCAUUAGUCCUUUAGUUUGUACUCAUCAUAUAUAUAUGGAGGAGGAAGCAAAGCCAAUUCGUCAAUUUCAAAGAAGGUUGAAUCCUCAUCUACAAGAGGUGGUGCGAGCUGAGGUGCUGAAGCUACUUCAAGCAGGAAUCAUUUACCCUAUUUCUGAUAGCCCUUGGGUGAGUCCUACUCAAGUGGUACCAAAGAAGUCAGGGAUCACAGUGGUUCAGAAUGAAAAAGGAGAAGAAAUUACUACACGCCUCACUUCAGGUUGGAGGGUGUGUAUUGAUUAUAGGAAGCUGAAUGCUGUCACCAGGAAGGAUCAUUUUCCAUUGCCAUUUAUUGAUCAAGUGCUGGAGAGAGUCUCUGGACAUCCAUUCUAUUGUUUCUUGGAUGGGUAUUCAGGGUAUUUUCAGAUUGAAAUUGAUUUGGCAGAUCAGGAAAAGACCACCUUUACAUGUCCAUUUGGAACAUAUGCUUACAGAAGAAUGCCUUUUGGUUUAUGCAAUGCACCUGCUACAUUUCAAAGAUGCAUGUUGAGUAUUUUCAGUGAUAUGGUGGAGCGAAUUAUGGAGGUUUUCAUGGAUGACAUCACCGUAUAUGGAGGUACAUUUGAGGAAUGCUUGGUUAAUUUGGAAGCAGUUCUUCAUAGAUGCAUUGAAAAAGAUCUGGUGCUCAACUGGGAAAAAUGCCAUUUUAUGGUACGUCAAGGAAUUGUCCUUGGUCAUAUCAUCUCUGAAAGAGGCAUUGAAGUUGAUAAAGCAAAGGUGGAGCUUAUUGCCAAAUUACCAUCUCCAACAAUUGUGAAAGGAGUAAGACAGUUCCUUGGCCAUGCAGGCUUCUAUAGGAGGUUUAUAAAAGGUUUUUCAAGUCUUUCAAAACCUCUUUGUGAGCUGUUAGCUAAGGAUGCUAAGUUUAUAUGGGAUGAAAGGUGUCAGCAUAGCUUUGAUCAACUGAAGAAGUUUUUAACAACAACUCCAAUAGUGAGAGCCCCUAACUGGCAAUUACCUUUUGAAUUGAUGUGUGAUGCCAGUGACUUUGCUAUAGGAGCUGUGCUUGGCCAAAGAGAAGAUGGGAAGCCUUAUGUGAUUUACUAUGCAAGUAAAACACUAAACGAAGCUCAGAGGAACUACACAACUACAGAGAAAGAAUUGUUAGCUGUGGUAUUUGCUUUGGACAAAUUUCGAGCUUAUUUAGUGGGGUCUUUCAUCAUAGUGUUCACUGACCAUUCAGCCUUGAAGUAUUUAUUGACAAAGCAAGAUGCAAAAACAAGGUUGAUUAGAUGGAUUCUUUUGUUACAAGAAUUCGAUCUUCAAAUCAAAGAUAAGAAAGGAGUGGAGAAUGUAGUAGCUGACCACUUGUCAAGGUUAGUUAUAGCACAUAAUUCCCAUCCCUUGCCUAUCAAUGAUGAUUUUCCUGAAGAAUCACUCAUGUUCCUAGUGAAAACUCCUUGGUAUGCUCAUAUUGCUAAUUAUUUAGUAACUGGAGAAAUUCCAAGUGAGUGGAAUGCACAGGACAGGAAGCACUUCUUUGCCAAAAUUCAUUCUUAUUAUUGGGAAAAGCCCUUUCUCUUUAAGUAUUGUGCAGAUCAGAUUAUUAGGAAGUGUGUCCCUGAAGAUGAGCAGCAAGGGAUUCUAUCUCAUUGUCAUGAGAAUGCAUGUGGAGGCCACUUUGCCUCUCAGAAAACAGCCAUGAAGGUAUUGCAAUCAGGGUUUACUUGGCCAUCUCUUUUUAAAGAUGCCCACAUCAUGUGUAGGAAUUGUGAUAGAUGCCAAAGGCUUGGAAAGCUAACAAAAAGAAAUCAAAUGCCUAUGAACCCCAUUCUGAUAGUUGAAUUAUUUGAUGUAUGGGGCAUUGACUUCAUGGGACCUUUCCCAAUGUUUUUUGGUAAUUCUUACAUCUUGGUGGGGGUGGAUUAUGUUUCUAAAUGGGUUGAGGCAAUCCCCUGUAAGCAAAAUGAUCACAGGGUGGUUCUCAAGUUUCUUAAAGAGAACAUUUUCUCUAGAUUUGGGGUGCCCAAAGCCAUAAUCAGUGAUGGAGGUGCUCAUUUUUGCACCAAACCUUUUGAAGCUCUCUUAUCCAAGUAUGGAGUGAAGCAUAAGGUAGCCACACCUUAUCAUCCUCAGACUUCCGGGCAAGUUGAGCUAGCUAACAGGGAAAUAAAGAACAUCUUGAUGAAAGUGGUGAAUUCCAACAGAAAAGAUUGGUCUAUUAGGCUUCAUGAUUCAUUGUGGGCAUAUAGAACAGCUUAUAAGACUAUUCUUGGGAUGUCUCCCUAUCGUCUUGUCUAUGGCAAAGCAUGCCAUCUCCCUGUGGAAGUUGAAUACAAGGCUUGGUGGGCAAUAAAGAAGCUGAACAUGGAUUUGAUCAAGGCAGGAGAAAAGAGAUUUCUAGACCUUAAUGAGAUGGAGGAAUUAAGAAAUAAUGCUUAUAUCAACUCCAAAGUUGCAAAACAAAGGAUGAAGAAGUGGCAUGAUCAACUCAUCUCCAACAAGGAAUUUCAGGAAGGGCAAAGAGUUUUGAUGUAUGACACCAGACUCCAUAUCUUUCCUGGGAAGCUCAAGUCAAGGUGGAUUGGUCCAUUUGUUAUUCACCGAGUGUGGUCCAAUGGAGUGGUGGAAUUAUUGAAUUCCAAUGGCAAGGACAACUUUAGAGUCAAUGGAUAUCGUCUCAAGCCAUUCAUGGAGCCAUUCAAAUUAGAAAAGGAGGCAAUCAACCUCCUUGAACCUCAAAAAGCCUAAGUGAAAUGGGUUUGCUGGACGUGGUUUACCACAUUCCAAAAUUUUUGUAAAUUUUGUAAAUUUUCAAGUUAUUUCCAUACUUUUGAUCUUAGUUUUUGAUCUUAAAUCAUGUUUUUAGGUGUGUUUUAAUCGUUUUGAAUGAUCCCAGGUGGAAGAAAUUUCAAGGAGAUUGAAAGAAAAAAAAAAUCGGGUCGAAAUCAGAGCUAAAACAGAGCAAAAACAGGGGAAAAACAGAGCUCUGCGAAAUUUCGCAGAGUGAAGGAAACUUCUGCGAAAUUGGCAUUUUGUUGCCAAACCAUUCCGCAACACUGUAGAAGUCUCUGCGAGGGUAUUUCGCAGCUGCGAAAGUGAAUUUGGCACACGAGUGCCACUUCGCAGUACAGUAGCAUCCAUUUGGCAGCUGCGAAACCCAUUGCGAAGUGGAAAAGCAUGAUUUCGCACCAAAAGUCCCAUUCCGCAGGGCAUUUCGCAAUUGCGAAAGUGGUUUUGGCACACGAGUGCCACUUCGCAGCACAGUGACAUCAAUUUCGCAGCUGCGAAACUCACUGCGAAGUUGCUGCGAAAAUGGCAAGUUGCUGCGAAAUUGGCGUUUUGUUGCGAAACUUAAACUGACCCUUAGACUUCCGUUUUUCCUAUUUAUACCGGUCAUUUGUGCUGCGAAAAGGGUUUCAAAAAUCAGAGUACCAUUCUCGCAGCCUCUUCGUCUCCUUCACCAAGCCACGCCGUCUGUGCCUCCGGCCAUCUUCUCCGUUCAGCAACGCCGGCCAACGAUCGAUAUCCCAAAAUGGCGCGAACACGAGGGGCAAAGUCUUCAUCCCCUUCGAAUCGCAAAAAGAUGCUGCGAAAGGAGCCACCUUCAGAUUCUGCUCCAAAGCCUUCGCCGUCGAGACCAAUUCCACCUCCAGUGAAGCCGGCGCCACCAAAGCCGCCGGCAAAACGAUAUUUAACCAGGUCCGGAGGUCGGCCAUUGAAGAAGAAACCCAGGGUAGAGAGCUCAGAACCCAUUGAUUUGACUGAGCAAUCCCCUGAGCAAUCCCCAAAUCCAUCACCGGUUCAAUCUCCGGUAUCUUCACCAAAUCCUUCACCGGUUCAAACUCCAGUGCCGUCGCCGGUUCCCUCGCCGAGUCCCCUGCCAGUUCCAUCGCCGGUACCAUCUCCGGCACCCCAAGAAAAAGCUCAGGAGCCUCAAGCGCCAAUUCCAGAGCCUCAAAUUGCAGCUGAAGCACCUCUGGAAGAAGUAAUCCGAAGGCCAAUGCUGCCCCAGCCCCCAAUCGAAGGAAACUUGGAUUGUCGAACUCGGGCAUUCCAUUCUGAGCUUUGCUUCGACUUAGCAGCAUUCAGAGUGAGGCCAGAGCUAGCCCAAUCAUUCCAGCUGCUGAGGAGGUACCAUAUGGAGCAUCUGCUAGCUCCAAGGGACUUUUUCUAUCCUCGGAUAGCCACGGAUUUCUACCAGUCCAUGACAACCAAAGAGGUAAGAAAUCCAACUCUGAUCCAUUUCACAAUUGAUGGGAGACAUGGUAUUUUGGGAGCAAGACAUAUUGCUGAAGCCCUGCAAAUUCCUUUUGAGCCAACCCAAUUCGACAAUUUUAAAGCUUGGGCAAAUCCUACUGAGCUAGAGAUGGUUCGCACCCUUUCCAGAGGAGCUGCAAAUCGAUCACAUCUGCUGAGGGGGGAGCUACCUCCAGUUAUGUUUUUGAUUGAUGCCUUUUUGAGGCAUAAUAUCUAUCCCCUGCAGCAUUGGACCCAAAGAAGGGGAGUUCUCCUGGAAGCCCUGUACAAGAUGUCAGAAGGAUUCUUCUUUGGGCCUCAUCAUCUGAUCAUGGCAGUCCUUCUCUACUUUGAGGAGAAGGUUCACAAGAAGAAGCUUCAAAGAGCAGAUUGCAUUCCCCUCCUCUUCCCACGGCUGCUAUGCCAAAUUUUGGAACAUCUCGGAUACCCCUCUGAGCCUCAGCAGGAGAAAAAGAGAAUUUGCCGUGAGCCAUUCACUCUUGAUAAAUGGAAUAAUAUGACGGCCUACAAAAUUGAUCAGCCUGGGCAGCCUCAGCCAGCAGCAAGGAGAGCCUCCCCAAGACAUAUACCUGAAGGUAUAACACUUGCUACUCCUGCCAUUCCUAGAGCUCCACCAGCUACACCUGCUCCAUCACAGCCAUCCACAUCAGCUGAGCCGAGGAUGGCCAUCCCUAUAUCUGAAUAUCGAGAGCUGUGUCGUGCAUUGGAGACUCUUACAGCUUCCCAGAGCAAUCUUGCUCAGGAAUUGGCAGCCAUCAAAGCAUGCCAGGAGCAGAUGUUAGCCUCGCAGGCUCAACAAGCUGCCAUCCUAAGGCAGCUUCAAGUCCAUUUCGAUCUGCCACAAGCUGUAGAGCCCUCCAUUCCUACUCCACCAGAGCCACACUCUCAGCCUUCAGAGUCUCAUCCUCCAGAGCCAGAAGCCCCAGCUGAUCCACCUACUGAGGAGGCAGAUCCUUCUGCCUAGCACCAUCACCCCACUCAUCAGACAUUAUAUAUAUUUGCUAUUUAUGUUUUUAUGCAUGUUUGUUUUGUUUUAGUUGAAAUGAAGUCCCAGUAUUUUGGUACUAUAUAUGGGAUUCCUUGUGAUUACUUGUCUUUUGCAUUGUAAUCAAAUGAACUCAAAGUAAUACAAGUUGAAUUUUUCUUGUUAAAAGUUAGCAUUAAGUUCUCCUUAUUCCCUUUUCUCACAUAUUCUAUUCUUUUUGAAACAUGUGGUUUUCCCCAAUCAAUAUUCGAAUUUGAUAUCAGCAAGGAGGUACCACUUCCUCCCUUUUAUUACAGUCACUCAUAUCACAUUGAGGACAAUGCUCAGUUCGGUUGGGGGGUAUGAGGAAGGAAGUAUGCUAAAUCUUUUUGGUAUUGCAAUUAUAUUGGUUAAUUAGUUGUAGAUUUUACUUUUUACUCUUGUUACUCUAUUCUCCAUGAAUUUUGAAGAAAAUUUUCAAAAUUAAAUCAAGAGAAAUUGAACUGUUUUUUUUCACUUGACUUAGAGUAUGGAUUAUGCUUACUAAAGUGGUUCAAUUGUUGAAACUUCUACUGUAAUUGAAUUGAAUUCUUCCACUUUAAGCUAUCCACACACUGUGCACAUUAGUUUCCGAUUAUAACAUGAAAAGCUAUUUCCCUCUUGACUUAGGAUAAUUUUGGGACUUGGUAUAUUUGACCUCAUUUGAUAAAAAUUGAAACACCCUGCAAAAGGCCAAUGAGCCUUUGAAAUAAAGAAAGUUGUUUGCUUGCCUUGAAACCCGAGCAAGGUCUGAGGGGUAUAUGGUGAAAGCCUUUAAAGCCUGGUGCCCUAAACCUUAAUUGGUUGGGAGUCACCGACCUCAAUGCUCGUUACAAGGGUGAAUAGGUAGAGUUAGCAUAUGGUAGAUGCUUGGGUAUUAGAAAUUCAUUCUUAAAAGUCCGGGGAGAAAUCCGAGGAGUUAGUGGUUGAAAGAUCCUUAAAACUUGGUGCCCUAAACCUUAAUUGGUUGGGAGUCAUCGAUGGACCCCCAUUACAUGGACAAGUCAGAAAGAGUACCCCAUAAAGCUACCUUGAAAAAAAAAAAAAAAAAAAAAAAAAAAAAAAAAGAAAGAUGAAAGUGUGUUCUUUUCUUAUUGAUUUUGGUCAGUUUGCUAAAGUGUUGAAAAGAGAUAGGUUGGGGGGUGAGACUAGUUUAGCAUAUUAUUCUCGGAAUCUAUGGAACCAAUACACAUAGAUUUUUGUGGAAGAUUGAAGUUUAGUUCUUAGAAAGUGAAAUGAUUUUAAAACUUCAGUUUACAUAAUGCACUCCCUUGAUUGACAGUGUUUAGCAUAGUUGUUAUGACUCUUGUUGAGAUUUGGGUUUGUAUUUCUUCAAUGCUUCAUGUGAGAAUUAGAUCAUCAUGCCACUUGAGAAUUAUUUCCUUUCAGCAUGAUGUUGUAAAUUUUAGAUUAGUUUGUUAUUUAUUUUUAUUUUUCUCUCCUAUAUUGCUAAGGGACUAGCAAUAUGUCGGUUGGGGGGAGUGAUUACUACUCAAAAAGUGCUAUUUGAUAGCCUUUAAUUAAUCCUUUUUAACACUUUUGAGUAGUAGUUUAGGCCUUUUAACUCAAUUGGCAUGUUAAGGAUCCUUUAAAGCAAUUUUGAUCACUUUGUGUAAGUUUUGGUGCUUUUGAUAGUAUAUUGAUCACCAAAGCAAGUCAAGACUGAGGAGAGCUAUGAGGAAUCUUGGGCAAAGUUUAGAAUUCAUUUGCCAAGAGUGAAUCCGGAUUGCAAGGAGAAAAAGCAAAGAGGAUCGGUCAUGGAGCAUAUUAUUGAUGACAGUCGUAGCAGCCACUUUUGGAGCACUUUCUGAAGUCCAAAUGAUGCAUGCUAUAUACCUUUUCAAAGCUCAGGAAGUCAACAAUCCAAUGCUUCAAACGGUGCGCGAUUCGGAGUUGAAACGAAGAAGUUGCAGCCAUUACAAGUCAAUCACUCUAAAGUGUUGCGGAAUCAACCUUUUGUUGCGAGAAUUUCACAGCACUUUUGUACAGUAAGGUGUUUCUCCUUCUGACGAUUCACGAACCAUGCCGCGAGAAGGGAGCUGGGAACCUCAAGGUGGAAGCCAAAUUCGCAGCCUGGUGAAGAUAGCUCGGUGUUGCGAAAUAAUUUCGCAGCCCUCUUGGGUGUCUGCGAAAUUUCGCAGACACCAUUUUUCUCCUGCGAAAUGGUUCCUGAAGCCUCCCGACGCUUGCUACCGACAUUGGGAGAUAUUUUCCAUUAGAUUUUUGUUGUCUAAAUCCCAAAAUACUCCUUGUAAACCACCAAAUUACAUGAUUCCUUAGUUUUUAAGUUAGUAAAAGAGACCAAAUAUCUUUGUAACAAAUAAUUUUAUAUUGGGUUUGAUAUAUAAAACCUCUGGAAAGCCUGUUUCUCGGGGGAUGAAUUUCUUUCUGUUUGAAGUUUAGGAAACCAGGUAAAGGUCUUUUCAUGUACCUUCUUACUUUGUAUUUUCAUUUUAUUUCUAAGUUAUGAAUUCUCUGAGGAGUUUUCCCCAGAGAAUGAGUAACUAAACCUCCAAUUCCUUGGAGCUAAGGUUGCCGGGGAAGGUUCCAAGUGCAAGAAUGCAAAGCUCUGUGGUUUUAGCUAGUAAUGAAGAGGAAGUGAAAUCCUUUAGUGAUUUCAAUGUUUUUAGUUAACUUAAAACACCUUGGAGUCACCUGGGCCAACACUUGGUAAGGCAAGUGAUUUCCAACCAUGGAAAUGCACUAGUUUACCCCUUGCGAGCCUCUGGUAGGUGUCUUCAAGGUAGGAUUUUCUGGAAUUACCAACACUUGGUAAGCUUUUGGACUCCUAGGAGACAUCCAUUAGUUAUCUCUUGCGAGUUUGUGAAGGGAAGUCCAAGGUUAAAGAUCACCUUGAAUGGUAAGUGCUCGUGAGAGGCAUGAACCAUUGCAAGUUGUAUCAGUGAGAGAAUUAAAGUGAAAUCUAAUUGAAGGAGUCUCUGUACAUCACCGGUUAGAGAAUUGACUAUAAGNNNNNNNNNNNNNNNNNNNNNNNNNNNNNNNNNNNNNNNNNNNNNNNNNNNNNNNNNNNNNNNNNNNNNNNNNNNNNNNNNNNNNNNNNNNNNNNNNNNNNNNNNNNNNNNNNNNNNNNNNNNNNNNNNNNNNNNNNNNNNNNNNNNNNNNNNNNNNNNNNNNNNNNNNNNNNNNNNNNNNNNNNNNNNNNNNNNNNNNNNNNNNNNNNNNNNNNNNNNNNNNNNNNNNNNNNNNNNNNNNNNNNNNNNNNNNNNNNNNNNNNNNNNNNNNNNNNNNNNNNNNNNNNNNNNNNNNNNNNNNNNNNNNNNNNNNNNNNNNNNNNNNNNNNNNNNNNNNNNNNNNNNNNNNNNNNNNNNNNNNNNNNNNNNNNNNNNNNNNNNNNNNNNNNNNNNNNNNNNNNNNNNNNNNNNNNNNNNNNNNNNNNNNNNNNNNNNNNNNNNNNNNNNNNNNNNNNNNNNNNNNNNNNNNNNNNNNNNNNNNNNNNNNNNNNNNNNNNNNNNNNNNNNNNNNNNNNNNNNNNNNNNNNNNNNNNNNNNNNNNNNNNNNNNNNNNNNNNNNNNNNNNNNNNNNNNNNNNNNNNNNNNNNNNNNNNNNNNNNNNNNNNNNNNNNNNNNNNNNNNNNNNNNNNNNNNNNNNNNNNNNNNNNNNNNNNNNNNNNNNNNNNNNNNNNNNNNNNNNNNNNNNNNNNNNNNNNNNNNNNNNNNNNNNNNNNNNNNNNNNNNNNNNNNNNNNNNNNNNNNNNNNNNNNNNNNNNNNNNNNNNNNNNNNNNNNNNNNNNNNNNNNNNNNNNNNNNNNNNNNNNNNNNNNNNNNNNNNNNNNNNNNNNNNNNNNNNNNNNNNNNNNNNNNNNNNNNNNNNNNNNNNNNNNNNNNNNNNNNNNNNNNNNNNNNNNNNNNNNNNNNNNNNNNNNNNNNNNNNNNNNNNNNNNNNNNNNNNNNNNNNNNNNNNNNNNNNNNNNNNNNNNNNNNNNNNNNNNNNNNNNNNNNNNNNNNNNNNNNNNNNNNNNNNNNNNNNNNNNNNNNNNNNNNNNNNNNNNNNNNNNNNNNNNNNNNNNNNNNNNNNNNNNNNNNNNNNNNNNNNNNNNNNNNNNNNNNNNNNNNNNNNNNNNNNNNNNNNNNNNNNNNNNNNNNNNNNNNNNNNNNNNNNNNNNNNNNNNNNNNNNNNNAUUUUCUGGAAUUACCAACACUUGGUAAGCUUUUGGACUCCUAGGAGACAUCCAUUAGUUAUCUCUUGCGAGUUUGUGAAGGGAAGUCCAAGGUUAAAGAUCACCUUGAAUGGUAAGUGCUCGUGAGAGGCAUGAACCAUUGCAAGUUGUAUCAGUGAGAGAAUUAAAGUGAAAUCUAAUUGAAGGAGUCUCUGUACAUCACCGGUUAGAGAAUUGACUAUAAGUUGAAUCUCUAAUGCGAGGAAAUGAACCAACUGACCGGAGCUAUGUCUUUUGCAUGAGGAACCACCCCAGUGAACCUAAAUCUCCAAGGAAUGUUUUUCUUCCUAAAUUAUUCCAAACUUCUGUUAAGUUAGUUAGUUUAAGUCUCAACCUUUACCAAUCAAAGUUUGUGUUUUAUUUCUUAAGUUAACCGUGAAAUGAAGCAAGACCAAUUCACUUGGAAUUGGUAUCCUUGAUUGCUUGUUCAUUAUUCCCAGUGAACGAUCCUAGAGCCACUAUACUAUAGUAGCUUUUUAUUUGCUACCCUAGUGUAUGGUGUUAUAGGUAUAAAUUUUGUUGAUCACUUCCUCAAUCAAGGAGCACCAGCUGAACACAAAUCAGCUGAGACACCAAUUGGGCAUGAGUCAGAUUCAUAAAAGGUGACAAAACUAAGCAUAUCUCCCCUAAAUUCUUCUACACCCAAGAGCUUCAGGAGAAAGGUGAGAUUGAUGGUUAGGAGAUUCGGUCAUGUAAUAAUCUAGCAGAUCUAUUCACAAAGGCAUUACCUUCGACCACUAUGAAAAGGUUAAGGUAUGAUAUUGAAAUGAAAAGAUUAAGAGAUCUACCAAUUGAAGAAUUGAAGAAAUCAUAAUCAUAUGUACAAAAGGGGUAGAAAGUUAAGAUGUAUAUACUGCACUCUUUUUUCCUUUGUCCACGUUUUGUCCCAUAGGGUUUUACUGGCAAGGUUUUUGAUGAGGCAGUUACCAUAUCCUUAUGAUCAUCCAAGGAGGAGUGUUUUAAAAUAUGAAAUUUUAUACCACUAUGGUAACUUGUGGAUGAUCAUCCAUAAAUAUUUUUUGUAACUCCCUAUAAAAUGGAGGGACCCUUAAUGAAAUUCUAUUGAGUUUUCCUGUGCAUUUUAUCCUCUUUUUCUGUUUUCUUCUUCCUCCACUUUUACAACAUUAUCUUAUACAUUUAUUUUAAUUAUUUUAUAUUUUUUUAUACAUUUUCUUAUAAAUGAGAUUUAUUUUAUAAUUCAUAUAUUUGUUUUUUUUUUAAAAAAUUUAGGACUUUUAUUUAUUACUUCAAAUAAAUUUAUAAAAAUUAUGGUAAUUUUAAUCAUAAUAAUUUAAUGUUUGAAAAUUAAUAUCAAGAAUUCUCAAAAAUUAUUUUUAGUUUUAAUAAUUAAUAAUGAUUAUGGAGAUUUAUGAAUUAUUUUUAUCGUAUUUGAUGAGACAUUUAAAUGAAAAUUCAAGAUUUAUAUAUAUAUAUAUAUGUUUCUUUCAUAAUAAAUUUUAGAUAUUUUUAAAAUUAAUUAAAAUAAUAUAUAAAGAUGUCAUAUGCAAUUUAUCUUUCCAAUUUCUUCUUCUUUCAUAUUGUUGUUUUUGAAAUCACUCUUUUAAUCUAAAAUAAAAAAUAUUAAAAUAUUAAAAUAAAUCAUCCAAAAAAUUAUGACAUUAAUUUGAUUUUUAAUUUAUUCUUACUCUUUUCAAUAAUAAGAAAUUAAAUAAGAAUAAAAAUAACUACUAAUAAAUAUUUUAAAAUAAAUUUAAAAUUUAUUUAUUUACAAAAUAAUAUGAAUUACAGCCAAAUUAAUAUAAUGGAUAUACUACAAUUCUGAAUCCCUCAAAAAAAUCAAUCCUACAAAAUAAUGUUCAUUUGUUUAAUCGAAAUUGAAUGCUUCAUAAGAAUGAUGAAAUAAACAAGAGACACAAUGCUGGAGAAUGUUGAAGAGGGACAUGAAACACAAAUAUGUUAGAGUGAGGCACAACACUGAUGAAUGUUAAAGAAAGACACGAAACACAAAUGAUAAUGGAGCAAGUGUCAAGAUUACUCUUAGGGUUGUAGUAUCUACAAAAAUAAAAUAGCACCAAACAUCAAACUCUUUACUAACUUAUGUCAUUUUGUGAGCAAAUAGUAUCGUAGAAAGACAAAGAGAGACAAAAAAUAAAAAUAAAAACUCAUAAUGGAAUCCAAUAAUAAGAAAGCAAGAGAAAAAAAGAGAAAUUUCACACCCUAUAGGUUGAGAACAUGGGUUCCAUGACCUUCGGGUUGAAAACAUGAGUCUUGUAAAUAAGAGAUAAAAUUAAAAGACAUUAAACAUGAAGUUGAAAGGAAAUUGAAUUCUUAGGGUUGACAUUGAAAAUACAUCAAAUAUAAAGGGGAAUAUGAAUUGAAAAGAUACCCACAUUUAUUUUCUUUUAACAUUUAUUGAUUUAGUGAGAGAAAAGACUGAUUUUUUAAAUCUCAUACUUUCAUGGAGGUGUUUUUUUUUUUUUCCAUAACUAGUUGUAUUUUUUAAUAAAAUUUUAUAAAAGAAAUAGUUAUUUAUUUAAAGAAAUAAAAUAAUAUUCAAAAUCAUAAUUUAAAAAUACAAUUUUAUUAUAAAUUUAUAAAUUAUAGUGUACACCCUCCAUUUUGUCCCUAACACAUAUUUUCUCAUUUUAUUUUCUUUCACACCAUGCUUAUUUUUAGUAUGUGUUUAAGAUCCUUAUUACUUGAUCAUUCAUUGUCCCUUAUUGGUUUACAUUUAUUUGAUUCAUUGUUUAUUUUUUAGACACAUUUUGGAGGCCAUUUAGGGGGUAAUUUCGGGUCCUUCCAACUUGAGUUUUAGAGACCCCCUAAGCUUAGAAUUUUUUUUUUGUUUGUUUAAUCUCAGUCUUAGGAGAGUUUCUAAGGUUUUUUUAAUUUUUAGAGAGGCCUAGUAGCUGGCUUAGGAUGAGGACAUGUGUUCUCAUCUUGACUGCUUCACUUUUAAAACACCCAUUUUUUUUCCUUCUUUUUUUGCCAUAUUUGGGGGAGACCGUCUAGAAACCUCUCAGGAGAGGAGCUUUUCAACAUGUUUUUUUUUUCUUUUUUUCUUUUAUUUUAGGUGAGUUGUCAAGAUGAAGGAGGAGAGUGAGUUGUUAGUGGUGCUUUUCUGUAGGGGGGAAUAUUCUCUGCAUAAGGGUGGUUAUAAGAGAGAGAAAAAGACACUUUUUUUUUUUUGUGAGCUUCAAGAGACGUUUUGAGCAUCAGAGGAUAUUGGGAUUAUCAUGAGGAUUUAGGGAGGUGGGAGUGAGAGUUUGAGGAGAAAGAAAACAAGAGGAUGGUUUUACCAUUAACUAAAAUGCUAGGGUGAUGGUCCUUGUGUUAGACAAGAUAUUUUAGAAGAACAAAAUUAGUUUUAGGUUAGUUUUAGAGUUAGCUGAAAAAUAGAAUUAAUUAGUCUUCAAAAAUUGCUUUGUAAACUCUCUUACAUCUCCUUUGUUCUACUCUGUUUUUGCUUUCACCACGUUUUAUCUCUCAUCCAAACUCCUUAACAUGGUAUCAAAGCCAUAAUAUCCAACUCAGUCACCCAUUAACAACUGAUGAAUCCUUCUUCACCAUUCUCCAACUUUUUAAACUAUACUUUGUCAAUAAAACUAGAUCAAGAAAAGUACUUGAUCUAGAAAUCUCAAAUUACACCAACAAUUCAAGUACAUGAUAUGCUUGGUUCAUUGAUGGAAUGAGUAAAUGUCCUCUAGAAUUCAUUAACGAAGAUCCAAGAGCCUCUGAUUCUUGCAUAGUCACUAACCAAGAUUAUGUGUUAUGUCAUUGACAAGAUCAAAUUUUGUUAAGUUGGUUAUUAUCAUCUAUUUCUGAAGAGGUGGUGGCCCAGGGGAUUAGUUGUUCCAUGUCUUUUGAAUUAUGGUUUAUGCUGGAAAAAUUUUUUGCUUCUUAGUUGAAGGCAAAAGUAUUACAAUUGUGUAUCCAACUCCAAUCAAUCAAGAAAAAUUCAUUGACAAUGGUUGAAUAGUUUGCAAAGAUAAAAAGAGUUACUAAGAAUCUUGCAGUUGUUGGGCAACCAGUCUCCAAUGAUGAUAUGAUAAUGUACCUUCUUCCUGGGCUUGGAUCUAACUAUGAUCCAAUUUUAGUAAGUGUUACCUCCAAACUUGAUUCAUUUUCUCUUCAAAGAAUAUAGGCUAUACUACUCAAUCAAAAAGCACGCUUAGAACAACUACAUUUAGAAAACUCACUUGAGUUUCAACAAACUGUUGUCAACAUUGCUUCACAUACUUCUUUCAAAGGUAAUGAUCCAAAAGUUACAGUAGGUGGUCAUACCACCAUUCCUCAAAAUAUGAGAGGGUUUCAAAGCUAGUCAAAUCAAGGAGAUCGAGGCAAUAGAUACAACUUCUCACAACUAAUUUGUCAAGUUUGUGGCAAACUAAGUUGUAUCGCCCUCACAUGCUACUAUUGAUUUGAUCACAAUUAUCAAUCUCAAAACUCUCAGAUUGUUAUCUUAAUUACUUCACUAGAAAUACUGGUUGAUCUUGCCUGGUACAUUGAUAAUGAGGCAAAAAAUCAUGUAACAGAUGAGCUAGGAUGUGUGCAGGCUUCUACUAAAUAUCUUGGAAAUAAGAAGUUGACUAUAGACAAUGGCCAAGGUUUGCCCAUUUAACAUAUUGGUCAUUUCUUUUUAUCUACUUCAGAUAAAACUAUUCUUCUUAAAAAUAUAUUUCAUGUUCCAAGCAUUAUUAAAAAUCUUUUAAGCAUCUCAAAAAUUGUUUGUAAUAAUGAUGUUGUUGGGAUUGAGCCCCUAAAAACAAAAAUAAUGUUAGAAACCUACACCUAACUAUCCCCUUGCUAUCAUUUUGGUGUAUUGACAUUAAUUUGAGCAUUCAACCCAUGUCUCUUACAUUGUACAUGACUUGGGUGCACUAGGAGUUGCAUAGAAGAUACAAGUCAUGGGUUCCUUAUAAGUAGAUAAGUUGUCCACAGUUAGUUCAUGGAUUUGGGCAAUCCAGUAGAAACUGUAGUGCACCACCUCCUGAUUGGAGGGAUGACUUUCCCAUGGUGAGUGCAUAGGACCUAAGAUGAAUCAUGAUGCAAGGUUAUCAAUUGUCAUGAUUCACAUAACUAUUAUAAUGAAUGAACUUUCAACUUUGAGAGGAUAUUGAGUCUAUGUCAAAAUCAACAGGAGGCUUUGACCUAUGGGUGAGACCCUAAAAUGGUCAUAUAUCUCUAUGGAUUGGGUCACUAUUAAUGGAGGCUGGUGGCAACAAGUAUUCUUAAUAUAGGCACCAUCACAUCUCUUGGGAUUGAGACCGUGUAUCCCCUUGGGUGAUCCAAAGGACAUGUGAUCAUGAAAUUUGUGGUCAUAGUAAUUCCUUUAACAGAAUUUGACAUAUGGUCCUUAGAGUUAGAGUUUGUUAGUUGAUUACUUAAUAAGUGAGAUUCGUAACUCAAGGAUUUGAGAGGUAAUCUUGAUAGGUGAUAUCACUACCUUGUUAGAUUAUGAACACCAGUUCAUGGGGAGUCUGGAUGUAUUAGAUAGUAAGUGACAAACCUGAGCACUUAGUGUCUUAUUGUUAUUUACCUAAGAUACUAGAGUUUAGUUAAUUCUUUAUAGUGGGAUGUUGAAUCAACUUCAGAAUUGGAUUCCGAGGGAUCCAAUACUCUUAUGGGUCCCAUUGGUCCUUGCUCUAAGCUCAUAUAUCUUGUUGUCAUAGAUUAUGAGGGUCGGAUUGACUUUACGUACACUUUUGUGCACAAGGGCGUUUUGAUAAUUAUAUAAGGUUGCACAGAGGUAAGUGAACAAGAUCUUGAGAUUGGGCUAAUUGAUUAAUUAGUAGGCCCGAUUGGGUUAAUUAAUCAAUUAUGACCCAUUUUAGGCUAGAUUAAGUGACCUAAGCCUAUAUAAGCUCAAGUCACUUAAGCCCAAUUAGGAUCCCUAUAAUUACCUCUUAGGGAUUAGGGUUUUUAUAACUUUGGUCCUCCACUAUCUAAAGAGAAAGAGAGUCAUAGCCUCCACCCUCCUUUCCUCCUCCACCGGAAGUGUGCCAAGAACAAGGUUGAGUCAUCAAACAGAAGAUCAUGGGUUUACGAGACUUCCAACAACUUUAAGGUUGUCUUCAAUACUUUAAAUUUAAGGCUUGGGAACAUCCAAACCUAAAGGUUAGUACUUUAAACCUAAAAGAUCAUUUUUUUAAAAGAUUGGUAUUGCUUUGAUUCCUUACAUCUAAGAUGCCAAUGGAUGUGUUUUUUGAAUUUCAUGCCAUUCGGUGCUUAGUCAAUGACAAAAUCAUGAGGAAAAUUCUACUUCAAGGGAGAAUCAAGAAUGGACUAUAUCAACUUCAAGGACCUAACUUUAUUACUGCAAAAGAAGUUGAAAAAAAAAUUCAUAUGGAAUAAAUAGUACUACUCAAAUAAGGAGGAAAACAAACUCCCCUCUAGAUCAAUUGAAUUCAUCUUUCAACAAUCUAUUACAUAAUGACCCAAAUUGGUUUUCAAAUGUCAAUGUUCCUUAUAUAACUAUAUUGCAUUGAAUGUUCAAUAUGAAGACUUAAGUACUUGGCAUAAUAGAUUUGGGCAUCCUUCUCAUUGUGUUCUUCAUCAAAUACUCAAGAGAUGUAAUAAAUCACAUAUUAGUGAGAAAGCCGCUAGUAAAUUUUGCUUUGCUUGCCAAUAUAGAAAAUGUCAUGACUUGAAUUUUCAUUCAUCACCUACAAAGACUAGUGAACCUUUAGAACUUAUUCACUCAAAUGUUUAGGGACCAUCACCUCUUCUCUUUACCGAAGGAUAUAAAUAUUAUGUUAGUUUCAUUGAUGAUUUCACGUAAUAUACGUGGAUUUUCCUCCUUAAAAACAAAUCUGCAAUACCUACUACAUUUCUACAGUCCAAGAAGUUUGUUAAGAAUCUACUUGAAGAAAAUAUCAAAGCUUGUAAAUAGAUAUGGGUGGUGAAUACAAACCAUUGACACAUUUCUCAAUGACAAUGAUAUAAUGUUGCAACAAUUGUGUCCUUCUAUGCAUCAACAAAAUGGUUGUGCGGAAUGAACACACAGGAAUAUUAUUGAACUCGACUUAACAUUGUUGUCCCAAGCCUUCAUGCCACUUAGUUUUUGGUGGGAUGCUUUCAACAUUGUAGUUUACUUAAUCAAUAGGUUACCUACAUUGAUAUUGAAUAAUCAAUCUCCCAUGAGAAAAUUAUUCCAUCAAGAACCUAGCUACUUUUUUCUCUACUACUUUAGAUGUGCCUGUUUUCCACACAUCAGACCAUAUAAUAAAAACAAGUUUGAUUUUCAUAUACUCAAAUGCUUGUUUGUGGGUUAUAGUAAUCUACACAAAGGAUACAAGUGCUAAGUCCCUCCAAGAAAAUUUAUAUAGCACACAAUGUGGUAUUUGAUGAACAAACAUUUCAUUUUUUCAUGGGAUUUUCAAUUAUCCCGACUUUUGGAUCUUAUAAAAAAUCUAUGAGUACAACCCAAACUCCAAAUCUUACUGUGAUAUUACCUCAACUCAACAAACCAAGACCGUCUAUUGUUAAAAAAAGCAGCCUAAAUAUUGAAAAAAAUUCUUCAACUACUACUUGCAAAAAUCAGUUUACAUCUUGCACUACCAAUGGAAACUCAAGUGAACCAACUCAGACUCUUACAAUUGAUGCUUCAAAAAAUUAGUCUACAUUUCAUCCAAUUCCUCAUUGUGACUUGUAUACAGAUUUGUCUAUUCCUACCUUGAAUACACAUCCAGUGACUACAAGGUCAAAGGUAGGAAUAUUCAAACCAAAGUUAUUCACAGUUGAAAGCACAACAAAACAACUUGAAAGUGAACCCAAUAGUGUUACAAAAGCAUUGCAAUCUAACAAGUGGAAAAAAGUUAUGGAACCAAAGAUUCAGGCAUUAAAUCAAAAUCAAACAUGCUACCUAAUAUCUUGUCUUCCACACUAUAAUGUCUUUGGCUACAAAUGGGUGUAUAAAUUAAAAUAUAACCCAAAUAGAUCAAUUCAACAUCUCAAGGCAUGACUUGUGCCAAAGGGAUUUCAUCAAACACUAGGAGUUGAUUUUUCAAAAACAUUCAGCCUUGUCAUAAAGCCAAUUACUGUAUGCAUCAUCUUAGCUAUAGUAGUUACAAUGGAUUGGAAGAUUCAACUUUAUGUUAAUAAUGUGUUUUUAAACAGAAGCUGCAAGAAAUUGUUUUCAUGUCUCAACUUGAAGGAUUUAUAAUUCCUAAGAAGCCCGAAUAUGUAUGCAAACUACAUAAAGCAUUGUACGAACUUAAACAAGCACCACAUGCUUGGUUUGAAAAAUUACGACGUGCUCUCUUCAAUUGGGGUUUUAAAGAGUUAGAGGUUGACACAUCAUUGUUUAUAUAUCGUGAAGUUUGCAACUCUAUUUUUUUUUUACUUGUGUAUGUGGAUGAUAUUCUCAUUAUUGGGAAUAACUCCCAACUUAGUCGUAAGACUUAUUCAUGACCUCAACUUCUAAUUUUCACUCGAGGACUUAGGGGAUUUUACAUGGGAUUCUAUAGGACCUUAUCUAACUCAAUCCAAAUAUAUCCUUGACUUGUUAAAAUGAACUAACAUGAAAUAAGUUAAAAGUUGCCCUACACCAACAAGUAUGGGACUACAACUAUCCAAUUCGAAAGAACAUAAAUUGAAUAAUGAGAAGUUGUAUCGCAACACUAUUGAAGCAUCACAAUAUCUCACUAUCACUAAGUGAUAAAUAUCUUACAUUGUAAACAAUUUGAGUAAGAUUUUACAUUGUCCUAUUGGUAUGCAUUGGAAAGCUUGUAAACAGGUUUAGAGAUACUUGCGUGGGAGUAUUGAUCAUGAUUUGCAUAUUCAAACUAUUGAGAUUGAGUACCUAAAAGCAAGACAUGAUGUAAAAAAGUUAAGCUUGACUAUCCCCUUGCUAUCCUUAUGGUGUAUUGACAUUGAUUUGAACAUUUAGUCUAUAACUCUUACAUUGUACAUGACUUGGGUGCAGAAGGAGUUGCAUAAAAGAUACAAGUCAUGGGUUCCUUAUAAGUAAAUAAUUUGUUUAUAAUUGGUUCAUGGAUUUGGGUAAUCCAGUAGAGACUCUAGUGCACCACAUCCUAAGUAGCUGGUGGCUUUGAAAAGCCACUACUUUUAAGUUAUUAUGAUGGUGCUUGUAGACUUGCAGAUUUAGGCCUUGUGUUAUUGGAGGAUGCCCAUUGCAAGAAAGGCAAGUCACAUUGUUUUGGGACUUUAGUGGCCCAAUGAAGAUGGUUAAAGACUCCAACCCCUUGAUCCAUGACUUUUAUGGAUUGGGCUAGACUCAUUUCACUAAUCCAAGGGGUUUAAAUUGUAGAUUAAGGGAUGUGGGUGAGCCUUAACUGGUAGUGAGGGCUUUCAUAGCCUUGUACCCUUGGAGAGAGAUCAAUCUGAAGGUUGUGAGAAGGGAUUUUGGUUAAACAUUCUGGCAUCCCAAGAGAGGAGAGUCUGUCACAACAUUGCAUAGGUAGGAACCUCUAGAUGCUAUGGAUCAAGAGCUAGCUGUCUUUAGUUGAUCUUGAUGGCCUGAGGAUGGUUUGUGACGAAUUAGCUCUCUCUUUGCUUGUUCGCUCCUCUUAGAGCCUAGAGGAGGGAGCACCAUUUGUAGAUGCCACCCUCUUGUUUGGAGUAGAAGGUUUUGCAGGUAAGUUAUCAUCUCCAGUUUGUUGGAUGGGGGAUGGGUCUUCUUCUGCAUCUUCUAUUUCCAAAGAUGAGGGUCCAACCAAACGCUUGGUUUUGUGGAGGGAGCAGGACAAGGGGCGGCUUGUAGUAGAAUGCAAGGGUGAUGGUUAUGGGAUGUUAUGUAUGACUUCCAGCAAGGGUUUGGUUGUGGACUUUCCAAAGAAUCACCUUAGAGAUGCUUAGAGUGUGAACCUAGAUGUGGGGAGUGAGGAGGUGGUGGCUUUGGAGAAUGGGGGCUCUAGGAGGGACUCGAUGGGAGAUGAGAGCCUCUACGAUUUGUCUUUUGGGAAAUUCGUCUCCUUUAGCAAGUUUUUGGAUUUGCUAGUGGAAGGUUAUGAGAAGGAAAUUGUGUCCUUAUUGAGAAAGUCGGAAGCUAAAAAGGGUUAUAGAGUAGUGGCUUUGAGUAUAAAAAGGAGGCCUUCCUCUAUGUUCGACUUUGAUAGGGAGCUUUGCAAAUUGGAGUGCUUGGUCAAUUACAACAAAUCAAGUGGAAAAAGGGGGAGCCAGAAGUGGGGGUGGGAUAUGGUUUGUGAGUGAUCAUGAAGUUCGAGAUUUUUCUUAAUUCCUAAUUCAAUAUAUUACAUUGUUGUUUCUCAAAAAAAGUACAAAAGAAAAAAAGAAAAAAAAAAGAAAAUAAAAAUAAAGAAGUUUUGAGAUUUUUUUAUCGUCAUUAGUAGGUUUAGAGGCUGGGUGUUUGGCUCUCCUUAGAAAUUGGAAGGACUUGAGAAAAGGAGAGGGGCCAGAAUUGUAUCACUCAAUCUCAAGGUAAGGGAUUUAGAAAAGUGGGCUGGAAUUGUAAUUUAUAAGGGAGCAGAGGGUAGUCAUUUCAGGCAGUGGCAAGGGAGAGUGGAAUUAUUAACAAUGGGUAGAUGAAGUUUGAAUUUAUCCAAGGAUUCAGUAAGAUUGCAGAAAGUGGAUUUGGUUUGCAAGCAUGAAAGGUCGUAUAGGUCUUUAUGUCUUUCUAGGCCUUUAGGGUGAUGUUUUUGUAUCAGGUUACGGUUUGUUGUUUUUUUUUUCCUUUUGCUUGCCUUCUGGCACUGUUUGUAUUCUCUAUGUAGUUUGUGCAACUUUACAAAGUGUUUUUAAUAUCUUAUCAGUUUACCUAAAAAAGAAAAGAAAAAGAGAGAGAGAGAGAAAGAGAUAUAUGGAUGGGAGGAAAUAAAAUAUAUCAAUCAGGAAGGCCAAAUUAUACUACUAUGCACCUCUUAUGACUGAUUGAUGGGUUUGUGCAAAUUAUAGGAACAAUACCAACAGUAUUGUCCUUUUGACUUGAGCCUCCAAAUUGCUUGGUUAUCUGAAGAUAGUUUUCAUUGAUGAAUACCUCUUGACCUUAUGAUCCAGAUUUUGGCAUAUGAAGUUAAGCAAGUUAUAACUAAAUAGACUUAUACUGUGAAUUUCUUGGAUUUUGAUAAAAGAGUGAAACCUAAAAUUGUUAAUUCAGAUCAGUUUUGAAUGAACAUAAAAUGGUGCCUCUACUGUAAUGCCUGAAAUAUUUGAUAUCCAUUCAAUAGCUUCCCAAUGCUCUUCUUUUCGUAAAGCUAUUGAUGGCUCCCAUUGCUUGAGCUUUUUACCCAAUCUUGUAUGCACCAUGUGAUGAGCCAAGAAGAUCGCAACGUGUUCCUAAGAAAAACCCAAGGUUCAUAACAUGAUAAACAUGCAGAGCAAGUAGGAUGAUCGUGCAAGGAGCUGUUAGAGAUUAAUUGCUGGCAUAGUUCUGUUAGAAGACUUGGUCUGAUGUCUGUUAGCUAUUAUUAUGCUAUUUGAAUAAGUAUUAGCUAUUUAUUUGCUAAUAAUGGUUGAGUCCUUAUUUUCAGUAGUUAUGGUCGUGAGAGUAAGAGAAUGUGGGUUUUUCCUUGUAUAUUUAAACUAUUUCAGUAUGCAGCAAUAAAGGGGAGUUCAUUCAAAAUCCAAAUAUUGUGGCUCGUUCUUGCCCUAAGAAGAAUUUUGUUUACUGAUUAUAUUAGCUUUGAUUGGGACCUAUCAUUGGUAUCAGAGCCAGGUUACACUGAUGGCAACUAACAAGGAAAAAAUAGAACAAUUAGAGGCUGGGCUAGGAGGACUUCAAGACGAAAUGAGUCGAAUGGAACUUGGUCUGACUGACAAGUUGCAUCAAAUGGAGGAAACCAUCCACAGGCUAUCAGAAGCUUUGCUUUCCAACAAAGAAGGAUCCAGUAGCAACACCAACGAUCGUAAUGGUCAUGUCCGCAAUAAUAGAGACAACUCUAAGGGAUAAAUGGAAGGGGGACAACAAAUGUUCUUAUCCAAGUUGGCAAAGCUUGAAUUUCCAAGGUACUCUGGCAACGAUCCAACUGAAUGGUUCAACAAAGUGGACCAAUUCUUUGAAUAUCAAGGCAUCCCAGUAGCGCAAAAGGUGUCAUUAGCGUCAUUUCAUCUUGAGGGUGAAGCUAAUCAGUGGUGGCAGUGGUUACGCCGCUCCUACAGUGAAGAAGGGAAAGAAGUGGUGUGGGCAGAUUUUGAAGAGGAACUCUGGGCUCGUUUUGGACCUACAGAGUGUGAAGAUUUUGAUGAGGCUUUGUCAAGGGUGAAACAGAUGGGCUCACUACGAGACUAUCAAAGGGAGUUUGAAAAGCUAGGAAAUCGGGUGCAAGGAUGGACACAAAAGGCAUUGGUUGGAACGUUUAUGGGUGGUCUUAAGUCGGAAAUUGCCGACGACAUUCGGAUGUUCAAACCCAAAUCAUUGAAAGAAGCAAUCAGCCUGGCACGAAUGAGAGACGACCAGCUAACUCGCCAAUGAAGAUUCACACGACCUUUGCAACCCAACUGGCCGCAGCCUAACUUUUCUACUCAAAUGAAAUCCAAGCCAACACCAACCAUGAAACGUCUCACUUGGGAAGAAAUGCAGAAAAGGCGAGCAUAAGGCCUCUAUUUCAAUUGUGAUGACAAAUUCACCGUGGGUCAUAAGUGCCGAGGACCGCAACUCUUGUUGUUGGAAGGGAACUCCAGUCCAAAUAAGGAAGAUGAUAUAGAUGAGGAGAUCGAAGAACCCGCUAUCAAUGAACAAACUGAACCCGAAAUUUCCUUCCAUGCUCUAACUGGAUGGUCAACCCCCAAAACCAUGCGGAUUACAGCUAAGAUUGGGCAGCAUGAGGUGGUUGUCCUCAUUGAUAGUGGUUCCACACACAACUUUAUUAGUGAGAAAGUAGCCGACAUGUUGCACUUAUCUGUGGUUCCAACCAAGCCAUUCACUGUCAAGGUGGCAAACGGAACACCAUUGAAGUGCCAAGGGAGGUUUGAGCACGUGCAUGUGAUACUUCAGGGUAUUCCUUUCUCUCUUACUCUCUACUCUUUACCACUAACCGGGUUGGACUUGGUGCUAGGCGUACAAUGGUUAGAACAAUUGGGAACAGUUGUAUGCAAUUGGAAGAAACUGACAAUGGAGUUUCAAUGGGAAAAUCAAACACAUAAGCUACAAGGGACAAAUACACAAACCAUUCAAGUUGCAUCAUUGAAAGCUGUUUCAAAAGAAUUACGACAAGGAAGUUCUAUGUUCACAAUUUGCCUGCAAUCAACAUCAAAUGAAGUACAACAAGCUAUCCAUCUAGACAUGCAACAAUUGAUUAAAGCAUUCGAGGACAUUUUUCAAAAGCCAAAUCAACUACCUCCAGCAAGAGAGAUUGACCACCGAAUUACUUUGAAAGAAGGAACCGAGCCCGUCAACGUGAGACCCUACAGGUAUGCCUAUUUUCAAAAAGCUGAAAUUGAAAAACAAGUUUGUGACAUGUUAAAAUUGGGGCUUAUAAAAGCAAGCACUAGUCUUUUUUCAUCUCCUGUUUUAUUGGUUAAAAAGAAAGAUGGAACGUGGCGUUUUUGUACUGACUAUAGAGCACUUAAUGCCGUAACCAUCAAAGACCGAUUUCCAAUUCCUACAGUUGAUGAUAUGCUAGAUGAGCUCCAUGGGGCAACUUACUUUACUAAACUCGAUCUCAGAGCUGGCUACCAUUAUGUACGGGUACAUCCUCCAGAUAUUCCUAAAACUGCUUUCCGUACUCACAAUGGUCAUUACGAAUAUUUGGUCAUGCCUUUUGGUCUUUCUAAUGCACCAUCUACCUUUCAAGCAAUUAUGAAUUCUAUAUUCCGCCCAUAUCUCGGCAAAUUUGUGUUAGUAUUUUUUGAUGACAUUUUGAUUUAUAGCCCCAAUUGGAACAUGCAUCUUGAACAUGUUAAACAAGCUUUUGAAAUAUUAAGGCAACACCAAUUCUUUGUUAAAAUCAGCAAGUGUGCAUUCGGCCAGCUAGAGUUGGAGUAUUUAGGUCAUAUUGUGACUCUGUAAGGCGUACAAGUAGAUUAAGGAAAAAUUAAAGCAAUGCUAAAUUGGCCAAGGCCUACUAAUAUUUCUGAAUUGCGUGGGUUCUUAGGCCUAACAGGUUACUAUAGGAAGUUUGUUAGUAACUAUGACAUCAUUGCUCGGGCCUUUACCAAUUUGUUGAAGAAAGGAAAAUUCGCGUGGACAAAGGAUGCCGAAACAGCCUUCCAAGAACUCAAACAGGCUAUGACUUCAACCCCUACACUUGCUAUGCCUAAUUUUAAUGAACCUUUUGUCAUUGAAUUUGAUGCUUCAGGAGAUGGGAUUGGUGUCGUUCUAACCCAGCAAGGAAAACCAAUAGCCUUCAUGAGCCGCGCCUUAGGAGUGUCCAAACGAUCAUGGUCCAUCUAUGCUCGCGAAAUGUUGGCCAUUGUUCACGCCAUCCAAACUUGGCGACCAUAUUUGUUAGGACGAAAGUUCUAUAUCCAAACAGAUCAAAGAAGCCUCAAAUACUUGCUAGAGCAACGAAUAACAACACCGUAGCAGCAAGAAUGGGUGGCAAAAUUGCUGGGAUAUGACUAUGAAAUCACUUAUAAACCAGGACGGGAGAACUCAGCAGCAGAUGCACUAUCAAGAGUGGUAAGCAGUCCUAGUCUUAAUGCUUUAUUUGUUCCACAAGCUCCUUUAUGGGAUGAAAUCAAAGCAGAGGCUAUCAAACAUCCAUACAUGGACAAAAUUGACAAAUUGGCAAAUUGGCAACGGACAGUCCAGGUGCUCCUUACACAUGGCGAAAUGGGCUAGUGUGCUAUAAAAAUCGAGUGGUGAUACCCCCAAACUCUCCGAUAAUCAAGCAAUUAUUGCGAGAAUUCCAUGAUUCUCCAAUCGGGGGCCAUUCAGGGGUGUUACGGACAUAUAAAAGGCUUGCACAACAAUUCUAUUGGCCAUCAAUGUUUCAAAUAGUGCAGGACUAUGUCUCUUCUUAUGAUGUAUGCCAACGAAUUAAAUCUGAAACUCUUGCGCGAGCGGGACUCUUACAACCAUUGCCCAUUCCAUGUCUAGUAUGGGAUGACAUUACAAUGGAUUUUAUAGAGGGGCUGCCAACUUCCAACGGCAAGAAUACAAUCCUUGUGGUGGUAGAUCGCUUGAGUAAAUCAGCACAUUUUUUGGCCUUAGCCCAUCCUUUCACCGCAAAAAUGGUAGUUGAAAAAUUCGUUGAGGGAGUAGUCAAACUUCACGGCAUGCCCAAAUCCAUCAUUAGUGAUCGGGAUCCAGUGUUUAUGAGCCAAUUUUGGCAAGAGUUCUUCAAGUUAUCAGGCACACAAUUGAAAAUGAGUUCUUCCUACCACCCGCAAACGGAUGGGCAGUCCGAAGUCGUCAACCGAUGUGUCGAACAAUAUCUUCGCUGCUAUGCCCAUCACCACCCACGGAAAUGGAGCUUCUUUCUUCCAUGGGCAGAAUUUUGGUACAACACAACUUACCACGCAUCAACAGGAAUGACACCAUUUCAAGCUUUGUAUGGGCGUCUACCCCCAACCAUUCCACACUAUCUGAUGGGCACAACUCCAGUUCAUGCAGUCGACCAAAAUCUCACCUCCAGAGAUGCAAUAUUACGCCAACUCAAGACCAAUUUACAUGCUGCUACCAAUCGCAUGAAACAGGUGGCUGACUCCAAACGGCGAAAUAUUGAGUAUCAAGUAGGCGACAUGGUCUUCCUUAAGCUACAACCGUAUCGGCAGCAAUCGGUAUUUUGUAGAGCUUCUCAGAAAUUGGCAAGUCGAUUCUAUGGUCCUUAUCAAAUAGAACAAUGAAUUGGCAAGGUAGCAUAUAAAUUAAACCUCCCAGAAGGAUCCAAAAUUCAUCCCAUUUUCCAUGUUUCACUGCUUAAAAAGAAAUUGGGUGAGCCUAACAAUACUACGGUUGAAUUGCCUCUUACUGAUGAUGAAGGAGAAAUUGUCCUAGAACCUGAAGGAAUCUUAGAUACACACUGGGUUAAGAAAGGAUCACGCAUUUUUGAAGAAAGUCUGGUUAAAUGGAAACGACUACCACUAGACGAUGCUACGUGGGAGGAUACUAAAAUGUUGCGGGAUCGAUUCAUUAAUGUGAACCUUGAGGACAAGGUUCCAGUGCAAGACAGGGGUAUUGAUGAGCCAAGAAGAUCGCAACGUGUUCCUAAGAAAAACCCAAGGUUCAUAACAUGAUAAACAUGUAGAGCAAGUAGGAUGAUCGUGCAAGGAGCUGUUAGAGAUUAAUUGUUGGCAUAGUUCUGUUAGAAGACUUGGUCUGAUGUCUGUUAGCUAUUAUUAUGCUAUUUGAAUAAGUAUUAGCUAUUUAUUUGCUAAUAAUGGUUGAGUCCUUAUUUUCAGUAGUUAUGGUCAUGAGAGUAGGAGAAGGUGGGUUUUUCCUUGUAUAUUUAAACUAUUUCAGUAUGCAGCAAUAAAGGGGAGUUCAUUCAAAAUCCAAAUAUUAUGGCUCGUUCUUGCCCUAAGAAGAAUUUUGUUUGCUGAUUAUAUUAGCUUUGAUUGGGACCUAUCACCAUGACAUACAUGAAAUUAGAAUUGCAAUUUGAGCAAGUUGAACCCAAUCCAACCUGAAAAUGCAAUUUCUGAUUAAGAAAUCUCAAUCAGACUUGAACCCUAUCCGUAUUUAACUAAUUCUAAGUUGAACAUUUGUCUAAUAAGGUGCCUGUGUCGAAACAAUUUUGUAGGAGAAAAUGGGUGAUCGCUUACCAUGAAUGCUUGAGUGCAUUGUUUGAGGACAAUUAUUGUUACUGAGUUGUGUGCAGGCUGCCAUUAUAUUGUAGUCAGCAAUUGUUAUAAGAUGAAUGAUCAUGUUUUGUUUAUGCAUGUGAUGGUCUUCAAAAUGCAGGAUAAGCAUUCCCGGAAGGGUCUUCAAGCGAUGGUCCAGAGGAGAAAGAAGUUAUUGAAGUAUCUCCGUAGAACUGACUGGGAUUCCUACUGCCUUGUUCUUUCUAAGCUUGGUCUCCGAGACAAUCCGAAUUACAAAAACUAGAUGAAAUGUAUUCAUCUCUGUUUUGACAUGCUAAUGAUGCUUUAUUUAGUGAUAUAUCAGGUUUUUUGUUUUGUAUCUGGUACUCACAAUUUUUCAACUAGAUGUCACUUCUGAUUCUCCUUUAAUUUAAAGUCAUAAUAAUAACAGCUCCUUGGUACUAUUUGCUAGAAGGAAAGACAAUCUGUCUGUUUCUUAGUUGAAUGGGGCACAACACAGGACCUUUGUUACAUAGUCCUGAUAACUGAUGGAUCCGAUUUAACUUUUUUGUGGAGUUACGACCCUGACAGCCCAAGAGGAGGGAGGAGGGAGGAGGGAGGAGGGAGGAGACAGAGGGGAAGUGUGAACUGUGCUGUUGCACCUUAUUUGUGUUCCUUCUACUUCCAGGUGUUGUCAUGAAAUGGAAUCAGAAGUUGGAAUUCAAGAAGACUUGGUUAAAUGGUAAAAAAAACAGGCUGCUGUUGAGCAUCGUGCUUGAAGCUUGGAGAAUAGAGGAACCUUCUCUUGCUCUUCCAUCUCCUACUUCACACAUUUAUUCCAAGAAUAUAUCAUCUGCUGCUUGCCAAUCCUAACCAGGAAAAAACGAAAGAUUUUUAUCCUUAUGUUUUAAUAUUGAUGUCACUACAUUAUUCUUCUUCAUAUCUUUGUUGAACAACUUUUGAAACCAAUUGAGCAUACCCUUGAUCGGUUGAAACUUUUUUUGCUCAAAAGCCCUUCUUCUUUAAAUUCAAACCUUUUUAAUACUUACGCAACAACGUUAAAUUCUUUUAUAAAACAAGUUUGAGAGGUUUUUGCCUAAGUGUUGGAUUAGAACUUGAAUUAAGAAAACAUAAUCUUUAGAGUUCAAAAUAAGUAUAUGAUUAAAUGAUGCAUGAAUAGAUUUAAAGACCUAAGUGCACCCAAGUAUUUACCUUACAUAAUGUUCCUAAGCUUAAAAGGUCUUCAUGCUCACUUGAUCUUACACACCUUUGAUCCUUUGAUGAACAACUUGAUUUUCCAAUUGAAUUUUGCAAAUACUACUUGAAAAUCAUCUUAAUUUUAAACUCAAUAGUGAAAAACAUGAUUUGUUAUCAUCAAAACUCAUUUAGGAGAUCCCUUUGACUAACAGAAGUUAAUAGUGAAAUAAAUUUAUCGAGUCAUAAAGAUGAGAAAUGAAUAUAAUUAAUUCAUACUUGAAUAGAAACCGUGAGUGAACUCAUGUUAAGAAUGAGUCAAAAUAAGUAUGACCAAAUAUGAGAGAGAUUAUUUUUACAAAUUUAAGGUUAUUUCAUCCAUUUUAAUCAAAUCAUCCUUUAAUAAAUAUGACUCCAAGACUAAAAAACAAAGGAACCUGGCAAACCCCAAAUUAUUGGAAAGACAAUUGCACCCAAUUGGGCAUAAAAGAUAAAUAAUUUAACUCAAGAAAAAGUGAAAGUGAAAAUGAGGGACAUGAAGGCAAAAAAGAAUCAUUGAUUAAUAAUAUAUUUUAUUUAAUUUUAUAACCUUUUACAACUUGUUUUUAUGACGUAUAAUUAAUAUUUUAUAGCAUGCUCUUGUUUGUAUGUCUUAAACUCAACCUACUCAAAUCUUAAGCCUUCACCCCCAAACCAAAAAUUAAUUAAAAAUGAUGAGAUUUUUUACUAAAAAUUAUCCAUUAUAUAGUAACAUGAGGAUCACAUGUUUACUAAAACUAUAACUCUAAAGCUAGAUAUAAACUUCCUUAAUUUGACUAAUUAAAUAGUAUAAUAUAACAUAAUUAUAUAGUUUAGUUAUAAAUAAGUUAUUAUUUAAUUAAAUCUCAAAUUCAAUGUGAUUAUAACACAUAUUAAAAAAAAUGUUUAAUAAAAUUUUAAAUAAAAAAUUGAAAAUUGAAAAAAAUUUAAUUUGAUUAGAAAAAUUAUAGUGAAAUGAAAAUUUUUACAUACACAAAAAGAAUGAAAAAUAAAUUAAGAUAAUAUAGGUAUGAAGAAAAAAAAAUGAUGAAGCUAAAAUAAAAAAGGAAAAAAAAAAGUAGGAGUUUCAAGUAGGCUUUAUAAAAUAUUAUAUAUUUUUAAAAUUUAUUUAAAAUUUUAAAAAAAUAAAUCCUUGAGAGUUAGUAUUAACUUUUUUUUUCAAUAACAUUCAAAUGAAAUUAUUUUUUAUUUUUGAAAUUAAAAAUUAAAUUCAUAUUUUUUUCACUGCUACCUCCGGGUUAUGUACGCCGCUUUAGUCAAGAUCUCAUUGCAACCUAUAACAAGCUAAGCACUGAGUCAAGUCAAUUGGGUCCCCCAUCGCAAUUACCCAAAUGAGAUUGUAUGGAAUCACACUUUCAUCUUGAGUGAAAGAAGAAGCCUUCCUUGACCGAUUCACUCCUUCAGCAAAUGAAUUGCAUGGAAACGGGAUAAAUGUCUGAUGCAAAGUAAGGUAAAAUAUAGAGCUAGACUUAGAAUUUUAGGUGUCUGCUCAGAAAAAAACCAAUGAAAUCCCAGGUUUUGAACUUCAAAACUGAAGAAAAGAAAGUACAAUUUAUUCAAAACUUUUAGGCUCCACUCAUAACAUGGAAAAUUUGACAAAAAGAAAUAGGAUAGACGGUCAGCAAGCGGCUAAGUUGAGGCCGCCCACCAUAAUUGACAAAAUGAAACCAUAUGGAAAACGGAGGUAAGUCAGCAGGUCAAGUGGGCCCACCUAGUCUACUACAUUCAAUUGUAUGGUAAGUGGAAAUUCAAACUGAAAUUUCCCGGAAAGUGAUUUCCCAUUUGCCCGGAAAUUGCCUUGAAACUGGGAACUUAGCUGGAUUUAAAAGCAACAAACCUGGUUGUCAGUUGAUCAGCAACAACUGUGAAAACAAUUAAUGGCUGAAAGUAUUGUCACGUUUUUUCUAGAGAAGUUAACUGACCUGCUUUCCCAGGAAGCAUUUCUACUCAGCAGAGUAGAAGAGCAGGUGAAGCUGUUGAGUAACGAGCUCGAAUGGAUGCGCCUUUUUCUCAAAGACGCGGAUGCGAAGCGCAGAUAUGAUCCAAGAAUCAAGCUCUGGGUGAGUCAGAUCAGGGACGUAACCUAUGACGCCGAAGAUGUCAUCGACAGGUUCAUGUUCGAGAUGAAUCACCAACAGCAAGGAAGUCUCAAAUGCCUCAAGUUCCUUAAGUUACGAUUUGUUCACAAGCUCGAGUCUCGAAUCAGAGAGAUCAAUAUCAAGAUUGAGAAGAUCAUGGCUAACAAAUCAAGGUACGGUGUCGAAACCUUACCAGCUGCAAGCUCGUCCAACGAAGUUGUGCCACAUAAAGAGAGGAGGGCUCCGAUUGUGGAAGAAGUAAACGUGGUGGGAAUUCAAGAGGAUGCAAAAAGCGUUAAGCAAAAUCUGCUUAAUGGAGAGAUGCGGAGAGCUGUGGUGUCCAUCGUGGGCAUGGGUGGCUUGGGAAAGACUACCCUGGCUAAGAAAGUCUAUAAUGAUAAUGAUGUCCGGCAAUGCUUUGAUUGUCAUGCUUGGAUUUAUGUCUCUCAAGAGUAUACAAUCAGGGAGCUUUUGCUAGGCGUUGCUGUUUGUGUUAGGAUUCUCUCCGAAGAGGAAAGGAGUAAAAUGAACGAGAGCGAUUUGGGGAAUAGUCUUCGUGAUUACCUGACUACCAGGAAGUACUUGAUAGUUAUGGAUGAUAUGUGGAGAAAUGAAGCUUGGGAUAGGUUGGGCUUGUAUUUUCCUGACUCGGUGAAUGGCAGCAGAGUGUUGAUCACCUCACGCAAUAAAGAGAUUGGUCUUUAUGCUGAUCCACAAACCAUUCCCCAUGAACUUUCUUUUCUGACUGAAGAAGAGAGUUGGGAGCUCUUUCUCAAGAAAAUUUUUCUGGCUGGGAGUGCAAAUGCUGUUUGCCCAGAGAAUUGGAAGAGUUGGGAAAGAAAAUUGUAGCAAAUUGUGGGGGUUUGCCCCUUGCAAUUGUGGUCUUGGGAGGCCUUCUAUCAAGAAAAGAAAAGACACCGCUCUCCUGGCAAAAAGUACUGGACAGCCUAACUUGGCACCUAAAUCAAGGUCCAGACUCAUGUUUGGGGGUCCUUGCUUUAAGCUACAAUGAUAUGCCGUAUUACUUGAAGUCCUGUUUCCUUUACUGUGGUCUUUUCCCAGAAGACUCAGAAAUCAGGACAGAUAAGUUGAUCCGCUUGUGGGUUGCAGAAGGGUUUAUACAAAGAAGAGGAGAAGAAAUAGCGGAAGACGUCACGGAAGAUCACUUACAGGAAUUGGUACAUAGAAGCAUGAUUCAAGUGGCUGCCAGGAGUUUCGAUGGAAGAGUGAUGUCCUGUCGCAUGCACGAUCUGCUUCGAGACCUUGCCAUUUCUGAGGCCAAAGAUACAAAUUUUUUUGAGGGAUAUGAAAGCAUUGAUUCUACAUCCCCUGUUAGUGUUCGUCGACUAACCAUUCAUCAAGGUAAGAAGACUAAUUCUAAACACUUGCAUACUUCACGUAGUCUCCGAUCUUUCAUUUGUUUUUCUGUAUGCUUCCAAGAAAACAUUUUGAGAUCUUUACACAGGCGUGUCAAAUUGCUCACUGUACUGGACCUAGAACGCAUGCCUAUCAGUACCUUCCCAGAAGCCAUAGGAGAACUUAUCCACCUUAAGUACUUGUGCUUAAGGGGAACCUGCAUAAAAAGUCUUCCAUCGUCCAUAGGUCGUCUUACUAAUCUACAAACCCUAGACUUUCGAGGCACUUUAAUUGAAAUAAUUCCCUCUACCAUUUGGAAAUUGCACCAUUUGAGACAUCUAUACGGUCAUGGUGUGGUUUCAAGCCAGUCAGUGAUAGAUAAGUGCAGGAAUGGUCCUUUGAGUGUUGGCCACCUAACAAACCUCCAAUCGUUAGGUUUAAGAGCAGGCAGUUGGUGCUGUGGUGAAGGCUUGGGAAAAUUAAUUGAGCUUAGAGAACUGACAAUUGCAUGGACCGAAAUCGCACAAACAAAGAACCAGGGAUUUUCCGAGUCAGUAAAAAAGCUAACUGCUCUUCAAUCCUUGUGUUUGUAUCCUCGUAUAGGAGAGAAUUUUAACCAUGCCGCACCUCAUGCCUUUCUCAGACCACACUUACCUUUACCAUCUAAGUUUAAGAGGAAGGCUCGAAAGGUUCCCUGAUGAAAUUGAAUUCUACCCUCCAAACCUCGUCUCCUUGGAAUUGGAAUGUUGGAAUAUAGAGCAAGACCCAAUGGUGACCCUAGAGAAGCUGCCAAACUUGAGAUUUCUCAGAUUAUUCCAUUGUUCCUCUAUGUUAAAGAAGAUGGUCUGUACUUCUGGAGGAUUCCAGCAACUCGAAACCCUUAAGCUCUGGAAUUUGAAAGAAUUAAAAGAAUUGAUUGCGGAGGAAGGGGCAAUGCCUGAUCUGAAGGAUUUAGUAAUUGAUACUUGCCCUAAAAUGAAAAGGCUUUCCCAUGGAUUGCUGCAACGAAAAAAUUUGCAGAACCUAAGUUUGUAUGAUUUGUCUCCUGAGUUAAUGGAUGAGCUUUCUCGGAUAGAAGGAGAUCUGGAGAAGAUCUGCCUCGCCACCUCAAUACACGGGUGGAGGCGUACGGCAUCUUGAAGGCUCAGGAGAAGUUUCAUAAAGCGCUACCAGGAAAUGCUUGGACUGUACUGAAGAGCAUUUCCAAUGCAACAAAUCUUUCUAAGCUCGUCUUUUUCCUUGUUUUUUCUGCUUUUGGACUGUAAGAUGCUUCCACGUUUUCAAAUAAAGUGAUCAGUCAGUUUAUAAUUGAACCUCACUGGAGUUUUAAUAAGAGAAAACCAACAGAAUACAUGCAAGAGUAGAAGCCCGUACACUUCUAAAAGCUGAGGCAUGCUUAGGAAGUGUUUUUAAAAAACAGUUUUUAAAAAUAAAUUUAUAAUAUUUUCAUAAAUAAAAUUAUAUUUGAAAAUUGAAUUAUAAAAAACAGUUUUCGUUCUAAAAAAACAUGUAUAAUUAGUUAAUAAAAACGACUAUUAACAAUAAAUAAAAUGAAAACUUGUUUGGAAGUUGUUAUUGUUGGUUUUUAUUUAUUUAUUUAAAGUUGGGUAUUUUCUUUAAUUAACUUGAUAUUGUAAAAUUAUAAAUAAUUUUUACAUUCACACUUCAUUAAAAAUAAAAAAUAUUCCAUUUUCAAUUUUUUUUUGCAUCAAUUUUAAUUUUUUAAAAUAAAAUAUUACUUUGUAAACAUGUCUAAGUAUGUUUGAUUUCAAUAAUUGGUAAAUUAUUUGAGCAAAAUAUCAUAAAUUGGUAAAUAUUAAUAAUUGGAUUUUAUUGGAUAAAAUUUAUGAUAUCAAACAAUAAUGCAUUUGUAGACCCCCAUAUGGGGCUUGUUUUUUUUCAUUUGCUAUAGGUCACACUUCUUGCCAAGUGGAGGGCUCUUAAAGAGCCAGAUGCUGCUUUCUGGUUGGGUGGUCAGUGAAUCAGGUAGUAGGUUGGAAAUGCAGUGAGGUGUAGACACCUAUUGGAGGAUAUUCAGAAGAGCUUUUGGGCUGUUAGAGUGGAGUUGGGUGAUUUUUUUUGAAGUGUGAGGGGGACCCCCCUCUCUUACCAUGAAUCCUGGCCAGAUGGGACGGGUAAGCCAUACUGGCUGAUGCAUGAACAGGAGGAGGCAGGUGGUGACUUGCUAAGGAAGGUGAUUCCAAGAAGGGGGAAACAGAGAAGAAGAGAGAGGGGAGUUUAGCUUGAGAGGAGAGUUUGGCUGGAGAGGACUGGUGGGAAGGAGGCAUUCCUUGGUUGGUUGCUUGAGAGGAAGGAGAGCUGUCCGAUUUCUUGCCCACCUAGCUGGAGAGAGUUAUUUUGAGGUACGUUUAUUGUGUAUUCUUCGUCAGCUUCUAUUAGUGUGCUUUUCUACUUUGUUUUUGCUGAUUCUCGGAUGAUGAUUGUUGAUUGGGAGUGAAUACGUUCAUAUUUUUGCUAAUGGUUUUGUAGUGGUUUAGUUUGCUCUGGUUUUGAUUUCUCCAUGAGAUAUUUUUGUAACCACGUUUUACCUUUCAUUUGACACUCGUUUAAUCUUACCCACCAUCAUCUAAGCCUGUUGGUAUGAUAUGAAGCAUAGUUUGUCGGGCUCAUUUUCUUGUAUCUACUCUUUGUGCUCUGUUUUGUUAUCCUCCUUUGCUCUUGAUAUCCGUCCAUGGUACGCAUCCAUUUUCUCAUCCCUGCUUGAAGGAGAUCCUAGAAAAUCUGGAGUAGUUGUCAUGGCAGCAAAACUCAUCUCAUCAGCAUUCCCAUACCCAUUCUCGUUUAUUAUUCAUCAUUUUAUCCAACAUGCCUACGUCCCCAUCCAUCACUCCACUCCUAUUCCCGUUUAUCUUCAUCAUGCGUAAACCCCCACACAUCUCAUACCGGGAGGUGAUGUCUCAAGAUGAUAUAGGAAGCUAGUAUUUGAAUUUGUGGAAAGAAGGGCGGAUUUAGUGGUCUCAUGGGAAUACUAUGGCAUGAAGGUGGUGGUUCUAUGCUGAAGAGAUGGUGGACAAUGGUGGAUGUUUCUGGUCUGUCUGUGUUACAAAUCAAGACUUUGGUCUGACAGUGAGGAGAACCAGAAGGACGCAGCGCAUGGAUGAUAUUAAAGAGACUGAUGAUCUUUUCAGACCGCUGAAAGAGCCAAGGAAUUCAUAUGAUAUGGUACAUUCGGGCAAUGUAAGCUUUGGAGUAGAUGCAGUCCGUGUUACUAAGUCAAUUUCGUCACCUCUCAAGGACCCAUUGAUAGAAGUGCACCUAACUUAUAAGUCUCAGGCCUUCCCAUUCGAAAAUCAUGUUGUAGCCAAUAACAGGGCAUCGGGUCAGAUUUCUGAGAAGCUGAAUGUUUAAAUAUCCGGUGUUAAUGAUAUUAUCAUAUGGGUAAAUCACUCUUCAACUCAAUAUCCGGAUGCCAACUAUGAUGCUGUCAAGACCCCUAACUAGUAAAAAGCCUGUGUGAAGGCCUGUGAAUGGUAGAAUGAAGAAUUAAUCACUACCAUAUUCUCACCCUUCAUGCCCGUUUAACUCAUCAUCAAUACCCAUGUGUACACCCGUUUAAUCAUACCACCAAACCCGUUUAUCUCUCUAAACCUUCACUUACCUGUGGGAUCCUCCCUAAAAAAAUGUCACGUGGCUCUCUCUCCCUUGCGCAUGCAGACGGUCCCCCUUGCGACGUGCGGCAUAGCUCAUUCCACCCGGGGAAGAAUUCUUUCCGACCGACAUUCAACCUUCUCCGGAUGUCUCACAUCCAGAAUUCUGUCCGGCCGACGUUCCACCUUCUCCGGAUGUCUCACAUCCGGAAUCCUGUCCGGCCGACGUUCCACCUUCUCCCGAUGUCUCACAUCUGGAAUUCUGUCCAGCCAACGUUCUAUCUUACUUGGAUGUCUCACAUCCGGAAUUCUUCUCCACCGACAUUCCACCCGGGUAUCUCACAUCCAAAAUUCUUCUCCACCGACAUUCCACCCGGAUGUCUCACAUCCGAAAUUCUUCUCCGCCGACAUUCCACUCGGAUAUCUCACAUCCGGAAUUCUGUCCGGCCGACGUUCCACCUUCUCCGGAUAUUUCGCAGCUGGAGCUUGUUGCCGGGUGAGAGAGGAGGACGAUUCAACUUCCCUGGACAGACAUGUCCGGAUCCUCUAGUGACGUUUACCCGGGCAGCUUGGCUCGUCAGACACUCGCGAUUCACCGGAUCCAUUUCUGCCCACAAUCAAAAGGCAAACUCCGAUAAUACCGACGACCAAGUCUCCUGAACUGUCACUCAUCUUUAAUGCAAGAUAGAUUGGGCUUUGGUGGGGGCCCCACAAGCGUGAUUUUAUGAUUGAUUGGUGGAUUGAUUGAUUUGAUUGCUAUAUGUGAUUGAUUUACACUAUUCUAUGAUACACACACGAUUAUCCUGUGUUUAAUUGCUAACAUUUGUUUUCAUCGAAGUAAAUCGGUUCAUCACCCAGGUACAUUCUUUGUCUCUCCUAUUCAUUCAGUUAUUUUGUUUCGGGUGAUAUUCAUUUGGUAUCCAUGCUCGAUUAAUCAAUUGCCAUGAUUGCUUCAUUUUAUUAGUAGAGACCCGUUUUAGGGACUUAGAAGGGUGCUACGGUCUUUACCGUACCUUCCCGAUAAGUAACCUGACCCCCGAACCCGAUCCGGUUUUUCGUAGACCACCUUUUCCAAACUAAGGAGUCACACUUAAGGUUUUUUUCUUUCUUAUUUUGUUUACCCUUUAAAAAUAAAACAAAAAUAAGUGGCGACUCCAAGUCAUUUUUUUUAACCGAUUAAAUCAUUUUUCAAAAUAAAAAUCGAGCUCGCCAUCGAGUAGGGAACGCAUGAGCCGAAAUGCGGGGUCCACAAAAUGGCGACUCUGCUGGGGACACUUUUAGAGGGUCAAGCUUGAACUUAGGAUGAAGCAAAUGUGGCGUUUGAUGAUUCGGUCAGUGGAUACCUAUCUCUUGAUUGCACAUUGAGAGUUCCCGAUACUAUUGGAUGCAUGCUUGGGUGUUUGUUUUUACUUGGGACAUUGACAUGUUGACUAUGAUGAUUAUUUAUCUUGAUUGUGCAUUCUGAUUGUGGCGUUUUUUUUUCGUGCUUCAUAGCUAUAUAUGUUUGGGACAUUGAUAUGUUGAUUAUGUUAAUUGAUCAUCUUACCUUACUUAGCAUAGUGACUCUGAUUUUGCCAUGUUUGCUCUGAUUACCUCACAUAUAUAGACUCACCAUUGUAUAUCAUUUGAUUUGACAUGAUUGAUUCUCUCAGUUAUAUAUUAUCUUGUUUAUCAUAGAGCAUGCUAUCAUUUGUCAGAUAUUCUUCUUGAUUAGCUUGUGUGUAGAUUUGGAUGAUAUAUACCUGUUUUGCAUGACUGUCUGUUGCAUGACUCUUCUCAUCCUGAUGCGACUGCAUGAGUUGUGUGUCUAUGUGGAACACACACUUAUCCCCUUAUUUCCAAGUCCCUAGUCUCGGUCGACAUUGUUUUCCUUGCUCUCAUAUUUGAUAUGAGACUUGUUUGCUUUGUUUGCUCUUCGACCGAGCUAGUGAUUAGGAGUAGGGUUUAGCGAUGGGCUAUAUCUAUGAUUGGGAGCGUUCUGGAGGUGGUCAACAUAUUGAUGCUGAUUGGAGUCUGAACUUUGAAGACUUGUAUAGCCCAAAGCUAGAUUUCAGGAUAUUUGUGUGACCAGUGUGUCUUAUUUUAGUUUCAUAGGAUUUUCAGAUGCACCCACACCUUUCACUGUGCACUCUAGUUGACCAUUGAGCGUUGAGAGUUAGGAGAACUUUCACCAUAGGAGCCCCCUGGGAUGCGAGAUAGUGCAUGUGUGGAGGUGAUGACCCCCUUGGAUAGAAGUGCCCCGUCUCUUUGGAGGCGUGCAGAGGGUUGCAUACGCCGGAGGGUACGAUCGCUUCUGCUAGGGAUCCUUUAAAGUCCACCAUUUUUCUUUUUAGAGCCACCUUGACCUCGUAGGUUGAGCUGUAGAUCCUUCGAUUAGGACUUCCUUCCCUACACGUGAGUGCAUCUGAGGGCCUUCAAAGCCUCUUUAGUUACAGUUCGGAUCCAAUACUUCCUCAUUUGGUCUUCAGUUGAGAGUGCUUAGAGAUCAGUGCGAGUUUGAGAAUCAGUUGGACCACCCCUUAUUGUAUGGUUUUGGUUUCUUCUUGUCGCUCAUUGAGUUUAGCACACUUUCUUCCUAGGACUUUAGAUAGUCUUCUUUUCUUAGGCUGACACAUUCUUUCAGUUUGUUGUCACUUUCUACUUAAUGUUUUGAGAUAUGUUCAUUGAUUAUGCUCACUUUUUUAUAUUCUUCACCUACCAUGGGCUUGAUACUUCAUUCUUUGGUUGAGUCGCCUGAUUCUAUUUUCAACCAGAUUUUCAUUACAAAAAGGUGAAAGGCAGGUUUUCACAUUCACACCAUUUUUUUUGAGAUGUUCGCCUUUACCACCUAAUCAUUUUUCUUUAUUGAGUUUGUGUUGAAAGUGAAUCAGAGAUAUUGUGUUAUAGAUGGAGUAUCGAUCUCAUGACAGUGUUGUUUUUCACACCUCAUUCAUUUUUUGGAUCAUUGAUAGAAAUUCUUUAGUCACAUUUGUAGCCAUUUCACAGUGGACACCUUUAUGACCUUAGAGUUUCUGUCAUAUUUCCAGUUAUAGAUUGCCAUCACAGGACCAUAUAUCAAAUGAUGUGUUGUACUUUUGACUUAGGACAUCUAUUCAUUUGCGCGUCAUGAUCACUCUAGUCUGACCUAUCAUGGAGGAUAUUGAGCCUUUUGACCUAGGAUUAGGAGAUUGACCUAGGGAGUUCGAGACUGUGACCCAUUUCACCUUCCGCUUAGAGCAGUACCAUAUCCAUAUCCAUACCCUGACUCUGUGGACUUGUUGACCUACCCAUUUUGAGCCUGACAUGACACCACCCCUUGGCACCAUUACAUGACUUUACUACCCUUGUUCGCCUUAUCAUGCUACAAUACCAUUGCCUUUCCUUUCCAUCAUUUCCUUGAUCUGACUAGGUAGAGUCCGAGAUGGUUAGACCCGAGGUGAGCUUUACAUGAUGAUAGAUGGAUCGUGAUGAGAGAGUGGCUUGACUGUUUGACGAUAUUGUUGAGAUGGAGGGGUUAUCAUGGAGCAUCCAGAUUCGAGCCAUUGCACAUGACUUCAGAGAGUCGGGAUGAUUAGACAUGGUGAUUUUAUGAGAUGAUGGUGAGUGGCUUGUGAUGAUAGAGUGAGUUGAUUUUCAGAGUACAUUGAUGGUUGUCAUAGAGCAUCGGUGGGAGCUUUCGCACAAUUUCAGAGGAGUCGCCAUGACUAUGUUGGAUGGAUGCCAGUCUUUAGUAUUGGCCAUGUGAGAUCUCGAAAGCACGAUGUUCGAGGUUUUGGUCAAAGGAUGGGUGGCCAUCAUUUCAUGAGCCUACUUACUUUAUUACCCUCACAUAUAAAGUUACCCGUUGCUAGCCCUUUGAGCCUCACACGAGCACAUAGCCUUUUCUUUCAUCACCUCAUUUACCUAUUACACCGGGUUGGAGACCCUAUAGUGCUUGCAUGCUAUGUUUGGAUACAUCAUGAGUUCCAGACCUGACAUACAUAUUCAGGCAUCAUUCCUCACUCUUCAUUGUGAUAUUUUCCGUUUGGACAUCAUUUCAUCACUAUUUUCCGAUAUCACAUACCACCACUUGUGAUAUUUGUUCUUUGUCUUUUCCUUUCCUCAUUGAUUACUCGACAUUAUUCGUGUUUCACCUUGAGUGGUGGUUUUUCACACGUCACUGCAUGGAGGAUUGUCACAUUCUUUCCUAUCAUUCACCCCAUGGGCAGUGGUUCAGAGAUGUUAUUUUGAGAGGUUGUCUUGUUAGUGAGGAUUCAUGUUACAUUCGUAUGUGGAGAGGGUUUGAUCAUUUGGGUAUGUAUUUUCAUGGGAGUUCAUUCAUUAUUGAUUAGAGUAUGCGCAAAAAAAAAAAAAAAAAGAGGCGCAUUCUUCAUUGUAUCAUUCUCCAUUGGGCAUGUGUAUGGACGUGCCGGUUUGCUUCAUUCAGUUUAUGUGUCAGAGAGAGUUCGUAUGAGAGCUUAUUUAUGAGAUUCUAUCUUGGUGUAUAUUUCGAGUGAGAGUAUGAGUCAUCCAUUCGAUUUUUGUGAGAGAGACGAGCGACUUUUCUUUAGUAUCUCUGGAUCCUUGUUCUAUCCAUCAUUCCAUCUAUUUCGGAUGUGACUACUUUCUAUGCUUUGAUGCAGGAUGACCAUCACUCAUUUUUCUACCUCUUUGUUUUCUUGUAUCUUUGUUUUGUUCCUCCAUUCCACUCUACCUCAUCUGAUUUCUUUCUUUUCUCAUCCUUCUUGAUGUUUGACUUGAGUUCAGCAUCUACACUUUAUUCUUGCUUAUUCGAUAUGUUCAUCCCUUUAUCAUCACUUUUGGUGUAGGGACCCCUAGAUUCGGGACUCAUGACGUUUUCUAUGCAUUGCAUUUCAUGCACGAGGGGGUAUGGGGAUUAUAUCAUUGGGAUCUUUGAGCCUAGUUUCCUUUCAUUUCUUUCACUCUAUUACCUUAGCCUACGUUACGUCCCGUGUCCGAAGACCACCCUGAGGCCAUUACUUUACAUCGUGUUUGACAGCUCCCAUGUGGGCAAUACUCGAGCUUGGUCGGAGAUUAUUUCUCAGAGCAUGAUGGAUGGGGAGUUGAGAUGAUGAUUUACAUUGGGCCAUACCCCUCUUAUCAGUGAUGGAUUUUCAGAGGUGACAUUAUCUACACUGGGGCAUACCCCGCUCAUCGAUGACAGUUUCUUAGUGGGAUGACGUUUUGCACUGAGGCAUAGUCAGUUGGUUUUUUCACUCGGUUUAUGAUGGAUUGGGAGUUGUGGGAUGACCCUACACUGGGGCAUAGCCAUUUCAGAGGGUGUUUUUAUUGGAGAUACAGUCACUCUACUUGGUAUUCUGCAUUGGGACACACUCCUCUCAUUGAUGAUGGAUUUUUCGAGAUGAUGGCUUAUUUUGAGACAUGAUUGCUUCAGAGAUUGUGCGUGCAUUGAGGGAUGACAUUGACCUUGUUCUGAGGACACAUACUGAGGCAUAGUUGUCUCAUUGGUGAUGGACUUUGAUUGUUCAUUGGAGCAUAAUCACUUCAGUUGGUUUAUAUCGGGGCAUAGCCACCACAUUCACAUUCAUGGAGCCCGGGGAUUCUGAUUCAUAUGGAUUACGUUGAGAUGUUUCCGUUUUGGCACCAGGGGUAGAGGUUGAUUGAUUUGUUGACUCGGAUACACUAUUUUACAUUAGGGCGUAGCCGGGAUGGAGAGCAUUUUUCAUUGGAGCAUAGCCACCCUAUUUGGAUCCUUUACAUUGGGGCAUGUCCAUCUUUUGGAGGGAGAUCAGAUUGGUUCUUGACAUUGGAGCAUCUGGCGAGUGAUAUGGAGAUCAUUGGAUUAUUUCAUGUUGUUCCCAUUGCAUACUGGGGCAUAGCCGCCUAGUUGGAUGUUUUGACAUCGAGAUUUGACUUCCUAUUUGUGAUUACUGCUUUUCGAUGGAUUAUGGAGCUGUUGAUACCUCGGGUUUAGUCUUCUUGUCAUACUUGGACGAUCUCGGAUACAUACCUUUCAUCUCGUACUCAGUUAUUUCACCUUGGAUACUUUCAUGCCUUCCAUCAUACUAGAGCCUGAUCAUCACCUUAUUUUAUCCUACACAUCCCACCGUGACGCAUGACCUCACCCUUUUCUCAAUUAGGAGGAGACGUGGAUCAGUCCUCGAUCACCUUGGUUGUGUUGUCAUACAUCUUUUGGACUUUAGGUUCAACAUCUUCCAUGAUGGUAGGGCCUGACAGAUUGCCGAUUUAUUAGUGAUGAUGCUUUCAUUUUGACAGUUGGCACGAUGAGUGUUGAUUUUUGUUUGCUCUUUGCAUUUCGAGCAUUGGUCAUCAUUGUUUUAUUCAUCAGUUAGUUUUGUAGUGUCAGCAUGGUGUCACGAUGCAUGGUCCUAUUUGGCAUUACCUAUUUGAGGUUGGGCAUUUCCGUUACUUGAUGGAUGAGCAUAUUUCAGAGCACAGUAGUUUUGAGACAUUGUAUAUCUUAGUCUGUUUACUGUCACAUACUGGGGCAUACCCUCCUUCCCUGGAUCACUAGACCUUCCACAUGUUUCAUUCACUUUUCGAUCUAGUUGUUGACCCCUAAGAGUUGCAUAUUGAGGCAUACCCUCAUUCCCUAGGAUCAUUGGACCUUUCAUAGGCUUCAUUAUCUUUUGACCUAGUUGUCGAUCCUCAUGAGUUGUCAUACUAGGGCAAAUCCCCUCCAACCGAGUCUACUUGUAUCUUCCUCUUAGUAUCCUCUGACUUUGGGCCACUUGAUCAGAUCAUUGUCCUUUUCAGUUUACGUUUUCGGGACCGCACCUAUAUUGAUCGGUCAUCUUCUUGUCAGUUUGGGUUUUUGUCUUCGGGACCGCACCUAUAUCGAUCGGUCAUCUUCUUGUCAGUUUGAGUUUGCGUUUUCGGGACCGCACCUAUAUCGAUCGGUCAUCUUCUUGUCAGUUUGAGUUUGUGUUUUCGGGACCGCACCUAUAUCGAUCAGUCAUCAUCUUGUCAGUUUGGGUUUUUAUCUUUAGGACCGCACCUAUAUCGAUCGGUCAUCUUCUUGUCAGUUUGGGUUUUUGUUUUCGGGACCGCACUUAUAUCGAUCGGUCAUCUUCUUGUCAGUUUGGGUUUUUGUCUUCAGGAUCGCACCUAUAUCGAUCGGUCAUCUUUUUGUUAGUUUGGGUUUUUAUUUUCGGGGCCGCACCUAUAUCGAUCUGUCAUUUUCCAUGUCAGUUUGUGUUUGGGGCCGCACCUAUAUCGAUCGGUCAUCAUCUUAUUAGUUCGAGUUCAGUUUGAGUCGGGGCCGCACCUAUAUCGAUCGACCGUGUUCCUAUCACUUUCAUGUUCAGUUCGAGUCGGGACCGCACCUAUAUCGAUCGGUCAUUUUCUAUGUCAGUUUGUGUUUUCGGGCCCGCACCUAUAUCGAUCGGUCAUUUUCCAUGUCAGUUUGAGUUUGAGUCGGGGCCGCACCUAUAUCGAUCGGCCAUCUCCUUGUCAUGUUAGUUCAGUUUCAAUCGGUCAUCAUCUUAUCAGUUUGAGUUUGAGUCGGGGUUGCACCUAUAUCGAUCGGUCAUCUCCUUAUCAUGUUAGUUCAGUUUUUUUCGAGACCGCACCUAUAUCUAUCGGUCAUUGUUUUAUCAGUUUGUGUUGGGUCUUGUUCGCCUCCGAGUUGCGCCUACGUAGUUGAGUCUUGUUUUAUAGUUAGUGAUUCGAGUCGUACCCUGUGUUUGGAGAGUAGACCUUAUUAUCUUAUUUUUCGCAUGAUGUACUCUCAUUUCACUUAGUGAUAUUGUUGUUUUCUUGGGUAUGUGUUUUUGUCUUCUUUUUAUUAUUAUCAUUGUUUCGUAUCAUGCAUUUUAUGUGUUGUUAUUUUGAGUAGCAUCGUGUGUCACUUUGUUUUUGUCUCGUGCAUGUGUUUGCCUUAGAGUCUUGGACAAUUUUAGUGUCGUGACUGGUCCCCGAGCAGAUAUUGAUGGUAUGAUGGUUAUGAUACAGAGCACAUUGAGAUUAGACUUCUUUAGUUGAGGUUCACCAUGUCAGACGAGAUCGCACCCAUUACUCUUACUACUCUUUAUGAGAUGAUGGUGGAUUUGACACAGAGGGUUGAAAGGAUUGAGCUUAUUUUGUCAGAGCAUCCAUCGUCAUCGAGAGGAGCUCCAGGAGUAGCGAUGCCUUCAUCGCCACAUUUAACUUCACCGACAUUUGUUACUUUGGGUGCCUCGCAUCCACGACCUCGCCCGCAUUCAGUGCUCCAGCAGCAUUCCUCGUCCAUUUCAUUGGCUACGUCGACAUGACCUCCAUCCCGGCUUCGGGGCCCUCUAGUUAUUACAGUUCCUCAGGAGCGACUUUACCCUCGUCGACGAUGUCGGAGACACUAUUCAGACUUGAGCACACCCCUGAGCAAAGUUUUUGAGACGUUCCAGGCCAUGGGAUUUUUGGCUCCUCUGGCUCCUAGGGCACUUCCAGAUCCUGUGCCUUCCCAGUUUCGACUUGAUUUAUAUUGUACGUACCAUCAGUCAGCAGGGCAUCACACUGAUCGUUGCACUGCUCUACGACAUGCCAUAUAGGACAUUGUUGAUUUUAGGACGUUUGGGCAUCCUCAGUCCGAUAUGUUUCCUAUUCCUACCUCAGCUCAGGCCAUGCAUGCAGACUCCCCUUUACCAACAGUCCCUGAUCUUAUUGAUUUGGGCGAUUGACUCAUGAUUGGCUUACCUUGGUACAGUGGUGCUCAGUUUUUGUUCCUUCUAUGGCCAGAGAUGUGAUGACAGGACCAGUCACUGUUUUUGUUUUUGUUUGUUUGGUCUUGUUUUGCUUUUGACUUUUAGAGACUGUAACUCGAUUCUUGAGUAUUGUCUUUGUUAUCCUUCUUUUGCAUGAUGUACUCAUCGGUUAUCUGAUGCGACUCAUGGUAGCUUAGCUUUAAAGGCAUAUCAACAAAAUUUAUACCUUAAAUACUAUUACUAAAGUAGCCAAGCUACUAUAGCAUAGUGGUUCUAGGAUCGUUCACUGGGAAGGGUUUUCGCAAACACAAGUGAUAUUCAAUUUAGGAAAAUAGGUGAUUUUCUUAUGGAUGUUAGCUUUAAAAGAAAAUGUAAAUGUUUUAGAAAGAUUUAAACUAAUUUAAGCUAACAUUAAAGACUAAAAUGAAAGGGUGUAAAAACAAGUUUCUCAAAGAUAGGAUAGCUAUGCUCUGGCUCUUAUGCAAAUUGGAAAUCUCAGGAUAGGCUCCUCGCGUUGGGGUUGCAACUAUGGUGAUGUUUGCUUCCCGAACCGGUAUGGAUUUAGCAAAUCAAGUUUUAAUCCUUUAAAAUGGCAAACAGAUGGCAGUGAAUUUCAUCAGUGGUUAUUCACCUUAGACUUCCUUUGAAUGGCUCGUAAGAGAUAACUAGUAGUCUAAAGCUAAAAGCUUACCAAAUAUUGGCAACUCAAAGUCAUUCUAGGUGAUAAACUCACCUUUCAAUGGCCAUUGAAAUUGGUUCUAAUGGAUUAAUCCAAAACUUGGAAUUGAAAACCUCACCUUCCAAUAGCUCGUAGGAGAUAACUAAUGGAUAGAAAUCCAAAAGCUUAUCAAGUAUUGGCCGUUGGAAGUUGUCCAAAGGAAAUAAAAAACCAAACUUUGCAUUAAUGAACCAUUAAUGAAAAACGACUACCUUACCUUCCGGGUGCGAGAAAUUUCCAUGGGAUUGCAUCCAAGCCAUCACAUAACAUCCAUACUUUGAGAAACUUAAAAGGUUUUAGCCUCUCAUCCUUGGGGAUUUCAUCCACCAAGGAUGUUUGGCUACUAAGAAAAUAGAAAUGGGGAAGAACCGGAGAAGAGAGAAAAAAAAGAACUUUAUAUAUUUCUAUAUCUAUAUAUCAAUAUUUGUUACAACGGAUGCAAGGGGAUAUAAAUAGAGAAGUUUUUCCAACCUUCCUAGCUAAUAAAUCUUAUGAUUGGUGGAUUACAAGGAGAAGAAUGGAAAUUUAUACAAAAAUAUCUAAAAGAAAAGAUCUAAAGUGGAGUCGGCAGAAACAGGGGAAAAUUCGCACCACGCAUGGGGUGUGCGAAUGGUGUGCGAGUUUCGCACACCGUUCGCACAGCUGAGGGGGUGUGCGAGUUUCGCACAAGCCUGGAGCAGUUUUUUUCGAAGGCCAUAUCUUUCUCGUUUCAGCUCCAAAUCAUACACGGUUUGAAGCGUUGGAUUCUUGACUUCCUGAGCUUUGAAAUGGUAUAUAGCAUGUAGAAAAUGGACUUCGGGAAGUGCUCAAAAAGUGCCAAAGAAGACUGCAGCUGCUGUCCUCUAUUUUCCUCUUUGCUUCUUUUUGCUUCUCUUUGCUUCUCUUUGCUUUUCUCCUUUUGUUGGCUUGCUUUGGUGUAGCUAAAAGCUUGCUUUAACUUUUCCAAGUAGCUCCUCCAUCAUUUGGCAUGCUUGAAUUGAUUCAUAAGCUGAUAUAAACAUGUAAACUUGCCACAAAAUGGUUAAAACCAAUUACUAAGGACCUUAAUGAAUUAAUUGGGUUAAAUGAGUAUGAUUACUACUCAAAGGUGCUUAAAACCAUUAUAAUUAGGUCUACAAAAUAGCACUUUUUGGUAGUAAUCAUUAUCCCAUUGGCUGUCUUUUUCUUUAUGGACAUAUGCUUGUGUUUUGUGAUAUGAUGUGUUGUUCUUUUUACUUGAGGCAUCUCUUCACUUGCACAUUGUGGUCUUGAGGCUUGACCUGUCAUGGAGGAUAUUGAGCCUAUUAGCCUAGGAUCAGAGAUUUGACUUAGGGAGUUCGAGACUGUGACACAUCUUCUUAUGAUCAGAGCAGUACCUUUCUCACUUCCCGCACCUUGUCUUUGUUUUGAUCUACAUUCAUCCAUCCAUUGUGAGCUUUGCACAGCAUCACCCUUGUGACCAUUAUAUGACCUUUCCAUCCUCGGUUUUCCUAGCUUUACACAUCCCUUCUCUGAUUCGACCAGGUAGAGUGUGAGGAGUUUGAGCCCAUGGUUGAUCUGGCAUGGCGAGAGUUGGCUUAUGAUCUUUGGGUGGCUUAUGAUAAGUGGAUUGGUCGAUUGCUUGAUGAGACUGUCACUUAUUUUGUCGUGAGUAUAGAGAUUGAUAUUGUAUGAUGAGAGUUGGCUUGUGAUGGGCAGUAUUGCUUGAUGAGAUCACCGUUUACUUUGCCUGAUGAGUACGGUUGAUACAUGAUUCUAGAGGGUUGAUGUGGUUAUAUCAGAUGGACAUCGAUCUUUAGUAUUGAUCAUUUGAGGGCUUGAUAGCACGAUGUUUGAGACCGUGGUCGCAGGAUGGGUGGCCUUCAUUUCGGUUAGCUCACACCCUAUUACCUUUAUUGACAUCUAGACCAUUGCUAGCCCUUUGAGCCUCGCAUGAGCAUCAUAGCCUUUUAUUUCUUAUAGCCUUGCUCACCUUCUACAUCGGGAUAGGGGCCCUUCAGUGUAUGCAUGCAUUGUUUAGGAGUUUCAUGAGCCUUGGACCGAGGGGCACAUCUUUCUCAUUAUCUUUUCCUAUCAUUGCGUCAUUACAUUUCAUCACAUCUCGUUGGUUCUUCAUCCUCUUCUUUAUUAUAUCUAUCAUUUGUUCCGCUUCAUUUUCUUCCACCCCGAGUGGUAAUCCUCCUCAGUUCAUUACAUGGAGGGUAGUCAUGUCAUUUUCCACCAUCUAUCCUACGGACGUUGAUCCGGGGAUCUUAGUUUGAGAAGGUCACAUCAUCAGAGAGAGUUUAUGUUACAUUGACGUUUGAGAGCAUGUUUAUCCAUUUUUUACCUCAUCUUUGUGGCUUAUUGGUUUGCGUUCAGAGCAUGUAUAUUUGUAUGUAUGUAAAAAAAAAAAAAAAAAAAAAAAAAAAAUGAAAAAGAAAAAAAAUGAAUGAAAAAUAAAUAGGUGCAUGGGUGUAUAUUAUUCUCUAUCAUUGAGAGUGUAUAUCAGUGUUCGAGAGUCGCUUUGUUGGAUAUGUCUAUUGAUGGGAGUUUGUAUGUGAGCUCCCUAAGACCUUUCAUUCUUCGUAUUCAUUUUGUUGUACAUUUUGAGAGUGAGAUGAGUGGCCUUCUCUUAGGAGCUUUGGGUCAUUGUCCAUUCCAUCAUUGCAUUCAUUAUUGACAUGACCUCCUUUCAUAUUUGAUUUGAGCAGAUCAUCACUUGUUCUCGUAUUCUAUGCUUCAUUAUCAUCCUCGUUUUCAUUUCUGAUUCAUCAUUUUUAUUUAACCUCUUAUUCCGUUCUUACAGUGACCUCAUUUUCGGGUUUGAUACCCUCUUCGCAUCAUCAUUAUACAUCUCGUCAUCAGUUCGGUUUUUUCUUCAUUGCAUCAUCAUUGUUACCAUGUUCACAGUAGGCAUUUUCAGGUCCAUGGCUCACGAUAUUUUCUAUACAUGUUGCAUUUUAUACAUGAGGGCAUGAGUUUUGAUCAUUGGGUAUUUGGGCUUAGUUUCCCUUCAUUUCUAUCACCCUAACCUUCGUUACGUCCUGAGUCUUAAGACCACCCUGAGGCCAUGACAUCACACAUUGUGUUUGAUAGCUCUUAUGUGAGCGAUACUUGGGAUUGAUUCAAGAGCAUUUUGAUUGUGAUGGACCAGGAGUUAUGGUAUGGCCUUACACUGGGGCAUAGCUAUCUUAGAGAGUUUUUUUUUUUUUAUCGGAUGACCAUUAUGUCGAGGCAUACUCUUCUUAGUCGAUGGCGGAUUUUUGAGCCAUGUCCAUUCCUUGGAGGAUAUCGGAUGCCCUUUUUCACAUUGGAACAUGAGACAUGAUUGACGCAUUUCAUCUGGUGUACUUUACACAGGGGCAUACCCCCCUUUUAGUCGAUGAUGGUUUUGAGGCGUAGCUGUUCCUUGGAGGUGGUCAGAUUUCUUUCACAUUGGAGCAUGAGACAUGAUUGGCGCAUUUCAUCUGGUGUACUUUACACAGGGGCAUACCCUUUUUCGGUCGAUGAUGGUUUUUAGGCAUAGUUGUUCUUUCAAGACGAUUAGAUUCAUUUCACAUUGGAGUACGGGAUAUGAUUGGUUGAUAUCUUUGACGUGAUCACAGGAGCAUAGCCUUCUCAUCAUUGUUGACAUUUUUUGAGAUGAUUGGAUCGGGACACGGGCGCUUAUGAGAGCAUGCAGCGGAGUUUAGUCAUUUCAGGGUUUGCCCUAUACAGGGGCAUAAGCCUUUCAUUGGCGGUUGAUCUUAGAGAUACCAGUUCACAUUGGGACAUGUUUUUUUAGAGGAGGUCAGAUACUCUCUUCACGUUACCAUGAUGACUUUGAAGAGGAGAGAUCCAUUUUGAUCAGAUGAUGUAUAUUGGUUGUACUCCUCUCAUUGAUGUUUGAUUCAGAGAUGCUUGCACUGGGGCAUAGCCCACUCAUCGAUGAUGAUUUUGUGAGAUGACAGUUUAUGCCAGACACAUACUUCCUAAAUUUUAUCUUGCACUGAGGGCUUACCCAUUUUGGGAUGAUGCAUUCAUACUGGGGCAUAGCCACCUUGUUGAUUUUGACAUUGAGACUCCACUUUCUAUUUAUGAUUACAGCUUUCGAUGGAUCAUAGAGUCAUUGACACCUUGGGUUCAGUCUUCUCAACAUAUUUGGUCCGAUUUGGAUAUUCACUUUCCUUUGUUACACACCCAUACAUCCUACAUUGGACACCAUUAUACCUGCACCCAUCUUAUCAGAGCCUUACAUCUUUUGAGCCCACAUAUUUCAUCGUCUUACAUGACCUUAUCCCAUUCUCUUUAUCAGAGGAAGAUACAGACUAGUCUUGAGCUUUCUGGUUGAGUUUUCACAUGCCUUUGGACAUUAGGUUCAACAUCUCCCAUGAUGGUAGGGCCUAUUAGAUUGUUGAUGCACUUGUGAUGAUGUACUCAUAUUGAUAGUUGACAUGUCGUGUUUUGAUUUGCUUACAUUUCAGACCUAGAGUUUUGGUCAGCAUUUGUUUAAUCCAUUAUUUUAGUUUUGCUUUGUCAGCAUAGUUUCGAUGAUGCUUGGACUUGUUUUAGCAUUUGUUCAUUGAGGCUCUGUAUAUGUUUUUUCAUUGCAUCAUCAUUGGGCAUAUCCCAGAGUGUCUUGUUUGGUGACAUUCUAUGUCUUAUGUUGGUUACUAUCUUACAUUGGGGCAUACCCCCAUCCUUGAGUUCAUCAGACCUUUUGAGGACUUUCUCACUACUCAGUCUAUUUCUUGAUCUUUAUGGGUCGUCACACUGGGGCAUACCCCCAUCCUUGAGUUCAUCAGACCUUUUGAGGACUUUCUCACUACUCAGUCUAUUUCUUGAUCUUUGCGAGUCGUCAUACUAGGGCAUACCCCUUUAGCGCUUUUCUACUGGGGCAUUCCCCCAUCUUUGGGUUUAACACAUCUCGUGUAGGUUUCAUAGUUGUCUGACUCAUUUGUCGAUCUUUAUGAGUUAUCACAUAGGGCAUCCCCCUACUGUCAGUUUGUUUAGGGCAUCCCCCUACUGUCAUCUUGUUUAGGGCAUCCCCCUAUUGUCAUCUUGUUUAGGGCAUCCCCCUACUGUCAAUUUGUUUAGGGCAUUCCCCUACCGUCAAUUUGUUUAGGGCAUCCCCCUUCUUUCAGUUCUCACCACCGUAGAUCAGACAUCUAUGGGCUCGUUUCAGUUUUCACCACCAUAGAUUUUCGUCUGUGGGCUUUGAUUAGUUAUAUCACCACCAUAGAUCGGACAUCUAUGGGCAUUUCAGAUUUAUCACCACCAUGAACUAGCUAUCUAUGGGCAUUUCAAAUUUAUCACCACCAUGGAUUAGCUAUCUAUGGGCAUUUCAGUUAUUUCACCACCAUGGAUUUUCAUCCUUGGGCUUUCGAGAUUAUCACCACCAUGGAUCAGCUAUCUAUGGGCAUUUCAGUUAUUUUACCACCAUGGAUUUUCAUCCUUGGGCUUUCGAGAUUAUCACCACCCUAGAUUUUUAUCUGUGGGCCUUUGAGAGUUUCACCACCAUAGAUUGGCAUCUAUGGGCAUUUUUAUUGUAUCACCACCGUAGGUCUUCACCUAUAGGCUUUCUAGUUUAGUGUUUAGGUUUAGUUUUUUUGGUUUAGCUUCCAGAGCUAUUAUUUUUCUUAGUUUAGUGUUUAGAGUCAGUCUUGUCAUUCAGAGUCACAGCUCCUAGCGUUCAUAUUCACUGGCAUUGCACAUCUUACCCUCAUGGUUUUGCAUUCGUCAUCGGUUUUUCUCACUUCGUUACCCGGUGCUUAUCGCAUAUUCAUCUCGGAGUCCACAUAGGGCAAUCUCCUUUGGACACAUUCUUGUUCGUACUCCAGGGCGGUUCGACCGUUACUCAUAUUUAACAUCGAUCUUCGAGUCACUUUUGGAGACAUCUUAGAGGGAGCAUGGAUCCUUAGUGUGGCUUCAGAGGCAUUUUGAGACAUCUUUCUCUUUUAGGAUUAGAGACUUUGUGUUCGUCUACUAGCCUGAGUGAGUUUGCAUUUCACUAGUAUCCCUAUGGGGGUCUCCUUGGUUCUUCGGUAGAAUUCACUUCAUUCCACUCACUAUUCACACUUGCUUUUCACUCCAGUGUUCAUAUUCCUUACACUCGUGAGCUCUACCGAAGAGGGACAUAUUUGUAGACCCCCAUAUGGGGCUUGUUUUUUUUCAUUUGCUGCAGGUCACACUUCUUGCCAAGUGGAGGGCUCUUAAAGAGCCAGAUGCUGCUUCCUGGUUGGGUGGUCAGUGAAUCAGGUAGUAGGUUGGAAAUGCAAUGGGGUGUAGACACCUGUUGGAGGAUAUUCAGAAGAGCUUUUGGGCUGUUAGAGUGGAGUUGGAUGAUAGGAAGGUGAUCCAAGAAGGGGGAAACAGAGAAGAAGAGAGAGGGGAGUUUAGCUUGAGAGGAGAGUUUGGCUGGAGAGGACUGGUGGGAAGGAGGCAUUCCUUGGUUGGUUGCUUGAGAGGAAGGAGAGCUGUCCGAUUUCUUGCCCACCUAGCUGGAAAGAGUUAUUUUGAGGUACGUUUAUUGUGUAUUCUUCGUCAGCUUCUAUUGGUGUGCUUUUCUACUUUGUUUUUGCUGAUUCUCGGAUGAUGAUUGUUGAUUGGGAGUGAAUACGUUCAUAUUUUUACUAAUGGUUUUGUAGUGGUUUAGUUUGCUCUGGUUUUGAUUUCUCCAUGAGAUAUUUUUGUAACCACGUUUUACCUUUCAUUUGACACUCGUUUAAUCUUACCCACCAUCAUCUAAGCCUGUUGGUAUGAUAUGAAGCAUAGCUUGUCGGGCUCAUUUUCUUGUAUCUACUCUUUGUGCUCUGUUUUGUUAUCCUCCUCUGCUUUUGAUAUCCAUCCAUGGUAUGCAUCCAUUUUCUCAUCCUUACUUGAAGGAGAUCCUAGAAAAUCUGGAGUAGUUGUCAUGGCAGCAAAGCUCACCUCAUCAGCAUCCCCAUACCCAUUCUCGUUUAUUAUUCAUCGUUUUAUCCAACAUGCCUACGUCCCCAUCCAUCACUCCACUCAUAUUCCCGUUUAUCUUCAUCAUGCAUAAACCCCCACGCAUCUCAUACCGGGAGGUGAUGUCUCAAGAUGAUAUAGGAAGCUAGUAUUUGAAUUUGUGGAAAGAAGGGCGGAUUUAGUGGUCUCAUGGGAAUACUAUGGCAUGAGGGUGGUGGUUCUAUGCUGAAGAGAUGGUGGACAAUGGUGGAUGUUUCUGGUCUGUCUGUGUUACAAAUCAAGACUUUGGUCUAACAGUGAGGAGAACCAGAGGGACGCAGUGCAUGGAUGAUAUUAAAGAGACUGAUGAUCUUUUUAGACAGCUGAAAGAGCCAGGGAAUUCAUAUGAUAUGGUACAUUCGGGCAAUGUAAGCUUUAGAGUAGAUGCAGUCCGUGUUACUAAGUCAAUUUCGUCACCUCUCAAGGACCCAUUGAUAGAAGUGCACCUAACUUAUAAGUCUCAGGCCUUCCCAUUCGAAAAUCAUGUUGUAGCCAAUAACAGGGCAUCGGGUCAGAUUUCUAAGAAGCUGAAUGUUUAAAUAUCCGGUGUUAAUGAUAUUAUCAUAUGGGUAAAUCACUCUUCAACUCAAUAUCCGGAUGCCAACUAUGAUGCUGUCAAGACCCCUAACUGGUAAAAAGCCUGUGUGAAGGCUUGUGAAUGGUAGAAUGAAGAAUUAAUCACUACCAUAUUCUCACCCUUCAUGCCCGUUUAACCAUACCACCAAACCCGUUUCUCUCUCUAAACCUUCACCUACCUGUAGGAUCCUCCCUAAAAAAAUGCCACGUGGCUCUCUCUCCCUUGCGCAUGCAGACGGUCCCCUUUGCGACGCGCGGCAUAGCUCAUUCCAACCUGGGAAGAAUUCUGUCCGGCCGACAUUCAACCUUCUUUGGAUGUCUCACAUCCGAAAUUCUGUCCGGCUGACGUUCCACCUUCUCCGGAUGUAUCACAUUCGGAAUCCUGUCUGGCCGACGUUCCACCUUCUCCUGAUGUCUCACAUCCGAAAUUUUGUCCGGCCAACGUUCUACCUUACUCGGAUGUCUCACAUCUGGAAUUCUUCUCUACCGACAUUCCACCCAGGUAUCUCACAUUCGGAAUUCUUCUCCGCCGACAUUCCACCCGGAUGUCUCACAUCCAGAAUUUUUCUCCGUCGACAUUCCACCCGGAUAUCUCACAUUCGGAAUUCUGUCCGGCCGACGUUCCACCUUCUCCGGAUAUUUCGCAGCCGGCGCCUGUUGCCGGGUGAGAGAGGAGGACGAUUCAACUUCACCGGACAGACAUGUCCGGAUCCUCUAGUGACGCUUACCCGGACAGCUUGGCUCGUCAGACACUCGCGAUUCACCGAAUCUAUUUCCGCCCACAAUCAAAAGGCAAACUCCGAUAAUACCGACGACCAAGUCUCCUGAACUGUCACUCAUCUUUAAUGCAAGAUAGAUUGGGCUUUGGUGGGGCCCCACACGCGUGAUUUUAUGAUCGAUUGGUGGAUUGAUUGAUUUGAUUGCUAUAUGUGAUUGAUUUACACUAUUCUAUGAUACACACACGAUUAUCCUGUGUUUAAUUGCUAACAUUUGUUUUCAUCGAAGUAAAUCGGUUCAUCACCUAAGUACAUUCUUUGUCUCUCCUAUUCAUUCAGUUAUUUUGUUUCUGGUGAUAUUCAUUUGGUAUCCAUGCUCGAUUAAUCAAUUGCCAUGAUUGCUUCAUUUUAUUAGUAGAGACCCGUUUUAGGGACUUAGAGGGUUGCUACGGUCUUUACCGUACCUUCCCGAUAAGUAACCUAACCCCCGAACCCGAUCCGAUUUUUCGUAGACCACCUUUUCCAAACUAAGGAGUCACACUUAGGGUUUUUUUCUUUCUUAUUUUGUUUACCCUUUAAAAAUAAAACAAAAAUAAGUGGUGACUCCAAGUCAUUUUUUUUAACCGAUUAAAUCAUUUUUCAAAAUAAAAAUCGAGCUCGCCAUCGAGUGGGGAACGCAUGAGCCGAAAUGCAGGGUCCACAACAUUAUACUUGGAAACUUAUGAUCUAUUUUUUCUAUUUUAAAUGUAAUUAAUAAUAUAAAAAUUUAAUAUAUUUAUGAUAACUUUAACAAAAUUAAUUUAUUUGUAAAAAUUUAUUAAUUUUUACUAUUUUACAUAUAUAUAUAUAUACACACUAGUAGAAAGCACAUGUGUUGCACGUGAAGAUUUAUGUAGGUAUGCGAUUGUUGAUAUAUGAAAUUAAUGAAAUUACAUUGUACUUGUAGGAAAAUAGAUCAAAUAUAAUAUUAUUGUAGACAUAUUUGUGUCAUAAUCUAUACAUUUUGUAAUCCAUCAUUAUUGUGAUGUAUCAUUUAAGAAAAUUAACUUAGUUGUUUUCUUACAAAAGUUUGGAGGAAUUAUGAUCAUUAACUACUUGUUUGUCUUUGCAGUAGUCUGCACUAUAGUCUUUUUUUUUUCCUCAUGCAGAAAAGUUACACAUAUUUGAAAAUGUAUUAGUUGAAAUAGAAAAAUAAUGUUUCAAAAAAAUAUAUGGGCAAAAUAUUUCAACAUAAGCUAAUGGUACAUUACCUUAUAUUAUUUUUUGGGGUUUUUUUUUUUUUUUGCUCAUUUUUCUCUCAAUGUUUAUAAAUUUGCAUUGAAGAAAUAAGUUUUAUUAUUUUUAAAUUCAAUUUAGAAAAUGGUAAUAUUGUGAAAGUUACAUUCAUUUAUAAUGAUACCAACAUAUACUUACCUCAAUAAUAUAAAAUUAUUCUCUUUGAUGUUUCUUUUUCCAGAAAUGAGUUGGAAAUAAGAUAAGUUUUGUUUAUAAAAUUUCAAUUUAAUUAUUUUGGGCAAAAGUAUAUAAUAUAUUGGACAUACCUGUUAAGAAAGUUGACAUCCUAUGGUCUUUUUGAUGAGUUUGUUUAAUAAGUUUCACCUAACUAAGAAUAGUAUAAAGAUAAAUUUAUGUGUAAUUCUAUUAAUAUUGUUAUAUUAUCGAUAAAAAGAUACGUACCUGUGGACCCCACAUUUCGGGUCAUGCAUUUUCCACUCGAUGGCGAGCUCGAUUUUUAUUUGAAAAUGAUUUUAUUAUUUAAAAAAAAUGACUUGGAGUCGCCACUUAUUUUUGUUUUAGUUUUAAAAGGGUAAACAAAAUAAGAAAGAAACCCUAAGUAUGACUCCUUAUUUUGGAAAAGGUGGUCUAUGAAAAAUCAGAUUAGGCUCGGGGGUCGGGUUACUUAUCGGGAAGGUACGGUAAAGACCAUAACACCCCUCUAAGUCCCUAAAGUCGAGUCUCUACUAAUAAAAUGAAACUGACGUGACAAUCAAUAGCAAAAUUAAUGGAUACUCAAAUCGGUCAUGCACAUAUGGGAAUCAAAACAUGUAUAGAGAAUGACUAGAAUGGGAGUGGAUGGGUACCUGGGCCAUGAACGAGCAAUGCGCUAUCAUAAAAAUGGGGUCAAUGUACAAUAAAUAGCACAAAACAUAUCACAUGCAUCACCAAACAUAAAUUAAAACUGCUCGAGGGAAAAUUGGAUUUUUGAAAUUUAUUUGAAAAUUGGAGUUUUAGAGAUUAUUUGAAAAUUUGAGUUUUGGAGAUUAUUUGAAAAUUGGAUUUUUAGAAAUUAAAUGUAGGAAUGAGAAUUUUAGAAAUUAAAUUUGAAAGAAAUCAGAAUUUUGAAAAUUAUUUGAGAGUUUGGGAUUUUUUAAAAAUUAAAUUAUGAAAUUGGGGUUUUUGGAAAUUAAAUUUUAAAAGAAAUCAGAAUUGAAAAUUAUUUUAGAAGUAGAAACUAUGAAAAUUGAAUUAUAAAAAUUGGAAAUCUUAGAAAUCAUUCGAAGGUAGAAUUUUUAGAAGUAAAUUAAUAAAAUGAUAAUAAUAAUGAUAAUAAUAAGUAAGUAAUGAAAUAAAUGCGAGAAUUAGAAUAUUAGAAAUUGAAAAUUAAGUUCGGAAAUUGAAAAAUUGGAAUUUCAAAAAACUAAAUUUGGAAAUCGGAAUUUUGAAGAAUUAUUUAAGGACAUAAUUUUAAAUAAAUGAAUAAGUGAAUAAAUAAAUGAAUGGAAUAAUAAUAAUGACGAAGUAAUAAUGAUUGGAUGAAUAAUUGAGGAAGUUAGGAUUUCGGAAAUUGAAAAUUGAACUUAGGGAUUGGAAAUUUAAAGAAUUAUUUAGGGAUGAAAUUUUAAAUAUAUGAAUAAGUGAAUAAAUAAAUGAAUGAGAUAAUAAUAACGAAAAUAAUCAUUAAACAACAAAAUGUGAAUAGUGGAAUUUUUUAAAUUGAAAAUUAAAUUUGGAAAAUGGAAUUUUGAAAAUUUGAACUUUAAUGAUUGGAAUUUUUAAAAGAAAUAAAUAGAAUAAUAAUAAUAACAACGAAAGCAAUAUUUAAACGAAUGAACGCGAAUAGUGGAUUUUUUGAAAUUUGAAAAAUUCUUUAAAGAGGGAAUUUUUAGAAUAAACAAACAAAUAAAUAAAUGGAAUAAUAGUAAUAACGAGAAUAAUAAUGAUUAGAUAUAAUAAUUGUGAAAAUUGGAAAGUGAAUUUAGAAAUUGGAAAAUUGAAGAAUUAUUUAAAGAUGGAAUGUCGGAAAAUUAAAUAUUGAAAGCUGGAAACCCGAAAAAUUAUUUUAAGGCUAGAAUGUUGGAAAAUUAAAAUUUGAAAACUGGAAACCCAAAAAAAAUUAUUUUAAGGAUGGAAUGUCGGAAAAUUAAAUUUCAAAAACUAGAAACCCGAAAAAUUAUUUUGAGGAUGGAAUGUCGAAAAAUUAAAUCUUGAAAAUUUUGUUUUGAUAUCAAAAUGUGAAGAAAUAAUAAAAAGAAAUAUGAAUUAUGGUGAUCUUCACGUGCACGUCUCCAGUAUAAUGGCCAUAAACCCAUUUUAUAUAUUCUUUUCCACCACCUGAGCAAACAGCUUUUGCAUGAAGAUUGACGAGUGGGUGUGGAGGUUGGUAUGGCCAUGCAUGCGUGAGGAUGUGUUGGACGGAUAUGAAGGUUGGUGUGGCCAUGCAUGCGUGAGGAUUUUAAGGAUGGAAUUAAAUUUCGAAAACUGGAAACCCGAAAAAUUAAUUUUAAGGAUGGAAUGUCGGAAAAUUAAAUUUUGAAAACUGGAAACCCGAAAAAAUUUAUUUUAAGGAUGGAAUAUCGGAAAAUUAAAUUUCGAAAGCUGAAAACCCGAAAAAUUAUUUCAAGGAUGGAAUGUCGGAAAUAUAAAUUUCGAAAACUGGAAACCCAAAAAAUUAAUUUAAGGAUGGAAUGUCGGAAAAUUAAAUUUCGAAAACCGGAAACCCGAAAAAUUAUUUUGAGGAUGGAACGUCGAAAAAUUAAAUUUCAAAAACUGGAAACCCGAAAAAUUAAUUUAAGGAUGGAAUGUCAGAAAUAUAAAUUUCGAAAACUGGAAGCCCGAAAAAUUAAUUUAAGGAUGGAAUGUCGAAAAAUUAAAUUUCGAAAACUGGAUGGAAUAUCAGAAAAUUAAAUUUCGAACGCUGGAAACCCGAAAAAAUUAUUUUAAGGAUGGAAUGUGGGAAAUAUAAAUUUCGAAAACUAGAAACCCGAAAAAUUAUUUUAAGGACGGAAUGUCGGAAAAUUAAAUUUCGAAAACUGGAAAGCUGAAAAAUUAUUUUGAGGAUGGAAUGUCGAAAAAUUGAAUCUUGAAAAUUUUGUUUUAUAUCAAAAUGUGAAUAAAUAAUAAAAAGAAAUAUGGAUUGUGAUGAUCUUCAAGUGCACGUCUCCAGUGUAAUGGCCAUAAACCCAUUUUAUAUAUUCUUUUCCACCACCUGAACAAACAGCUUUUGCAUGAAGAUUGAUGAGUGGGUAUUGAAAAAUGAUGACAUGGGCAAGGUAAUGGAGUCAGCCACUAGCAGGAAAUAAAUAAAAAAUAAAAAUCCUACAGACCCAUUUAAUUCGACAUCAAACCAGAAAGCAAAACCAUGCAGUGGAGCUCACAUCAACUGUAUCACUCUUUCUUAUCAAACUUCUUUCGAAUAUAUCUAGGAAUUCUCUUUGGAAUUCCCAUUACCUCAGAAGGAAACAGAAUUCUAGAUGAGUUGUGACCCUAGUAGUAACCAUAUCUGGCUAAAAAAAAACCCAAAGACCGUUCUUUGGUCUUGGUCCAGAUGAUAUCUUCAAUUCCAAGAAACAAAACUCCCUCGGUUGGUCUGGAUUCCCUUACAGGAACUUGGGAAGCAUUCCGACAACAUGGAGAUGACAGUUGUUCAGUUAUACCAUUAUUUGUCACCUUGUUUUUUUUUUUUUUUUUUUUCAGCAAGCUUAACGUCUUUUCCAGUUCACUAACAUGUCUAGGAUGAUAUACUGGUAUUAGACAAUUUGAUAUAUCCGAAAUGACCUUCACAUUGUCCAGGUUCGAUGCAAUACUAAUUUCCUGUCUCAUAGCCAACCCAAACAUGAUACCCAACAUUCCAAAAGUGCACGAAACAGAGGAAGUGAAGAAAAACAGAGCAUAUACAAACGAAAAAGAUAGGAUUGAACUCGGCUCCAUUUCAUAAAGAUCAAUGGGCUGGAUACAGGUGCCAUAGGAAGGAAGCAAAAAAAAAAUGAUUUUGAUACAUCAAGCUCAGGGGAGAAAACAAAGCAUCAGGCAUUGACAAGAAAGAUAGAAAAAAAAAACACCAGAAACAAAACCAAAACAGAGAAUGCAUACAAAGGAUAGAUCCCUCAAAGCAAACAAGUGGCCUAGUAGUCAUACCUGUUGAGAAAAUUUGGAUACAAUGGAGAAAGGAAACACUCUCACACACUCACUUUGAUACAAUAAAACUCUCAAAGAUACAAAAUAAGAACAAGAAGAAGAAGAACACAAGAAAGGCUCAAACAAGUUCUUGGAACUUUGUCCAAAGACUCUAUUUCCUCCCACCUCUAGAAAUCUUUUUGGGAACUAAAAGGAAAUAGUCUUGGGAUUGAUCAAGCCUUUUCACUUUUCUGCAUAAGAUUUCAAAAAGAAGAAAAGUCAUAUAUAUAGCACUCUUAGGGUUGAAAAAAGGUUACAAGGAUGAGAAAAAACCCAUUGUCUUCCUCAAUCUCUUCAUCUUUGUAACAUUCAAAAUUAAAUCAUAUGUUUAAUUCACACAUUAAACAUGAUUUAAUCUCAAAUGUGUAACUCUCUUACACUUAACCUCUUAAGUUUAUAAAGUUACAAAGAUGAGAAGACUCAUUGUCUUCCUCAACCUUUCAAGUUUUGUAACAUUUCAAAACUUAAUCAUGUGUUUAAUUCACACAUUAAAAGUGUAACCCUUCUUACACUUUAUUUUCCAAAAGUUAUUUUCAAAAGUGUAACUCUUCUUACACUUUAUUUUUAACCAACAAUAUAUAUAUAUUUAUAUAAAUAUAACAAUCCCCCACUUGGUUAAAAAUAAACAUAAACCCUUAUAACCUUAACAGUGAAAAUGCAUAAAAUAAAAUAUCUUUCAAUUUGAAUUUUACCUUAGUGUAAUUGUCACAAAGCUCCGUUGAAAUCCCAGGUUGCUUGUAGCAUUGAACCAGUUAUUCCUUGUAACGAAACCGGUAACAACACACACACUUCCACUAACCACACGAGUGCCCAUUAUUUUCUUGCUUAGCACUUUUAUGGCCAUGUGCUCAAUCCAUUCAUGAACUUUCUUGAAAGAAACUCCAACUCUCAUGAGAGGCGGCACCACCCCUAAGUUCACAUAGGUGAAAUUUUUCCAGCAUUCUUGUUACUUUUAAGAUGCUUGUCACACAUAGACUGAAUUUCAUUAAAAGCUUUAAGCUUAACCCUCCAACGGUAACAACCAGCAUUAAUCAUCACAGAUGGAACUCACAUGUUCUAAUGCUGUCACAACCCACUUAUCAAUGACUUGUUUUUACCCAUUGAACUUAAGACUAGUCAUUUCGUAGUAUUAAGUUGGGUUACCAUCAUUGGUGAGUUUUAUUUAAGGAGUUUUAGUCCCAUCCCUCUAGAUGUUAUCCUUACUAAAUCUCUUGUAAGAGGUUUAGUAAAAGGAUCCGCCAAGUUUCCACUUGACCUCACAAAUGAGAUUGAGAUGAUUCCAUUUUGAAUCAAUUGUCUUACAUACUCAUGUCUAAUGCUUAUAUGUCUAGACUUCCCAUUGUACACUCCACUGUACGCACGAGCUAGAGUGGCUUGACUGUCACAAUGUAUCGACACUGUUGACACAUUAUUUGCAGUAAAAGGGAUGUCCAUCAUGAGAUCCCUAAGCCACUCAAGUUCUAUUCCAGUUGCAGCUAGAGCUAUAAACUCUGCCUCCAUGGCUGAGUGUGAUAUGCAAGUUUGUUUCUUGGAUCCCCAAGAGACAGCCCCACCACCAAGUGUAAACACCCAACCUGUGGUAGAUAAAUUAUCUCCCACACUCGAUAUCCAGCUUGCAUCUGAAUACCCUUCAAUUAUAGCAGGAAACUUUGAAUAUUGGAGGCUUAGUUCUUUGGUAUUCUUUAGGUAACCAAGAACUCUACCAAUAGCUUUCCAAUGUUCCACACUUGGAUUGCUAGUAAACCUACUUAGUUUACUAACUGCAAAUGAAAUGUCAGCCCUAGUACACUGAGCAGCAUACAUAAGACUUCCAAUUGCACUUGCAUACUCAAGUUGAGCCACCGAUCUACCAUCAUUCUUUUCAAGUUUUAUACUUGAAUCAAAUGGAGUAUUAGCAUCUUUAAUCUUGAGAUGACUAAAUUUGCUAACUACUUUCUCAAUAUAGUGGGUUUGGUUCAAAGCAUAACCCCCACUAUUUCUUUUCACUUUGAUACCCAAUAUAGUAUCAACUUCUCCAAGAUCUUUCAUCUUGAAGGUUGGGGAUAGAAACCUUUUCAUUUCUAUUAUUCCUUUCAUGUCAUCACUCAAGAUUAACAUGUCAUCCACAUAUAGACACACUAUGACCAUAUAGUCAUCACAAGUCUUAGAAUAUAAGCACUUGUUCACAUUGUUGUGUCUAAAUCCAUCCGAAAGAAUAGCAUGAUCAAAUUUUUCGUGCCAUUGUUUGGGAGCUUGUUUUAAACCAUAUAAUGAUUUGACAAGCUUACACACUUUGUUUUCAUUCCCCAGUAGAAUAAAACCUUCAGGUUGUUCCAUGUAGACCUCCUCAUUGAGAUCCCCAUUCAAGAAUGCCGUUUUGACAUCCAUUUGAUGAACAAAUAGAUCAUGAAUUGAUGCCAAAGCAAACAAUAUCCUAAUCGAUGUUGUUCUAGCCACCGGCGCAUAGGUAUCAAAAUAAUCAAUACCUUCUCUUUGUUUAAACCCCUUAGCUACUAAUCUAGCCUUAAAGGUUUGAAUCAUGCCAUCGGUGUGAUAUUUCCUUCAAAAUACCCACUUGCACCCUAUUGGUUUAGAUCCUGGUGGAAGGUCUACCAAUUCCCAUGUUUGGUUGGACAUAAUUGAAUCCAUUUCAUCAUUGAUAGCCUCUUUCCAAAAAGCAACAUCUCUAGAAGCCAUAGCUUCUUUGUAUGUUUUGGGAUCCUCCUCUAUUUGAAGUACUAUAGGAAUUUUUCUUAUAAUAUCUUCUCUAUUUCCUUCUACUAAGUAAAAGGAAAUUAUUUGAGAGUCAAUCUCAUCCGAUCCCAACACUUUCUCUUUUCUAGCUCUUUGGCUUUUCCAAGGCACAAUGGGUUGCUCAACAACCUUUGAAGGUGUCUCCUCUGGAGACUCUCCAACACUAGUAGGUACUUGAGAAUUGCUAUCACUCAACAAAUUCUCAAAGAACUCUACCUCUCUUGAUUCAAUUAUCACAUUAGACUCCAAGUCUAAUAGCCUAUAAGCUUUGCUAUUUGAGGCAUAGCCUACAAAUGCACACUUAACGGCUCUUGGACCCAAUUUUGAUUUAUUUGGAUCCGUUUUCUUGCAAUAAGCAAGACACCCCCACACUUUGAAGUAACCUAUAUUAGGCUUCCUUCCUUUCCAUAACUCAUAUGGAGAUAUCUCUUUUUUCUUCAUAGGAAUUCUAUUCAAAAUAUGGCAAGCAAUCAACAAAGCUUCACCCCACAAAUUGAAAUUCAAUUUAGCAUGCAAUAACAUAGCAUUCACCAUUUCCAAGAAUGUUCUAUUCUUUCUCUCCGCUAUGCCAUUGUGUUGAGGUGUAUAGGGUGCGGUGCACUCAUGUAUUAUGCCAUAUUCUUCACAAAAAGAAUUGAAUUCACUAGAGAAAUAUUCACCACCUGUAUCACUUCUAAGCACCUUAAUAUUUUUUCCUAGUUGAUUUUCAACUUCGGCUUUGUAAACUUUAAAGGCAUUGAAAGUUUCACUUUUGUUUUUCAACAAAAACACAUAGGUAAAUCUAGAACAAUCAUCUAUGAAUGUAAGAAAAUACCUAUUUCCACCUCUUGUUAACAUGCCAUUAAGUUCACAAAGAUCACUAUGUACUAAAUCAAGCAAAUUAGAUGAUCUCUCAACACUAUGAAAAGGCUUUUUAAUCAUCUUUGAUUUAACACAUAUUUCACAUUUUUCAAAUUUCUUGGUAUCACAAGCAAUCAAACCACAUUUCACAAUCCUUUUAAUAGUGCUUAAACCAACAUGUGCAAGCCUAUUAUGCCACAAAAAUAAAGAAUUUGAAUCACACAUAUAAGCGGAAGUAGAAGCCAUUUUAAUGAUAUUGUCAUUGGUACAAAGUUUGAUCAUCCCAUCACAAGAAUACCCCUUUCCCACAAAGUUCCCCGAUUUGGAUAAAAUUAGUUUACCGGAUUCAAACACUGCUUUGAUACCCGGUUUGCCAAGCAAAUCCCCACUAACCAAAUUUUUAUUCAUAUCGGGGACAUACAAUACAUUUAUAAGGGUAACCCUUUUUCCGGAGGUAAAAGCAACUUCAAUAGUGCCCUUGCCAAGCACUUUGGAUCUUCCUUCAUUGCCCAUUUGAACCUCUUGAUCUCCCUUUGCAUCUUCAAAGGUCUUGAAAAGAGAUUUGUCAUAGGUAACAUGAACUGUGGCACAAGUAUCAUACCACCAUCCUUGCACCUUUCCUUGGACAACGCACACAUCGCUUAGUGUUGUAAUGAUCUCCUCAUCAAUUGCAUUCACCACAGCCCCUUUUUGGUCAUUUCGGUACCUACACUCCCUAGCAUAAUGCCUGGGUUUUCCACACACAAAACAAGGACCUUUCUUGCCCUUAAAUUGCUCUUGAUUUUUCUUGGGGCUCAUAUAAUUUCCGGAAUUCCUUUUGUUAUUUUUACCUCUAGGAUGAUUGGCCUUUGAAACCGCAUUGGUUUUGUUAGUCCCACCAUUGGACUCUUCCACCAUUUUGUCUCUUGAUCUCGAUUCUUCCUCAAUGCGAAGAUGUUUUUGAAUCUCUUCCAAGGAGUAAUCUUCACUCUUGUGGAGAAUCCUCUUCCGGUAACCUUUCCAACUUGAUGGUAAUUUAGCCACAAUAGAACCAACUUGGAAGGCCUCCGGAAGUUCAAUUUUGAGAACUUUCAACUUAUUCACAAUACUUGCAACUCAUGAAUUUGUGGUAGAGAGGCUUUUCAUCAAAAAAUUNNNNNNNNNNNNNNNNNNNNNNNNNNNNNNNNNNNNNNNNNNNNNNNNNNNNNNNNNNNNNNNNNNNNNNNNNNNNNNNNNNNNNNNNNNNNNNNNNNNNNNNNNNNNNNNNNNNNNNNNNNNNNNNNNNNNNNNNNNNNNNNNNNNNNNNNNNNNNNNNNNNNNNNNNNNNNNNNNNNNNNNNNNNNNNNNNNNNNNNNNNNNNNNNNNNNNNNNNNNNNNNNNNNNNNNNNNNNNNNNNNNNNNNNNNNNNNNNNNNNNNNNNNNNNNNNNNNNNNNNNNNNNNNNUUGAUUGUUGAGAAAAUUUGGAUACAAUGGAGAAAGGAAACACUCUCACACACUCACUUUGAUACAAUAAAACUCUCAAAGAUACAAAAUAAGAACAAGAAGAAGAAGAACACAAGAAAGGCUCAAACAAGUUCUUGGAACUUUGUCUAAAGACUCUAUUUCCUCCCACCUCUAGAAAUCUUUUUGGGAACUAAAAGGAAAUAGUCUUGGGAUUGAUCAAGCCUUUUCACUUUUCUGCAUAAGAUUUCAAAAAGAAGAAAAGUCAUAUAUAUAGUACUCUUAGGGUUGAAAAAAGGUUACAAGGAUGAAAAAAAACCCAUUGUCUUCCUCAAUCUCUUCAUCUUUGUAACAUCAAAAUUAAAUCAUAUGUUUAAUUCACACAUUAAACAUGAUUUAAUCUCAAAUGUGUAACUCUCUUACACUUAACCUCUUAAGUUUAUAAAGUUACAAAGAUGAGAAGACUCAUUGUUUUCCUCAACCUCUUCAUCUUUGUAACAUUCAAAAUUAAGUCAUAUGUUUAAUUCACACAUUAAACAUGAUUUAAUCUCAAAUGUGUAACUCUCUUACACUUAACCUCUUAAGUUUAUAAAGUUACAAAGAUGAGAAGACUCAUUGUCUUCCUCAACCUUUCAAGUUUUGUAACAUUUCAAAACUUAAUCAUGUGUUUAAUUCACACAUUAAAAGUGUAACCCUUCUUACACUUUAUUUUCCAAAAGUUAUUUUCAAAAGUGUAACUCUUCUUACACUUUAUUUUUAACCAACAAUAUAUAUAUAUUUAUAUAAACAUAACAAUACCUGGAUGUUUUCCUCAAGCCAAAAGUUUCCUGGCCACCCGCUCUACUCUCCUCCUUUCCCUCUCCUGCUUCAGCCAAAGAACCCCUCUUUUAGAAAGAAUCCCCUCACCUCCAAAUCUCCCCUGUUUCCCCGUCUUCCUUAGCAAGCCACUACCUGCUCUCAUGUGCACCAUUCCGCCAAUGCGUCAUCCUCACCCACCACCAUGGGCGAGCCGUGCUCUUGGCCACCUGUCCAUGCAGCUUCUUCAUGGCAAAAAAGGCCCCCCCCCCUCUCAUCUCAAAAAAAUGAAUGGAAAAUCCCUCAAAGCAAACAAGUGGCCUAGUAGUCAUACUUGGAUGUUUUCUUCAAGCCAAAAGUUUCUUGGCCACCCGCUCUGCUCUCCUCCCUUCCCUCUCUUGCUUCAACCAAAGAACCCCUCUUUCAGAAAGAAUCCCCUCACCUCCAAAUCUCCCCUGUUUCCCCGUCUUCCUUAGCAAGCCACUACCUGCUCUCAUGUGCACCAUUCCGCCACUGCGUCAUCCUCACCCACGACUUCCGCCACUGCGUCAUCCUCGCCCACCACCAUGGGCAAGCCGUGCUCUUGGCCACCUGUCCAUGCAGCUUCUUCAUGGCAGAAAAGGGGUCCCCCCUCAUCUCAAAAAAAUGAAUGGAAAAUUCCCCCCCCCCCCCCCCCUCCCCCCGGGUGGUCCCAAACAAAUGACCUUGGUCUUUUAAGGGGUUUACAGUACCAUAGUCAAAUCAAACUCAAAAGAUGUAGUAAUUCUUAAUUAAUCUAAAAAUAUGAAAUUAGAGUUAUUAUAAAUGAUAAAAUUAAUUAAUUUGUAGAAGUUUACAAAAUGAACCAUUGUUUCUUUUAUUUUGUCAAAAUGUUUUUUACCAUCAUCCAUAGAGUUGGCGGAUCAACUUUGACUAUAGCACCCCAUUUUGGACUAUAGAGUUGUAGCUUCAACUAAGAUUAGUUUGAUUAGGUUAGUAAUUAAUAUGAAUUAAAAACUUAAUAUUUGAAUAUUAUGUGUAAGAUGUAAUCCCUUGUUUUUAGUCAUUGAUGGUACUUGUCCUUUUAUUGCAUGAAAACAAAUCUGAAUUGGAAAUGUUAAAGUGGAGUGUAAAUAAAUAGAAAUAUGAUCAUAAUUUAUGUUGUUGAACAUAGAUAACAUGGCGACACCGUUAAGUAGAUAAACUAAAAGAUAACAAUAUAAUAAGAAUUCUAACAUUAUUCGUUAUCAAAUAUUUUUUAUGAUUUUCUAUCCCUUGAUUCUGAAAAUAAAAACGUAGAUAAGGUAAAAAGCAACAAAUAGUAAAAAAAUAUAAAAGCAAGAAAAUGAUAAACAAUGAAAUAAAUAAGUUAAAAAUGACAAACCGUGAAAUAGAUAAGUUAGUUAUUGUAAAAUUCUUUGACAAAUGAUUUAUAAAAUAUGUAUUUUUUUUUUGGGUUAUCGCAUGAAAAAAUUAUUUAAAUUAUAUGUUAUUUUACUGAUAAAAGGUAAUUUCAUUAAAUAUUUACUGUUUCAUCGAAUUCUUUUAUUGAAUUAUUUUGUAUUGGGUUCUUUAAAUGUUGUUUCAUACAUAGAUAUGUGGUUAUUCAUGCCCACGUUGUUUUCUAAAGUGUUUGAUUUUUAAUUAUAAGUGUAUAAUAAUUUUCGUGGAAUAAUCUUUAAAAAUUAAAUAAAAAUAAAAAUAUAUAAUAAAAAAACAUAUUAUUUUAUAUUUUUAAGAAUUAUAGAAACUAUCCUUUAUUUCCUAUUGUUAAAAUUGCUUUCAAACGUAGCCUCACUACCGCAAAUUUCUUACACCACACAACGUUGUAAAUAACAGAGGGAACACAGUUUAGUUUAGUUGGUGUAGACACAUACUUUGUUGCAGCUUAUGAACUUGAAUAUUCUCAAGUUCUAACAAUUGUUAAAUUUAAAAUUAUGUUUUAAUAUAUAUAGAAGUCAACAUUGUGAAAAUAUUAUGAAAGAUAAUACUAUCGUUGUAAAAUUUUUAUUAAAUUUUGAAAAAAUGUAAUGCAAUUUGAAUUUUUUUUUAAAAAAAUUAUAGUUUAAUAAAAAUAUCUAUGCACAUGUAUAAGUAAUCUUGUUAAGGUAAUUUAUGAAUUUUAAAAAAUAUCCUAUUUAAAAACUAAUCUAAUUAUACUAACAGACAAUAGAUGAAUUAUCCAAAAUAAUAAAAAAAUAAAAAAUAAAAACUAACAUUUUGUUUGUUAAUGCAUAAUAAUAAUAAAAAAAGAUAUUAUCAACAAAUAAAUACCUUGAUAUGUUUAAAAUGAGCGGGAAAUUAUUUCUUCAACCAUAAUUGGUCAUCAUUUUUUAUCUCUAAAAUAUGAAAAUAGAAACAUAGAUAAGUUAAAAACCAAUAUAUGAUAAAUAAAAAAAACAAAAAAAAAACUUGAUGAUAAGAAAAUGAUAGAGGGUAAAUUAGAUAAGUUCAUUACCUAAGAUGAAAGGCCAGUUUAGUAUCAAAUUCCAUGGGAGGUUGUUAUAAGAUAUGUACAUAUAUAAUAUCAAAUGACUUAAAGUAGGAGAUAUUUAUUGAGGUUUAAUAUUAAUAUCAUGAAAAUAAAUGAAAGUCAUUAAUUUAAAAUUGAAUCAUUUUUUUAAGGGAAAGUUCUGUUUGCAGGCUGCUAUUAGGAAGAUAUAUGGUUUUGGAAACCCAUGUAAAUGAAAUAUGAAAUGUCCUUGUUAAUGGAGAAAAUAUUAUCUUUCUCAUGCACUCUUUGCUAACUCCAAUUUAUAUUCCUAGGUUGCCCCUCCAUGCCUCCAUAUCAGCAAGAAGCCCUCCAUGCCAAUGAGAGAGUGAAAUUUUUUAAAACAAAAAUCUAAAUUUGAAACCUAUGAAAAAUGACCCGACCUGACAACCAUCUCUAAUUUCCUUAAUCUGAAAUUUUCUUCUCUCUGAUUUGAGAGCAUUUCUCUUUCUCUCCCUCUCUCUCUCUCUCGGCUUCAUCACCCACAUAAUCCCAAGACCCAUGUAAAAUUUCCCAAAAAUUGUCUUAUUUGAGAGAAAAAAACCAUUAAUCCAAAACUCUAACUUGCAUGUUUCUUUCUUGUCCACAUAAAAGUGCAAUGAAAUGGAGCAUUCCAUCCUAAGAAUGUCCAAUUAAAAGACGACUUCAAGAGGCACAUCUGUGAUUGUGAAUCUACUACAGCAGCGCGUACCAAAACGGAAAGGUGGAAUCCAAAAUAUUGGCUCUGUAAACAAGAUAUCUCUUUCUAUCAUUGAGUGACAUUUUGCCCUAACCCUAAACCGAAAUCUGAAGGUAAAUUAUUUUCAUUUAUUGUUCUUUAGUUCAUUUAUUUGAAAUAGAGCACAUCAAUGUUUUGGAGUCGUUUGUGGACAUGAACUUUUGUGUUGGGUUUUGGGAACCAUAUUAUUCCUAAAUAAUCAUAUGACCCACAAGUCAUAUUGAACCAAGAUGGAACUUACAACAUAUAUGGUUGUAAGUCGCAUUGUUAUUUUGCGGAUUGUACCUUAGGUACUACCUUAAUAGCCCUUAGGUACCACCUUAACCUACCUUAGGUACUACCUUAAGCCACCUUAGGCACUACUUUAGUUAAAGUUAGGUUGUACCUAUCCAAAGCAUCGAACCUUCCUUUGUCACCCUUAGAGCAUGCCAUUAUGUGAUUCUUUUAUGUGGUCAAGUGGUUCGCCUUUGGUUUUUUGUGGAUUAUACCUUAGGUGCUACCUUAAUAGUCCUUAGGUACCACCUUAUUCUACCUUAGGUACUACCUUAAGGGACCUUAGGUACUACCUUAGUUAAAGUUGGGUUUUACCUAUUCGAUGCCUUGGACCUUCCUUUGUGACCCUUAGAUCAUGUCAUUAUGUUAUCUUUUGUGUGGGCCAGUGGUUCACCUUUGAUUUUUUAGGGACAGUACCUUAGGUACUACCUUAAUAGCCCUUAGGUACCACCUUAAUCUACCUUAGGUACUACCUUAACCGACCUUAGGUACUACCUUAGUUAAAAUUGGGUUCUACCGAUCCGAAGCCUUUGAUCUUCAUUUGUCACCCUUAGACCAUGCCUUUAUGUGAUUCUUUUGUGUGGUCAAGUGGUUCACCUUUGGUUUUUUGCAGACUGUACCUUAAGUACUACCUUAAUAGCCCUUAGGUACCACUUUAAUCUACCUUAGGUACUACCUUAAGGGACCUUAGGUACUACCUUAGUUAAAGUUGGGUUCUACCUAUCCGAAGUCUUGGACCUUCCUUUGUGACCCUUAAACCAUGCCAUUAUGUAAUUCUUUUGUGUGGGCAAGUGGUUCACCUUUGGUUUUUUGGGUACUGUACCUAAGGUACUACCUUAAUAGCCCUUAAGUACCAUCUUAAUCUACCUUAGGUACUACCUUAUGUUAAAGUUGGGUUCUACCUAUCCAAAGCCUCAGACCUUCCUUUGUGACCCUUAGACCAUGCCAUUAUUUGAUUUUUUUGUGUGGGCAAGUGGUUCACCUUUAGUUUUUUGGGGACUGUACCUUAGGCACUACCUUAAUAGCCCUUAGGUACCACUUUAAUCUACCUUAGGUACUAUCUUCAUAGCCCUUAGGUACCACCUUAAUCUACCUUAGGAACUGCCUUAACCGACCUUAGGUACUACCUUAGUUAAAGUUGGGUACUACCUAUCCGAAGCCUUUGACCUUCCUUUGUGACCCUUAGACCAUGCCAUUAUGUGAUUUUUUUGUGUGGUCAAGUGGUUCACCUUUGGUUUUUUUAGGACUGUACCUUAGGUACUACCUUGAUAGCCCUAAGGUACCACCUUAAUAUACCUUAGGUACUACCUUAACCAACCUUAGGUACUACCUUAGUUAAAGUUUGGUUCUACCUCUCCGUAGCCUCUAACCUUCCUUUGUCACCCUUAGACCAUGCUGUUAUGUGAUUCUUUUGUGUGGUCAAGUGGUUCACCUUUGGUUUUUUGCGGAAUGUACCUCAAGUACUACCUUAAUAGCCCUUAGGUACCACCUUAAUCUAACUUAGGUACUCCCUUAAGGGACCUUAGGUACUACCUUAGUUAAAAUUGGGUUCUACCUAUCUGAAGCCUUUGACCUUCAAUCCCGGACAUUACUUGUUAUAUUUUAAAUUUUCUAGUUUAUCAUGACUAUUAUUAUCCUACAAUGUGGUACACAUGUGUGAAUUAUAUACGUUUCGUACUAUAUUUUUCAAUAGUUAUGAGUUGAUUGAUUAUCAAAAAUUAACCAACAACAAUUAUGUCAUUAGACGACAAACAAGCAAACAUACUAUGUAGUGUUUCUGGGUCGUAGACAUGGAGUGUACGAUUCUUGGGCUGAAUGUUAAAAGAAUGUGCUUCUUUAUAAGGGGAGUGUUUACAAAUCAUAUACUUUUAAAGAGGAAGCUGUUUGAGCUUGGGUGUUCUAUAGACUAAGAUGGAAGAGAAGUGAUGAAUGUUCAUCAACUGGCAAACCAAAGUUUGAACUUGCAAUUGAUGAUCAACAUUUGUUACAAAAUAUUUCAUAUACAUAUGUAAUCACUUUCUUUGCUAGCUUCUUUGUAGCAUGUGUUUUGCUUAUUGUAACAUUUAGUUUAACAUAGGUUGUGGAAAUGUGUUAUGAAUAUCAAUUUCUAGUAAUCUAUUUUUCGUAGUGUUCACAGGUACAUGUGAUUAUUAUUAUCAACUUUGUUAAACUGAAAAUGCUCACUCAAACGUUUGGAGCAUAAGACAAUGUGUUCAUUAAAGGUCACAACAUUAAAGAAAUUGAGAAUUUUUGACACAUCAUAAGAUUUUGAAUAAAUUCUAGUUGAGAUGUAAAGCUAACAACUAUAUCUAUGGAAAUUACAUUUUAGCAUUUUCCAAAUUUAAAUUUAAGCUAAUAUGUACAAAUUUUAGCAUUUUCCAAAUUUACAUUUUGUCACUUAAACAUUUUGCCAUUUUGCACAAACUUAUUUAACCCAUCUUCUUCAUUCUAGUGCCUUGAUUUUCAUUAAUCCUUGGAUCAACUCAUUUGACCAAAAAUAAUUUUGUGAAAAGACAUUUCAAACAAACUUUUAAUUUAAGUAUAUUAUAUAAAUCUUAUUUAAAAUUUUUGAAUGAUUUAAUUUUUCAUUUAAAAAUAUAGUUACAAAUUUUAUUAAAAUUAAUAUUUUCAUUUGUGGGUUUAUGGACAAAAAUUUAAGAUAAUUUUAAUAGCAAGUUAGAUAAAUAUAUGUAUUGACUAAUAAGAAUUUAAGUAUUAUUUGUUUUAUUGUUUAGGGUUGAAUGUAACAUCAGAUAAAAGAAGAAAGGGGACAACUGAUUACUACUCAAAAAGUGCUAUUUUGUAGCUUGUAAUUAACUCUCUUAAACACUCUUGAGUAGUAAUUAUUACUUUUUAACUCAAUUGACAUGUUAAGGACCCUUGCAAUCAUUUCUAAUCAAAUUGUGUUAAGUUUUGGUGUUUUUGAUAGAUUUUUGCUCACCAAAGCAAUUUAAGAAUGAGGGAGAGCUGUAUAUAGUUCAUGGAAAAGCUUUUGGAAGCUCAAAUUCAUGAAGAACCAAGCUUUGAAGCUCCAUAGCCCUUUUCCAAAGUCGUUCAAAGUAUGCAAGGAAAGAACAAUGGAGAAGAGGAAAACAGAGUGAAGAAAACAGAGGACAGCAGCUGCAGUCUUCUUUCACACUUUUGGAGCACUUCCUGAAGUCCAUUUUCUACAUGAUAUAUACCAUUUCAAAUCUCAGGAAGUCAAGAAUCCAACGCUUCAAACCGUGUACGAUUUGGAGCUGAAAUGAGGAAGAUAUGGCCUUCGGAAGACAACUGCAUCAAGCUGAGGGACAAUUUUGCACCUUGCGAAAUUGGAACUCCAACGUGCGAAAUUUGAAGUGCAUGGCAGCUGUGCAUUCGCUGUGAAGCCCAACAUGCGAAAGUGAUUUUGCAACUUAAAAACUUGGAUCUCAACGUGCGAAAGUGGAUUCUAAGUUGCGAAAUCAACUUGCGAAAUUUUCGCAAGUCACCAUGCAACGUGCGAAAUCUACAUGCGAACUGGGAUAUUUGUGCACCGACCCUUUUAGAUCUUUUCUUCAGAUAUUUUUGUAUAAAUUUCCAUUCUUCUCCUUGUAAUCCACCAACCAUAAGAUUUCUUAGCUAGGAAGGUUGGAAAAACUUCUCUAUAUAUAUUCCCUUGCAUCCAUUGUAAUAGAUAUCGAUCAAUAUAUAGAUAUAUGAAUAUAUAGAAUAUACAGAGCCUUGCUCUGUUUUUCCUUCUCUUUUCAUUUUCAUUUUCUUGCUAGCCAAACAUUCUCUGAGACGUUUUCUCAGAGGAUGAGUGGCUAGGCUUUUUGUUUCUUGGGUGAAGGAAGCUAGGUGAAAAGUCCAGAUGCAAAAGUGGAAAACUCUCGUGCGUUAAAUACAGGUAGUUGGAGUUCAUAAAUGGCUUUUAAAUCUAAAGUUUUGCUUUAAAUCCCUUAGAAUCACUUUGAAUGGCCAAUACAUGGUAAGCUUCAGGUCUCUGUGGAUGCUUAUUGCUAGAUCCAUAUCAGUCCAUUAGUUAUCAUGUACGAGCCAUUGGAAAGUGAUUCAAGGUGAAGACCCAUAGUGUCUAAAGCCAUUAAUGGAACUUGACUACCAUUUCUAUUGACAUUUUUAUAGAUUAAAUCUUCAUUGUUAAACCUUUACCGGUUCGGGAAACAACCAUCCUUUAUGUUGUUGUCCCCAAUGCGAGAAGAAAAAUCUGGAAUUUCCCACUUUACAGUUGGCACCUGAUCCUAGUAACCUGAAAUCCUAAGAAACACCUUUCUUUCUAAUUUCUUUCUAGUUAAUUUUAGUUACUUUAUGUUAGGUUAGCUUAAUACCAUCCGUUUUCAUUCAAACUUAUGUCUUCUUUUAAAGCUAACCUUGAAAUGAAAAAGCACCAAUUCAUCUUUGAAUUAAUAUCAUUUGUGAAGUGAAAACCCAUCCCAGUGAACGAUCCUAGAGCCACUAUGCUAUAGUAGCUUCGUCUUUGCUACCCUAGUACAUGGUGUAAUAGGUUAUAAAUUUUGUUGAUUACUCCCUCAAUCAAGGAGCACCAGCUGGACAUGAAUCAGCUGAUACACCAAUUAGGCACGAAUCAAAUGGCGCCGUUACCGGGACAUUGGACUCUGAAUCCAGUAACCCGAGUUCAAGUCUCGGUGGAACCUCCACUCCCCCCAACCGACAUAUUGCUAGUCCCUUAGCAAUGAAGGAGAGAAAAAAUAAAAAUAAAAGUAAUAAAUUUACAAAAUCAUGCUGAUCACUCCAAAAAAUGUUUAAGUGGCAUGACUGAUCAAACUCUCACAUGGAACAUGAAAGAAAUAAAACUCAAACUUCAAUAGGAGCUAUCAAAUAAUUUGCCUAGUCACAAUUCAUAAAGAGUAGGCAUUAUGCAAAUUUAAGCUUCAAAAUAAUUUCCACUCCCAAAGGUCCAAUCCUUACUCUUCCACAAAAAUCUAUGUGUUAUUUAUUAGUUUCCGGAUAUAGUAUGUCAAACUAAUCUCUCCCCUCAACCUAGUUCUUUUCAAAGCUUAGCAAACUAAUCAACCUCCAAUAGGCUAAGAACGCACCUCUUUUCUUUCACAAUUUUUUCUUGUAGGAGUGCAAAGCUUAAAGGCAUUCUUUUCUAAAUUGUCCAUGUAACUGGGGUCCAUCGAUGACUCCCAACCAAUCAAGGUUUAGGGCAUCAAGCUUUAAGGAUUUUUCAACCACUAACUCCUCGGAUUUCACCCCGGACUUUUGAGAAUGAAUUUUUAAUACCCAAGCACCUACAAUAUGUUAAACUCCACCUAUUCACCCUUGUAACGAGCAUUGAGGUCGGUGACUCCCAACCAUUGAAGGCUUAGGGCACCAGGUUUUAAAGAUUUUCACCAUAUACCCUUUAGACCUUGCUCGAGUUUCAAGGCAAGUAAAACAUUUUUCUUUUUCUUUCUUUUUUCAAAGGCUCAUUGGCCUUUUAUCAGGUGUCUCAACACUAUUAAAAUGAGGUCAAAUGUACCAAGUCUAAAUUUUCCUAAGUCAAGGGGGAAAAUAGUUUUUCAUCUUAUAAAUGGAACCUAGUGUGCAUGGUGUGUGAUAAGCUUAAAGUGGAAGAAAUAAGGUUGAAAUCAAUAGGAGUUCAAUAAUUCAUCAACUUUAAUAAACAUAAUACAAACUCUAAGUUUCAAGUAAAAAGACAAAAAUUUAAUUUCUCCCAUUUCAUUUUGAAAUUUUUUUCUUAAUAACCAUGGAGAGUAUUCAAAAAAAACUUUAAAAAAUUUUAAAAAUUAAGCAAAAAGCAACUAAAUUACCAAAAUAACUUAGCAUGAAUAACAAAACUUCCUUCCUCAACUCUCCCCCCAACCAAGCUGAACAUUGUCCUCAAUGUUUCAAGAGCGAUAAAAAAAAAAUAAAGGGAGGAAGUGGUACCUCCUAAGUGGCAUGGAGUCUGAGUCGUAUAGGAGAAACCACAUGUUUAAAAAAAAAACAAAAAAUUCAGUGAGUAGAGGAAAUAGAAAAAUGCCAAGUUUAAACAAAAAUGAUGUCUAUAUAUUAAUCUGAGAAAAUAGAAUAUAAUAUAUGAUCAUGCAAUACAUCCAAUCCCAGAAUAUAAAACAUCAAAACAUGGAAUUAUCUAUACUAAUAUAAUAAGUAAAUACAAAAAUUAAAGAGAUGAUCAAGUAGUGGUAGGGUCCUGUGGAGAUAAUGGCUCUGUGGUGGCCUUCUGAGUGGGUUGGGUCAGGACAUUGACCUAUGCUCUAGUAGUCUCCUUAUGUGGCGUAGUCUUCUCAACUGGAGCUCUCAGCUGGAGCUAUGGGCUGUGAUGGUUUAAGGAGGUGAAAAAUGGAGUGAGAGGCUUGGUGUGUGUGAUCUCAGUGAGAGGGCUCUCUUCUUUAGAUGCAUGGUUGUGAGGCUCUGUUGGCAUUUUUGCAAUUUCCCUUGGCUUUGCAAAAUGUUUUUGCACAUCAUUUUGUAGCUUGGAGGUCAUUUCAUAGCUUGGAGGCCAUGUCUUGCAGCCAAAGGGAAAAGAAAAACAUUUUUGCACCCAUGGAAAAAUAGAAAUAUUUUAGCAGCCCAUUUUGAAGCUUGGAAAUCAUUUUGUAGCCAUUUUGAGGUUUGGAAAAUCAUUUGGCAAUCAAAAGGGGAAUUUCGCAGCCCAUUCUUGAAGCUUGGAGCAUUUUCGCACUUUAAAAAAAAAAAUUUCGCACCUUGGAAAGGAUUUUUCGCACUUUGGAUUUCAAGGUGCGAAAUUCCCGCUCAGCUUUGUGCAGUAUGUCUUCAAAUGGCCAUAACUUCUUCGUUUCAAAUCCAAUUCACACACCGUUUGAAGCUCUAGAUUCCUGACUUCCCAAGCUUCAAAACGACAUAUCGUAUGCAUAAUUUGAGCUCCAGAAAGUGCUUCAAAAACGUGUCUAACAGUAGCGAAAUUUGGUGCGGCUGCAACAUUUCCGUUCAGCUUUGCAUAGUCGUCUUCAAACGGCCAUAACUUCUUCGUUUCAAAUCCAAAUCAUGUACCGUUUGAAGCUCUGGAUUCUUGACUUCCUAAGCUUUAAAAUGAUAUAUGGUAUGUAUAAUUUGAGCUCCAGUAAGUACUUCAAAAAUGUAUCCAAAAGUAGCAAAAUUUUCGCACUUGAAUUCGCACGUUGGAAUGAAUUUCGCACCUUGAAUUGUGGUGUGCGAAAUGCCACUCGUGCGCCAGGGAGGUGUUUCGCACGGUGCGAAAAUUUUCGCACCUUGAAUAGUGGUGUGCGAAACUGAUGUUUAGAGAAUUCGCACCUUGGACUGAGAUUUUCGCACCUUGGAAUGAAUUUCGCACCUUGAAUAGUGGUGUGCGAAAUUUUCGCACCUUGUUUCGCACCGUACAAAAAUUGGCUUGAGGUGUGCGAAAUGGCACUCGUGUGGCUGGAGAGUGUUUCGCACGGUGCGAAAAUUUUCGCACCUUGGAUUGAGGUGUGCGAAAUUCCCGCUCAGCUCGGUGCAGUUUUCUUGCAAUGACCAUAACUUUUUCGUUUCAACUCCGAUUUGGACACCGUUUAAAGAGUUGGACUCCUGACUUCCCGAGCUUCGAAAUGGUAUAUAGUAUGUAUAAAAUGGACUCGAGAAAGUGCUCCAAAUAUGUCCCGAAGUGGAAAUAGAACCAAUGGCCAGAAUUCUCUCUUCUCUUCCUUUUCUUUCAUCAUUUUUGCAAUCCCUCCUGCAAUGAUCAUCCAAAAACUUAUAUUAAAUCAAAACUAAUUAAAAUUAAAGCAUUGAAAUCAAAAUUAAAACAAGUAAUAAAGCAAAAAGAUAUGGACUAGCUAGUCUUUAGAAAGACUAAGUCCAUAAAAAAAAAAUGUUGUCCUGUUUCAGCUUGCCCGGAUCCCAUAUGAAGUUAGCAUCCUUCAUUAGAGAUUUGCAUUGUAUGAUGGCAAUGGAAACAAUUCCCUUUCUCUUUCCUUUAAUUUCCUCCCUCUUCUUUUUCUCUGUUUCAUUCUCUGUUUCAUGCUCUUGUUUGGAUGUGGCCAAAUCAACCUCUUUACCACUCCUUAGAGUGAUCACGACUUUAACGUCUCUCACUUGUGAAGAUUCUCUCUUAUGAGCCUUGAGAUUGAGUAUUGGAGAUUAUCUAUCUUUUGAGAUAGAUCAUUUUGUAUUUCAUCCAUCCUUUUAUUCAAUGAACUCUCUACACUAUCAAUUCUUUGACUGAGCUGAGCAUUGAUGGAUUUCUGAGCUCCAACAAAGUCUACCCCGACCUUGCUAAGAUUCACUAUAGCUUGUUCAAGGUUCGAGGCUUGCUGAGGUGCUUGAACAUGUUGCUUGUACUGAGGUGGCUGUGGUUUCCAUGAGAAAUUUGGAUGGUUCCUCCAAUUGGAAUUGUAGGUGUUGCAAUCACCAAACAUUUCCCUCACGGCUAGAAUGGUAGGACACUCUUCCACCAAGUGCUCAUAAGAUAGACAAAUGGCACAAGGCAUAGGUUGCAAUGGUGUCUGAGAGAUGGCUUGCACUUCUUGCAUCUUCUUCAUUUCUAACUCUUCCAAUCUCCUUGCCAUAGUUGCAAUCUUUGCCUUCAUGUCUAUGCCAUCAUUCGAAAUAUACAUCUCACCCUUAGCAUUAGGUUGAGACUUCAUUAUCCCCAUAUCUCUAGCAUUUGGUUCAUCCCAUCCUCUUGAAACUACAGCCACAUAACUCAUGAAGUUCAUGGCUUCCUCUACUAUCUCGUAUUCAAUAUGGCAUGCACAACUAGCAAUUUGUGAAUUAAAAACAGAGAAAACAAAAGAAAAACAAUUCUAAAAAAAAAAAAAUUAAGACUAAGUAAAACUAGCUGAAAGGUAAACUAAAACAAAAAUAAAGAAAAAGAACAAUUAAAAAGAGUUAGUAAAAGAAAAGAAAAAUCACCAAACUUGUGAUGAAGAUCACAAGUGUUCUCAAAAGAUCAUAUCACUGCAAAGUGGCACCAUCCCCGGCAACGGCGCCAUUUGAUUCGUGCCUAAUUGGUGUAUCAGCUGAUUCAUGUCCAGCUGGUGCUCCUUGAUUGAGGGAGUAAUCAACAAAAUUUAUAACCUAUUACACCAUGUACUAGGGUAGCAAAGACGAAGCUACUAUAGCAUAGUGGCUCUAGGAUCAUUCACUGGAAUGGGUUUUCACUUCACAAAUGAUAUUAAUUCAAAGAUGAAUUGGUGCUUUUUCAUUUCAAGGUUAGCUUUAAAAGAAGACAUAAGUUUGAAUGAAAACGGAUGGUAUUAAGCUAACCUAACAUAAAGUAACUAAAAUUAACUAGAAAGAAAUUAGAAAGAAAGGUGUUUCUUAGGAUUUCAGGUUACUAGGAUCAGGUGCCAACUGUAAAGUGGGAAAUUUCGGAUUUUUCUUCUCGCAUUGGGGACAACAACAUAAAGGAUGGUUGUUUCCCAAACCGGUAUAGGUUUAACAAUGAAGAUUUAAUCCAUAAAAAGUCAAUAGAAAUGGUAGUCAAGUUCCAUUAAUGGCUUUAGACACUAUGGGUCUUCACCUUAGAAUCACUUUGAAUGGCCAAUACAUGGUAAGCUUCCGGUCUCUGUGGAUGCAUAUUGCUACAUCCAUAUCAAUCCAUUAGUUAUCAUGUACUAGCCAUUGGAAAGUGAUUCAAGGUGAAGACCCAUAGUGUCUAAAGCCAUUAAUGGAACUUGACUACCAUUUCUAUUGACUUUUUAUGGAUUAAAUCUUCAUUGUUAAACCUAUACCGGUUCGGGAAACAACCAUCCUUUAUGUUGUUGUCCCCAAUGCAAGAAGAAAAAUCCGGAAUUUCCCACUUUACAGUUGGCACCUGAUCCUAGUAACCUGAAAUCCUAAGAAACACCUUUCUUUCUAAUUUCUUUCUAGUUAAUUUUAGUUACUUUAUGUUAGGUUAGCUUAAUACCAUCCGUUUUUAUUCAAACUUAUGUCUUCUUUUAAAGCUAACCUUGAAAUGAAAAAGCACCAAUUCAUCUUUGAAUUAAUAUCAUUUGUGAAGUGAAAACCCAUCCCAGUGAACGAUCCUAGAGCCACUAUGCUAUAGUAGCUUUGUCUUUGCUACCCUAGUACAUGGUGUAAUAGGUUAUAAAUUUUGUUGAUUAAUCCUUCAAUCAAGGAGCACCAGCUGGACAUGAAUCAGCUGAUACGCCAAUUAGGCACGAAUCAACAACAUAUCAUAUCCCAUGUUUGGUUAGUGAUAGAAGAAGAUAAGUUAACCUCACAACUUGUCAUAUCUUAUAUUCAACCAAACAUGGAAUAGGGUAACUCGAUAUUAUCAAUUGUUUAUAUAUAUAUUACUUAUCUUGCAAAAUAUUUUUUUCGUUAAAAAAGGAAAAUUAAAAAAAUUUAUAAAAUAUAUUAUUAAAUAAUAUUAAUAUAUUUAUUAUUCAAUAUAUACAAAAUAUUUUUAUAUAUUGAAUAUCAUAAUAUAUAUAGUAAAUUUUAAUUUAUAAAGUUUAAAUAUUUUAAUUAUGAAUAUUAUUAAAUGUAAAACAUAAAAAAUAUUGAAAUGUAAUAUAAUUUUUAAUUUAAACAUUGAAAAAUAAUAUAUACUAUAUCUUAUUUUUAUUCAUUUACAAAUUAAAUAUAAACAUAAUAUAAUAGACCCAUUGAAUAUAAUAUUCAAUAACAUCAUAUCUUAUUAAAAAUCAUAUAUUUACAUUUCCUAAUAUACAUAUAUAUUCUAUCCUACUAACCAAACAUAACCUUAAAAUAUUUUCAAACAUUUUCAUAACUUCUAUCAAUUUGCAUUCCACCCAAAUUUUGUUUUCUUUUGUUUCACAUUUUUCAUCCCAUAUUUUUCAUAUUUAUAUAAAUUCAAGUACCAACUUUUAAUACCUUCAUCAUUUUCAACAUUGUUGUAGAGAGUCAUAAAAAACUUAUUUAUUUUUAAUUAAAUGAGAUUCUGUCAACAUAUUUUUAAAAUGAGAAAUUAACACUCAUAUAAUAAUCUUAUUUUUUGUAGUGUGGCAUCUCAAAAUAUUGAAAAUUUUCUAGCAUUCGUUGUAAAAUGACUAAAAUCAUCAAAAAUAUUUUUCUUCACUUACAUAAUUAUUAAAUAAGUUUUUAUCUUUUAUUUUUAAAAGUAAAAAAAAAAAUUUGAAUACCAAAAAUAUUUAGCAUUUAUAGAAAUUAGAAACAACAUUUAUAUUUUCUAUCUAAAAAGAGAAAAAUUAAAAGUCUCAUAUUGACUUACCUACAACAAAAAGGAUCCUAAAAUCAACCUAACAAACUUCAAACAAGCAAUAAUCAGCAUAAACCAAACCCCAUCUCACACUUCAACUUGCACUGCACUUACAAUUAACAAAACAGACCCAUAAGAAAACAAAAGAGCAGGAUGAGUUUUUUCAUAUUCUUGUUUGCCAUAUUCUUGUUUGCCAACUGCGCUUUCAGGUGUUUUCUAAUAACAUAUUUGGUGGGGUGCUCAUGCAAUCUCCUUUUGUACAUGAUUUUGAUCAAAGAGAAAUGUUUUGCUUCUACCUUUUCCCUGGAAGUAACAUCAGUGGGAAGGUUCACUAGCUUUGCUUUAGAACUAGCUUUAUUUUAACUUUUCAUUUAUAAAAUCAUCCCCCAUAUUGGAAGUACUUCAUUUCUAUGCCUUCAAAUGGAUCUACCAAUAUAUGCCAUUUCUUUCAAAUUCAUUCUUUGAUCAUGUUGCAUUCAGGUUGAACAUUAAUAUCCUGUACUGAUGACCUUCUGUAGUGGUGUUGACAUUGAUCUUGACAAUGUCAACAAAUCACUAAAGAGAAGCGCAUGUACAAGUGCAAAAGAUAGGCACAAAUACUUUGCAAGGGCACACAAACACAAUAAUUUACAUGAGAGUUUGAUUUCAUUUGCCUGCAAAAUCAACCCAUUUUUACAGCUAUAGGCUUGCCUUAUACAUGUCCAAAAAGCAUACAAGACCAAUAAUCCGUUGAUUUGGACUUUGUCUAGGAUGACUACGUAUGGAAUAAAUAUGAGGAGUCACAAUACUGUCUGUUCAGACUCAUAAUAUUCAAAUAAUGUCUGUAUUAGACCCUAUUAGCACUUUAAAGAUUUCAAUGACUACGUAUCGGUCAAACUAGUGAACUAUGAAUUAGUAAUUUUUUUUUAUUCAAUGACUGAUCUUAUUCUAAAAACAUUGAUUUAAAAGAUUUCAAAUUAACACUACCUAAAGGCAUUGAUAUAUAUGUAGAGGCUUUGGGUGUCAAUUAAGCCUAAAUAUUUAAUUACAUCUCUUCUAGUAUUUAAGUGUGCACACGUGAUGCAACUUUUUGUUUGAAUGAUAUUACAUGGACAAUUACUUGUUGAAUAUUUAAAUGUUAAAAAUAAUAAUAUUAUUAAAGAAAACUUGGAAAUAAACAUUUAAUGACUCAAAUUUUCUUUAUUUCUAAAAUUAAAUUAUACUUCUCUCUUCUUUAAACAAUUUUUUCAUAAAUGAAUGUGUUCAAACAUUUUUCAAGAUCUAUUUAUCUGGAUAAACAUAACUUUUAGAAUUUUCUUUUAUCUUCUCUUCAUUUAUAUUCAUAAUUGUUUUGAAUUAAUUUUUAUUUAUCUAUUAAAAAUUAGUUGUGGUUUACAUUCUUUGUAUAAUAUUUAUUAUUAUCCUCAUUAUUAUAAUAAUAAAGAAAUGAUUAAAAAUAUUUGCUGAAAAAUAAGGUUAAAAAAUUUUAUAUAAGAAAAAUAAAAUGUGGUAAACUUGUUUUUAGGCAAACCCUUAAAUAUUUUCAUUAAUUAUUAUUAUUAUUAUUUUUUUUUACAAUUUUUUCAAAUUCAUGUGGUAUAAUUUGAGUGAAAAUUUAUUAAAAACUUGAAAAAUAAAUAUUUGAUAUAUUUAAUAAUCUUGUUUUCCAGGCAAUAAAAUCUUCUUGUCUGUUGAAGCCUCGCAUCACCCGGGGUUCUCGCAGUAGCCAGAUGGACGCUCCCUUUCAAUUGAUGAUGAUUCAUGCCUCAAUCAACCUGCAAAAGAUGUCCGGACAGGUUGUCUGGACACACCCUUCGAUGGUUUUGUUAGCCUUCUCUCUGAUAAUCAAUCUUCCCUUUUUACUGAGUAAGAAAGCUUACCUUCUCUCCUCGCAUGAAGGUUCUUUUAUAGUGUCAGAAGUUCUGUCCCCUUUAAUGGUGGGAAGACUUUUUGGCUUGUCAUGAUGGCGCUGAGGUAGUGGCAGAGCCAUCAUUGUCUUGCAGGCGCCUGUCAGAUAUUGUGGAGGGGAUGGCUUACCGUUAUUCCUGUCCUUUUGCUCUACAGACGGCGGAGUGCGGGCUGUGACAGGUUGUCUGAGGUGACUCAGUAUGGUCCUGUCGAAAGUGCUUCUGGCAGUGUAGGCCAGGAUGGCCUACAUUUCACGGGCAAGGCUUUUGAUUAAGUUGCUAACGCUGGGUCCGGACAACAUAUCUAGACAAGAGAAUGAGUCAUCCGGACCGUGGGUUUGAGAGUGUCGUACGCCCCCCGAAGGGAAUCCGGAUAGAGAGUUGAUGUGCCAUGUGUCCCCUGGAGGGGUGCUGUGCGGGGUUGCUACGUGGGCGUUUGGGGGUGGUCCCUACAAUGCCUCCCUUUUAACCUGGCUAUUUUGCCCGAGCAGAAAAGGCGGGUUAAAAAUGAUGCUUUUAAACCCUUCGUUUCUUUUUUGGGGUUUAUGUGCCACGUGGUACUGCAAAAGGGGGGGUAUUUAUGGCGAGCCGCUGUUCUUGGGGGGAUUUCUAGGUGGCAUGUCGUUUCGAUAGUGGUGCAGUUGGGUGCCUAGUAGUUUGGAGGACCAAGGAGUCGCAUCCCUUAAAUAGGGAAUCCAGCCCCCGCGACUGCAUUUUUCAUUCUGCAUUUUUUUCUCAUCUAUAUUUUCCCUUUGCCUCUCUAUUCAUCUUCAUUUGUGACCGAGGGUCACUUUCUAGGGCUUCUGUUAGCGGCAUUCUUGUCACAAGGGCGACUGUAUCGCGGCCUUCGUUCCAGUUGCAAGCUUGCGCCAGGUAUGUUCUGUAUUUCUAUCUCUUCAUCUUAAGCUUCCUGUUUCUUCGGAUUUUGUUGGCUUGUUGGGUAUUUUGUUUGCAAUUGAGGGUCAGAGGUAAUGUUUAGGGUUUUUCAGGGGGUUUUGAUUUUGCUUUGGGCCCAUUGUGGUUUUUGUUGCCCUCCUGUUGCCUUUGCGGAUGACUGAACCGCAUUUGGGGUAGAGUUAGGGGUUAGGCUUGGGGUUUUGGCUAUUUUAGGCCUUCUGGGUCAUUUGUUCUCAGGGUUGUGGGGCGAGGUACCUCUGUUUUGACAGUUGGCAUUUCGCCAUGCAGGUUUUGUCUCAGCCCCACGCUUUAACAUGCCUGCGAAAAAUGAUGUGACUUCGUCUAGUACGGCUGGACCUAGCGGAAAAAGUGUAUUUGGGCAGACCUACUUGGGAAAGCCUACUGACAAGUUGAACGAGAGGGAGUUUUGUGAGCGUUUCUGAAUCCCGAAUGAUGUCUCUGUUUAGCUAGUGGACAGGGAUGCUAUGUCCACUGAGAAAGCUGCCAACCACGCCGUUUACUUUUCCAAGGAGCAAUUCAAUGCAGGGCUCCCGUUUUCUUUUUCGUCUCUCUUCAAAGAGUUCCUCCACUUCACUCAGAUUCCUCUAGCUUAUGUCCAUCCCAAUAUUGUCCUGGUGUUGAUGGGGUGCAGCAUCUUAAAUAUGCUGUUCAAUUUGGAUCUUUCCUUGCUGGAGGUCCUCUUUGUUUACACCAUCAAGAAGGGGAAGACAGACCUCUUCAGCUUGUUUGCUCAUAUCCCAUCCCUUCAAUUGGUGACCAACCUUCCGGAUUCGAACAAGGGGAGAGCCAAAGGGCAUGUACUGGUCAGGGGUCACUGGGCCGGUCUGUCGAAGCCUUCGGAAAGGGAGUUUACCCCCAACCGUUCGUUGACGCUUCCGGGUAGGGUAGCUCUUGGUGUAUGUCCGGUGUUGGUUUUUGACUCUUGAUUCAGUGUUAUCAGAUGACUAACCUCUUUUGUUUUGGGUAACGCAGGUACACACAAGAGGGGUCGCUUGGUCGAGUGGCUGGAGAAGGCCUCUUUUGAUCGUUUGAACAGGCUGUUCGAGAUCAUUUCCAUCGAGAGGCACUAUCAGACACUUCUUUCUACCUGGAACCUGUUGGCGGUCGUCCGGGAACCUCAGCCGUACGUCCUCAAUAUUCUCCCCAGGCGACUACCCAAGGUUGUAGUGUCCGGGGAACACUUUGUGCUGAAGGAUCUGCCUUUUUACGAAAGGGCUAGCGAGGCUAACGCAAAGGCGCGCCAGGAGUGCCUUGACCAGCGGGAGGAGAAGAGGCAGGAGGGGACACUAAGGAAAACACCUGUAAGAGAAAGAGCCUAGCGAGAAGGGACACGACUCUUCUCCCGCGGUCCGUCCUCCGACUACAAAGAAGAAGAAAAAGAAAACCAUUGCGCAGGCUCUCCAGGUAGUGUCUCCGGCUCCUGAUCUUUCAUCUUCAUCCUCCGACUCUGUGUCCAGUCGACCGAAUAACCCUGCCCCGGAGCCUGAGGAUACUUCUAGCUUCCCACAGCUUGAGACUUUCCGUUCGGGGCCUGGCUCUUUCCAGCCUCAAUUGGACUUCGUUGGCCUGAGAGUCGUGCAUGAGCCGGAGGAAGUGAGCGACAUGAACGACCUCAGAACCGGGUUUUUACAAAGGCAUCGUAAGCGGCUGUAUGAUCCCAUAGAUCUUGCACCUCCUCCAGCCAGGAAGGAUUGCCCAGAGAGAGAUGAUGAGGAUCUGACGAUAGAAGUUCCUUUGUCAGCUAUGGCCCAUUCGGAUGAGGCGAGUUCUAGCGCGGCUGCAGCGGUUCAGCCAGACGCUGCAGGAUCUGAUGCAGCGGCAAUGACUCGGCCCGAAGUUCCAGGGCCUAACGCAGUGACCGUUGCUCAACCAGGCGUAACUGCUCACAACAACGCCCCGACUGCCAUGGAGACCCGUGGGACAGAGGGGGUUCUGGAGGCAGCGAUUGACGAGGAGGCUUCGAACAAGAAGAGUAGUCCAGCUGCCAUGGUUCCUCCAAGCUGGGAGGAAAUGAUGGAGAUGCUGAAGGGAGUGUCAUGUUUCACGGAUGUGGAGGCUCAUUCCACAAGGAUGUCUGACUUUUUUUCGCUUACCAAGCGGGUCUCUGUGAAUAUGGGUGGUGAUCCUCCUGCCUUUGUCAAGGCCCGACUUCCUUUUAGCACCCCUGAGUCCGCCGUUUCUUAUAUUCAACAUCUGCAGGAGUGGACGAUCCCUGAUACUGCAGAAGUGGUAAUCAUUUCUUUGCUACUUUUUCCUUCUUCCUUAGCAACUGUUACUCCUUUGCACGACAUUAGCUUUUAUUUUGUUGUUGUUCUGCACAGGUCGUGGCUGGCAUCCACUACAUGAUGCAUAUCUGCGAACAACUCUUCAAGCGGCUGGAAGUGGUGGAGGCUAUGCGCGCCUUCAUCUCUCACCAUCUGGGCGGCGUUGAGGAGAUGCGCUCACGGUUAGAGAAGGUGGAGGCUGAGUUGGCCACUGCUCAAAAGGCCGUAGCGGAUGGGGCGGAGAAGUUGAGCCAGGCUGAGGAGGAGAAGGGGACUGUCCGGGCUAAGGUGAACUUGCUGAAAAGGGAAAAAGGGGCCUUGGAGGGUCAAAUCAAAGGGGUGGAGCAAGAGAAUUCUCAACUUAAGAAGGAGGUGGACGAACUUCAGGCUAGCCUCGCAGCUCAAAAGGAGACAGAGAGGUUGCAGGCAAGCCUAGUUGCUCAGAGGGAGGAGAUGGAGGCCGGGUUUGUCGCUCAGAAGAAGGAGUUGGAGACGGAGUAUCAAAGGCAGGUAGAGGAGAUGUACUUGUUCGACUACCGUUGUUGCAUGAAGAAGAAUGACAUUAUGCAUGAUGUUCUAUCUCUUCCUUGUGACGAUGAGGAUGCGAUACCCGGAGGCCCUUCUUGCUGAGAUUUCUUUGUGUGCAGUACUCCUUAUACUUUUUCUCUUUGUUUUGCUGCUUUUGGGGUGGCGGAUUUUGUAAAGACAAUUUUUCAGUCCUUUAUAAAUGCUUUAGACUUCUUUGUUUUUCUCUACCUUUAGCUUCUCUUUAUUGGUAAUAUUGCUUAAGGUUAGAUACAUUCCAUGGACAGAGCAAGUCUAACUUUUGUAGGUGAUAGGCUCCGCUUUCACUUGUCUUAGUUACAAUAUAAGGACCUUCCCAAUUCGCUUGGAAUUUCUCGGCUCCUCUUUCAGCGGUGUUUUCGAAAACCUUUCUAAGGACCAGCGUUCCAAUCUUGAAGACCCGGGGUCGUGCCUUGUGGUUAUAGUGAGUGGCCGCUCUUUGCUGGUAGUCAGCCAUCCGAAUGGACGCGUUUUCUCUCACUUCAUCCUCCCAGUCUAGGUUCCUUCCUAGUUCCACUUUCAUCACUUUGUCCUCGUGCAUCAGUCCGAAUAAUGGGCAAGCCUAUUUCUGUGGGGAUGAUUGCAUCCAUGCCGUAUGCAAGGGCGAAGGGAGUGUUUCCCGUGGGUCGGCCGGGCGUGGUUCGGUAGGCCCAUAGGACGCAGGGCAGUUCCUCUACCCACUUUCCUUUGGCCUGCUCGAGCCUCUUCUUUAAGGCAGUCACCAAGGUUUUAUUUGUCGCUUCUGCCUGCCCAUUGCUUUGAGGGUAAGGCGGUGUGGAGUACAAAUUCUGGAUUUUGAGCUCCGAGCAGAAAUUCCGGAAGGCGAUGCUGUCAAACUGUGGACCAUUAUCGGCUAUGAUUGCUUGAGGGAUCCCAAAGCGGCAAAUGAUGUUCUUCUACACAAAUUUGGUGACAUCCUUGUCCUUGAUGCUGGCAUAUGCCUCUACUUCUACCCAUUUGCUGAAGUAGUCUUUGGCAACGAGUAGAAAUUUCUUCUGGGCAGCCACGGUUGGUAAAGGUCCUAAUAUGUCCAUCCCCCAUUGUGCAAAAGGCCAAGGGUUGGAAAUUGGCUUCAACGUUUCAGAAGGCGCAUGCGGUAUGGGGCAUGCCUUUGGCAUUUGUCACACUUCUUGACAUAAGUCGUCACGUCUCUCUUAAUAGUGGGCCAAUAGUAGCCCUGCGAGUGUGCUCGAUGCGCCAAAGAUCGUCCUCCGAGGUGAUUGUCGCAUACACCCUCAUGUAACUCAGCUAAUAUGUAUUGAGCCUCUAAGCAGUCUAGGCACCUGAGGUAGGGGCCUGUAAAAGAUCGUUUGUAAAGGUGCUCCCCGAUCAGAGCGAAACGGGCAGCUUGUACCCGGAUCUUGUGCGUUUGCUUGGGUUCAUCAGGUAGAGAUCCUGUUCGGAGGUAUCCUGCUAUGACUUCCGUCCACUCCUGGCCCUCUUCCUGGCUCUCCUCAAUAGUAUUGCAAGUGGAUGCUUUUGUGAUGGAAGGAUCAGUCUACACAUAUAUAGGCAAUAAUAUGGCCUCUUUGAUGGGCAGGGAAGCAGCUAUUCUUGCCAGGGCGUCAACACGUACGUUAUCAGCUCGUGGGAUUUUUUCUAUGGUCCAUUCGCCCAACCGUUGCAGGGUGUUAGAUAUCGUGCCAUAUCAAGGACGACCCCUGCAAUUCCGGGAUAUACCGAUUCUAGAUCAGGCCUAGAGUUCGCCCCCUGGCCUCUUGGGCAUUGGUCAUGAGGAGGCCUCGAGGACGAAACUUGGAUGUGUAACACCGCGUUUUCUUCUCUUAGUCUCGUCAUUUCUCGGAGAAGAGCUUGCAUUUGUCGUUCGCUCUCCAACUGUCACCUUUCCAUGGUCUCGCGCCAUUCGAAAUAGCCUUCAUCUCCUCUGGCUGACGAACGACUCUUGGAAGGUGUGGGCAUCUUUGUCGUUGAUUGAGCAACUUCCCACAGACGACGCCAAUGUUGAAGCCUCGCGUCACCCGGGGUCCUCACAGUAGCCAGAUGAACAUUCCCUUUCAACUGAAGAUGAUUCCUGCCUCAAUCAACCUGCAAAAGACAUCCGGACAGGUUUUCCGGACACACCCUCCGAUGGUUUUGUUAGCCUUCUCUCUGAUAAUCAAUCUUCCUUUUUUAUUGAGUAAGAAAGCUUACCUUCUCUCCUCGCAUGAAGGCUCUUUUAUAGUGUCAGAAGUUCAUCCCCUUUAAUGGUGGGAAGACUUUUUGGCUUGUCAUGAUGGCGCUGAGGUAGUGGCAAAGUCAUCAUUGUCCUGUAGGCGGCUGUCAGAUAUUGUGGAGGGGAUGGCUUGCCGUCAUUCUUGUCCUUUCACUCUGUAGGCGGUGGAAUGCGGGCUGUGACAGGUUGUCUAAGAUGACUCAGUAUGGUCCCGUCGAAAGUGCUUCUGGCAGUGUAGGCCAGGAUGGCCCGCGUUUCACGGCCAAGGCUUUUGAUUAAGUUGCUAAUGCUAGGUCCGGACAACAUAUUCAGACAAGAGAGGGGGUCAUCCAGACCGUGGGUUUGAGAGUGUCGUACGCCCCUCAGAGGGAAUCUGCAUAGAGAGUUGAUGUGCCACGUGUCUCCUGGAGGGGUGUUGUGCGGGGUUGCCACAUGGGCGUUUGGGGGUGGUCCCUACAUUGUCCAACUCACGUUAAUGUAUUAAAUUAAUAAUCUCACUAAAUAUAUAAGAUAAUAGUUAUUUAGAAAUUCUUCAGAGUCUAAUAAAAUAUAAAUUAAUAACUAAUGAAAUAUGUGGAAAAAAAACAAAAGAAUUCAUAAUACAAACUUUCUCAAAAUAUACAUUGAAAUUUAUUUAUUUUCUUUGCACCUAAACUAACUCAAUUUUAUCUUUAUUUUUUUGUAAUAUAUAUACACUAAAUUAAUAAAUUAUUGAUUUAUUGAUAAAUUAAUAAUUCCUUUUGAUUCAAGAAUAAUAUUUUAUUUUAUAGGGUGUUUUCCUAUAGCUAGGAGUGGCGCAAAGGAGAUAGCAAAUAAUUAUCCAUCAAUGAGUUACUGGCUUACUGCUGCUUCCGGGUUAUGUACGCCGCUUUAGUCAAGAUCUUCAUUGCAACCUAUAACAAGCUAAGCUCUAAGUCAAGUCAAUUGGUCCCCCAUCGUAAUUACCCAAAUGAGAUUGUAUAGAAUCACACUUUCAUCUUUGAGUGAAAGAAGAAGCCUUCCUUGACUGAUUCACUCCUUCAGCAAAUGAAUUGCAUGGAAACGAGAUAAAUGUCUUUGAUGCAAAGUAAGGUAAAAAAAAUAGAGGUAGAGUUAGGUGGAGUUUGUUUUUUUUGACUUUUUAUUAAAAGUAAUUUAUUUUUAAAAUUUAGGUAGUUUAUUUAUUUUUUUUUUAUCACUUAUUAUACAUUUUUUAUUGAAUAGAAAAAAUUAAAAUAUUUAAUUUUUUUAAAUAGAAAAAAUAAUAUAUUGAUUUUUUAUUACUUUUUAAUAUUUAAUAGAAAUAAAAUAUUAUUAAAAAAGCAACCUAAUAUUUAAUACUAUUAAGUAUUAAGUUUCUAUUUAGAAUUAAGCAAAAAAAACAAACACCGUCUUAGAAUUUUAAGUGUCUGCUAAAAAAGCAAUGAAAUCCCAAUUUUAGCGAAAAAUAAGAAAUGUGAAUCCCAGGUUUUGAACUUCAAAACUGAAGAAAAGAAUGUACAAUUUAUUCAAAACUUUUAGGCCCCACUUAAAAACAUGGAAAAUUUGACAAAAAUAAAUAGAAUAGACGGUCAGCAAGCGGUUAAGUUGAGGCCGCCCACCAUAAUUGACAAAAUGAAACCGUAUGGAAAACGGAGACUUUUGGGCCAAAAUGGCCCAUUUUUGAAACUUAACAUUGAAAGUGGUCUCAUUUCCAAACUAUUGUUCAAAAUGGCCCCUUGAAGCCAUAUCAACCCAUAAAUCAAUAUUUUAUAUUGUUUUUACUUUACCAUUUCCAUCCCCGUGCUCUGUUAUCUUCCAUGCUGCUGUUCUCUCUUCUGUGUGAUUUUUUUUCUAAACCCUAGCCCCACCAGUAGGCCACUAAAAAAGACGGUGGAGCUACAAAGCAUAAAGUUUAAGGUGAGUCAUAAUCUUCUUUUUGGCUUAUAUAAGUUUUUGGCACUUUCCAAUUUUUUUUCCCAUCUCAAAAUCUCGAUUUUUAGAAUUUUUUUUUUUUCCCAUUGUUGUGAAUGAUUGGUUAGGGAGUGUGGUUAUGGUGAAUUAAUGGCUGUUAGUAUCAGAUUUUGGGGCAAUCGUUGGGGAGGAUUAGGCUUGCGGUGUCGGCAUUGAGGAGCUACUCAGUCUACGGAAAAACAGGUGAGAUGGGUUGUAUUGAUUGUGUUUUGUUGCUCUGUUUGGUUGGUGAGAAUUGACUAUAAGGAGAGUAAAUUAUUGUCACAAAAAACCAAGGCCCUCCCAUUGCAGCUGUUGGGCUUAAUUAAAAUGAGUUUUUAAUGUUCUAAAAAACAGAACAAGAAAAGGAAAUGAGCAUGAAAAAGAUGGUUGUUGCUUAAAAAAAUGGAGGUUUUGGGUUUGUUUUUUUUUUUUUUUUUGUAUUUAAGUCCAUGUUUGCAAUAACCUUUUGUUUCAAUAAGCAGCUGACCACAAAAAAAUUAUCCAAUUUCCAUUUCAAUAAUUUAAAAUUUGUAUUAUAUUUUAAAUAUUUUUUUAGGUAUCCCAGGAUUAAUAUUUGUGUGUGCAUGAGUCAUGACUCUCAAUCAAAUUAAUUUUAUGUAAUAUUUGAAUAGUAAUAGGAUUUAUGAUAAUAUUAUUUAUAUACUAAAUCCAUCUCCAUAAUUUUUCAAAGAUGAAAGAAAAAAAUAGGGUUAAUUAUGUAAAUUUGUAGUGUGAAACGGUUGCUUGAAACGGAUUAGGAGAGGUUCAAAUUGGUUUGGACUUUGGGUAGAAAAUGCAUUACACAUAAAGAUUAUAAUGCAUUUUUAAUUUAAAUUUGAAAAUAACAAAAAUAUAAUAUUCUAUAAUAUUUAAAUAAUAAAAGGAUUUAUGAGGAUAUUAUCAUAUAUAUGAAAUUAACUUAUAAGAUUUUGUAGUUAAGGGGAAAAAAAUUAGGAUUAAUUGAAAAGAAUUUUUUGAAAUUAUUAUGGGGCAUUAAUUAAUAAUAUUAAUAGCCAUAGAUAAAGAUUUAAAAAAAAUGAAAGUUGUAAAUAAUGAUAAAUAUAUUUGAAUGGAAUGAUUUUUAAUUCUUUUUUCUUUUUUUAGAAUUUGAGUGGAAUAGGGAAUGUGUUUGCUAAGAAUUUCGACCGACUCAAUAGAUAAUGUGAGUCUCCAAGCCAUGUUUCAGAAAUCUGGCGAUAUUCUGUUUUGUAAAGUGGUUGUGACCUUGGCUGAACCGAUGAUAUGUUGGAUUGAAUCUGUUCUUAAAGAUGUCUCCAAUUUCUACUUGUUCUGAAUGUGAGACAACACAUUGUCAUUAAUAUGAUUGAAUUUAGGAUGUUUUAUUUCUGUGUCAGUCUACCCAUGCAUUCACUUACACUCAUUCCUUGUCUUUGAAGGAGGAAAUGCCUCAACAUUCAAAAUAUUUUAUUUUUCCCAAACUGAAGUGAAGUAUUUGAUAGAAGUUCUACUAUUAUGGAAGUAUUGUUAUGAAUUGCUCAUCUAUUUGAGGUUAUAAUAUAAAAUACUAGCUUUUUAAAAGUAACGAAUUAAGGUAUGGGAAACGUGUUCUGUUAACUGUAGAAAUAUUUUUAUAUAUUUUAUGGUUAUUUAAAUAUAUUUUUUGGUUAUCUAAAUUUAAUGUUUCUAUCAUAAACUGGAUGUAUCUUGCAUGAAUAUAUAUAUAUAUAUAUAUAUAUAUAUGUAUAUAACAUGUUUGCUAGGAAAAAAAUGAUUUUGGAUAUAAACAAUUUCAAAGUAAAAAAUGAAUAAAUAAUUUUUUUCUGAUCAAGAGAUCUUGAAUAAUUUUGUCUCAACAGCUCUUAAAUAUAAAAUACUCAUCUAGAAUUUUUUUGCCUUGAUAUCAAGAAAACUUCUCAAAUAUGAGUAAACACUUUUUUUUUUUUAAAAAAAAAAAAGCCAGAUUCUUAAAGUACAGAUAUUUUCUCUUUAAAAAGACUUUUGUAUUUGGUUAUAUCCAAAAAUUUAAUUUUUAUUUAAUUAUAUUUUUUAAAGAUAUCAAAAUUACCCAUACUUUUAAUAAAAAUAUUAUUAAAACAAAAUAGUAAAAGUAUAAAAUGAAUGGUCCAACUCUAAAAAAACCUAUUAUAAAAUAGACCAUAUACCUCAUGUUUGAUGACUCCACUUAGACUACUAGAUUGUGGAUGUGAUGGGAGUGGAAGAGGAUGAAAGGGAGGCCAAAAGUGAACCCAUCUGGAAAAACUUUGAUUAUGGGUUGGAGAAAUUGAAUGUGGGUAGGGAUCAUAUUGUUUAUGUGAUCCUUUGUCAAUUGGGUUGUACUUCAUUUUCGUGAGUGCACACUAGACAGUAUUACAAAUGGUGUGGCCCUUGGACACGUCUAGAUGUUCAAGUAGGGUGUGAUGCCAGGGAAUAUAAAAAAAAAUUGUUAAGAAAGCAUUUUUAUUAUUAUACUAGAAUUUAGAAUCACAAUCUACAUGCUAUCUACAUUUUGCAAUGCAAGCAUAAUAGCAAGGAAGGUUAUCAAAUAUGAUUUUCAAGAUCUAAUUUUUAAAAUAAUUCUAAAUAGAAGAUCAAACUUUUUAAUUUUAUGUUCCAUAUAUAAAACAAUAUAAUAACCUUAGGAUAUGGUUUUUAUUUAUGAGAUAUUGAAAAUUAUUUUUUUUACAAGGUUCUUUAGAAAAUCUCAUUUUUUAUUUAAAAUAACAUAUUUAUUUUUAAAAAUAUAUUUAACAGAUAAUUUUGAGUUGUAAAAGAAUUAACAUAAUUAACACAUAUUUAUUUUAAAAUUUAAUUUUUAAUAUAAAAAUAUUAAUUUCAUUUUAUCAAAAAAAUAUUAAAAGUUAAUCUCAUCCUAAUUAUGAAAUUAGAAAAAUAAACUAAACGUGUUUGUAACCCAAACACAUGUAAAACAUUUUAUUGGACCACAAAAAUAAUAUUAAUUCAUAAUAUCAUCCUACUCUUUACUUAUACACUUAUUUGCUUAUACAUUGCUUUCAUUUGAGUUGAACUUGGUAUUUAGACAUGAAGCUUUGUUACAUUCCAAUAUUUAUUAGGUUUAUUAUUGUAUUUUAUGAAUCAUUGACCAUAAAGUAUUAUUUUUUACUUGAAUAAAUAUUAUUUUUUUUAUGUAAUAACCUUUUGUUAUUAUUUAUGUGAAGGCAAUUAUGACUGACUCCACAGUAGAAGUGCUAUGUCAUUGGAAUGGAAUAAUUUUGAGGACAGAAAUGGAUUUGAGAUAUAUUGGAAAUAAUGUAGAGAUUGAGCCUAUAGAUGUGCCAAUUCAUAUGACCUUUGUGGUGUUGUUGAAAAUGAUAUAUGAUAUCAUUGGUGUUGAUAGAGACUAUCAGUUAGUCUUGAAAUGUCGUCAUCCAACUGAAAUGAACAAAUUUCAACCAUUAGUGGUGAGAAAUGAUCGGAUAGUUGCACGUAUGCUACUGGUGCCAUCGAAGUAUGGAAUGUCUUCAGUUCAAUUUUCAUAGAGCAAACUCCCAACCAUUAUCAUUUGAGUAAUGAAAUGGGUCAUUUGACACGAUUAUCAACAAGUGAUACUGAUGUUGAUGACGAAAAUGAGAGAGAUGAGGAAGAUGAUGCAAUCGACACAGAUGAGAUUCAUUUACCUAAUGAUGAUGAAAAUUGUUGUCAAACAGAAAAUAUUGAUUUGGUGAUGGUCCAACAAGUUGUGGAAUGUGAAAGCAUAAGAUUUGUGAACCUUGAAGUUGGUGAUAGGUCUAAUAAUCCUGAGGUUGAGUUUGAGGUUGAAAACAUAUCAUUAGUUGCCUCCUCACAUGUACAUAAUUUAAUAUCUCUAAUGACAACCUAGAGGAAACAUUUGUACCCUUUUCAUACCAUAUGCCACCUACACCACAAUUUUUAAAUAUGGACAAGGCAAUUAAUUGUGUUGUAAGUGAUUGGACUCCAUGGAAAAAGCCAACUUUAGGAAAUGUUGAUGGAGAAUUAUCAAUUGGCCAAAUAUUUUCCUCAAAAUCAGAUUUGCAACAUGCUGUGAAGAUGUUUUCCAUAAAGGCGCACCAAGAGUUUACUGUUUAUAGAUCAAAUGCAAGUGUGUUAGUUCUUCAAUGUAAAAAAGCACCAGAGUGCCAAUGGCGACUAAGGGCAAUGAUAGUGAAAGAUACGGGUAUGUUUAGAAUCACAAAGUACAAAGUUCCUCAUACAUGUGUCAAUCCAUGUAUUAAGCAAGAUCAUUCACAGUUGGAUUCUAGCUUUGUAUCUAAGUAUAUUGAAACAUUGGUGAAGGCAGAAAUGACCAUUACAGUUGCUGCAAUUCAAGCUGUUGUUGCGGAACAAUUUGGUUACCAAAUUUCUUAUCAAAAAGCAAUGAAGGCAAAAAGGAAAGCAAUGACUCGAUUAUUUGGUGAUUGGUACAAGUCUUAUGUAGAGUUGCCUCGUUUCUUCCUUGCCUUGGAGCAAUCAAAUCCUGGAUGCAUUAUGUAUUCCAAAAUGGUUCCUGGAAACAAUCCGAAUGAAGAAAUUUUUCAGCGUGUUUUUUAGGCAUUCGCUCCAUCUAUUAAAGGGUUUGCACACUAUCGACCAGUUCUCAGUAUUGAUGGGACACAUUUGUAUGGAAAAUAUAAAGGGACUUUGCUGAUUGCUAUGGGAUGUGAUGGUAAUAACCAAUUGUUUCCACUUGCAUUUUCCAUUACAGAAGAAGAAAAUACAGAUAGUUGAAGUUGGUUUUUGGCAUGUAUCAGAGUUGGAGUACCACAAAGGAAAGGGUUGUGUCUGAUUUCUGAUCGUCAUCCUGGCAUUAUAGCUGUUGUCAAUGAAACAUAUUCGGGAUGGACUCAGCCAGAUGCUUGUCAUAGAUUUUGCAUGCGUCAUUUAGCAAGUAAUUUCAACACAAAGUUCAAAGAUAAGACUUUAAAGGAUCUCAUGUGUAGGGCUGCUAUGGAGAGUAAAGUUAAAAAAUUUAUUUCUCACAUGGAUACAAUUGGCCAGAUAAAUGUCGAGGCUAGAAAUUGGUUGGAGCAAAUUCCUUUUGAAAAAUGGGCACUCUCAUAUGAUGGUGAGCGGAGAUAUGGGAUUAUGACAACUAACAUGUCUGAAGUUUUUAAUGGUGUCCUUAAGGGUGCUCGUAACUUACCAAUAACAGCUUUAGUCCAGUUAACUUUCUAUCGGGUUAACAGUUACUUCACAGUCAGGCGGGAGCAUGGUGCCAGUGAUUCGUCCCUAGCAGCUGAAGUGGCAAUGGCACCAUUUGAUUCGGGGUUCGAUUCCCGGCAACGACGCCAUUUGAUUCGUGCCCAAUUGGUGUCUCAGCUGAUUCGUGUCCAGCUGGUGCUCCUUGAUUGAGGGAGUAAUCAACAAAAUUUAUAACCUAUUACACCAUAUACUAGGGUAGCAAAGACAAAGCUACUAUAGUAUAGUGGCUCUAAGAUCGUUCACUGGGAUGGGUUUUCACUUCACAAUUGAUAUCAAUUCAAAGCUGAAUUGGUGUCUUUUCAUUUCAAGGUUAGCUUUAAAAGAAAACAUAAAGAUGUUUGAAUGAAAAAGGUUGGUUUUAAGCUAACCAAAAAUAGAAACUGAUUUUACUUAUAAAGAAAAGAUGUUUCUUGGAGUUCAGAUCACUAGGCUCAGAUUCCUCAUACAAAAAGGGAGUUCCGGUCACUUGUUUCUUUUCCUCGCAUUAGAGAAUUAACAUAUAGUUCCUUCUCCAACCGGUGUUGUACAGAUGCUUUCCAUUAAUGGGUUCAAACACUAAAUCCCUCUCACUGAUGCACCUUGCAAUGGCUCAUACCUCUCACGAGCACUUACCAUUCAAGAUGAUCUCUAACCUUGGACUUCCCUUCAAAAGCUCGCAAGAGAUAACUAAUGGAUGUCUCCUUGGAGUCCAAAAGCUUACCAAGUGUUGGCUAUUCUAGAAAAUCCUACCUUCAAGUCACCUCCCAAAGGCUCGCAAGGGGUAAACUAGUGCAUCUCCAUGGACGGAAAUCACUUGCCUUACCAAGUGUUGGCCCAGGUGAUUUAAAGGCGUUUUAAGUUAACUAAAAAGAUAAAAACCAUUAACGGGUCACACUUUCUCUUCAUUAAAAACUAAAACAACAAAACUUCCAAAUUAUGCAUGUGGAAACUUACCCGGCUUUCCUUACUCCAAGAGACAAAAAGCUUAGCCUCUCAUCUUCUAAGGAAAAAUCCUCAGAGUUUGGUUGGCUAGAAAUAAAAAGAAAUGAAAAAUGAAAGAGAAGGAAAAACAGAGCAAGGCUCUGUAUAUUCUAUAUAUUGAUCGAUCUGAUUACAUAUAUGAUCUAUGAUGAUUUUACAGUGGAUGCAAGGGAAUAUAUAUAGAGACGUUUUUCCAACUUUCCUCACUAAGAAAUCUUAUGGUUGGUGGCUUACAAGGAGAAGAAUGGAAAUUUAUACAAAAAUAUCUGAAGAAAAGAUCUAAAAGAGUCGGUGCACAAAUAUCAGGAAGCACUAAGGACAUUUCGCAGGUGAAAACGAGGUCUGCGAGAUUUCGCAAACACUCAAGAAGGCUGCGAAAUAUUUUCGCAACAACAAGUUAAACUCGCAGGGCUGCGAAGUUGGCUUCCAACUUGAGGUUCUCAGCGUUCCAGCUUGCGGCAUGUAUCGGGUAGCUUCAGGAGGAAUUCCAUAGCACUGUACAAAAAGGCUGCGAAAUUCUCGCAACAAAAGGCUGAUUUCGCAACACUUUGGAGUGAUCUGCUUGCAAUGGCUAUAACUCCUUCGUUUCAACUUCGAAUUGCACACCGUUUGAAGCAUUGGAUUUUUGACUUCCUGAGCUUUGAAAUGGUAUAUAGAAUGUAGAAAAUGGACUUCAGGAAGUGUUCCAAAAGUGCAAAAGAAGACUGUAGCUAGCUUUCCUCUGUUUUCUUCACUCUAUUUUUCCUCUCUCCAGUACUCUUUCCUUGCAUACUUUGAACGACUUUGGCAAAGGGCUAUGGAGCUCCAAAGCUUGGUUCUUCAUGAAUUUGAGCUUCCAAAAGCUUUGCCAUGAACUAUAUACAAUUCUCCCUCAUUCUUGGAUUGUUUUGGUGAUCAAAUUACUAACAAAAACACCAAAACUUACACAAUUUGAUUAGAAAUGAUUGCAAGGGUCCUUAACAUGUUAAUUGGGUUAAAAGGCAAUAACUACUACUCAAAAGUGUUUAAAAGAGUUAAUUACAAGCUAUCAAAUAGCACUUUUUAAGUAGUAAUCAGCCAGUCGACUCGCUUCAGGUGAAGAAUUCACUCCACAUAUUGACGCCAAGAUAAAGGCUAAAGUUGUUAAGGUGGGUGCACAUGAGGUUCUUUUGUAUCAUCAUGUGGAGGGACGUUUUCAUGUUAAAACUAGACACUCUGUUGGAAGCAGUAAUAGGAAACCUUGCACAUAUCAUGUUACCCUUCAAACGGGGUCUUGCACAUGUAACAAAACACUUUUGUUAGGAUUCCCAUGUUCGCACAUUCUUACUGCUUGUCAUUGGCGAGCAAUUGAUUUUCGACAAUUUGUACAAGGUUAUUACACCACACGUGCUUACCUAUCAACAUGGGCUCCCUUGUUUUAUCCCAUAUUUGAUGAGUUGGAGUGGCCUCAAUAUAAUGGACCGAUAAUUGUGCCUUCAGACUCAAUGAAACGGCUAACUUCUGGUCGACCAAAAUCAAGUCGUUUGCAUAAUGAGAUUGAUGCAGGAGAAACUAGGACUCCACAAACAUGUGGACUUUGCAAGCAAUCAGGUCACAAUCGAUGUUCUUGUCCUAAUAGAGAAACCAAUGAUAGGAGGAGUUGAUGUACUUCAUGAGCAUCUUAUUGUACUGUUUUUUUUUUUUUUAAUUUACUAGUAUUGACCUUAAUCGUUUUAAGAUAUAUGUAGAAACUAUCUUAUUGAACAUCUUAUUGACGUUUGUUUGUUUGAAAUUAUUAUUUUUUGUCAAUUCAUUCUUAUUUUGCUUAUAUCAGGUUACAUGAAAAAAAUAUUAAUCUCUAUUAUUUAGGGGAGAUGUUGUUCAAAUUUUUAAAAUUUUAAUAAUGAAAUUCAUGUUGUUAGAAAUUGUUGUUUUUUUGUCAAUUCAUUCAUAUUUUACUUAUAUCAGGUUACAUUGAAAAAUUUUGAAUCUCUACUGUUUAGGGGAAAUGUUGUUCAAAUUUUUACAAUUUUAAUAAUGAAAUUCAUGUUGUUAGAAAUUGUUGUUUUUUUGUCAAUUCAUUCAUAUUUUACUUAUAUCAGGUUACAUUGAAAAAAUUUGAAUCUCUAUUGUUUAGGGGAAAUGCUGUUCAAAUUUUUACAAUUUUAAUAAUGAAAUUCAUGUUGUUAGAAAUUGUUGUUUUUUUGUCAAUUCAUUCAUAUUGUACUUAUAUCAGGUUACAUUGAAAAAUUUUGAAUCUCUACUAUUUAGGAGAAAUGCUGUUCAAAUUUUUACAAUUUUAAUAAUGAAAUUCAUGUUGUUAGAUAUUAUUGUUUCUUGUCAAUUCAUUCAUAUUUUGUUUAUAUCAUGUAUUGAUGUACAUGCAGACAUGGAUACUCCGUUGUUUCGUGCUCGUCUUGACCCUGAGGAUACAUCUGUGCUUACUCUUCAGCAUUAACAUCGAUCAUCCACCAUUCGUGUUGAUCCAGAUAUGGGUAGUGUUUUGACUUGUCGACACAGGAUGCUUCGAGAGUGGGUUUUGGAUGAUCGUGUUCGGCCAUACAUUAUACAGUCAAGAUUUUAUGUCUUUCAUCGAGUGGGCCAUGUUAAGGUUGAUUGGCCUUUGAUUACUGCACUGGUAGAGAGAUGGCGCCCAGAGACGCACACAUUCCACAUGCCAGUUGGUGAGAUGACCAUCACAUUGCAGGACGUAGCCAUCUUAUUUGGAUUACGUGUACAUGGCCAUCCUGUCACUGGUUCUACAAAUAUUGAUUGGCAUGCACUUUGUGAGGAGUUAUUGGGUGUUCGACUGACAGAGACUGAUAUUCAUGGAGCAUCUCUUAUAGUUCGUUUUAUUACUACCCAUUUCUCCCACUUACCACCAGGGGUUGUAGAUGAGGUUACGUUACAACGCCAUGCUAGAGCUUAUCUUUUAUUGUUAGUUAGUGGUUCAUUAUUUACAGAUAAGAAGGGGGUUUACAUCCAAUUAGCAAUUCUACCCAUGUUAAGAGAUUUUGGUGAGACUGCACAGUAUAGUUGGGGGAGUGCGACACUAGCACAUCUUUAUCGAGAGUUAUGUCGAGCUAGCUUAGAUAGUGCAGAAUCUAUUGCAGGACCAUUACAUUUUUUGCAGGUAUAACUACUAGUCUUAUUAAUUAUGUAAUUUUUUCAUAAUUAUGUGCAUUUAAACAUAAUUUUAUUUCAUUUUUAGCUAUGGUCAUGGGAGCGAUUACAUGUGGGUCUUCCUAGUAAAUCACUUCCCCAUGCACCAGUGCCUGUAGAUGAGAGAUUCCCACCAGAUGCACUAGGGAGUAGGUGGAGAGUUCCCUUAUCUCAUACAGACACUCCUCAUCAUGUGUUGGUCACAUACAGAGAUGAGUUUGAUAGACAGUGAUCUGAUCAGGUUUGGGCUAAAUAUUAGUAUUCUUUAACAUGAACAUCUUAAUAUUAAUAAUAUAAUUUAUACUUUAUUAAAUACAUACUCAUCUAUGAAUAUAUCAGGUAUUAUGGCAGCCUUACACAGAUGAUAUACUAGCGUUGCUUCCAGACAUUUGUUUAGCUGAUCAGGAUAUUUGGCAGACGAUGUCACCACUUUUUUUUUUUUUAUAUUGUUGAGUGGCAUCGUCCUGAGCGUGUGUUGCGACAGUUUGGACUCAUAUAGGGUAUUCCUUCGACACCCCCUAUAGAUUCUGACCUUCACUCCAUAGAUCGACGUGGUCAACCUCAGUUUGAUUGGAGGUUGUAUCAUGAGCACUACGUGGCAUUAUGGGAGGCUAGAGGGGACCACAUUGUCACUAUGGAGCCUAUAGGGCCUCAUAUGGACUACCAUGCUCCGUACAUGACAUGGUAUCGUCAUAUUACACGUCAUUUUAUUACACCUAUGAAUGAUUUUGGACCUAUGCGGUACCAGGCUACUGCUUUAUUUGCCCACUUAUUGGUUUGUAUCACUUUAAUAUUAUGUACAUAUUCUGUAUAAUAUUUAUUCCAACAAAUAAUUAUAUAUCAUUUUAUGUGACAGAUUGAGACUAUGACAUCAAUCAUAUCUCGAGGAGGUCAUGCAUUGGAGGACUCUGAUACUGAUGCUUGCCGCACUGGUAUUGUUGAUAUUAUUCGUAUGGCCACUGAUGUUAUGUGCAUUAUUCGGGAGGAUUAUCGUCUCCCACAUGUAAAGCAUGGAGGAGAUAGGUCACUAGCUCAGUCAACAGUUGCUCGACCACCACUUGUUCGAGGUCGGUCGACAUCUCGAGGGAGAGGUAGAUAUAGUAGUUGUCAGCCCAUCACAUCGUCAGUAUCAGCAUCAUUACAGCCCCCUACCUUUUUAUCGUCACGAUUAGUACAGUCACCCAUCUCUUCAGACGUACCAUCAGUGCAGCACCCUACUUCUUCAGACCCACUAUCAGCCCAACCCCUUACUUCUUCAGACCCACCAUCAGUACAACCCCCUACCUCUUUAGACCUACCUCCAUUACAACCUCUUAUCUCUUCAGACCCACCAUUAGUGCAGAUUGACACAUCUACUCAGCUAGAUUUACCACCAGCCAUUCCGAGGGGUAGGUAGGGCCUACGUCGACCUAGAUUGCUACCUCCACCACCACCUCUAUUUCCAGCUCUAGCCCCAUAACAGACAGAUGUUCUUCAUGUGUCACAUGCAAUACCUGCUACAGUUAGAGAGGAGCGUCCAAAAAGGAAGAGAGUACCAGUUACACAUAGGUUCUCUCCUUGUGGAGGCAUGUGAGAUUAUAUAUGUUUUUUAUUUUCCACUAUAUUAAUGUUUAGUGGAUAUUUUUUGUGACUUUAAUUAAACUAUUAAAAAUUACAUUUUGUAGUAGACUUUUUGUAAUUAAUUUCAUUAACUAAUUUUGUAAAAAAAUCUAUAUAUGACAACUACGGCCUUAGAGUAUGUUAUUAUUUUGUUAAAGAUAAAUUUAUCAUAAUACAAAUAAAUUAAUAUCUUAAAAAUUAACAAAUUAAAUAUCUUAAAUUAAUAAAUUAUACAAUUUUAUAUAUUAUUUAUAUGUUAUAUAAAUUUAUUAUUUUAAGAUUAUUAAUUUAUUAAUAAAUAAAACACUCAUUUAUAAUAUCUUCUAUUUAUUAAUUUAUGUUUGUUGAAGUAAUACUAGAUUUUUAAGUUUAAAUAUAAAUAAUUUAUUAUUUAAGUAUAUUUUUUAAAUUUCAAUCAUAAAUUGUGAUUUAAUAGUUUUUAAUUAAAUUUGAAAGUAAAAAAAAAAUAUUAUAAUUGAAAUCUUAGUUAUCAACUACUAUACUAUUAUUUCGAUAAAGAUAAAUUUAUCAUAAUAUAAAUAAAUUAAUAUCUUAAAAAUUAACAAAUUAAAUAUCUUAAAUUAAUAAAAUAUACAAUUUUAUAUAUUAUUUAUAUGUUAUAUAAGUUUAUUAUUUUAAGAUUAUUAAUUUAUUAAUAAAUCAAAUAUUAAUUUAUAAUAUCUUCUAUUUAUCAAUUUAUGUUUGUUGAAAUAAUACUAGAUUUUUAAGUUUAAAUAUAAAUAAUUUUUUAUUUAAGUAUAUUUUUAAAAUUACAAUCAUAAAUUGUAAUUUAAUAGUUUUUAAUUAAAUUUGAAAGUAAAAAAAAAUAAUAUUAUAAUUGAAAUCUCAGUUAUCAACUACUAUACUAUUAUUUCGAUAAAGAUAAAUUUAUCAUAAUACAAAUAAAUUAAUAUCUUAAAAAUUAACAAAUUAAAUAUCUUAAAUUAAUAAAUUAUACAAUUUUAUAUAUUAUUUAUAUGUUAUAUAAGUUUAUUAUUUUAAGAUUAUUAAUUUAUAAUAUCUUCUAUUUAUCAAUUUAUGUUUGUUGAAAUAAUACUAGAUUCUUAAGUUUAAAUAUAAAUAAUUUAUUAUUUAAUUAUAUAUUUUUAAUUUUAAUAAUAAAUUGUAAUUUAAUAGUUUUUAAUUAAAUUUGAAAGUAAAAAAAAAUAUAUUUGAAAUCUCAGUUACCAACUGCGACUUAAAAGUAUACUAUUAUUUCGAUAAAAAUAAAUUUAUCAUAAUAUAAAUAAAUUAAUAUCUUAAAAAACAACAAAUUAAAUAUCUUAAAUUAAUAAAUUAUACAAUUUUAUAUAUUAUUUAUAUGUUAUAUAAGUUUAUUAUUUUAAGAUUAUUAAUUUAUUAAUAAAUAAAACGUUCAUUUAUAAUAUCUUCUAUUUAUUAAUUUAUGUUUGUUGAAGUAAUACUAGAUUUUUAAGUUUAAAUAUAAAUAAUUUAUUAUUUAAGUAUAUUUUUAAAUUUCAAUCAUAAAUUGUAAUUUAAUAGUUUUUAAUUAAAUUUGAAAGUAAAAAAAAAAUAUAUAUUAUAAUUGAAAUCUCAGUUAUCAACUGCUAUACUAUUAUUUCGAUAAAGAUAAAUUUAUCAUAAUACAAAUAAAUUAAUAUUUUAAAAAUUAAAAAAUUAAAUAUCUUAAAUUAAUAAAUUAUUUAUAUGUUAUAUAAGUUUAUUAUUUUAAGAUUAUUAAUUUAUUAAUAAAUAAAUUAUUCAUUUAUAAUAUCUUCUAUUUAUCAAUUUAUGUUUGUUGAAGUAAUACUAGAAUUUUAAAUUUAAAUAUAAAUAAUUUAUUAUUUAAGUAUAUAAAUUAUAAUUUAAUAAUUUUUUAAUUAAAUUUUAGAUUUAAAUAAAAAUUAACUAAAGUCAUAGUUGCCAACCGCGGCUUUAGUUAAAAAAUGAAGCCGCGUUUAGCAACUGCGACUGUAGUACAAAAAUGAAGCCGCGUUUGCCAACUGUGACUUUAGUACAAAAAUGAAGCCGCGUUUGCCAACUGCGACUUUCACUAUAAUGACGAAAAAAAAAAAAUUUAAUGACAUGGCGCCUACGUGGCAUCAAAGAGGUCAAUUUGAACAGAAGUUUAAAAAAGUGGUUAGAUGUUAUAAUUUUUUUCAAAAAUGGGUCAUUUUGACCCAAAACUCGAAAACGGAGGUAAGUCAGGUCAAGUGGGCCCACCUGACCUACCACAUUAAAUUGUUUGGAAAGUGGAAAUUCAAACUAAAAUUGCCUAGAAAGUGAUUUCCCAUUUGCCUGGAAAUUGCCUUGAAACUGGGAACUCAGCUAGAUUUAAAAGCAACAAACCUGGCUGUUGCUUUUUGAUUUUACACCAAAAACUUUCUCAAUAACCCCAUUUUUUUAAAAGAAAAUUUGAUGGAAACAUUAUAUAUAUAUAUAUAUAUAUAUAUAUAUAUAUAUUAAUUAAUAAAAAUAAAAUUAUAAUUCAAAUAAUUUUUAUUUCCUUUAUUUAUUUACCCUUUUUACCCCAUAAGGGUGAAAAAAAAAAGAAAAAAAAAACUAAAUUGCAAAUAAAAUGAGAAUAGAAAUUUAACAAACAUUUCUUACUUUUUAUUGCUGAAUAUAGGAAUUUACAAGUUGAAGAUACAACUGAUUGUAUUUCUCUUGAUCUCUCUAUUGAUUGCUUUUUGAUCGCUCGCUUGCUUGCUCUAUCAGUUUACAACAAAAAUAUUUACAAAGUUUUCAAAUGUUUAGUUAACAAUAAAUGUAAAGAAGGUAAGAUUUGACUUUUCUUUCUUCUUUACCAUCCGUCUAGUGGCUUCUUCCUUAUCUCUUUCUUCUUUUUUAUCACAUGCAGUAUACAUGGCUUUAUUGAUUAUGGACUUCUAAUGUUGUAUUAAAUUCUUGUAGUUGAAGACAUAUUUCGUGCUUCAAUGUCGUCAUUGCUAACAUCAACGUUCCAUUGCAUUUUGUAGAUUAAAAUAACUUUCGUCGUUAAGGUUUUCCCAAAAUGAUGCAUCAUCGCUGAGGUAAGAAGAUGGUUCUGGUAAUUCUACAUCGAGUUCGAUUAUAAAAUCUUGUUCUUCAGAAGUAAUGAAAGGUUUCAGAACAAUAAUGUGUUCUAAAGGUUUGUUUCUCCAUAUAGACAUUUCUACAAUGAGAUGAAAUAAUUUAUUUCAGGUUGGUUUAAGAUCAUAAAUUUGAAAGGCUCUAAAGUGAGUAAAAAAUUCUGAAAAUUCAUUCGAAUUGGUCAUUUCCCAUUCUGGUUCUUGUUGAGGGAUGAGUGAUUCUUUAUUGUGUUUUAUAUAAACAUGGUGAUAGAUUAGCACUAUUGAUCAAUUGGUUUGAAAUAAAGGUGGAAUGGUUUCAAAAGAAAUGUCGAUUUGUUUUUUGGUUUUUAAAAUUAGUUGUUUAGCUAAACUGUUAACUUUAGUUGAAAGUAUUUAAUUUUAAGAAUAAAAUUUAGAAAAAGUAUAAAUCUAAAAUAAUCCUAUAAAAUUAGGAUUGGAUAGAUAAAUUCUAAACAUAAAACAUCAUUGCAUGAAAUAUUAUACAUAAAAUGUGAAAUACAUAUCAUGAAUUUUAUUUUAUAUUUAUAAUAUUAAAAAUAAAAUAGAAUUAACAAAAAUAAGUUAAAAUUAUUUUAUUAAUAUAUAUUGACAAAUAAAAGAUAAAAAUUAUAAUAUAUAUAUUUAGAAAAGUUAAAAUGAAAAAAGAGAGACAAUUGUCACACAAUGGUCUCCCUUUGUCACACAAUGGAGAGACCUUGUCAAUCGGGAAUGAAGUUACACUUUUAAAAAUUACUAGUAGAAAGCACGUGCGAGGCACAUGAAGAUGUACGUAGGUAUAUGAUUGUGAAUGUGCAGAUAAAUGGAAUGAAAGAUAUAAUGUUUGAAAAGGUAAUUAGUAAGUGAAUUAUCUUUUAAUAUAGAUAUAAUAAUUUAAAUUUCUUUACUUUUAAUAAUCUAUAAAUAAUUUUAAAUUGAUUAACAUAAUAUAUAAAAUGACGUAAUAUACCUAUAAUUUAAUUAAUCCAUAAAUAAUAAUUAUAAAUAGAAAUAUCAAAAUAUUAUCAUAUUUGAUUAUAGUAAUAGAUACUAUAUAUAAAUAUAUUAUUAUAAUAUAAGAUGAUAUUUUACCUUUCUUUAAAUUCUUUAUAUUUUUAUAAUUUAGUAAUUAAGUUAGUUAUUAAACUUAUCUUAAAGAUCAUAUAUUUGUUUUUUAAAUUUUAGUUUCUUGUUCAUCAAUAUUUCAAAUAAAUUAUUUAAAUUAAAAUUUAUUAUUGUAACUCAAGGAUGUACUUAAAGAAAAAUAGAUAGAACAUAAAAAAAUAUGUUAUUAUAGUCACGAUUUAGGUAAAAUCACAACCAAACAAAUAUGUGUCAUAAUUUACAAGUUUUGUAAUCCACCAUUGUUGUAAUGUACUCUUUUAACAAAUUUACUUAGUUGGUUUCUUCCAUAAGUUUGAAGCAAUACCUGUUUAUCUUUGUAAUUGCCUGAGUUAAAUUCAUUUCUUUUCUCUCUUGCAAAAAAGUUAUAUAUAUUUUAAAAGGUAUUAGGUGAAACAGAAAAAUGAUGCUUUAACCAUCGGUCAAACUAGUGAACCAUGAAUUAGUAAUUUUUUUUUAUUCAAUGACUGAUUUUAUUCUAAAAACAUUGAUUUAAAAGAUUUCAAAUUAACACUACCUAAAGGCAUUGAUAUAUAUGUAGAGGCUUUGGGUGUCAAUUAAGCCUAAAUAUUUAAUUGCAUCUCUUCUAGUAUUUAGGCAUGCACACAUGAUACAACUUUUUGUUUGAAUUAUAUUACAUACUAAUAAUAUUAUUAAAGAAAACUUAGAAAUAAACAUUUAAUGACUCAAAUUUUCUUUAUUUCUGAAAUUAAAUUAUACUUCUCUUCUUUAAACAAUUUUUUCAUAAAUGAAUGUGUUCAGACAUUUUUCAAGAUCUAUUUAUCUCGAUAAACAUAACUUUCAAAAUUUUCUUUUAACUUCUCUUCAUUUAUAUUCAUAUUUGUUUUGAAUUAAUUUUGAUUUAUCUAUUAAAAAUUAGUUGUAGUUUACAUUCUUUGUAUAAUAUUUAUUAUCAUCAUCAUUAUAAUAACAAAUAAAUGAUUAAAAAUAUUUGUUCAAAAAUGAGGUUAAAAAAUUUUAUAUAAGAAAAAUAAAAUGUGGUAAACUUGUUUUUAGGCAAACCCUUAAAUAUUUUCAUUAAUUAAUAAUUAUUUUAUUUUAUUUUUUUUUACAAAUUUUCCAAAUUCAUGUGAUAUAAUUUGAGUGAAAAUUUAUUAAAAACUCGAAAGAAAAAUAAAUAUUUGAUAUAUUAAUAAUUUAUACUUCUAGGUAAUAAAAUCUUCUUGUCCAACUCACGUAUUCAAUUAAUAAUCCUAAAUAUAUAAGAUAAUAAUUUUUUUAGAAAUUCUUAAGAGUCCAAUAAAAUAUAAAUUAAUAACUAAUGAAAUAUGUAAAGAAAAAAAAAUCAUAAUGCAAACUUUCUCAAAAUAUACAUUGAAAUUUUAAGUGUCUGCUCAUAAAAAAACAAUGAAAUCCCAAAUCCCAAUUUUAGCGAAGAAGAAGAAAUGUGAAUCCCAGGCUUUCAACUUCAAAACCGGAGAAAAGAAUGUACAAUUUAUUCAAAACUUUUAGGCCCCACUUAAAAACAUGGAAAAUUUGACAAUAAUGAAACCGCAUGGAAAACGGAGGUAAGUCAUGUCAAGUGGGCCCACCUGACCUACUGCAUUAAAUUGUUUGGAAAGUGGGAAUUCAAACUGAAAUUGCCUGGAAGUGAUUUCCCAUUUGCCCGGAAAUUGCCUUGAAACUGGGAACUUAGCUGGAUUUAAAAUCAGCAAACCUGGUUGUCAGUUGAUCAGCAACAACUGUGAAAACAAGUAAUGGCUGAAAGUAUUGUCACCGUUUUUCUAGAGAAGUUAACUGACCUGCUUUCCCAGGAAGCAUUUCUACUCAGCAGAGUGGAAGAGCAGGUGAAUCUGUUGAGUAUUGACCUCGAAUGGAUGCGCCAUUUUCUCAAAGACGCGGAUGCGAAGCGCAGAUAUGAUCCAAGAAUCAAGCUCUGGGUGAGUCAGAUCAGGGACGUAACCUAUGACGCCGAAGAUGUCAUCGACAGGUUCAUGUUCGAGAUGAAUCACCAACAGCAAGGAAGUCUCAAAUGCCUCAAGUUCCUUAAGUUACGAUUGGUUCACAAGCUCGAGUCUCGAAUCAGAGAGAUCAAUACCAAGAUUGAGAAGAUCAAGGCUGCCAAAUCAACGUUCGUUGUCGAAACCUUACCAGCUGCAAGCUCGCCCAACGAAGUUGUGCCACAUAGAGAGAGGAGGGCUCCGAUUGUGGAAGAAGUCAACGUGGUGGGAAUUCAAGAGGAUGCAAAAAGCGUCAAGCAAAAGCUGCUUAAUGGAGAGAUGCGGAGAGCUGUGGUGUCCAUCGUGGGCAUGGGUGGCUUGGGAAAGACUACCCUGGCUAAGAAAGUCUACAAUGAUAAUGAUGUCCAGCAAUGCUUUGAUUGUCAUGCUUGGAUUUAUGUCUCUCAAGAGUAUACAAUCAGGGAGCUUUUGCUGGGCAUUGCUGUUCGUGUUGGGAUUCUCUCCGAAGAGGAAAGGAGUAAAAUGAACGAGAGCGAUUUGGGGAAUAGUCUUCGUGAUUACCUGACUACCAAGAAGUACUUGAUAGUUAUGGAUGAUAUGUGGAGAAAUGAAGCUUGGGAUAGGUUGGGCUUGUAUUUUCCUGACUCGGUGAAUGGCAGCAGAGUAUUGAUCACCUCACGCAAUAAAGAGAUUGGUCUUUAUGCUGAUCCACAAACCAUUCCCCAUGAACUUUCUUUUCUGACUGAAGAAGAGAGUUGGGAGCUCUUUCUCAAGAAAAUUUUUCUGGCUGGGAGUGCAAAUGCUGUUUGCCCCAGAGAACUGGAAGAGUUGGGAAAGAAAAUUGUAGCAAAUUGUGGGGGUUUGCCCCUUGCAAUUGUGGUCUUGGGAGGCCUUCUAUCAAGAAAAGAAAAGACACCGCUCUCCUGGCAAAAAGUAUUGGACAGCCUAACUUGGCACCUAAAUCAAGGUCCAGACUCAUGUUUGGGGGUCCUUGCUUUAAGCUACAAUGAUAUGCCGUAUUACUUGAAGUCCUGUUUCCUUUACUGUGGUCUUUUCCCAGAAGACUCAGAAAUCAGGACAGAUAAGUUGAUCCGCUUGUGGGUUGCAGAAGGGUUUAUACAGAGAAGAGGAGAAGAAAUAGGGGAAGAUGUCGCGGAAGAUCACUUACAGGAAUUGGUACAUAGAAGCAUGAUUCAAGUGGCUGCCAGGAGUUUCGAUGGAAGAGUGAUGUCCUGUCGCAUGCACGAUCUGCUUCGAGACCUUGCCACUUCUGAGGCCAAAGAUACAAAAUUUUUUGAGGGAUAUGGAAGCAUGGAUUCUACAUCCCCUGUUAGUGUUCGUCGACUAACCAUUCAUCAAGGUAAGAAGACUAAUUCUAAACACUUGCAUACUUCACGUAGUCUCCGAUCUUUCAUUUGUUUUUCUGUAUGCUUCCAAGAAAACAUUUUGAGAUCUUUACACAGGCGUGUCAAAUUGCUCACUGUACUGGACCUAGAACGCAUGCCUAUCAAUACCAUCCCAGAAGGCAUAGGAGAACUUAUACACCUUAAGUACCUGUGCUUAAAGUAUGAUAGCCCUUUAGUUCUUUAGAAUAAUAUAAAAGAAAGUAUACCCACUAAAAGACUACGAUCCUCUUUUAAGUUCUCUAUAACUAGAUGUAAUUGAGAAUAGUGAGUUUUUCAUUAAUAACCACCAAUAUUUUAUAAUCGGAUUGGAAUUGUUCCCCUAAAGUGAAUGCAACCGAUUAGGAAUACGAUCAUAGAAUAGGAUAUGAUCUAAAUCUAGUAUACAAUAAUUUCUUAAUCCAUGAGGGUCAUUGUUUUCCCAAGAAGAAAUUUAGACCAUACCACCAGAAGUGGUGAAAUGAAAUGAAAAAAAAGGGUUAGGUUUGUAGUAUAAGCCUACCAAAGCUGAACAAAAAAUCAUUGUUGAUGCAUGCUAGUCAUAUGAUCAAGCAUUUCAUUGAAUUUUACCAAAAUUAAAAGCAAAAAAAUUAGUAAAUAGAAGGUUAACAUAUCUAGAUUAUUAUAACUUUCCUUAGAAAUCCUAAUGAUAAAAUUUACUAAUUGAUUGGUGAUGGAAAAAAUGUUUAUUCUCAUGUAGGAUCUUUACUUUCUUAUGUUGUGUCUUUUUAUCUAAUAUAGUACACAUCAUAUUUGCUAAUAAAUGUUUAUGUUUUAUUUACAUAUAGUAUUGAUUGCUUAAUAAGUAUAUUCUAAGUUGUCUAUCUCAUUAAUUGUACAAAAUGUAAUAAUUGAUGUCAUUACCAUAUCAAUUUAUGGAAACUUGAUUGAAAGCUCUUGAAGAGCUUAUAUUAUGUCACUAGUUGAUCGAUGUCAUUACUACAUAUAUGAAUUUAUAAAAAUCCGAUUAAAGGCUCUAGACGAGCUCAUACUAUGUUACUAAUGGCACACGAAUCCAUAUGAAUGAUACUUGACAUUCUAUCAAAUCUAGAAGAAUUUGAGAUGACCAACUUGGUCCCCCAGGGUGAACAAUGAUGCAUCAACUCCUUGAAAUAUGAAAUGGGGAUUCAUUAAAGAACUAGAAGUUUCUUCAACUAGUGACUAGUAUAUUUGAACCUUUGAAGGAUAUUAUUACGUGUCAUGUAAAUUUCUAGUUUAAAGAGACAAUUUCCCACCAUUAGGGGGAGGCAAGUCAUUUCUAGAAGAAUGGCGAGACAUUACAUGGUCUGUACCCUCUUUGUCUCAUCUGCAUCCCCGUACAAGGUAGUUUGAACUAGAAGUUCAAAGGAUUAUUCAUUUGUAAGGACUUGCAAAUUAGUUACCUAAUGUUUUCACAAAUAUAAAAAAGUAACAAAGUCACACGUGUCGGCUGUGAAUACCCUGACACAUAUUGAUGUCCCUAAAAGACAAUUGAAAAAUGCCAUAGCAAGUGAAUCUAAUACACACUUAAAGCAUGGUAGACCUGUUGGAUCAAAUGAUUCAGUUCCUAAAAAAAAAAAAAAAAAGGAACAACAUAUUAAAAGUUUGGUACUCUUGAAGAGCUUACAAAUAUGAAAGGGUCAAAUGAUGAAAACCAACUUGUUAAACAGUUAGCCCCUGAAGAGAUCCAAAUUGAUCAAAUACCGGUAUCUAGAAUUGAAGAGAUCUCAAUGAGUCACACAAGAGAAACAAGGAACCACAAUGACAUCAUCAUAGACAAUAUAUUUGCAUUCCGAGUAGCUAUAGAUCUCAUGAGAAAUGAUGAAGAUCAAAAACCACAAAUUGUGGGUGAAUGUCAAAAAAGGAAUGAAUGACCAAAAUGGAAAGAAACAAUCAAAAUAGAGCUAAACUCGUUAGCAAAACGAGAGGAAUUUGGACCUGUAGUUCAAACACCUAGAAGCAUAAAGCUGAGAUCAAGUACCAGAUCUUAGCGCAAUCAGUGUAAAAUGUACCUUAUAAAUUGUACUAGACUAGGCAUAACAUUUUCUGUUAACUUGCUUGCAAGAUACAGUUUUGCCCCAACUAGAAGGCAUUGGAACGAGAUUAAACAUAUAUUGCGAUACCUUUGUGGAACAAAUGAUCAUGGCUUAUAUUAUUCAAAAGAAUUAAAAUCGCAAUUGAUUGAGUAUGCUAAUGUAGGAUAUAUUUCAGAUCCCCAUAAAGCUCAAUCCCAAAUGGGAUAUGUCUUUACUUAUGGUAGUACAAAAAUAUAUUGAAGAUCAAUCAAGCAAACAAUGGUAGUCAUCUCUUCAAAUCAUUCAGAAAUUCUUGCAAUUCAUGAAGCAAGUCAUGAAUGUAUAUGACUAAGGUCAAUGAUUCAACAUAUUCAAGAAACAUGUGGACUACCUUCCAUAAGAGGCAAUACAACCAAAUUACAUGAAGAUAUUGUUGCUUGUAUUGUGCAAAUUAAAUGAGGAUUCAUAAAAGGUGACAAAAUGAAGCAUAUCUCCCCUAAAUUCUUCUACACCCAAGAGCUCUAGGAGAAAGGUGAGAUUGAUGGUCAGGAGAUUCGGUCAUGUAAUAAUCUAGUAGAUCUAUUCACAAAGGCGUUACCUUCAACCAUUAUGAAAAGGUUAAGGUAUGAUAUUGAACUGAAAAGAUUAAGAGAUCUACCAAUUGAAGAGUUGAAGAAAUCAUAAUCAUAUGUACAAAAGGGGUAGAAAGUUAAGAUGUAUAUAUUGCACUCUUUUUUCCUUUGUCCACGUUUUUUCCCACAGGGUUUUACUAGUAAGGUUUAUGAUGAGGCAGUUACCAUAUCCUUAUGAUCAUCCAAGGAGGAGUGUUUUAAAAUAUGAGAUUUUGUACCACUAUGGUAACUUGUGGAUGAUCAUCCAUAAAUAUUUUUUGUAACUCCCUAUAAAAUGGAGGAACCCUUAAUGAAAUUCUAUAGAGUUUUCCUGUACAUUUUAUCAUCUUUUUCUGUUUUCUUCUUCCUCCACUUUUACAACAUUAUCUUAUACAUUUAUUUUAAUUAUUUUAUAUUUUUUAUACAUUUUCUUAUAAAUGAGAUUUAUUUUAUAAUUCAUAUAUUUGUUUUUUUUAUUUAAUUUAGGACUUUUAUUUAUUACUUCAAAUAAAUUUAUAAAAAUUAUUGUAAUUCUAAUCAUAAUAAUUUAAUGUUUGAAAAUUAAUAUUAGGAAUUCUCAAAAAUUAUUUUUAGUUUUUAAUAAUUAAUAAUGAUUAUCAAGAUUUAUGAAUUAUUUUUAUCGUAUUUGAUGAGACAUUUAAAUGAAAAUUCAAGAGUUAUAUAUAUAUAUAUGUUUCUUUCAUAAUCAAUUUUAGAUAUUUUAAAAAUUAAUUAAAAUAAUAUAUAAAGAUGUCAUAUGCAAUUUAUCUUUCCAAGUUCUUCUUCUUUCAUAUUGUUGUUUUUGAAAUCACUCUUUUAAUCUACAAUAAAAAAAUAUUAAAAUAUUAAAAUAAAUCAUCCAAAAAAACCAUGUCAUUAAUUUGAUUUUUAAUUUAUUCUUACUCUUGUCAAUAAUAAAAAAAUUAAAUAAGAAUAAAAAUAACUGCUAAUAAAUAUUUUAAAAUAAAUUUAAAAUUUAUUUAUUUACAAAAUAAUAUGAAUUAUAGACAAAAUUAAUAUAAUGGAUAUACUACAAUUUUGAAUCCCUCAAAAAAAUCAAUCCUACAAAAUAAUGUUCAUUUGUUUAAUCGAAAUUGAAUGCUUCAUAAGAAUGAUGAAAGAAACGAGAGACACAAUGCUGGAGAAUGUUGAAGAAGGACAUGAAACACAAAUCUGUUAGUGAGGCACAACACUGAUGAAUGUUGAAGAAAGACACGAAACACAAAUGAUAAUGGAGUAAGUGUCAAGAUUACUCUUAGGGUUGUAGUAUCUACAAAAAUAAAAUAGCACCAAACAUCAAACUCUUUACUAACUUAUGUCAUUUUGUGAGUAAAUAGUAUCGCAGAAAGACAAAGAGAGACAAAAAAUAAAAAUAAAAACUCAUAAUGGAAUCAAAUAAUAAGAAAGCAAGAGAAAGAAAGAGAAAUUUCACACCCUACAGGUUGAGAACAUGGGUUCCACGACCUUCGGGUUGAAAACAUGAGUCUUAUAAAUAAGAGAUAAAAUUAAAAGACAUUAAACAUGAAGUUGAAAGGAAAUUGAAUUCUUAGGGUUGACAUUGAAAAGACAUCAAAUAUAAAGGGGGAUAUGAAUUGAAAAGAUACCCACAUUUAUUGUCUUUUAACAUUUAUUGAUUUAGUGAGAGAAAAGACUGAUUUUUUAAAUCUCAUACUUUCAUGGAGGUGUUUUUUUUUUCCACAACUAGUUGUAUUUUUUAAUAAAAUUUUAUAAAAGAAAUAGUUAUCUAUUUAAAGAAAUAAAAUAAUAUUCAAAAUCAUAAUUUAAAAAUACAAUUUUAUUAUAAAUUUAUAAAUUAUAGUGUACACCCUCCAUUUUGUCCCCUAACACAUAUUUUCUCAUUUUAUUUUCUUUCACACCAUGCUUAUUUUUAGUAUGUGUUUAAGAUCCUUAUUACUUGAUCAUUCAUUGUCCCUUAUUGGUUUACAUUUAUUUGAUUCAUUGUUUAUUUUUUAGCCACAUUUUGGAGGCCAUUUAGGGGGUAAUUUCGGGUCCUUCCAACUUGAGUUUUAGAGACCCCUUAAGCUUAGAUUUUUUUUUUUUUUUUGUUUAAUCUCAGUCUUAGGAGAGUUUCUAAGGUUUUUUUAGUUUUUAGAGAGGCCUAGUAGCUGGCUUAGGAUGAGGACAUGUGUUCUCAUCUUGACUGCUUCACUUUUAAAACACCCAUUUUUUUUUUCCUUCUCUUUUUGCCAUAUUUGGGGGAGACCGUCUAGAAACCUCUCAGGAGAGGAGCUUUUCAACAUGUUUUUUUUUUUCUUUUUUUCUUUUAUUUUAGGUGAGUUGUCAAGAUGAAGGAGGAGAGUGAGUUGUUAGUAGUGCUUUUCUGCAGGGGGGAAUAUUCUCUGCAUAAGGGUGGUUAUAAGAGAGAAAAAGACAUUUUUUUUUUUGUGAACUUCAAGAGACGUUUUGAGCAUCAGAGGAUAUUGGGAUUAUCAUGAGGAUUUAGGGAGGUGGGAGUGAGAGUUUGAGGAGAAAGAAAACAAGAGGAAGGGAAUGAAACAAAAAAAAUGAGCUAAUGAAUUUUGUUUGUUUGUUUGAUUUUUUUUUUUCUGGUUUUUAGGAGAGAACGCAACUAGCUUGAAGCCAAAUAGAUUUCUAUUUGAGAAAAUGAUCAUAACAUAAGGUUAAUAUGAGUUUCAGUUCUCUAUUUUCUCCAUUGUUUUAUUCUUCACUUUGUUGGUUCCUUUGCAUUGCCCGGUUUGAGUGUGGAUAUCAGGCUACACAUUUAGUUUCUUUUACUAAUCUUUAAAAUGAUUAUAGAUUUGUUGUUAUAUUGUUUAUCUACUAUUCCUCUUGGUAUUGCUAGAAGGUAAUCUCACUCUGUUUUAAUUCUACUAUGAAAGGUUUGAGAAUCAUGUCCACAUUCAUAUUUGACAUGGUCUCUCCUACCUACUUUGCAAGCUUACUGAUAAUGAAGUGAAACUUUAUUUAAGGGUCUAGUGGCUUGGUUUAUUUAUUUAUUUUUUAUUCUUUGUUUUUAUGGUUGUUUUCUUCUUGUUGUUUUCCUCUGUUCUUGUUGUUCAUCUUUGUCCUCUACUAGUGGUUUGUCUAGAGUUUUGUCCAGAGGUUUAGUUAUCAGUAGUCACGAUUGAUAGAAGAAACAAAUAGGUUGUGUGAAGAAUGCAAUCACGAUUGAUAGGAGAAACAAAUAAGCUAUGUGAAGCAUGGGUUCCAUAAUCCCUUAUUUCUCCUCUUACAAAAGAAAUGCAUUGUCAACCUUCAGUAUUGGAAAGUGUCUUAGGGCCACAUACAAUAAUCAAUGGCAAACAUGAAAACCAAUUUCAUGGCUUUACGGGAUGGUUUUACCAUUAACUAAAAUGCUAGGGUGAUGGUCCUUGUGUUAGACAAGAUAUUUUAGAAGAACAAAAUUAGUUUUAGGUUAGUUUUAGAGUUAGCUGAAAAAUAGAAUUAAUUAGUCUUCAAAAAUUGCUUUGUAAACUCUCUUACAUCUUCUUUGUUCUACUCUGUUUUUGCUUUCACCACAUUUUAUCUCUCAUCUAAACUCCUUAACAUGGUAUCAAAGCCAUAAUAUCCAACUCAGUCACCCAUUAACAACUGAUGAAUCCUUCUUCACCAUUCUCCAACUUUUUUAACUAUACUCUGUCAAUAAAACUAGAUCAAGAAAAGUACUUGAUCUAGAAAUCUCAAAUUACACCAACAAUUCAAGUACAUGAUAUGCUUGGUUCAUUGAUGGAAUGAGUAAAUGUCCUCUAGAAUUCAUUAACGAAGAUCCAAGAGCCUUUGAUUCUUGCAUAGUCACUAACCAAGAUUAUGUGUUAUGUCAUUGACAAGAUCAAAUUUUGUUAAGUUGGUUAUUAUCAUCUAUUUCUGAAGAGGUGUUGGCCCAGGGAAUUAGUUGUUCCAUGUCUUUUGAAUUAUGGUUUAUGCUGGAAAUUUUUUUUGCUUCUUAGUUGAAGGCAAAAGUAUUACAAUUGUGCAUCCAACUCCAAUCAAUCAAGAAAAAUUCAUUGACAAUGGUUGAAUAGUUUGCAAAGAUAAAAAGAGUUACUAAGAAUCUUGCAGUUGUUGGGCAACCAGUCUCCAAUGAUGAUAUGAUAAUGUACCUUCUUCCUGGGCUUGGAUCUAACUAUGAUCCAAUUUUAGUAAGUGUUACCUCCAAACUUGAUUCAUUUUCUCUUCAAAGAAUAUAGGCUAUACUACUCAAUCAAAAAGCACGCUUAGAACAACUACAUUUAGAAAACUCACUUGAGUUUCAACAAACUGUUGUCAACAUUGCUUCACAUACUUCUUUCAAAGGUAAUGAUCCAAAAGUUUCAGUAGGUGGUCAUACCACCAUUCCUCAAAAUAUGCACUACAAGGAAAAAGUUAUAUGGUGACAUUUAUAACGAGUCACCAUAAACAUAAGGUGUCACUACAACAUAGCAUCACCUUCUCCACUGACACCAUAGAGGGUACCAAUUCGUGACGUAUUUGGAAGUGACACCAAAGUAGAUAAAUGGUGACCCAUUCAGAAGUGACACCAUAUAUUUCUAGUGAUGAUAGGGUGUCACAUUAAAUACAUCAUCUUUGAGUUAUGAUGUCACAUUAAAUGCAUCACCUUUGAGUUAUGGUAUCACAUCAUUGUAAAUUAUUGUGGAAUAUAUGAUUGGUUUUAGUUGUUGAUUUUUGUAAUGCUUAUGAAUUAAUAAGAUUAACCUGUUUAUAUUUUGUCCAUAAAUAUAACAAUCAUAUUAUAUUUAACUCAUUUUUCUGUAAUGUUUUGGGAAUAACUCAUAUACAUUGAUCAUCUANNNNNNNNNNNNNNNNNNNNNNNNNNNNNNNNNNNNNNNNNNNAAAACAUGAUUUAGAAAUGUUAAGAUCCAAGAUUCAUGUAUACUCCAUUCAUAAGCAUAAAACGGCUAACUAUAAAAUGACAUAGAAGUCCCAUUUAAAAAUCUAAAUUUCUCAGUUGCAAUUAAAGUAACGUUUAUGUCCUACAACGUAUGACAUAAGAGUUGCAUUUAAAAACCCAAAAUCUUAUUGCCUUCUUCUUUCUUUUUAUUCUCCAUUUCACCCUCCCAAGAGUGUAUACCUGCAUUUCAAAAUUUAAUGAGUUUUAGAGAUUUUUAUUGAAGAAAAUAAACAUGGAUCUAUGUUAUCAUAAAUGAACAAAUCUAAGAAUUAAUUUUUUUUUCAAAUAGAAACAUUAUUCAAAGAAUAAGCAUUACUAUACAAUACCUAUGGAAAAAUUCAUGUAGUAGCUAAGGGACUCACCAUGCAUGGUGAUCAUGAUGCAUCAACAUGAUUCAUGAUUAGUUGUAGCACAAAAGUAGCCCAUUCUCCUCUAAUUUCAUCGAAUUCUACUUGAGAAUAUGUUUUUUUAAUUACCAAACUGAAAUCAAAUAAGAAAAUAACAUUAAAAUGCAUAACAUUUGGAAGCCUAAAACUAUAUACAAUUCAUUAAAUAAGUAAUACCUUUGAAGCAAUAAUUGUAGGAUAAAAAAUUAUCUCUUUAAUGAAUCUCAUAACAAAGUAGCCACAUUUGAACCCUCCUUCUUGUCUUGGACACUAAUCGAUCAAUUAUAAAAUAACAUUAGUACUCACAUAUAUAAAUGGUGCAAAUGCAUAAGCUAUGUGUAAAGAAAAAUUUUUGGAUGUCACCUGCACUAGUUGCUAAGAUGGCUCCCUCUUAGAUGUUUUCUUUGCAGAUAUUCGAAGAGCCCUAUGUAAAUAAGUUCAGUGGGUACAUUUUUAAAAUAGGUAAAUGUUAUAUGUUUUAAUAUAUAUAAAUAAUAAAAAAAAUGUGUUUGAGGUGAAUGUAUUUUUUUUAUUUAAAAAUAAGACUAUGAAAAAUAAUAGGAAGAACUUACAUGUUUACGAUAUCCUUUAAGUCCUCACAUGGUUUGUGAUGCAUAGGGUCAAGAUAGUGGACUAUCAUUUUCCUUGGCUCAAGCACUACCUAAAUAUAAACCCUUUAAGUCCUCAUAUCUAUUUCUAUUAACAAAAUAUAAAAACUUUCCAAAACUCAAUACUUAAAUAUAAAAACAAAAUCAAAUAAAAUAUNNNNNNNNNNNNNNNNNNNNNNNNNNNNNNNNNNNNNNNNNNNNNNNNNNNNNNNNNNNNNNNNNNNNNNNNNNNNNNNNNNNNNNNNNNNNNNNNNNNNNNNNNNNNNNNNNNNNNNNNNNNNNNNNNNNNNNNNNNNNNNNNNNNNNNNNNNNNNNNNNNNNNNNNNNNNNNNNNNNNNNNNNNNNNNNNNNNNNNNNNNNNNNNNNNNNNNNNNNNNNNNNNNNNNNNNNNNNNNNNNNNNNNNNNNNNNNNNNNNNNNNNNNNNNNNNNNNNNNNNNNNNNNNNNNNNNNNNNNNNNNNNNNNNNNNNNNNNNNNNNNNNNNNNNNNNNNNNNNNNNNNNNNNNNNNNNNNNNNNNNNNNNNNNNNNNNNNNNNNNNNNNNNNNNNNNNNNNNNNNNNNNNNNNNNNNNNNNNNNNNNNNNNNNNNNNNNNNNNNNNNNNNNNNNNNNNNNNNNNNNNNNNNNNNNNNNNNNNNNNNNNNNNNNNNNNNNNNNNNNNNNNNNNNNNNNNNNNNNNNNNNNNNNNNNNNNNNNNNNNNNNNNNNNNNNNNNNNNNNNNNNNNNNNNNNNNNNNNNNNNNNNNNNNNNNNNNNNNNNNNNNNNNNNNNNNNNNNNNNNNNNNNNNNNNNNNNNNNNNNNNNNNNNNNNNNNNNNNNNNNNNNNNNNNNNNNNNNNNNNNNNNNNNNNNNNNNNNNNNNNNNNNNNNNNNNNNNNNNNNNNNNNNNNNNNNNNNNNNNNNNNNNNNNNNNNNNNNNNNNNNNNNNNNNNNNNNNNNNNNNNNNNNNNNNNNNNNNNNNNNNNNNNNNNNNNNNNNNNNNNNNNNNNNNNNNNNNNNNNNNNNNNNNNNNNNNNNNNNNNNNNNNNNNNNNNNNNNNNNNNNNNNNNNNNNNNNNNNNNNNNNNNNNNNNNNNNNNNNNNNNNNNNNNNNNNNNNNNNNNNNNNNNNNNNNNNNNNNNNNNNNNNNNNNNNNNNNNNNNNNNNNNNNNNNNNNNNNNNNNNNNNNNNNNNNNNNNNNNNNNNNNNNNNNNNNNNNNNNNNNNNNNNNNNNNNNNNNNNNNNNNNNNNNNNNNNNNNNNNNNNNNNNNNNNNNNNNNNNNNNNNNNNNNNNNNNNNNNNNNNNNNNNNNNNNNNNNNNNNNNNNNNNNNNNNNACCAUAAUACAAAGAUGCUGUAACAAUUAAUAUAAUGGCAUUAAUAAAAGAAAAAAAAAUCAUAGAUCCAAGAGAUUUUGGGUUACCUGGGAGUCCACAAAGUGAAGAAUGUCGGUUUUGAGCGUGUUGACUAUGGAUGGGUGAGAGAAAAGGUUGAAGAAGAUCAUGAUUUUAUAUAUAGGAUUUAUAUAUUGAGAUUUUUUGGAUUGUGGGUGAGAUAUGGAAACAAUGGGAUUUUUAUAUAGUAUCCAUCAUUAUUAAUUCUAAAAGUGGGCUCAUUAAGUUAUAAUACUUAAAAAAAAUUUAUUUUAUAUGAUGUCACUUCCCAAAAAAUGACACUAUAAAUAUAAAAUUAAUAUAAUCUAACUACCUCAAUUGACGAUUUUUUAUAUGAUGUGUCACCUUUAUUAAUUAUAAACCCUAUGGUGUCAUUAUUUUAAAAGUGACACCGUAAAUAGUGACACCAUAAACUAUUUUUGUAGUAGUGAUGAGAGGGUUUCAAAGGUGGUCAAAUCAAGGAGAUCGAGGCAAUAGAUACAACUUCUCACAACUAAUUUGUCAAGUUUGUGGCAAACUAAGUUGUAUUGCCCUCACAUGCUACUAUUGAUUUGAUCACAAUUAUCAAUCUCAAAACUCUCAGAUUGUUAUCUUAAUUACUUCACUAGAAAUACUGGUUGAUCUUGCCUGGUACAUUGAUAAUGAGGCAAAAAAUCAUGUAACAGAUGAGCUAGGAUGUGUGCAAGCUUCUACUAAAUAUCUUGGAAAUAAGAAGUUGACUAUAGACAAUGGCCAAGGUUUGGCCAUUAAACAUAUUGGUCAUUUCUUUUUAUCUACUUCAGAUAAAACUAUUCUUCUUAAAAAUAUAUUGCAUGUUCCAAGCAUUAUUAAAAAUCUUUUAAGUAUCUCAAAAAUUGUUUGUAAUAAUGAUGUUGCUGGGAUUGAGCCCCUAAAAACAAAAAUAAUGUUAGAAAGCUACACCUAACUAUCCCCUUGCUAUCAUUUUGGUGUAUUGACAUUAAUUUGAGCAUUCAACCCAUGUCUCUUACAUUGUACAUGACUUAGGUGCACUAGGAGUUGCAUAGAAGAUACAAGUCAUGGGUUCCUUAUAAGUAGAUAAGUUGUCCAUAGUUAGUUCAUGGAUUUGGGCAAUCUAGUAGAAACUGUAGUGCACCACCUCCUGAUUGGAGGGAUGACUUUCCCAUGGUGAGUGCAUAGGACCUAAGAUGAAUCAUGAUGCAAGGUUAUCAAUUGUCAUGAUUCACAUAACUAUUAUAAUGAAUGAACUUUCAACUUUGAGAGGAUAUUGAGUCUAUGUCAAAAUCAACAGGAGGCUUUGACCUAUGGGUGAGACCCUAAAAUGAUCAUAUAUCUCUAUGGAUUCACUACUACAAAAAUAGUUUAUGGUGUCACUAUUUACGAUGUCACUUUUAAAAUAAUGACACCAUAGGGUUUAUAAUUAAUAAAGGUGACACAUCAUAUAAAAAAUCUUCAAUUGAGGUAGUUAGAUAUUAAUUUUAUAUUUAUAGUGUCAUUUUUUGGGAAGUGACAUCAUAUAAAAUAAAUUUUUUAAGUAUUAUAACUUAAUGAGCCCACUUUUAGAAUUAAUAAUGAUGGAUACUAUAUAAAAAUCCCAUUGUUUCCAUAUCUCACCCACAAUCCAAAAAAUCUCAAUAUAUAAAUCCUAUAUAUAAAAUCAUGAUCUUCUUCAACCUUUUCUCUCACCCAUCCAUAGUCAACACGCUCAAAACCGACAUUCUUCACUUUGUGGACUCCCAGGUAACCCAAANNNNNNNNNNNNNNNNNNNNNNNNNNNNNNNNNNNNNNNNNNNNNNNNNNNNNNNNNNNNNNNNNNNNNNNNNNNNNNNNNNNNNNNNNNNNNNNNNNNNNNNNNNNNNNNNNNNNNNNNNNNNNNNNNNNNNNNNNNNNNNNNNNNNNNNNGGAUCUAUCAUUUUUUUUCUUAUUAAUGUUAUAUAUAAUUGUUUCAACAUCUUUGUAUUAUGGUUUUUGUGAAUUGUGUUUUCUUGAGUUGUAGGGAAGAAAAAUUUAGGUUUAAUCUUCUAGCAUGGAAGAAAAAACUAUAGAUUAAUUGAUUUUUUUAAUCUAAACCAAACACAUGAUCAAGUCCUUAAAAAAAAGUGAAAAACAGGAAAAAAAAAAAAGAAUGAUUUUUAAUAUGUAUUUGUGUGAGAAUGACAGGUACAGAAUUUUUUUAAGAUAUACUAUCACAUAAUCUUCAUCCUUUUUAAAAAAUGAGAGUGGAAAAAAAAAGAAUGAUUUUUCUAUUUGUAUCUAAGUGGGAAUGAGAUAUAGAAUUUCGUUGAGAGUAUCCAACCCCAAAAAGACCAAUCCGGGAAGGCAUGUGUCGUAUUGACGGGAGAUGAUAAGAUGGAAAUCAUAACCAUAGCCAUGUUCUCUCUGUGUCUUUCUAUCCUCUUCAAUUAAUUCAUGGGCAUAGAUAUUUUAUAUAGUUUAUUUAUAGUUUAUUUAGUUUCUAAAAUCCAAUUAGCUAGAUAUUUUAUUUGAUUUUAUUUUUAUAUUUAAGUAGUUGAGUUUUGGAAAGUUUUUAUAUUUUGUUAAUAGAAAUAGAAAUUUUAUAUUUUUUAUUAUUAGGAAUUUCUAUUUUGUUAAAUUGUAAGUAUCUAUCUCAAUAAGAGAUUAUUAAUAUUCAAAUGAAAGUGUUGAAAGAGAGUAAAUAUUUUAAUGCUCAAUUAUAUUUUAAUGUUAUUUUUUUUUACAUAAGGGUUUAUUUAUGUUUUCAAUUUUGAAGUUCCCUUUCCAAGUCCAGCAACAAAAGUAGUGUCCAACCUUAAAAUGGGCAUGUGUGGUAUUGACAGGAAAUGAUAAGAUGGAAAUCAUAACCAUAGCCAUGUUCUCUCUGUGUCUUUCUAUCCUCUUCAAUUAAUUCAUGGGCAUAAAUAUUUUAUUUAGUUUUUAUAUUUAGUUUAUUUAGUUUCUAAAAUCCAAUUAGCUAGAUAUUUUAUUUGAUUUUGUUUUUAUAUUUAAGUAGUUGAGUUUUGGAAAGUUUUUAUAUUUUGUUAAUAGAAAUAGAUAUGAGGACUUAAAGGGUUUAUAUUUAGGUAGUGCUUGAGCCAAGGAAAAUGAUAGUCCACUAUCUUGACCCUAUGCAUCACAAACUAUGCGAGGACUUAAAGGAUAUCGUAAACAUGUAAGUUCUUCCUAUUAAUUUUCAUAGUAUUAUUUUUAAAUAAAAAAAAUACAUUCACCUCAAACACAUUUUUUUUAUUAUUUAUAUAUAUUAAAACAUAUAACAUUUACCUAUUUUAAAAAUGUACCCAUUGAACUUAUUUACAUAGGGCUCUUCAAAUAUCUGCAAAGAAAACAUCUAAGAGGGAGCCAUCUUAGCAACUAGUGCAGGUGACAUCCAAAAAUUUUUCUUUACACAUUAGCUUAUGCAUUUGCACCAUUUAUAUAUGUGAGUACUAAUGUUAUUUUAUAAUUGAUCGAUUAGUGUCCAAGACAAGAAGGAGGGUUCGAAUGUGGCUACUUUGUUAUGAGAUUCAUUAAAGAGAUAAUUUUUUAUCCUACAAUUAUUGCUUCAAAGGUAUUACUUAUUUAAUGAAUUGUACAUAGUUUUAGGCUUCCAAAUGUUAUGCAUUUUAAUGUUAUUUUCUUAUUUGAUUUCAGUUUGGUAAUAUAAAAAAACAUAUUCUCAAGUAGAAUUCGAUGAAAUUAGAGGAGAAUGGGCUACUUUUGUGCUACAACUAAUCAUGAAUCAUGUUGAUGCAUCAUGAUCACCAUGCAUGGUGAGUCCCUUAGCUACUACAUGAAUUUUUCCAUAGGUAUUGUAUAGUAAUGCUUAUUCUUUGAAUAAUGUUUCUAUUUGAAAAAAAAAAUUAAUUCUUAGAUUUGUUCAUCUAUGAUAACCUAGAUCCAUGUUUAUUUUCUUCAAUAAAAAUCUCUAAAACUCAUUAAAUUUUGAAAUGCAGGUAUACACUCUUGGGAGGGUGAAAUGGAGAAUAAAAAGAAAGAAGAAGGCAACAAGAUUUUGGGUUUUUAAAUGCAACUCUUAUGUCAUACGUUGUAGGACAUAAACGUUACUUUAAUUGCAACUGAGAAAUUUAGAUUUUUAGAUGGGACUUCUAUGUCAUUUUAUGGUUAGCCAGUUUUAUGCUUAUGAAAUGGAGGUAUACAUGAAUCUUGGGAUCUUUAACAUUUCUAAAUCAUGUUUUGGUAUGUAUUCACUCUUCUUUUUUAGUUUUGAUGAGUUUGAUAUGUUGGACGUACUAUCCUUUUGUGAACAUUUGAUAUACAAAUAUUAUUAGAUGAUCAAUGUAUUAUGAGUUAUUCCAAAAACAUUACAGAAAAAUGAGUUAAAUAUAAUAUGAUUGUUAUAUUUAUAGACAAAAUAUAAACAGGUUAAUCUUAUUAAUUCAUAAGCAUUAUAAAAAUCAACAACUAAAACCAAUCAUAUAUUCCACAAUAAUUUACAAUGAUGUGAUACCAUAACUCAAAGGUGAUGCAUUUAAUGUGACAUCAUAACUCAAAGAUGAUGUAUUUAAUGUGACACCCUAUCAUCACUAGAAAUAUAUGGUGUCACUUUUGAAUGGGUCACUAUUUAUCUACUUUGGUGUCACUUCCAAAUACGUCACCAAUUGGUACCCUCUAUGGUGUCAGUGGAGAAGGUGACGCUAUGUUGUAGUGACACCUUAUGUUUAUGGUGACUCGUUAUAAAUGUCACCAUAUACCUUUUUCCUUUUAGUGAUUGGGUCACUAUUAAUGGAGGCUGGUGGCAACAAGUAUUCUUAAUAUAAACACCAUCACAUCUCUUGGGAUUGAGACUGUGUAUUCCCUUGGGUGAUCCAAAUGACAUGUGAUCAUGAAAUUUGUGGUCAUAGUAAUUCCUUUAACAGAAUUUGACAUAUGGUCCUUAGAGUUAGAGUUUGUUAGUUGAUUACUUAAUAAGUGAGAUUCGUAACUCAAGGAUUUGAGAGGUAAUCUUGAUAGGUGAUAUCACUACCUUGUUAGAUUAUGAACACCAGUUCAUGGGGAGUCUGGAUGUAUUAGAUAGUAAGUGACAAACCUGAGCACUUAGUGUCUUAUUGUUAUUUACCUAAGAUACUAGAGUUUAGUUAAUUCUUUAUAGUGGGAUGUUGAAUCAACUUCAGAAUUGGAUUCCGAGGGAUCCAAUACUCUUAUGGGUCCCAUUGGUCCUUGCUUUAAGCUCAUAUAUCUUGUUGUCAUAGAUUAUGAGGGUCGGAUUGACUUUACGUACACUUUUGUGCACAAGGGCGUUUUGAUAAUUAUAUAAGGUUGCACAGAGGUAAGUGAACAAGAUCUUGAGAUUGGGCUAAUUGAUUAAUUAGUAGGCGUGAUUGGGUUAAUUAAUCAAUUAUGACCCAUUUUAGGCUAGAUUAAGUAACCUAAGCCUAUAUGAGCUCAAGUCACUUAAGCCCGAUUAAGAUCCCUAUAAUUACCCCUUAGGGAUUAGGGUUUUUAUAACUUUGGUCUUCCACUAUCUAAAGAGAAAGAGAGUCAUAGCCUCCACCCUUCUUUCCUCCUCCACCGAAAGUGUGCCAAGAACAAGGUUGAGUCAUCAAACAGAAGAUCAUGGGUUUACGAGACUUCCAACAACUUUAAAGUUGUCUUCAAUACUUUAAAUUUAAGGCUUGGGAACAUCCAAACCUAAAGGUUAGUACUUUAAACCUAAAAGAUCAUUUUUUAAAAGAUUGGUAUUGCUUUGAUUCCUUACAUCUAAGAUGCCAAUGGAUGUGUUUUUUGAAUUUCAUGCCAUUCGGUGCUUAGUCAAUGACAAAAUCAUGAGGAAAAUUCUACUUCAAGGGAGAAUCAAGAAUGGACUAUAUCAACUUCAAGGACCUAACUUUAUUACUGCAAAAGAAGUUGAAAAAAAAAUUCAUAUGGAAUAAAUAGUGCUACUCAAAUAAGGAGGAAAACAAACUCCCCUCUAGAUCAAUUGAAUUCAUCUUUCAACAAUCUAUUACAUAAUGACCCAAAUUGGUUUUCAAAUGUCAAUGUUCCUCAUAUAACUAUAUUGCAUUGAAUGUUCAAUAUGAAGACUUAAGUACUUGGCAUAAUAUAUUUGGGCAUCCUUCUCAUUGUGUUCUUCAUCAAAUACUCAAGAGAUGUAAUAAAUCACAUAUUAGUGAGAAAGCCGCUAGUAAAUUUUGCUUUGCUUGCCAAUAUAGAAAAUGUCAUGACUUGAAUUUUCAUUCAUCACCUACAAAGACUAGUGAACCUUUAGAACUUAUUCACUCAAAUGUUUAGGGACCAUCACCUCUUCUCUUUACCGAAGGAUAUAAAUAUUAUGUUAGUUUCAUUGAUGAUUUCACCUAAUAUACGUGGAUUUUCCUCCUUAAAAACAAAUCUGCAAUACCUACUACAUUUCUACAGUCCAAGAAGUUUGUUAAGAAUCUACUUGAAGAAAAUAUCAAAGCUUGUAAAUAGAUAUGGGUGGUGAAUACAAACCAUUGACACAUUUCUCAAUGACAAUGAUAUAAUGUUGCAACAAUUGUGUCCUUCUAUGCAUCAACAAAAUGGUUGUGCGGAAUGAACACACAGGAAUAUUAUUGAACUCGACUUAACAUUGUUGUCCCAAGCCUUCAUGCCACUUAGUUUUUGGUGGGAUGCUUUCAACAUUGUAGUUUACUUAAUCAAUAGGUUACCUACAUUGAUAUUGAAUAAUCAAUCUCCCAUGAGAAAAUUAUUCCAUCAAGAACCUAACUACUUUUUUCUCUACUACUUUAGAUGUGCUUGUUUUCCACACAUCAGACCAUAUAAUAAAAACAAGUUUGAUUUUCAUAUACUCAAAUGCUUGUUUCUGGGUUAUAGUAAUCUACACAAAGGAUACAAGUGCUAAGUCCCUCCAAGAAAAUUUAUAUAGCACACAAUGUGGUAUUUGAUGAACAAACAUUUCAUUUUUUCAUGGGAUUUUCAAUUAUCCCGACUUUUGGAUCUUAUAAAAAAUCUAUGAGUACAACCCAAACUCCAAAUCUUACUGUGAUAUUACCUCAACUCAACAAACCAAGACCAUCUAUUGUUAAAAAAAGCAACCUAAAUAUUGAAAAAAAUUCUACAACUACUACUUGCAAAAAUCAAUUUACAUCUUGCACUACCAAUGGAAACUCAAGUGAACCAACUCAGACUCUUACAAUUGAUGCUUCAAAAAAUUAGUCUACAUUUCAUCCAAUUCCUCAUUGUGACUUGUAUACAGAUUUGUCUAUUCCUACCUUGAAUACACAUCCAGUGACUACAAGGUCAAAGGUAGGAAUAUUUAAACCAAAGCUAUUCACAGUUGAAAGCACAACAAAACAACUUGAAAGUGAACUCAAUAGUGUUACAAAAGCAUUGCAAUCUAACAAGUGGAAAAAAGUUAUGGAACCAAAGUUCAGGCAUUAAAUCAAAAUCAAACAUGCUACCUAAUAUCUUGUCUUCCACACUAUAAUGUCUUUGGCAACAAAUGGGUGUAUAAAUUAAAAUAUAACCCAAAUAGAUCAAUUCAACAUCUCAAGGCAUGACUUGUGCCAAAGGGAUUUCAUCAAACACUAGGAGUUGAUUUUUCAAAAACAUUCAGCCUUGUCAUAAAGCCAAUUACUGUAUGCAUCAUCUUAGCUAUAGUAGUUACAAUGGAUUGGAAGAUUCAACUUUAUGUUAAUAAUGUGUUUUUAAACAGAAGCUGCAAGAAAUUGUUUUCAUGUCUCAACUUGAAGGAUUUAGAAUUCCUAAGAAGCCCGAAUAUGUAUGCGAACUACAUAAAGCAUUGUAUGAACUUAAACAAGCACCACAUGCUUGGUUUGAAAAAUUACGUAGUACUCUCUUCAAUUGGGGUUUUAAAGAGUUAGAGGUUGACACAUCAUUGUUUAUAUAUCGUGAAGUUUGCAACUCUAUUUUUUUUUCCUUGUGUAUGUGGAUGAUAUUCUCAUUAUUGGGAAUAACUCCCAACUUAGUCGUAAGACUUAUUCAUGACCUCAACUUCUAAUUUUCACUCAAGGACUUAGGGGAUUUUACAUGGGAUUCUAUAGGACCUUAUCUAACUCAAUCCAAAUCUAUCCUUGACUUGUUAAAAUGAACUAACAUGAAAUAAGUUAAAAGUUGCCCUACACCAACAAGUAUGGGACUACAACUAUCCAAUUCAAAAGAACAUAAAUUGAAUAAUGAGAAGUUGUAUCGCAAUACUAUUGAAGCAUCACAAUAUCUCACUAUCACUAAGUGAUAAAUAUCUUACAUUGUAAACAAUUUGAGUAAGAUUUUACAUUGUCCUAUCGGUAUGCAUUGGAAAGCUUGUAAACAGGUUUAGAGAUACUUGCGUGGGAGUAUUGAUCAUGAUUUGCAUAUUCAAACUAUUGAGAUUGAGUACCUAAAAGCAAGACAUGAUGUAAAAAAGUUAAGCUUGACUAUCCCCUUGCUAUCCUUAUGGUGUAUUGACAUUGAUUUGAACAUUUAGUCUAUAACUCUUACAUUGUACAUGACUUGGGUGCAGAAGGAGUUGCAUAAAAGAUACAAGUCAUGGGUUCCUUAUAAGUAGAUAAUUUGUUUAUAAUUGGUUCAUGGAUUUGGGUAAUCCAGUAGAGACUAUAGUGCACCACAUCCUAAGUAGCUAGUGGCUUUGAAAAGCCACUACUUUUAGGUUAUUAUGAUGGUGGUUGCAGACUUGCAGAUUUAGGCCUUGUGUUAUUGGAGGAUGCCCAUUGCAAGAAAGACAAGUCACAUUGUUUUGGGACUUUAGUGGCCCAAUGAAGAUGGUUAAAGACUCCAACCCCUUGAUCCAUGACUUUUAUGGAUUGGGCCAGACUCAUUUCACUAAUCCAAGGGGUUUAAAUUGCAGAUUAAGGGAUGUGGGUGAGCCUUAACUGGUAGUGAGGGCUUUCAUAGCCUUGUACCCUUGGAGAGAGAUCAAUCUAAAGGUUGUGAGAAGGGAUUUUGGUUAAACAUUCUGGCAUCCCAAGAGAGGAGAGUUUGUCACAACAUUGCAUAGGCAGGAACCUCUAGAUGCUAUGGAUCAAGAGCUAGCUGUCUUUAGUUGAUCUUGAUGGCCUGAGGAUGGUUUGUGACGAAGUAGCUCUCUCUUUGCUUGUUCGCUCCUCUUAGAGCCUAGAGGAGGGAGCACCAUUUGUAGAUGCCAGCCUCUUGUUUGGAGUAGAAGGUUUUGCAGGUAAGUUAUCAUCUCCAGUUUGUUGGAUGGGGGAUGGGUCUUCUUCUGCAUCUUCUAUUUCUAAAGAUGAGGGUCCAGCCAAAAGCUUGGUUUUGUGGAGGGAGCAGGACAAGGGGCGGCUUGUAGUAGAAUGCAAGGGUGAUGGUUAUGGGAUGUUAUGUAUGACUUCCAGCAAGGGUUUGGUUGUGGACUUUCCAAAGAAUCACCUUAGAGAUGCCUAGAGUGUGAGCCUAGAUGUGGGGAGUGAGGAGGUGGUGGCUUUGGAGAAUGGGGGUUCUAGGAGGGACUCGAUGGGAGAUGAGAGCCUCUACGAUUUGUCUUUUGGGAAAUUCGUCUCCUUUAGCAAGUUUUUGGAUUUGCUAGUGGAAGGUUAUGAGAAGGAAAUUGUGUCCUUAUUGAGAAAGUCGGAAGCUAAAAAGGGUUAUAGAGUAGUGGCUUUGAGUAUAAAAAGGAGGCCUUCCUCUAUGUCCGACUUUGAUAGAGAGCUUUGCAAAUUGGAGUGCUUGGUCAAUUACAACAAAUCAAGUGGAAAAGGGGGGAGCCAGAAGUGGGGGUGGGAUAUGGUUUGUGAGUGAUCAUGAAGUUCGAGAUUUUUCUUAAUUCCUAAUUCAAUAUAUUACAUUGUUGUUUCUCAAAAAAAGAAAAAAAAAAAAAAGAAAGAAGUUUUGAGAUUUUUUGAUCGUCAUUAGUAGGUUUAGAGGCUGGGUGUUUGGCUCUCCUUAGAAAUUGGAAGGAUAUGUGAAAAGGAGAGGGGCCAGAAUUGUAUCACUCAAUCUCAAGGUAAGGGAUUUAGAAAAGUGGGCUGGAAUUGUAAUUUCUAAGGGAGCAGAGGGUAGUCAUUUCAGGCAGUGGCAAGGGAGAGUGGAAUUAUUAACAAUGGGUAGAUGAAGUUUGAAUUUAUCCAAGGAUUCAGUAGGAUUGCAGAAAGUGGAUUUGGUUUGCAAGCAUGAAAGGUCAUGUAGGUCUUUAUGUCUUUCUAGGCCUUUAGGGUGAUGUUUUUGUAUCAGGUUAUGGUUUGUUGUUUCUAUUUUCCUUUUGCUUGCCUUCUGGCACUGUUUGUAUUCUCUGUGUAGUUUGUGCAACUUUACAAAGUGUUUUUAAUAUCUUAUCAGUUUACCUAAAAAAGAAAAGAAAAAGAGAGAGAGAGAGAGAUAUGGAUGGGAGGAAAUAAAAUAUAUCAAUCAGGAAGGCCAAAUUAUACUACUAUGCACCUCUUAUGACUGAUUGAUGGGUUUGUGCAAAUUAUAGGAACAAUACCAACAGUAUUGUCCUUUUGACUUGAGCCUCCAAAUUGCUUGGUUAUCUGAAGAUAGUUUUCAUUGAUGAAUACCUCUUGACCUUAUGAUCCAGAUUUUGGCAUAUGAAGUUAAGCAAGCUAUAACUAAAUAGACUGAUACUGUGAAUUUCUUGGAUUUUGAUAAAAGAGUGAAACCUAAAACUGUUAAUUCAGAUUAGUUUUGAAUGAACAUAAAAUGGUGCCUCUACUGUAAUGCCUGAAAUAUUUGAUAUCCAUUCAAUAGCUUCCCAAUGCUCUUCUUUUCAUAAAGCUAUUGAUGGCUCCCAUUGCUUGAGCUUUUUACCCAAUCUUGUAUGCACCAUGACAUACAUGAAAUUAGAAUUGCAAUUUGAGCCGAUUGAACCCAAUCUAACCUGAAAAUGCAAUUUCUGAUUAAGAAAUCUCUAUCAGACUUCAACCCUAUCCGUAUUUAACUAAUUCUAAGUUGAACAUUUGUCUGAUAAGGUGCCUGUGUCGAAACAAUUUUGUAGGGGAAAAUGGGUGAUCGCUUACCACGAAUGCUUGAGUGCAUGUUUGAGGACAAUUAUUGUUACUGAGUUGUGUGCAGGCUGCCAUUAUAUUGUAGUCAGCAAUUGUUAUAAGAUGAAUGAUCAUGUUUUGUUUAUGCAUGUGAUGGUCUUCAAAAAUGCAGGAUAAGCAUUCCCGGAAGGGUCUUCAAGCGAUGGUCCAGAGGAGAAAGAAGUUAUUGAAGUAUCUCCGUAGAACUGACUGGGAUUCCUACUGCCUUGCUCUUUCUAAGCUUGGUCUCCGAGACAAUCCGAAUUACAAAAACUAGAUGAAAUGUAUUCAUCUCUGUUUUGACAUGCUAAUGAUGCUUUAUUUAGUGAUAUACCAGGUUUUUUGUUUUGUAUCUGGUACUCAAUUUUUCAACUAGAUGUCACUUCUGAUUCUCCCUUAAUUUAAAGUCAUAAUAAUAACAGCUCCUUGGUACUAUUUGCUACAUCUAGGUGUGCUCUAUAUCUUCCUUUUUUUUCUUUUUUUUUAAAUAAAUAAAGAAGGAAAGACAAUCUGUCUGUUUCUUAGUUGAAUGGGGCACAACACAGGACCUUUGUUACAUAGUCCUGAUAACUGAUGGAUCCGAUUUAACCUUUUGUGGAAUUACGACCCUGACAGAGGGGAACUGUGAACUGUGCUGUUGCACCUUAUUUGUGUUCCUUCUACUUCCAGGUGUUGUCAUGAAAUGGAAUCAGAAGUUGGAAUUCAAGAGGACUUGGUUAAAUGGUCAAAAAAACAGGCUGCUGUUGAGCAUUGUGCUUGAAGCUUGGAGAAUAGAGGAACCUUCUCUUGCUCUUCCAUCUCCUACUUCACACAUUUAUUCCAAGAAUAUAUCAUCUGCUGCUUGCCAAUCUUAACCAGGAAAAAACGAAAGAUUUUUAUCCUUAUGUUUUGAUAUUGAUGUCACUACAUUAUUCUUCUUCAUAUCUUUGUUGAAAAUUUUUUGCUCAAAAGCCCUUCUUUUUUAAAUUCAAACCUUUUUAAUGCUUAGGCAACAUCGUUAAAUACUUUUAUAAAACAAGUUUGAGAGGUUUUUGCCUAAGGUUUUGGAUUAGAACUUGAAUUAAGAAAAUAUAAUCUUUAGAGUUCAAAAUAAGUAUGAUUAAAUGAUGCAUGAAUAGAUUUAAAGACCUUUGAUCCUUUGAUGAUGCACCCAAGUAUUUACCUUACAUAAUGUUCCUAAGCUUAAAAGGUCUUCAUGCUCACUGUUGGGUUUCCCUCCUUUGUGGGGCUCUUAAAUUUACUAAAUAUGAUUUUGCUAUUUUUGGCCAACACCUUGGUUAGCACAUGACUCUUGGCAUAUUCAAGAUUGGUUUGAAGUCUUCAAGAAAAAAAAAAAAAAACUACAAGUCUUUUGUCUUUUCCUUUGGUUCAUUAGCUUGGUCGGCAAGAAGACUUUUGGGAUACCUUUUUGGUUCAAACAAAAAAAAAUCAGCCUUCUUCUUCUCCAUAUUUUGGUGCUACACAAUCAGCAAGUUUGUUCUUCAAGUGGGUAACGUUCCUUCACUUGAUAUUUGGGGUUUCUUGCGGUUUGUUCUUGGAGAUUUGGUUUACUUUUGUGAGGUAUUUUCCUCUUGUAAUUUACACCUUGGUGUGUUUGUAAGGCUUAUGCCUUUUGGCCACUUUGUAAACUCUUUUGGUGAUAGUGGAAGAAACUGACCUACUGGUCGUCGUGGACGUACCUCAAGUUAUUUGAGGGAACCACGUAAAUCUUGUGUGCUCAUUUAUUUUCUGUUAUUCUAUUUAUAUUGCUUCCAUUGAUUUACACUUGUGGGAAAGCCUAUUUUUUUUCAACAUCUGGUAUCAGAGCUGUUGGUUAAUUCGAUUCCGAUUCAUUAUAUUUGUGUGUGUGAAUUAUGGACGGCAACGUUGGGCGUAUGGUUAGUUUCAAUGGCACAAAUUGGGUGACUUGGAAAACUAAAAUGGAAGACCUUUUGUUUUGUAAAGAUUUGAAUGGACCCAUAGAGGGUGAUAGUGGCAAACUGGAAGGGAUGAAAGAUGACGAGUGGAAAAAGCUAGACCGAAAAGCUGUCGGUUUUAUUCGGCAAUGGAUUGAUGAUAGUGUCUUUCAUCAUGUCUCUACAGAAAAUUCAGCACAUGGUCUUUGGACCAAAUUGGAGAGUCUUUAUGAUAGAAAGGCGGCCGUGAAUAAAGCUUUUUUAUUUCGAAAGCUUGUGAAUUCUAAAUAUAAGGAGGGUACUCCUAUUGCAGAGCAUUUGAAUGAGAUUAAGAGCAUUGUGAAUCAGUUGGCCGCCAUGAAAAUUACUUUUGAUGAUGAGUUGCAAGCUUUGUUACUUCUUAGUUCACUUCCUGAAAGCUGGGAAACUUUGGUGGUCACAGUUAGUAACUCCACACCUGAUGGAGUGGUAACAAUGAGUCAAGUUACUAGCAGCCUGUUGAAUGAAGAGACAAGAAGAAAAUCAUCAGGUUCUUCUCACUCCGAGGCACUUGUGAUAGAAAACCAGGGGAGAGGCAAGAGUAAGAGUAAGGCUUCGCACAACCGUGAUAAAUCUAGAGGUCGUUCAAGCUCGAUUUCAAAGAAAGAUGUUGAGUGCUAUUAUUGUCACAAGAAAGGGCACAUGAAGCGGGAGUGCAGAAAACUCAAGUUCAAGGAGCAGAACAAAGAGAAAAGUUCAGAGAAAAAGCAAAAUGAUACAGCUGUAGUUACCGAUGGUGAACUCAUGAUUAUUCGUGAUGAUGUUAGCAUUAAUCUGAUUGGCCAAGAGACGGAUUGGGUAAUUGAUUCUGGAGCUUCAUUUCAUGUUACUUCGCGGGCUGAUUUCUUUACUUCUUACCCGCAAGGUGAUUUUGGGAAUGUUCGUAUGGGAAAUGAAAAUGUGUCAAAAAUUGUCGGCAUGGGUGACAUUUGCUUGGAAACAAAUACUGGAUGCAAAUUGUUGCUUAGAGAUGUGAGGCAUGUACCGGAUAUUCGGCUCAAUUUAAUCUCUGCUGGAAAGUUAGAUGAUGAGGGCUACAACAACAAUUUCAGUGAUGGAAAAUGGAAGCUCUCUAAAGGUUCUCUAGUGGUAGCAAAAGGAAAUAAGACUUGUUCUCUUUACACUGUGCAAGCAAAAAUCUGCAAGGGUGUUGUGAAUACCUUAGAGAAUGACUCAUCCACUGAUUUAUGGCAUAGAAGGCUUGGACAUAUGAGUGAGAAAGGAUUGCAAGUUUUAUCCAAGAAAGAGCUUCUAGCAGGGAUAAAAGGUACGCCUUUGAAAACAUGUGUUCAUUGUUUCCAUGGUAAACAAAAUAGAAUAUCAUUCCGUAGAAACAUUGCAUCUAGAAAAUCUCAUGUUCUAGAUUUGAUACAUUCUGAUGUAUGUGGUCCUUUGAAAGUUAGGACACUUGGUGGUGCUCUAUACUUUGUCACUUUUAUUGAUGAUCACUCUAGAAAAGUUUGGGCUUAUACACUAAAAACUAAAGAUCAAGUUCUAGAUGUGUUUAAGCAUUUUCAGGCCAAGGUUGAAAGAGAAACUGGUAGACAGUUGAAAUGUGUCCGCUCGGAUAAUGGUGGUGAAUAUAUUGGACCAUUUGAUCAGUAUUGCACUAAUCAUGGCAUCAGACAUGAAAAGACAGUAAAAAAGACACCUCAACAGAACGGGGUUGCAGAGAGAAUGAAUCGCACCAUUCUUGAGAGAGUCAGAUGUUUGCUCUCACAUUCUAAAUUGCCAAGAUCUUUUUGGGGUGAGGCAAUGAGGACAGCAGUUGAUCUUAUCAAUUUGUCUCCUUCAGUUCCGUUGAAUGGUGAUGUGCCAGAGAAAGUUUGGACAGGGAAGGAAGUCUCCUAUGAUCACUUGAGGGUAUUCGGCUGCAGAGCUUUUGUUCAUAUUCCAAAAGAUGAGAGGUCCAAGCUUGAUCCAAAAGCAAAGCAGUGCAUAUUUAUUGGCUAUGGGCAUGAAGAAUUUGGCUACAGGUUGUAUGAUCCAGUUGAUAAGAAAGUUGUUAGAAGCCGAGAUGUUGUUUUCUUGGAAGAUCAGACUAUUGAAGAUAUUGACAAGCUUGAGUCAGCUGAGUCUAGUACUAAUGAUCUUGUUGAUUUAGAUCCUCUUAAUCCACCUGUUGUUCAUGAUAUUGAUGAGGAAGUGUAGACACCUCAUGAUGAUGCAGCGGAAGAUGAUGUUGAGCCAGAGAUUGAGGGGGAACAGUCACUCCAAGAGCCACUACCACAGACACCGUUGAGGAGAUCUACCAGAGAAAAACAGCCAUCUAGAAAAUAUUCUUCAAAUGAGUAUGUGAUGAUAUCAGAUCAGGGGGAGCCAAAGACUUAUCAAGAAGUCUUGAAGCAUGAGAACAAAACUGAAUGGCUCAAGGCAAUGAAAGAGGAAAUGAAGUCUUUGCAUGAGAAUCACACCUAUGAUUUGGUGAAGCCGCCUAAAGGGAAGAAAAUUUUGAAAAAUAAAUGGGUCUUCAGACGAAAGAAUGAUGGGAACAGUUCUCAACCGAGAUUCAAGGCACGACUUGUUGUGAAAGGUUUUGAUCAGAGGAAGGGAGUUGAUUUUGAUGAGAUCUUCUCACCAGUUGUGAAGAUGUCCUCCAUUCGAACUGUGCUUGGUAUAGCUGCGAGUAUGAAUUUAGAAGUUGAGCAGCUUGAUGUGAAGACCGCAUUUUUGCAUGGUGACUUAGAAGAGGAAAUUUAUAUGGAGCAACCUGAGGGCUUCAUAGAUAAGGGUAAUGAUCAGUUAGUUUGCAAAUUGAAGAAGAGUUUGUAUGGAUUGAAGCAAGCGCCGAGGCAGUGGUACAGAAAAUUUGAUUCUUUCAUGACUGAGCAUGGGUAUUCAAGAACCACUUCAGACCAUUGUGUGUUUGUGAAGAAAUAUCCAGAUGGUAAUUUUAUUAUUCUCUUGCUUUACGUUGAUGAUAUGCUUAUUGUGGGCCAAGACACGAGCAAGAUUAGCAAGUUGAAGUCAGAGUUGAGCAAGUCCUUUGCCAUGAAGGAUUUGGGUCCAGCAAAGCAAAUUCUUGGGAUAAGAAUUGUUCGCGACAGAUCACAUGGGUUGAUUUGGUUAUCUCAAGAGAAUUAUGUUAAAAAGGUUCUUGAGAGGUUCAAUAUGGACAAAGCAAAGCCUGUUAAUUGUCCACUUGCAGGCCACUUCAAACUUAGCUCAAGUCAAUGUCCUACAAGUGAUGAAGAGAAAAAUGAGAUGCAGAAAAUUCCCUAUGCUUCAGCAAUUGGUUCUUUGAUGUAUGCCAUGGUUUGUACUCGACCGGAUAUUGCUCACGCAGUUGGGGUUGUUAGUCGAUUUCUGUCUAAUCCGGGGAAAAAACACUGGGCAGCAGUGAAAUGGAUUCUGAGGUAUCUUCAGGGCACUUCAAAGAUGAGUUUGUGUUUUGGUAAAGGCGAGCCUAUUCUUGAUGGGUUCACAGAUUCUGAUAUGGCUGGUGAUGUUGAUAGUCGAAAAUCUACUUCUGGUUAUUUGAUUACUUUUGCAAGGGGAGCAGUGACAUGGCAAUCAAGAUUACAGAAAUGUGUUGCUCUCUCCACCACAGAAGCUGAGUUCAUUGCCAUUACAGAAGCUUGCAAAGAAUUAUUGUGGUUGAAGAAAUUCUUACAAGAGUUGGGUUUGAAACAAGAAAGGUAUGUCCUUCAUUGUGAUAGUCAGAGUGCAAUCCACUUGAGUAAGAAUUCUUCAUUUCAUUCGAGGUCGAAACACAUUGAUGUUAGAUAUCAUUGGAUUCAUGAUGUCUUGAAUGAUAAGUUGUUGAAACUUGAAAAAGUUCACACUGAUGAUAACACUUCGGAUAUGUUGACUAAGGCAUUGACUAAGGACAAGCAUGAGAAGUGUCGACUAUUGGCGGGAAUGGUCGAAUCCUCCACAUAAGUCGGGAGGGGGAGAAUUGUUGGGUUUCCCUCCUUUGUGGGGCUCUUAAAUUUACUAAAUAUGGUUUUGCUAUUUUUGGCCAACACCUUGGUUAGCACAUGACUCUUGGCAUAUUCAAGAUUGGUUUGAAGUCUUCAAGAAAAAAAAAAAAAAACUACAAGUCUUUUGUCUUUUCCUUUGGUUCAUUAGCUUGGUCGGCAAGAAGACUUUUGGGAUACCUUUUUGGUUCAAACAAAAAAAAAUCAGCCUUCUUCUUCUCCAUAUUUUGGUGCUACACAAUCAGCAAGUUUGUUCUUCAAGUGGGUAACGUUCCUUCACUUGAUAUUUGGGGUUUCUUGCGGUUUGUUCUUGGAGAUUUGGUUUACUUUUGUGAGGUAUUUUCCUCUUGUAAUUUACACCUUGGUGUGUUUGUAAGGCUCAUGCCUUUUGGCCACUUUGUAAACUCUUUUGGUGAUAGUGGAAGAAACUGACCUACUGGUCGUCGUGGACGUACCUCAAGUUAUUUGAGGGAACCACGUAAAUCUUGUGUGCUCAUUUAUUUUCUGUUAUUCUAUUUAUAUUGCUUCCAUUGAUUUACACUUGUGGGAAAGCCUUUUUUUUUUCAACACUCACUUGAUCUGACACACCUUUGAUCCUUUGAUGAAUAACUUGAUUUUCCAAUUGAAUUUUGCAAAUACUACUUGAAGCUCAUCUUAAUUUUAAACUCAACCGUGAAAAAUAUGAUUUGUUAUCAUCAAAACUCAUUUAGGAGACCCUUGGGCUAACAUCAAUUAAUAGUGAAAUAAAUUUAUCUAGUGAUAAAGAUGAGGAAUGAAUAUAAUUAAUUCAUACUUGAAUUGGAAACCGUGAGUGAACUCAUGUUAAGAAUGAGUCAAAAUAAGUAUGAUCAAAUAUGAGAGGGAUUAUUUUUACAAAUUUAAGGUUUUUUCAUCCCUUUUAAUCAAAUCAUCCUUUAAUAAAUAUGACUCCAAGAAUAAAAAACAAAGGAAACUGGCAAACCCCAAAUUAUUGGAAAGACAAUUGCACCCAAUUGGGCAUAAAAGGUAAAUAAUUUAACUCAAGAAAAAGUGAAAGUGAAAAUGAGGGACAUGAAGGCAAAAAAGAAUCGUUGAUUAAUAAGAUAUUUUAUUUAAUUUUAUAACCUUUUACAACUUGUUUUUAUGAUGUAUAAUUAAUAUUUUAUAGCAUGCUCUUGUUUGUAUGUCUUAAACUCAACCUACUCAAAUCUUAAGCCUUCACCCCAAACCAAAAACCACAUUUCAUCUUCCUUCUUGUUACAUUUUUGUAAAAGUAUAUAGGCUGAAAAUUUCAUUUGAGGCAUACCAAGCAGAUAUUUCAAGCAUGAUGCUUUGAACAUCAAUUCUAUUUAACUACUUUAUACUUUCAACUGCUAUGGGCUUAGAUAAGUAUGCAACCUUUCAUUAAUUUUAUGACAGAACUAGGAACAAUGGUUAGGAGGGGCUAUGGUUCAAUAUGUACUAAAAAAUCAAAUAAUUUUUUUUUAAAAUUUUACUAAUAAAUUCCAAAGAAUAUUUCAAAAGAAUUAAAAAUUAGCGCGAAAUCUGAGUAAGGAAAUUUUCAAUAAUUUAGUAGUUUUUGCAAUUAAAAAAUCACAAAAAGUAAAGACUUUAAUAAUUUCUCUAAUAAAUUUUGGAUUUUAAAAAAAAUAAUAACUAUAAAAUUAAUUAAAAAUGAUGAGAUUUUUUACUUAAAAAUUAUCCAUUAUAUAGUAACAUGAGGAUCACAUGUUUACUAAAACUAUAACUCUAAAGCUAGAUAUAAACUCCCUUAAUUUGACUAAUUAAAUAGUAUAAUAUAACAUAAUUAUAUAGUUUAGUUAUAAAUAAGUUAUUAUUUAAUUAAAUCUCAAAUUCAACGUGAUUAUAACACAUAUUAAAAAAAAUGUUUAAUAAAAUUUUAAAUAAAAAAUUGAAAAUUGACAAAAAUUUAAUUUAUUAGAAAAAUUAUAAUGAAAUGAAAAUUUUUACAUACACAAAAAGAAUGAAAAAUAAAUUAAGAUAAUAUAUCUGUGAAGAAAAAAAAUGAUGAAGCUAAAAUAAAAAAGGAAAAAAAAAAAGUAGGAGUUUUAAGUAGGCUUUAUAAAAUAUUAUAUAUAUACUUUAAAAUUUAUUUAAAAUUUUUUAAAAAACUUAAAUCCUUGAGGGUUAGUAUUAAUUUUUUUUUUCAAUAACAUUGAAAUGAAAUUAUUUUUUAUUUUUGAAAUUAACAAUUAAAUUCAUAUUUUUUAGAAGGGGAAAGUUACAAAUUUCUUUUCAUUAUUUUCUAAACCUUAAUUUUAUAAGGUAGGCCUUUUUUUUUUUUUUUUUGAGGGGGAAGGGGGUUUUGAGACAAGUUGCAGACUAUUGAGAGUAAAUAAUAAAUAUAGUAAUUGUUGCAUAAUAUAAACAUAAUUACAAUUGAAUCUUUCAAUAGGAAACUUGAAAAGAGAUUUCUAGUACAUCAAGUUUAAAGUAUUAUUAUACUAAACCUAAGAACAAUUUAUAAAUUAAAGUUUCAAUUAUAUUUCACUUCCUUGUGGGUAACUCAUUUUCUUAUCCAAGAUGGAAGUGCAAAUAUAACAUUUGGAAACUAUAAAACCAUAAAUAUAGAGGUAGAGUCAGAUAGUGAGAUAGAAUCUGUAAAUGUUAUACAAGAAGAUAUUUUAUUAAACAUCGAAAUAGUAGAAAACCUAUACAAAAAUUUAGAACUAGUUAAUAUAAUGUUAGAAGAAUUUAGUAACCCAACGUUACUAGAAUAAUAGGUAGAUCAAGAAAACUUUUAUUGACAUAAUUUGUAAAACCUAUACAGACGAACAAAUGAUUGAACUUUAUAAAACCAAUUUGAUAAAAAAAACUUAUAGAUAUAGAAACAAUAAAUCAAUUUAAUUCAACCAAAAGCUAAAUAAAAUUUAAAAAUAGUUUCAAAUGAGUUAGUAAAUAUAAUAAAUGUAGAAAAGGAAUUAGUAAAUGUAAAAAUUGAAAUAGUAAGGUAUAGUAAGAUGUACAGUAAGUCAAAAGGACCUCAAUGGAAAACCAAAACAAAACCUUCUAGUUCUUUACAACCAAUAUAUGAAUAUGGAAUAAUAUUAGAUAUAAAUAGUACACAAGAACUUAAGAAAACCAUAGAAAAUUAGGAAAAAAAUCUUAAAUUAAUUUAGCUGAUGUAGUAGUAUCCUUUGAAAAUCAACAAGAAAUUUAUGAAUUUUGUAAAAGCACCCUUAGAGGAACCGUAUUACAAUUCUUUAGAAACAUGGAACAAGAAAACAAUAGUUAUUUUCAAGAAGUUAGAAAUAAUUUUAGCAUAUCUGUAUUUAUAAAUUUAAUAAAACUAUAUUUUUUAGGAAUAAUUCAAGAAGAUAUAAAGGAACCUGCAAUAUAUCUCCAUAAGUUAGAACAAUUGAAAUUAUGUAACCUCUCUUAUAUAAAAGAAUAUGAACAAAAAUUUAGAAAAUAUGCAAUUCUUGCUAGAGUAGAUAGAACCCCUGAAUAUUUAAAUAAAUAUCUAUUAAAAAUACAAGGACCUAUAGGACUUAGAUUAUGGAAUGAAUUUUCAACCUUUGAAUAUAAAAAUUCUCCUUAUAUAGGUGCUACAAUAGAAUUUGUAAAAAAUUGAUUAGGAAGAGAAUGUGUAAGUGUAGGAGAAAGAAGCCAAACAAAGAAACAAGAUAUAAAUCAACAACUUUGUAGAAAAUUACAUAUAGGAGAAAAUCUAGACAUAGGAUGUAGAGAAUAUAAGUUCAAAAAACCUAAGAACUACAAUAAAUUUUUAAGAAGAAAGUCAAAAACCUUUUCUAAAAAUGACUUUAUCAAACAAGAUAUAAAAAACUUGGAAAGUUCUGGAUAAAAAGAAAAAGAACUAAGGAAAGAAAAAGAUAGUGUAAAUGUUAUUUGUGUGGUUAGGAAGACCAUAUAAGACCUGAAUAUCCUAAACUUAAAAAACCAUCAAAUGAAUGAAGUAGAAAAACCCAAGCAAAAAUUAACCUAAUAAAUGAGUAUCAAUUAGAUAGUGAAGAAGAACAACUCAUUAGUGAAUUAGAUUUUGAAAGUAAAAAUUCAAAUGUAUAUAGUAUAGAUGAUAGUGAAACCGAAAGAGAAGAAAUUUGUAUGAUUAUUGAAAAAGAGGAAAAUCAACCUAAGAAAACUUCUUUAAAUUUAGAAAAACUUGUACAACCUUUAGAAAGUAAAAUAAAACCUUAUAAUAUGUGGAAAGACUUACAAAUAAUAAUUAAAGGAAAAAUCUCGAAAGAAGAGGAAAACAAUUCAAACUCUAAAGAAAUAAAAGAACUAAUAAGUCCUGUAAAAACAACUAUACAAACAAUAGAACAAGUAAAUAUGGCAAAUAAAGUUAAAUCUAUCAUUUUCCCAACAACAAUUAAAUUAAAAACCAUAGAAUUAAAAGUAAAUGCAAUGUUAGAUAAUGGAGUCAGUAAAAACCUUUUAUUUGAAACUUUAGUAUCUCAAGAAGACUAGUAAAUACUAGUUCAAUCAAUAGAACUAGUCCAAUAUAAUCAACAAAAGCUAAUGUUAACCACGUAUAUUUCAAAUGUACCAAUCAUAAUUAACAACAUAACCUUAGUGUUACCUCAAACUUAUCUUGUACUUACUAUAAGUUUAUAUCAUUUUAUUUUAAGUUUAAAUUUUUUACAUUCUUUACAAUGAGGGAUAACAACACAAAAUAACCAAGUAAGUUUUCAUCAUAAAACCACAACAAUUGUUUAUACAAACAUAGACAAUGCAUCAAAUAAAAAUCAUAAUGUAACCUCUCAUCAAAUUAACAAGAUAGAAGCACAAAAGGAUAGUAUAAUUAAUGAUUAUUUAGAAUAAUUAAGGAAUCCAAAUAAGUUAAAAAACCUUAUAUUAGAAGCAGAAAAAAUAGGAAUUAUAGGAGAAGACCCACAAAAAUAUUGGAAUAAAAAUAAAACAACUUGUAAAAUACCAAUUAAAAACCCAGAUUUAACAAUAAAAAUAUAAAAUAUAGCAUUUAAACUUAUGGAUACAAGGGAAUUCAAAAUUCAAAUAGAAGAGCUAUUGAAAAAUAACCUCAUUAAACCAAGUUUUAGUUCCCAUAGAUCUUCAGCCUUUUUAGUAAGAAACCAUAAUGAAGAAAAAAUAGGAAAAACUAGGAUGGUUAUUAAUUAUAAAAGAUUAAAUGAUAAUAUAUAUGAUGAUGACUAUAAAAUUCCAAAUAAAGAUUCUUUAAUUAAUUCUAUUCAAGGAUGUAAAUACUUUUCUCAGCUAGAUUGUAAAAGUGAAUUUUGGUAAAUUAUAUUAGAAGAAGAUAACAAAUCAUGGACAACAUUUUCAUGUCCUUGUGAAUUAUAUGAAUGGAAUGUUAUGCCAUUUGGACUAAAAAAAUGCUCCUCAGAUAUUUCAACGAAUGAUGGAUAAUAUUUUUGGUAAAUAUUCUUUUGUUCUUGUAUAUAUUGAUGAUAUUCUUGUUUUUUCGUAUACUUUUCAGGAACAUAUAAAGCAUUUAAAAUUUAUUUUUGAAAAACUAAUUAGUCAUUAAUUAAUAGUAAGUAAAAAGAAACUGAAAUUAUUUAAAACCCAAAUAGAAUUUUUAGGAUUAGAAUUGAAUGAUAGACAAAUAAAACUGCAAAAUCAUAUAGUACAAUAAAUAAAUAUUUUUUUAGAUAAAUUCGAAGACUUAAAAACCCUUCAAAGUUUUUUAGGAUUAUUAAUCUAUGCUAGACCAUAUAUUAAAAACCUUAGUAGAUUAGCUGGAGCCCUUUAUAGUAAAACAAAAAAUACAGGAUAGAGAUAUUUUAACCAAGAAGAUAUUAAACUUGUACAUAAAAUAAAUGAACUUGUAAAACAUCUCCCAACUUUACAUUUACCCUUAGAGAGUAAAUACAAAAUAAUUCAAAUUGAUGCUAGCCAAACAUGAUGGGGAGGUAUACUUUUAGUAGUCACUGACAUUGGAGAAGAAAAACUUUGUAGAUACUGUAGUUGAACUUUUAAUGAUUAUCAAAAGAACCUUAGUUCUACAGACUUAGAAAUUGAAGCAAUAAUCUUAGUCUUAGAAAAAUUUCAAUGAUUUUUAAACCAAGAACAAUUUACUUUAAGAACCAAUUGUGAGAAUAUUAAAAAACUCUUUGAAAAUAAAAAUUCUUCAAAAUUGUCCACCAAAAGAUGGAUAAAGUUUCAAAACUCUUUAAUUGGUUUCAAACCUAAAUUUGAACAUAUUAAAGGAAAAGAUAAUAUAUUAGCAGAUUCGCUAAGUGGACAAAUAAUUAUUAAUAAUGUUGAUAAUGCUAAUGAUUGAUUUUAUUCUAGAGGAACAUGGUUCAAAGAAAACCCACUAAAGCUAGAACCUUUCAAUUUGGAACCAUAUUUUUGAACGAAGUGUUAAAUCCAAAUUUGAGGUUUAACUCUCUAUAUUCUUAAAAUAUUUUUGAAGAGCAUAAGGUUAUUGUAGAUAAUUUUUGGUCUCUAAAACCAUAGAGUUUUCCAAACCAAAAUCUAGAAUAUGCUUAUGGAAAAACCGUGUCAACUUUAACCCAACAUUUACAAAACCUUCAGAAUCAACUUAUUGCUUUAGAACCCAAAAAUUUCAAAACCUCAAAAUCUAAGAAAAUUAAGAACUUUUGUACAAACAUUUUAUAACCAAAAAUGUCGGGAAAAAAAUAGGGUAUAUGGCAUAUCAUGACCCUGAAUUUUUCUUUGUUAUAUAUUUAGCUUAUGUGAAUAUGUUUACUGUAAAUAAAGAAAUUUUUGAUCUAGUAUCCUAGUUUAUGGAUUAGUGAAUUUCUUAAAAUGUUUUCAUAAACCAUGUAUCUCAAAUCCUUGAAAAAUUUCCAGAAAAAUUAAAAGAUAUUUUAACCUAUCUUUUCAAAACCAAAAAACAAAUCAACAUUUCUUUUGAAACUAUUCCACCUUUAUUUCAAACCAAUGGAUCAAUAGUGCUAGCCUAUCACCAUAUUUAUAUAAAACAUAAUAAGAACCACUCAUCCCACAACAAGAACCAGAAUGAGAAAUGACCCGUUCAAAUGAAUUUUCAGAAUUUUUUACUCUCUUUAGAGCCUUUCAAAUUUAUGAUCUUAGACCAACCCGAAAUAAAUUAUUUCAUCUCAUUGGAGAAACAAAAACUAUGUUUAUAUGGAGAAACAAACCUUUAGAACACAUUAUUGUUCCAAAACCUUUCAUUACUCUUGAAGAACAGGAUUUUAUAACCGAACUCAGUGUAGAGUUACUAGAACCAUAUUUUUGCCUCAAGCGAUGACGCAUCAUUUUGGGAAAACCUUGACGAUGAAAGUUAUUAUAAUCUUUAAAAUGCAAUGGAACAUUGAUGUCAGUAAUGACGACAUUGAAGUAGUAAAUGCAUCUUCAACUACAAGAAUUUAAUACAAUAGUAGAAGUCUAGAAUCAAUAAAGCCACAUACUGCAUGUGAUAAAAAAGAAGAAAGAGACAAGGAAGAAGCCACUAGACAGAUGGUAAAGAAGAAAGAAAAGUCAAAUCUUACCAUCUUUACAUUUAUUCUAAACCAAACCUCUGAAGACUUUGUAAAACUUUGUAAAUAUUUAUGUUUGCCAUCUACCGAUUGCCAACAAGCCCAAUUAAAUUUAGUUUGUCGUAUUGUAAAAGUUUUGUCUAUAAAUGAGUUGUAAACUGAGAGAGAAAGUAAGCGAGCAAUUAGAGAGCAAUCAAGAGAAAUACAGUCAGUUGUAUCUUCAGCUUGUAAAUUUCUAUAUUUAGUAAUAAAAAGUAAGAAAUUUUUGUCCUCAUUUUAUUUGUAAUUUAAUUUAUUUUUGUCUUUUUUCCUCACCCUUAUGGGGUAAAAGGGGUAAACAGAUAGGGAAAUGAAAAUUACUUGAAUUAUAGUUCUAUUUUUACUAAUUGAUAUUUGCAAUAUACAUAGAUCCUUUAUAUAUAUAUAUAUAUAUAUAUAUUAUGUUUCUGUCAUUUUUUUUUUUUAAAUUGGGUUAUUGAGAAAGUUUUUGGUGUAAAAUAAAUUUUUUUAAAACUACAACCUUUAGUCUUAACCCUUGACCUGUAACCUAUUUAGCUAGAAAAUUGGUGUGUUAGGGAGACUUUGUCUAGUUAGAAAGGGGUAUUACCUUGACACAAAGUGAUGUUUUAAAAAUCUGAGUUUAUUAAAAAAUCUUUGAGAUAUCCGUUCUUCAAAAAACAUCUUUACUAAUUAAUAAAAGCUUUCACAUUGUAAAUUGAAAGGUUUUACUUUAAAUAAAUGUUAUAAUAAUAUGUAAUAAAUGCUUUCACAUUGUAUAUUGGAAGUUUUUGUUUUAAAAUAAUUGUAUAAUAAAUGCGUUCACACAGGUUUUGGUUUUAAAAUUUAAUUCUCAUCGUUUACGCCUUGAUUUUGCACGAGAAAUUUCAAAGUUUUUGCCAUUUGCCUUGACUGUGAAAAGUUGAUGGAGAAAGUUGGUAUCAGAGCUUUAUGUAUAUUGUUAGCAUAUUAAUUAGGAAAAGUAUUUCUUGAUUCGAAUUAAUUUUCAGAGUAUUGAACUUUAUCUUACCCCAUUAAAAGUCUAAUUAUGUUUACUUGAUCUGUUCAUUUAGUCUGUUGAUUUCAUAUGAAUUAAUGUCUUUUAUUCCUUAUCCUCUUAGUAUAAUUUAGAUUAUGAUCCUAUAAAAGAACUUAGUAAUAGAUUAUAUGUUCAAUGUAAAGAAUUUAGAGAAACAUGUGAUAAAUUGCAUACUUUAAGGACUAUUGUAAAAGAUUUAACCACAGAUAUCAAAAACCUAAUCUCUCUUAAAUAUUUAAAUGAAUACAAAAUAACUAUACAAGAAUCCUUUGAAGAACUUUUUGCUACGGAAACCCUAAUUAAAAGAGAAAUUAUAAAAUAUUGUAUUGAUAAUUUAUAUGCUAGUUCAUCUAACUAGAAAACAUUAAAAAUUCAUGAACCCUCAUCUACUAACCUAAGAGGUAAAACAAUUAAAAAAAAAGAUCGGGUUAUUGAGAAAGUUUUUUUGUGUAAAAUUAGAAUUUUUAAAACUAGAGUCUUUAGUCUUAACCCUUGACCUGUAACCCAUUUUGCCGAAAAUUGGCGUGUUAGAGAGACUUUGUUUGGUCAGAAGGGGGACAUUACCUUGACACGAAAUGAUGUUUUAAAAUUUUGAGUUUAUUAAAAAAUCUUUGAGAUAUCUGUUCUUCAAAAAACAUCUUUACUAUGUAAAAAAUGCUUUCACAUUGUAAAUUGAAAGGUUUUACUUUAACUAAAGGUUAUAAUAAUAUGUCAUAAAUUAUUUCACAUUGUAUAUUGAAAGUUUUUAUUUUAAAAUAAUUGUAUAAUAAAUGUGUUCACACUGGUUUUGGUUUUAAACUUUGAUCUCGUUGUUUACACCUUGAUUUUGCACGAGAAAUUUCAAAGUUUCUGCCAUUUGCCUUGACUAUGAAAAGUUGAUGGAAAAAUUAAAAGAUAUUUUAUAAUUUCUCUUUUAAUUAGGGUUUCUAUAGCAAAAACUUCAUCAAAGGAUUCUUGUAUAGCUAUUUAGUAUUCGUUCAAAUAUUUAAGAGAGGAUAGGUUUUUUAUAUUUGUGGUUAAAUCUUUUACAGUAGUCCUUAAAGUAUGCAGUUUAUCAUAGGUUUCUCUAAAUUCUUUAUGUUGAACAUAUAAUCUAUUAUUAAGUUCUUUCACAUGAUCAUAAUCUAAAUUAUAUCUACUAGGAGGAUAAGGUAAAAGACAUUAAUUCAUAUGAAAUCAACAAACUAAAUGAAUAGAUCAAAAAAAUAUAAUCAGACUUUUAAUGGGGUAAGAUAAAGUUCAAUACUCUGAAAAUUAAUUUGAAUUAAGAGUUACUUUUCCUAAUUAAUAUACUAACAAUGUACAUAGAGCUCUGAUACCAACUUUUUCCAUCAACUUUUCAUAGUCAAGGCAAAUGGCAGAAACUUUGAAAUUUCUCGUGCAAAAUCAGGGUGUAAAUGAUGAGAAUCAAAGUUUAAAACCAAAACCAAUGUUUUUAACGCAUUUAUUAUACUAUUAUUUUAAAAUAAAAACUUUCAAUAUACAAUGUGAAAACAUUUAUUACAUAGUAUUAUAACAUUUAUUUAAAGUAAAACCUUUCAAUUUACAAUGUGAAAGCAUUUAUUACAUAGUAUAGAUGUUUUUUGAAGAACGAAUAUCUCAAAGAUUUUUUAAUAAACUCAGAAUUUUAAAACAUCACUUUGUGUCAAGGUAAUACCCCAUUUUCUGACAAGAUAAAGUCUCCCUAACAUGCCAAUUUUAUGGCAAAAUGAGUUACAGGUCAAAGGUUAAAACUAAAGAUUCUAGUUUUAAAAUUUUUGAUUUUACACCAAAAACUUUCUCAAUAACCUAUUUUUUUUUAAUUUGAGGGAAAUAUUAUAUAUAUAUAUAUAUAUAUAUAUAGAGAGAGAGAGAGAGAGAGAGAGAUAGAUGAUCUAUGCAUAUUGUAGAUAUUAAUUAGUAAAAAUAGAACUAUAAUUCAAAUAAUUUUCAUUUCCCUACUUUAUCUGUUUACCCCUUUUAUCCUGUAAGGGUGAGAAAAAGACAAAAAUAAAUUAAAUUGCAAAUAAAAUGAGAAUAGAAAUUUCUUACUUUUUAUUGUUGAAUAUAGAAAUUUACAAAUUGAAGAUACAAUUGACUGUAUUUCUCUUGAUCUCUCUAUUGAUUUCUUUCUGAUCGCUCGCUUGCUUUCUCUCCCAGUUUACAACUCAUUUAUAGACAAAACUUUUACAAUAGGACAAACUAAAUUUAAUUGGGGUUGUUGGCAGUUGGUAGAUGGCAGACAAAAAUAUUUACAAAGUUUUACAAAGUCUUUAGAGGUUUGGUUAACAAUAAACGUAAAGAUGGUAAGAUUUCACUUUUCUUUAUUCGUUACCAUCCAUCUAAUGACUUCUUCCUUAUCUCUUUCUUCUUUUUUAUCACGUGUAGUAUAUGUGGCUUUAUUGAUUCUGGACUUCUAUUGUUGUAUUAAAUUCUUGUAGUUAGAGACACAUUUACUUCUUCAAUGUUGUUAUUAUUGGCAUCAAUGUUCCAUUGCAUUUUGCAUAUUAUAAUAACUUUCAUCGUCAAGGUUUUCCCAAAAUGAUGCGUCAUCACUGAGGUAAGAAGAUGGUUCUAGUAACUCUACACUAAGUUCGGUUAUAAAAUCUUGUUCUUCAGGAGUAAUGAAAGGUUUUGGAGCAAUAAUGUGAUCUAACAGUUUGUUUCUCCAAUGAGAUGAAAUAAUUUAUUUUGGGUUGGUCUAAGAUCAUAAAUUUGAAAGGCUCUAAAGCAAGUAAAAAAUUUUGGAAAUUCAUUUGAACAUGUCAUUUCCUAUUCUAGUUCUUAUUGAGGGAUGAGUGGUUCUUUACUCUGUUUUAUAUAAACAUGGUGAUAGGUUGACACUAUUGAUCCAUUGGUUUGAAAUAAAGGUGGAAUGGUUUCAAAAGAAAUGUCGAUUUGUUUUUAAGUUUUUAAAAUUAGUUGUUUAGCCAAAUUGUUAACUUUAGUUGGAAAGUAUUUAGUUUUAAGUUAAUAAUUUUAAGAAUAAAAUUUAGAAAAACUAUAAAUCUAAAAUAAUCCAAUAAAAUUAGGAUUGGAUAGAUAAAUUCUAAACAUAAAACAUCAUUGCAUGAAAUAUCAUACAUAAAAUGUGAAAUACAUAUCAUGAAUUUUAUUUUAUAUUUAUAAUAUUAAAAAUAAAAAUAGAAUUAAUAAAAAUAAGUUAAAAUUAUUUUAUUAAUAUUUAUUAAUAGAUAAAAUAUAAAAAUGAUAAUAUAUAUCAGAAAAGUUAAAAUGAAAAAAAAGAGACAUUUGUCACACAAUGGUCUCUCUUUUGUCACACAAUGGAGAGAUCUUGUCAGUUGGGGAUGAAGUUACACUUCUAAAAAUUACGAGGCACAUGAAGAUGUACGUAGGUAUGUGAUUGUGAAUGUGCAGAUAAAUGGAAUGAAAGAUAUAAUGUUUGAAAAGGUAAGUAGGAAGUGAAUUAUCUUUUAAUAUAGAUAUAAUAAUUUAAAUUUCUUUACUUUUAAUAAUCUAUAAAUAAUUUUAAAUUGAUUAACAUAAUAUAUAAAAUGACAUAAUAUACCUAUAAUUUAAUUAAUCCAUAGAUAAUAAUUAUAAAUAGAAAUAUUAAAAUAUUAUCAUAUUUGAUUAUAGUAAUAGAUACUAUAUAGUAAUAUAUUAUUAUAAUAUAAGAUGAUAUUUACCUUUCUUUAAAUUCUUUAUAUUUUUAUAAUUUAGUAAUUAAGUUAGUUAUUAAACUUAUCUUAAAGAUCAUAUAUUUGUUUUUUAAAUUUUAGUUUCUUGUUCAUCACUAUUUCAAAUAAAUUAUUUAAAUUAAAAUUUAUUAUUGUAACUCAAGGAUGUACUUAUAGAAAAAUAGAUAGAACAUAAAAAAUAUGUUAUUAUUGUCAUGAUUUAGGUAAAAUUACAACCAAACAAAUUUGUGUCAUAAUUUACAAGUUUUGUAAUCCACCAUUGUUGUAAUGUACUCUUUUAACAAAUUUACUUAGUUGGCUUCUUCCAGAAGUUUGAAGCAAUCAUCAUUAUAAUGAUCAUUAACUACUUUGUUUAACUUUUUAGUUGUUUGAGUUAGAUUCCUUCUUUUUCUCUAUUGCAAAAAAGUUACAUAUAUUUUAAAAGCUAUUAGGUGAAAUAGAAAAAUGAUGUUUUAAAAUAUAUCUUAGCAAAAUUUUCAUUACAUAAGUUAAGGAUACAUUACCUUAUAUUGUUUUUUCAAUAUUUUUUUGAUCUUUCCAUUUUUCUCCUAAUACUUAAAAAAUUGCAUAAUUUGCAUUGAAAAAGCAAGUUUAUUUUCUAAAGUUCAUUAAUAUUGAUACCAACAUAUAUUUAUCUCACUAAUAUAAAAUUCUUCUUUUUCAUGUUUCUUUUUCUUGAAAUGAGUUGGUUAUAAGACAAGUUUUCUUUAUAACAACUAAUUUAUAUGUCAUUUUAUGAAUAUUGUUAUAUUAUCGAUAAAUAAAUACAUAUUAUAGUCAAAUCAGAUUUAAAAAAUGUAGCAAUUGUAUUCAUGAUUAAUGUAAAAGUAUCAAAUCAGAGUUAUCAUUAAUGACAUCAUGAUAAAAGUUAAUACGUUUUUAUAAGUUAAGAAAAUAAACCAUUGUUUCUUUUGUUUUGUCAAAAAUGUUUUUGACCAUUAUCUAUAGAGUUGGUCUGUCAACUUUGACUAUAGCACCUAAAUUCUUAACCAUAUAGUUGUAUUUUCAACUAAGAUUAGUUUAGUUAGUAAUUGUAGUACAAAUUUAAAACUUAAUAUUGUGAAUAUUACAUUUAAGAUAUAAUACCUUAUUACAUGAUAACCAAUCUAAAAGUUGAAAAUGUUGAAGUGAAAUAUAAACAUAUAGAAAGAUGAUAAUAAUUUAUUAUCUUUAAAAUAGCUGAGACGGUGAAAUAAAGUGAUUUUCUAAACAUUGUUUAUUAUUAAAAAUACUACGAAAAAAAGACAAAAGUUCAGACCAUGAUUGUUUCCAAUAUCAACAUUAUUGCAAAAUGAAACUAAUUAUGUAAAUUAUAUUGACUAUCAAUAUAGUUGUUUGUUCAUUAGCUUGUAUAGUUGUCCUAGCCUAUGUUUGGUUCUAAAAAAGUACUAAGGAAAAAAAUUGUAAAAGAAAAGUAAUUUUCUUAUAUUUGGUUGCAAAAUGGAAAAUAUAGAAGAAAAUUAAAUAUAAUUAAAAUUAGUUACAACGGGUAAUGUGUCUCAUACAUAUAGGUUUAUUAGUUUAUUGCACAAAUUAUAUGACCUAAUGUCACACUCAAAAUAUUCCCUUGGAAGCCUAUCCGAUGUUAUGGGCUGUUUGGUGUACAAUAAGUAGAAAUUGCACGAUUAGAUUGGAUCUUAUGUUUGGGAAUUUUAUUUAAAAAAUAAUGAAGGAAUAGAUAUUGGGAAAAAAUAAAUACCUUGAUAUGCCUAAAAUAAGUAAAUUACACAUUCUUCAAUGAGAAUAUCAGAUUAUUUCCCUUCAAUUGGAUUGAAUAAAUUCUAUAAAUAUUAUACAUAAAAAAAUUUAUAUAAGGUAAGAACUAAAAUAUGAUGAAUGUAUAAGCAACAUAAAAAAUGUUGGAUAGACAAAAAUUAGAAAUAGUGUAGGAAAAUAAUUAAUUACCUAAUAUGAAAAGGCGGUUCAUCAUAAAAUUUCAUGGAAAGUUGUAGUUUCAAAUAUAUAUAUAUAUAUAUAUAUAUAUAUAUAUAUAGUCUUAGAUAAGUUAAAGUAAAAGAUAGGGGAGCAAGUAAAACGAUUAUGACAUUUAUUUAGAUUCAUUUAGUGAGACAAAAAGAAUAUUUUGAUGUUUCAAGUUUUUGACUUUCAUGGGUUAAUUUUCCUUAAUUUUAAGAAAACCUUAUUUUUUAAAAUAACAAUAUAUAUAUAUAUAUAUAUAUACCAUAGACACCUAGGACGAGGUUAUAUGCAAUGAAAACAUAAAUUAUGCCAAAACUCAAAAUCAAAUGAGAGAAAUAAAAAAUACACAAAGAUAUUUAAUAAAGAAAUUUAAAGAAAAGGAACAUUAAACUUUAUAUUACAUAACUUGAAAAUUACAUAACUUGGAAAACAUACUUAUAAUAAGGAGAAACAGGGAAAUAGAAUAUCUUACAAUGGAAGGGAAAGGAAAGCUUUGAAGAAAGCUUUAGCUUGAAGGCUUACAUGGUGAAAGAGAAAGAAGAGAGAAAAGAGAAAUUAAGCGUAAAAUGGAGUGUGAAAUUCAGUGUGCUUACAACUGAGGAUCGGGCCUCAUUAAAUAGCUAAAAAAGGAAUCUUAAACAGUACAAAGCAGUAGACAAAGUACUGUAUGCUUUUUGACUUUUGGCUAUGAAUAGUAACUUCUUAUGAAUGAAUAGUGAGCCCGUGGAUGAAUAGUGAAUAGUAAAAGUGAACAGUAAAUGACUUUUUAUUGUAGUACUUUAGACUUUUCAGCACAGAAUCUUACUUUCAGCUGAGUAAUGAUGGCUGACAGGCUGCUUUUUGAACUGUGGACUCACAUGCUUAUAUGCUUUUGGUGCUGAAAUGGCUUAAAGCUUUGUCGGUGGAGAAUAUUCUUGUUGGUCGAGUCAUGAGAAGGCUUAAGGAAGAACAUAAUCCCUACGAUGCUCUUCAAGUAACUUGACAUAUUCAGUUGCAGACUUGGUUGGUAGAGGAUCAAUUCUAUUGUUGUAGAAAAUUUGGUGAAAAGGGUUUGCAGCAAUGAGAUAACCCAUGUUCUUUGGAUAGGCUUCAAAGUCUCUACUGAUAAUCCUAGCUCUCCAAUGUUUGAUUUGAUUAAUAAGGGGCUCAUCACAAAUAUCAAUAAAUUCCAAAGGGUAAGACAAUAGUGUUGGUCUUCUAUUUUGAUAGUGAAAAGAAAUAUUGUGUUGUGUAGGUAGAAGACUACCAUCAGAUACCCACUCAGGAGCUUUGCUGAUGAUGAUGGCGUCAACAAAUUUCUUGUUCAUCUUAAAACCUUGAACUAGUCCCAAAGCUAUUUUCCUUCCAAAAUUAACUGCUUGAUUUGGUUUUGAGCAAUUGAUUUGAUGAAUUAAAGCAUAGUCCAAAAGUAAUUCUAGAGUUAGGAUUAAUUCCUUAUUCUUAAAAGAGAGGUUGAUUGACAGAUACUACUGUAAGUGAAGGCAAACCCGACUGAUUGUAAAAUUCCUAUUGUACUUGCAUAAAAUUUGCUUAAUUCCUUGCUGGUAAAGAAAAGGAUCUUUGAUAGUUCUAUAAAAUUUAGAAUCGUCAAAUUCUCUAUCUUUGACCAACUUUAAGCUUGGGACCCAAAGACCAAGAGUGGUUGAGAGAUAAAUGUGAAGGUCCUGGAGACAAGCUGAAAUAAAAACUUGCUUUUCUUCAGCUAAGGUCUUGGCCUUUUCAUAGAUUAGGAAACGAACAUCCUGUUUAAGGGAAUACAUCAUCUCCUUCUUUUGAAAAUACAUUCUUAAUUUAAAGUUAUUCCACUCUUCCUCACUUAAUUUUACUUCAUCCACCAGUGGGGUGGAUUGCUUAUUCUCACCAUUUUCCAGUGGGGAAAAAGGGGCUUGAACCUUAAGCAUAUCCUACCAACCUUUGAGAAAGUCAACUACCUCUAGUUUCAUUUCCAAAGUCCUACACCUUUCCUACAAAUUACAAAGACUUUUGAGAUAACCAGAUAAGGGGUUAGUAUCCUUAGAGAAUGAAUUUGUGGGAAAGGAAUCCUCCACAGAAGGUAGAGAACUCAAACUUGUUCCUUUAUCCCUAUUAGGGGAUGAGGGAUGCUUAGGGAUUUUUGAAGGAAUAGGAUCUUUGGAGAAGCUGCAGAAACCUGCAACUUCAAAAUGCUCAUAGUAUAGUGGCAUGAAUUUCUCAGAAAAAAUUGAAUGAGAUUUCUUAGAGUCUAGGGAUUUCUCAAUAGGCUUAAGAGGUUGUUUUUUUUUUUUUGGGAGCCAUGAUCUUAUGAAUCCUACAAAAAUUCAUGAGUUAAGAAAUCAGAGAUUGAGUUAUUUUCUCCUUUAAUGUACUCAAUUUGAAAAUCAAAAUUACUUAAAAUAGCUUGCCAUUUAGCAAAAAUAUGCUUAGAAGCUAUAUUCUUAACAUCUUUUUUUAAAACUGAUUUUUACAGAUUUGCAAUCAACUUUAAAAAUUCUUAGUUCAAAAAAUCAUCUUGAAAUUUUGAAAUGCAUAAAAAAAUGCUUAAAAUAUCUUUUUUUUAAUGGUACUAUAGUUGAGUUGGGCAUUAUUCCAGGUUCCUGAAGUAUACCUAACCAACUUUUCUUGGUUACCAUCUUUUUGCUUAAGAAUCCCACCAUAACCUAUGUUUGAGGCAUUAGUCUCAACAAUCUUAAAGGCUUCUGGAUUGGCUAAAGCUAAACAUGGUAGGGUCUUGACUCUGGUCUUGAUAGUUUUGACAAUCUUGGUGUGUUCCUCAUUCCAAGGUAGUGGGAUUUUUCUUAAGUCUUUGUCUUAAAGGGGCACAAAGCUGGCUUAAAUCUUGAAUAAAGUCUGACACAUAAUUAAGGCUUCUUAACAAACAUUGCAAUUGUUUCUUAUUCUUAAUCUCAUCAGGAAACUUAUUAGCAAACUCUAUUGACCUUUGAAUUGGGGUAAUGGUUCCUUGGUAGAUAUGAUGACCUAGAAAUCUAAUAUUAGUCUGAAACAGGUUAAUUUUAGUGGCUGACAAGCUUAGACCAUUAUUCUUAACAGUCUGAACAAACUUAUUGAGAUGCUUCCAAUGUUCCUUUACAGAUAUAGAGUAUACUAAAACAUCAUCAAUAUAGACAAUGAUGAAAUCUGAAAACUAGUUAAAGAUUUCAUUCAUUAUGUUCUGAAAUUCUGAAAGUGCAUUCUUAAGACCAAAGGACAUAACGUUCCAUUCAUAAUGUCCAAAGGGUACCACAAAGGCUAUCUUAUAUCUAUAUUUUUCUGCAAUCUAGAUUUGCCAAAAUCCUGAUUUCAUAUCAAACUUAGAAAAAACUUUAGAAUUAACUAACCUUUGAAGGAGGUCUUUCUUAUUUGGAAUAGGAUACCUAAUCCAUCUUAUUGCAUCAUUAAGAGGCUUGUAGUUGAUGACUAGUCUAGGUGUUCCUCUUUUUAAUUCAACUUGUUUCUGAACAUAGAAGGCUGAACAACUCCAAGGGGACUUAGACUUCCUUAUUAACUUCUUGUCAAGAAGAUCUUGGAUCUUUUUUUCACAAUAACUUAACAAAUCCUUAUUCAUCUAGAUAGGUCUGGCUUUAGUGAGAAUAUUCUUCUCACUAAAGUCUGGCUCAUAGGGUAACUCUACCUCAUGCUGCUUCCUGUGCCAAAACACAUUAGGAAUGUUAGAGCAAACUUCUCCAACAAUCUUAUUUUUAAACUUUUCUAUCGCAUCUUGAGUUUUCUUGACUUUUAGUUGUUCUUCCAUUCUAACAAGAUUAAUCUCCUACUUUAAGAGAUUAACUUGGUUUUCCUUCGCUUGAAUCACCUGAUCCCUUAAAGUGUUUAUACUCCUUUCAUUAGGUGGGUUAGCAAAUUCAAAUAGAAUUUCCUUAUCUAAGAGCUUUGUUCUUAUACCUUGGUCAUCAACCUGAAUAGGAUAGAUAGAGUUCAAAAAAUGAACUCCAAGGAGGGCCUUUUCCUUUAGGUCUUUAACAAGGAUAAAGGUUUGCUUAAUGCAAAUGCCCUCGUUACAGACGUGAGCAUUUGACAACUUAUACUUAAUGGCAAGUCUUUUACCAUUGGCUCCUGAAAGAGUUUGUCUAGUUUUCUCAUAAAACUGGGUAGGUACUAGACUUUCUUGUAGGUAAUUCAAAGCUGCUCCUGAAUCAAUCAAAGCAACAAUAUCAAGGACAAAUUUAUCCUUGACUACUAUAGUAAGGGAGACUUCCCAUAUUUGGAAAAUAACCCUACUAACAGUAUUCAAGUAUGCAUCUGCUUAUUCAUCAUUAGCUUGUGAAGAUACUGGAACCUCUUCAAGGGUUUUCUGGUUAUCAACAAGAUUUCCUACAAUAAUCCUAUUGAUUUGUUCUUGGAGGUUUGAAAAACCUAAGCUUGUGAAUUGUCUUAAAUAUUUAAUUUCCUUCUUAUACUAUCUUACUUCUUCUUGAAGAUCCUUAAUGGUUAUGUAUUUGGUAGACUGUUGGUUAAAUCUUGUUAAGAUUUCAUUUAAGUUAUAAGGAUUAACUAUCCACUUAACUUCUUGCUUACCAAUAGAUUUCUUAAAGACUUCAUAAAGUUAUUGCUUAACUUUUUCAUCUUCAACUUUUCUUAAAACAUUUAGAACUAGUUCUUAAUCCUGACUUAUGACAUUUAUAGUCUUAGGUUGGCAAUCACAAUUACCCUUAAUGCAUUCUUCUUGGUUACUAGAAGUUUGGCUCGAAAUCUCAUCACCACUAUCUAGUUGAUUAAUAUCAUCUUCAUUAUCUAAAUCAAUCAUCGAUUCAGAUUUUGAGGAGUUUAACAUUACUUCAUAAAGCAUGUCUUUUAAGUCUUCUAAGACAUUCAAGUUAUUAAUUUUCUGUCUAACCCUACAAUCUUUCUUAUAGUGGCCUACCUUACCACACUUAAAACAAACUGGCUUAGAUUGUGAAGGGGCUUCUAGCUUUUUUUGGGCUUCAUUGUUCAUCUUUCUUUGAAUGUGCCUUGAUCUCUUGGUUUCAUUCAUCCUAUGGUUUCCAUGAGUAUCUCUCUUGUCGUGAUAAAACUUUUCCUUACUAGGCUUUCUUCCUUAUUUGUUUUUUCUUAAGUUGCUUAGAAGGAGGCUUAGUUUCCUUUUGACUGAAUCCAAACUUGCUACAGAAUGAACCAAACUCAUUCUUGUAGAUCCUUUGUUCAUUUUUCAUUUGUUGCUUAAGCUUAACUUCAUUGCACAACUUAAUUUCUUCUGAUGUGACAAUGCUUAUGAUUUCUCCAUAAGUUAGCUUAUCAUAAGGGAUUUGUCCAUUAAACUGUUCCCUUAUCUUAAUUCUAAUUCUCUAAGAGAAAAGUCUAGGUAGUCUUGAGAUGAAUUUUUCUUUCCAAAAAGACUGAUUAUAGUCUGAUCUUAGCAUGACUUUGGUUAAGAAAACUUCUCUAUACCAUCUAAAGUCAUGAAGCUUGGGACACUUAAGGUUGGUUAAGAGAUCUAUAGUCUUGUCCUUAAUCUUUGCAGGAUCUCCAAUGAAGUGCUUUGAUAUUGAAAAGAUUAGAGUAGCCACUGCAUCCUCUAUAUCUUAUUCUUCUUCGUCCUUAACUGAUUCAUGCCCAAUUGGUGUCUCAGCUGAUUCGUGUCCAGUUGGUGCUCCUUGAUUGAGGGAUUAAUCAACAAAAUUUAUAACCUAUUACACCAUAUACUAGGGUAGCAAAGACAAAGCUACUAUAGCAUAGCGGCUCUAGGAUCGUUCACUGGGAUGGGUUUUCACUUUGCAAAUGAUAUUAAUUCAAAGCUGAAUUGGUGUCUUUUCAUUUCAAGGUUAGCUUUAAAAGAAAACAUAAAGAUGUUUGAAUGAAAAAGGUUCGGUUUUAAACUAACCAAAAAUAGUAACUGAUUUUACUUACAAAGAAAAGUGUUUCUUGGAGUUUCAGAUCACUAGGCUCAGAUUCCUCAUACAAAAAGGGAGAGUUCCAGUCACUUGUUUCUUUUCCUCGCAUUAGAGAAUUAACAUAUAGUUCUUUCUCCAACCGGUGUUGUACAGAUGCUUUCCAUUAAUGGGUUCAAACACUAAAUCCCUCUCACUGAUGCACCUUGCAAUGGCUCAUGCCUCUCACCUAGCACUUACCAUUCAAGCUGAUCUUUAACCUUGGAUUACCUGUCAAAAGCUCUCAAGAGAUAACUAAUGGAUGUCUCCUUGGAGUCCAAAAGCUUACCAAGUGUUGGCUAUUCUAGAAAAUCCUACCUUCAAACCACCUCCCAAAAGCUCGCAAGAGAUAAACUAGUGAAUCUCCAUGGACGGAGAUCACUUGCCUUACCAAGUGUUGGCUCAGGUGAAUUGAAGGCGUUUUAAGUUAACUAAAAAGAUAAAAACCAUUAACGGGUCACACUUUCUCUUCAUUAAAAACUAAAACAACAAAACUUCCAAAUUAUGCAUGUGGAAACUUACCCGGAUUUCCUCACUCCAAGAGACAAAGAGCCUAGCCUCUCAUCCUCUGAGGAAAAAUCCUUAGAGAAUGUUUGGCUAGCAAGAAAACUAACGAGAAAACAAGAAUAUAUAAGAAAAAUAGAGCAAUUGCUCUGUUCGUUGAUUCUAUAUAUGAUAUAUCUAUCUAUUUCUAUCUUACAUGAUCUCCCGAGAACAAGCUCCCGAGAGCUAUAUAUAAAGAAAAUUACAUAACAAAAUAUCUGAGGUUAUUCACCCCUUUUCCAAACUUAAUAACUAAGGAAUCUUAUGGUUGGUGGAUUACAAGGAGAAGAAUGGAAAUUUAUACAAAAAUAUCUGAAGAAAAAUAUCCCAAAGUGUCGGUCGCAAAUAUUGGGAAGCACUAAGGACCAUUUCGCAGGUGAAAACGAGGUCUGCGAGAUUUCGCAGACGCACAAAAAGGGCUGCGAAAUCACUUCGCAGCAAAAGGUUAUUCUCGCAGGGCUGCGAAGUUGGCUUUCAUCUUGAGGUGCUCAGCUUCCAAUUUGCGGCAUAUAUCGGGUAACUUCAGGAGGGAAUCCACAACACUGUACAAAAAGGCUACGAAAUCAUUUCGCAACAAAAGGGUGAUUCCGCAACACUUUUGCAAAAUGCUUUCUUCAGCUUAGAGUGAUUGACUUGCAGUGGCUGUAACUUCUUCGUUUCAACUCCAAAUUGUGCACCAUUUAAAGAAUUGGAUUGUUGACUUCCUGAGCUUUAAAAUGGUAUAUAGAAUGUACAAAAUGGACUUCGGAAAGUGCUCCAAAAGUGCGCAAGAAGACUGUAGCUGCUAUCCUCUAUUUUCUUCACUCUGUUUUUCCUCUCUCCAUUGUUCUUUCCUUGCAUACUUUGAACGACUUUGGCAAAGGGCGAUGGAGCUCCAAAGCUUUGUUAUUCAUGAAUUUGAGCUUCCAAAAGCUUUGCCAUGAACUAUAUACAGCUCUCCCUCAUUCUUGGAUUGCUUUGGUGAUCAAAAAGCUAUCAAAACACCAAAACUUAACACAAUUUGAUUAGAAUUGAUUGCAAGGAUCCUUAACAUGUUAAUUGGGUUAAAAGGCAAUAACUACUACUCAAAAGUGUUUAAAAGAGUUAAUUACAAGCUAUCAAAUAGAACUUUUUGAGUAGUAAUCAUUAACCACUUCAUUUUCUUCAUUAAUCCUAUAGGCUUUUAGGAUACCAUUCCUAUCAUCAAAAGUGAGAUAGUUAUCACACCAUCCUUUUAGCUAAAGAAAAAUAUAUUAUAUAAAGUAUUAAAAUUAUAUUAUUUUGAACGUAAUUUAGUGCUAAAAUCAGUUAGCAAUACUUAAUCUUAAAAAGAAAAAAUCAAUUAUAAAUUGUAUUUUAUUAAAAUCAAUGUAUUGUAAAUUUUUUUUCAGCUUUCACUUACAAGGAAAAGUAUAACAAUUAGAGUUAGAUAAUAAAAAGAUGAAAUUUAAUAUUAAAAGUUACAAUAUGUAAAUUGAAUAUAUAGUUUAACAAAUAAGUAAUGAAUAGAUAAAAUAUAUGAAAAAGUAAUUUAUUUUAUAAGAUAGUUGUAUUGUUUGACUAUGGGAGAGAAUAUUGGCAAAGAUUUUCCUUCCAACAAAUAAUAAAUAUAACAGAAAUAAAUAUGUUAAUAAUAAUAUUGAAAAUAAAAAUUAUUUAAUACUCAAUUUACUAACCGUUAAAAUAAUAGACAAAUUUAAAAGUCAAUGAUAGGGGUGUAACCGGGAUGGAUUAACCCGACUCAACCCAAACCCAACUCGAAGUUUGAGUGGGCUUGGACAAUCAUUUUCAAUACUUUGGUUGGGUUUUGGUUAGGUUUUCUCAACCCGAGCUCAAUUUGGGUUGGACUCAAGCUAAGGUUCAAACUUGAUUUAAUGUUUUUAUAAUAUUUAUAAUGCAUAUUAUCUUAUAUAAUAAUAUUUAUUUUCUUUUUCUAUUUUUAAGAAAAAUAUCAAAUUAUAUUAUAUUAUAUACUUUUCAUUGUUUUAGAAAAAUAUAUAAAUUUAUGUUUAUUUAUUUGUUACUAUUUUGAAAUUUUGUUCUAUUUACAUUUAAAUUUUCAUAUAAAUACAUUAUUUUAAAAAAAAUAUUAUAGAUGAAUUUUGAAUUGUGUAACCCCACCAACAUGAACUUAUCCCAACAAACCCGACUAACCCGAGUCUAACUUGAGCAACCCGAACUCAACCUAAGCUUAAAAAAGUGAGGUUGGGUCGGGCUUAGAUUGAAUACCUCGGGUUAGAGUUUAGGUUGAGUAUUUCUUAAUUCAGAUUGAGUUUAGGUUAGUAAUCAACCUAACCACCCAUAAUUUCUCAAGAACUAAACAACUUUAAUAUUUAAAAAAUAAAAAAGGAAAAAAGAAUAAAAGAAAUAAACAACUUCAAAUAUAAAUAUGCCAAAAAAAUAGACACCAAAAUAAAAAAAAUUUGAAAAAAAUUAACCACAAAUUUUAAAAUAAUAAUGGGACAGACUCAUUAAAAAAAACAAAAGGUAAAAAAACUAAGGGCCUGUUUGGUUUUUUUUUUAAACUUUCCUAAAAAACAAUUUUUAGGAAUGAUUUUUAAGAACAGUUUUUGGUGUUUUUAGAAAAAAAAAAUUGUGUUUGGAAACUAAAUUCUAGAAAACAACUUUUGUUCUCAAAAACCAAAAAAAAAUAUGUUUGGUUGAUUUAAUAUAUAUAUAUAUAUAUAUUUAAAAUAAGUAAAAAACAAGUUUGAAAGUUUUUUUUUCUUCAGAAAAACACUCCAUUUUCUCGAUUUUCCCUCCAUCCAAUAUUUUUUUUUUCUCAUCCCAUUUAAUCAAAUAUUUCUUUUUUUUCUUCUUCUUUCUUCUCUUCCGUUCCAAUCCAUAUUUAUUGUUAACGCCCCUCACCGUCCGGCAAUGUUGUUAUUGCCGCCAUCUUAAGAAACCACAAUAUUUUCCUUCAUUUUCCAUACCUACAGCCCACCACACCAUUUUACCUUCUUCUCUUUCCUCUACAUUUUCCCCAUUUUUCCUCAAUCCAAACAUUCUUUUCUUUUUCUCAUAUGAUUUAAUCAAAUAUAUAUAUAUAUAUAUAUUUCUUUCUCUACCAUUCUAGUCCACAAUUACUUCUGACACCCCUCGCCAUCCAAUAGUGCCAUCAUUGUUGCCAUCUCCAAAAACCACGACAUUUUCCUUCUUCUUCCAUACCCAACCUGUCACACCAUUUUUCCCCAUUUCCUCUAUAUUUUCCCUAUUUUCCCUCCAUCCAAACAUCAUUUUCUUUUUUCUCAUCCCAUUUAAUCAAUUUUUUUUUUCUUUUUUCUUCUUUCCCUUUCUAGUCCAUAGCUAUUGCCAAUGCCCCUUGUUGUUCAGCAGCACUAUCAUUGCUACCAUCUUCAGAAACACAAAAAAUAGGGAAAAAAAACACGGAGAGCAAUUGUUCUCUUAAUAGUGAAAAAAGCAACCAAAACAUUUUUUCUCGUUCUCUAAAAAGAGGCCCUCUGAGAACACGAGAAAUACAAAAAAAAAAUCACCCACUUUCCUAAACACAUUUUCAAUGUUUUUUGUUUUCAAGAACAAAAAACAGUUCUUGAAAAUAGCAACCAAAUAGGCCCUAAGUAAUUGCAUGGUUUUAUCAUCUAUGCCACAUUUUAAAUAUGUAAGAUCCUCUCACAUGUGUAAGAUCACUCCACCUCGAGUGAAAACAUCCUUCCUAAUUUAAAAAUCCGAAAACAAAAAUUAAUAAUAUCACAUUGAGAAGUUUUUUAUACACUUAACAAGGGGAGAUUUGAAUUAGGUCUUGUCUCUUUUACAAAAUUUUAGCAAUUUAUGAUACAAAUGAUAAGAAUUAAAGAAAUUGGAGAUAAAGUAAAGAGGGACAAGGAUAAAAAGAUGCAAACAACAUGUUUAUAGUGGUUCAAUAAUUAUCUACAUCUACUUUUUUUUUUAUUUUAUUCAACUCAAGUUUGAGGUUCCUCUAUCUUUCCAAUUUCCUCAAAUGAUCCCUCACACUUGAAAGACAAAUCUCACACUCUACAAGUCCAAACUCUCAAAUAGUAAGCUUCCUAGUUUACAAAUUUGGACUCAAUCUAAUGAAAAAACUACGAUUAAGGUACAAUAAAUGGGAUUAGUAAACGAAAAAAUGGUGCACUCAAGAAAAAUUUUAAAGCUCUUUAAUGAAUUUUUAUAGUGAUUGUUUAAGAUGAGUAAAACUUGAAAUACAAUUUUUUUUUUUUUCUUUUUUGUGAAACUAGUUGUUAAACACAAUUUUAGGUCAACCAGACAAUCGACCAAAGAACUAGCCAUUAAAGAAAAAUUAUAAUUACAAGGGAUUUUUAGGUUGUAAAAACAUCUAUAAGUUGAAGAUCGAUCAACUGAUAAAAAUAAAACCUUAAUCGGACCAAGACCCUUAGCUAUUGUGUAGAAGGAUUACACAAAAUAGCUUAACCAAUUGAAGUUUCCCCAGCCUAUGUAAAACUGAUUAAGGUUGCUCCUACCACUAACAUUAUAUUGGUCAAUCGCCAAAUCAAUCAAUGCUCCUAUGUACUUCCCUAUUUUGAAAAUUUUCAUCUUUUAGGCUUAAUAUGACUUAGGGAAACUGACUAGCAAGACUUCUUUAGAUUUCAAAAAGCCCUUUUAAAUGAUAAAAGAUUGACCUUAGUUUUCUCAUUAUUAAAUUUUGAGAUAAUUUAAUUCAAUUUUAAAAUGGAUUGAAUAAGUUUUUCAAAUGUUAGGAGCCUAUAAAAAUGUUUUCAUGCAAUCCUAGUUAGCUCACAUCAAUUUUUUGAUAUAUUGAUCCUAAGAAAAUAGUCUUAUUUUGGUGGAUUGGUCAUGGUGACUCAUCUUGAUCUCUUUCACUCAAAUUGACCUUUUGAUGGUUCGACAACUUUAAACCUAAAUGAAAACAUUUAAAACACCAUUAAAUCAUCAUAUUUUAUUUUAUAAUCAUUAAAAUUUAUGAUAGAAAAAUUCGAGCUAGCAAAUAACUAUCAAAAUGUGUGAGAUUAUGUGAGAGUCACUUUCUUUUAGUUUUACUAAACAAAUUAAUUAGUGAAAAAAACAACAUAUGAAACAUAAUUUUAGGGGUGUAAAUCCAAUUACAAACAAGGUCUUCAUAGAGCAAAAGUUUAUUUAAUGGUUGCAAAGAUAUAUUCUCAUAGAAUGUUCAUAAAUUAUAUUACUAUGAUCAUAUUUGGAAGAAUAUGUAACUUUUGAGAAAAUCUAAAUAUAGCCUAAAAUAUGAAUCUAACUUUCCCCAACGUAAUUUAUUUAUGUUUUAAAAAAUAAAAUACAAUAAUUAUUAAUUAAUUUUUUUUUAAAAAAAUUAAAUUAUAAUUUUCAAAUAUAAAAUUAGUCCAACAACAAUAGUAACUGAGAAAAUAAAUGCUAAUCUUAAAUGAGAAAAACACUCAAGAGGGGGGUGAAUUGGGUUUUUUUUUUUUAAAUUCCUUUUUAAACACAACAAAUUUAAGUACAAGAAAGAAAAAGAUAGAGUUAGAGAGAUCAAACUAAUAUUUUAUAGUGGUUCGACACUUCCUUGCCUACGUCCACUCUCCUAAAGCUCCUAACCAAGUGAAGGUUCCACUAACUUGAAGCUUCAACCAAGCUUCUAACCUCCUUUACAUUUGGAUUCUGGCUCCAAUAGGCUCUUACACAAUCUCAUCAAGUUUCAACUCACUUGAAGGCUUUAACACUCAAUGAAUAAAUCUCUUAACCUAGCUCAGUAAUAGCUCAAAUACAACUUAAGGCUAGGAUGAAUCACAAAGGUUCACUAAAGGAUAUGCAAGUGAAGAUUUAAUGCACCAAGAAAGAAAUGAGAGCUUUUAAGGCAAGAACAAGUGGGUAGACAAAUAAAUGCAGGGGUUCUCUUGCAUAAAUGAAGUGGAGCUCUCUAUUUAUAGGUUUCUAACCUCAAGAGACAAGGAAAACAAAAAGAAGCCUUAACCGGUCGAGUUGGGGGUCGAUUGAUUCACUAUCCGUUGGAGCAUUCAAUGAUUUGGCAAGCUACUGUUGCUUCGACCGGACUUCAACCCGACCUCGAACGGAGGUCGAUCGGGAAGGAAGAUACCUCAAUAGGGAAGAAAAGGCUACUGGAAGAGAAAAGUAUUUUUUGCACUCCUUAACCGGACCUUGACCAAGGAGGGCUAACUGGUUGACCAAUACCCUGGCCGGUUGGCCAGUGCCUUGACCGGUUCAACAUUUUUUUCUCGAAAACCUAUAUUUUUUUAAUAUUUUCUUUUCUAACACUUAGGCAAGGUCUUUAGGUAAAUUAAUAUGCCAAUUUUGAAGUUAUAUGCCUAAGGUUCAUUUAAUAAAACUUGGGUUUUGAUGAAACUGUAACUUUAAAGAAUAAAUCGAGUUUUUGAAAGAUGCAUGAAAUGGUAUGUAAAACCUAAGUGCACCCAUGCAUUCAUCUUACAUUUGUUUCCUAUGAUUAAAGGUCUUCCAAACGUCUUGAUCUUGCAUCCAUUAGGUCCUUUGAUGAAUUUCCAAAUUAAUACAUGAGAUUCUUUACAAUUCAAACCAAUUAGUAACUUAACCAUGGUUUGUUAUCAUCAAAACCUAAUUAGGAGAACCCUUGGGCUAACAGUAACUUCUAUCAUUACCUUUCUUUUACUAUUUAAAGAAAUGUUUUAAAAAUCGGAUUGGACUGGCUAGCGACCUUUUCGGUCCAAUCUACACUUUUGAGUCAACAACCUAUUGAACUGGCUUCAAACCAUCAUAACUGAUGAUCGAACCGAUGAAUCGAGUGAACUGACCAAUUUGUAGUGAACUAAACAAUUUAUGACAUGUUUUUUUUCUCCAUAAGAGAAAUAAAUAGUGAGAUGGUGGGGACGGGACAACUGCUGGUCGGUGACCAGCCAACGACUAGUAGCUGUGGGAGCUGCUACCAACGACAAGGUGAUUGAUAGUUAGGGUAGGCAUGGGUAGGCUCAGGUAUAGUGAGAGAGAUAGGGAAAGAAAGAAAGAACAGGGAGUAGAGGUAGGCUCGGGUAUGGUGAGAGAGAUAGGGAAAGAAAGAAAAUAAAAAAUAGAAAAAAUGGAGAAGAAGAAAAAACAGAAAUGGAGAAGAAGAGAAAGGGGAAAAUGGUGAGGUGAGGAAGAAGAAGAAGAGAAAGAGGGAAAAAUGGAGGUGAUGAAGAAGAAGGAAGUAGAAAUGAAGAAGAAAAAAGAAAAUGAAAGAAAGGGAAGUAAGACUAGUGAUGGGAAGAAAUGGAUUUUAAGGUUUAUUUUUGAAUGAAUGGUGGAGAUUAAGUGUGAAAAUGAAGGGUUUAAAUGGGUUUUCUAAAAAAGGGGUAUAAAUGGGCCUAAAAAUUAGGUUUUCUCAAAAUACGUAUUUAUCUUUAUCAUUUAAUUUAAUAUAUCAAAUAUAAAAAUGAAAUGUUAUUAAAUUUAUUAUAUAUAUAUAUAUAUAUAUACGCACACACACACACACACACACACACACACACACACACACAUAUAUAUAUAUAUAUAUAUAUAUAUAUAUGACGUCACCAAUUUGAUUGCGGUUCAACCAUUGAUCAAACCAAUGAACCAUGAAUUAGUAUUUUUUUUUAUUCAAUGACUGAUCUUAUUCUAAAAACAUUGAUUUAAAAGAUUUCAAAUUAACACUACCUAAAGGCAUUGAUAUAUAUGUAGAGGCUUUGGGUGUCAAUUAUGCCUAAAUAUUUAAUUAGGCAUGCACACAUGAUACAACUUUUUGUUUGAAUUAUAUUACAUGGACAAUUACUUGUUGAAUAUUUAAAUGUUAACAAUAAUAUUAUUAUUAAAGAAAACUUAGAAAUAAACAUUUAAUGACUCAAAUUUUCUUUAUUUCUAAAAUUAAAUUAUACUUCUUUAUUCUUUAAACAAUUUUUUCAUAAAUGAAUGUGUUCAGACAUUUUUCAAGAUCCACUUAUCUCGAUAAACAUAACUUUCAAAAUUUUCUUUUAACUUCUAUUCAUUUAUAUUCAUAAUUGUUUUGAAUUAAUUUUGAUUUAUCUAUUAAAAAAUAGUUGUGGUUUACAUUCUUUGUAUAAUAUUUAUUAUCAUCAUCAUUAUUAUAAUAACAAAGAAAUGUUUAAAAAUAUUUGCUAAAAAAUAAGGUUAAAAAAUUUUAUAUAAGAAAAAUAAAAUGUGGUAAGCUUGUUUUUAGGCAAACCCUUAAAUAUUUUCAUUAAUAUAUAUAUAUAUACAUAAAUUUAAAACCAUCCAUGAUAUGAGGUAUAAUUAAAACAUAAAACAAAGUUUAUUACAUAGCUUAAAAACCAUCCAUCAUAGGAGGAGGUAUAACAUAAAACAUAGUUAUAUAUAAGGAGAUGAAUAUCUUACAAUGGGAGAAGAGAGGAAAACUUUGGGCUGGAGAGAUUACAUGAUGAGAGAGAAAGAAGAGAGAAGAGAGAGCAUAAGCUAGAAGUGAGAAAUUGAACGUGCUUAGAAAUGAGGAUCAAGCCUCCUUAAAUAGCCAAAAAGAGAAUAUUAAAUAGUACCCAUCAGGAGACAAAACACUAUUUGCUUUUUGACCAAUUGCUGUGAAUAGUUAACUUGUGCAUGAAUAGUAAAAGUGAACUAUAGCACUUUUAGACUUUUCAGUAGGGAAUCUUACUUUCGGCGCAAAUAGCGGCUGAUAGGUUGCUUUGGACUAUGGAGUCACAUGCUUAAUGCUUUUGGUGUUGAUACUGCUUAGCUGGAUAAUAUUCUUGCCUUAUGAAUUCUCUAAGGAAUUCUAGAAAAAUCCCCAAGUGAACCAAGCCUUUGUUGAUAGAAUUAACCAAAAAAUUAAGGAUAAUCUUGUUGUCCCGCUAACAGUUGAGCCUCAUAAGAGAAUCAAUAUAGUUAAGGGUGAUAUUAGUUCAGAAGAAGAGAUUGAUGAACUAAUCAAAAUGUUUGACGAACCCCAUAAUCAAACUGUUUCAAAAAGUAUCAACAAUUUGGAAGCCUUUAAGACUAGGAAUUAUUACCCUAGACCUACCUUUCCUAACAUGCAAUUUGAGGAAAGAAAUUAGUAUACUCAAGCUUCAUACACCAGUGGUACUAUCUAUGAAUGGAACAUAGAUGGUAUGACCGAGUAUAACAUACUCACUAAGCUUCAAUAAAUGACCAUGGUUAGUACAACCUAUAAGUUAAACAAUAGACUACCCGACCAUGCUGUAGCUCAAACAAUUGUUGCUAGGUUUACAGGACAACUUAAGGGAUGGUGGGAUAACUAUCUCACUUUUGAUGAUAUAAAUAGUAUCCUAAAAGCUUAUAGGAUCAAUGAGAAUCAUGAAGUUGUUAAGGACGAAGAUGGUCAAGAUAUGGAGGAUGCAGCGGCUACUUUAAUCUAUUCAAUAUCCAAGCACUUCAUUGGAGAUCCUGCAAAAAUUAAGGAUAAGACUGAAGAUCUCUUAACCAACCUUAAGUGUCCCAAGCUUCAUGACUUUAGAUGGUAUAAGGAAGUUUUCCUAACCAAAGUCAUGCUAAGAUCAUAUUGUAAUCGGUCUUUUUGGAAAGAAAAAUUCAUCUCAGGUCUACCUAAACUUUUCUCUGAGAGAAUUAGGAUUAAGAUAAGGGAUCAUUAUAAUGGUCAAAUUCCUUAUGAUAAGCUAACCUAUGGUGAGAUUAUAAGCAUCAUCACAACUGAAGGUAUUAAGUUGUGCAAUGACUUUAAGCUUAAGCAACAAAUGAAGAAUGAACAAAGGAUCUACAAUAAUGAAUUUAGGUCAUUCUGUAGCCAAUUUGGUUUUAGCCAAAAAGAAACUAAGCCUCCCUCUAAGCACGAACAAACAGGAAACCUAGCAAAGAUAAGUUUUAUCAUAGCAAGAGAGGAAUUUAUGAAAAUUAUAGGAUGAAUGAAACCAAGCAUUCAAGACACGUCCAAAAAAGGAUAAAUAAAGAAGCCUAGAAAAAGGUAGAAACCCCUUUAGAUUCCAAGCCAAUUAUUUGUUUUAAGUGUGGCAAGAUUGGCCACUAUAAGAAAGAUUGUAAGGUUAGACAAAAGAUUAAUAAUUUUAAUGUCUCAGAAGAUUUAAAAAAAUAUGCUUUACGAAGUUUUGUUAAAAACCUUAGAAUCUGAGUCAAGGACCGAUUCAGAUAAUGAAGAUGAUAUUAAUUAACUAGACAGUAGAGGUGAAGUUUCUAGCCAAAAUUCUAGUAACUAAGAAGAAUGCGUUAAGGGUAAUUUUAAUUGCCUUCCUAAGACCAUAAAUGUCAUAAGCCAAGAUUAAGAACUGGUCUUCGAUAUUUUAAGGAAAAUUGAAGAUGAAAAGACUAAGCAAGAUAUUUAUGAAGUAUUUAAGAAAUCUGUUGUUAAGCCAGAAGCUAAGAAGACUGUAAAUCCUUAUAACCUUAAUGAAAUCUUAAAUAGGUUUGACCAACAGUCUCCCAAAGAAGUAAGCAUUAAAGAUCUCCAUGAAGAAGUAAGGCAGUAUAGAAAGGAAAUUAAGGAGUUAAGACAUUUCACAAGUUUAGGUUUCUCUAACCUCCAAGGACAAAUCAAUAGAAUUGUUAAUAACCAUGAUAACCUUGUGGAUGUUCCAGAAUCUUCACAAGUUAAUGAUGAUGAGACAGAUGCUUUUUGGAAUAUUGUUAGUAGGAUUAUCUUCCAAAGGUUGGAAGUCUCCCUUACUAUAGUAGUCAAAGAUAAAUUUGUCUUUGACAUUAUUGCUUUAAUUGAUUCAGGUGCAGUUGAGAAUUGCCUUCAAGAAGGUCUUGUAAAUAUUCAAUUAUGUGAAGAGACUAGUCAGUCUCUAUUUGGAGCCAAUGGCAAAAGGCUUGACAUUAAGUAUAAAUUAACAGAUGUUCAUAUCCAUAACCAUGACAUCUGUAUUAAGCAAACCUUCAUUCUUGUUAAGGACCUUAAGGAGAAAGCCCUCCUAGGAAUCCCCUUCUUAAGCUCUAUUUAUCCCAUGUGGGUAGAUAACCAAGGUAUAAGAACAAAGCUGCUUGAUAAGGAAAUUCUUUUUGAAUUUGCUAAUCCUGUUGUAAACAUCACUCCUUGUGAUCAAGAAAUUAAUCUUAUUGGAGUAGAUGUUCCACCUAAGCUAAUAGGUACCCAACUCAUUCAUAAUCUCUUUGAAAAAAUUAUUUUAAGCAUUCAUUUAUGCAUUUCGAAAUUUCAAAUUGAUAUUUUGAACCAACGAUUUUUAUUAAGAGUCAUUUUCACAUAUGCGAAAACUAUUAAGUAUACAAUUUUUAAGUAUGAUUUAACUAAUUGGAUUAUUUUAAACCCUAAUUUUCAAAUUAAGUUUAUUAAAGGAGAAAAUUCCUUUCUUGAUUACUCAUCUCAUGAAAUUUGCAGGGUUCACGAGACCAUGGCCCCUAAAAAGAAUACCCAAGCUCCUAACCCAUAGAAAUCCCAAUCCAGUCAAGCUCAUUCUCCCCACAAAAUGCUUUGGAGUCAACAAGUUGAACUUGAAGAAGCAAGACUUCAUUCUUCUAACCUUAUGCCCAACAAGAUGAUGACCUUGUACUAUGAUCCUUCGGACCCAUCUAAUACAGUCAAGGCUACCCAAUGCCCAACUAUUUCAGGGUCUCAGACCUUUAAGCAGGUUACUAAAUCUAAUCCCUCUCAAAAGGAAUUAGCAUCAAGCUCUUCUUUUUCAAAUAAGCAAAUUGUGGCGGCUGCCAACCCCACACCUCUUUCAGCAAAAUCUCAUCACUAGCUAAAACUUGUGUGGGAUGCUUGAGGAAAUAUUGCUUAAUUGCUUCUAGGGAUGCAUCAUUUUUCAAAGUGUCCCAUCAUUUAGUUUUAAAAGUCCUUCCAAGAGUUGGAAAGGUUGCUGAUUCAUCUGCAAUAAUAAUGUAGUCCCAUUGGACUAUCCAAGCAAGGCCAAAUUUGCUAAAAAAGAAUAAUAAAGGGGAAAAAGCUAAAAGUUCUCUGGGGAUAACAAAAGAACUGUUGAAUAGCUCAAAGCCAUCCAAGAUAAGCUUAAGAAGAAUCUUAAUGGAUGAACCAAAAUAAGUCCACCAAUUGUGAAACCAAAAUGGGAAGGAUGAAAACUGAUUCUUAGAUGGAAAAUAGAACAUCCAUGAAUGAUGGAAGUCCCUAUUUUGGAUCAGAAAAGCAUUGAACCAUACAAUCCCAAUAGUUAAAAAAUCUUGGUUUUGAAGGUUCAGAGAAUUCCCUUGAGAAAUUAGGAUUCCCUCCCCAUUUCUUAAUAGUAACAAUCUUAUAGAUAUGGCAGGUGGAAAAUGCCAAAUCCAGAUUGCUGAAUUUGUUAGCGUUAUGCUUAAUUUUAACAGAACCAGUUUCUACGAGGUUUGCCUCAUAAAAUUCUCUUGUUUUUAAAAGGUCACCAAAGAGAUAAUGAAAAUUUUCAUGAAAAGCUUUUGCUACAAUCUCUCUGGGGUUUUAAGAGAAAAACUCUCUUUCGAUAACCAAAAGAGGUUGAUUUAAAUCUUUUUGCCAAUAUCUUGAUUUUGCUGAAAAAGGUGUGGGGUUGGCAGCACCACAAUUUUCUUAUUUGAAAAAGAAGAGAUUGAUACUAAUUCCUUUUGAGAGGGGUUAGUUUUAGUAACCUACUUAAAGGUUUGAGACCUUGAAAUAGUUGGGUAUUGGGUAGCCUUAACUGGAUUAGAUGGAUCUAAAGGAUCAUAAUACAAGGUCAUCAUCUUGUUAGGUAUAGGGUUAGAAGAAUGAAGCCUUGCUUCUUCUUCAAGUUCAACUUUUUGACUCCAAAGCAUUUUAUAAGGAGAAGGAGCUUGACUGGAUUGGGAUUUUUGUGGGUUAGGAGCUUGGGUAUUCUUUUUAGGGGCCAUGGUCUCGUGAACCCUGCAAAUUUCACGAGAUGAGUAACCAGGAAAGGAAUUUUCUCCUUUAAUAAACUUAAUUUGAAAAUUAGGGUUUAAAAUAAUCCAAUUAGUUAAAUCAUACUUAAAAACUAUAUACUUAAUAGUUUUCGCAGAUGUGAAAACGACUCUUAAUAAAAAUCCUUGGUUCAAAAUAUCAAUUUGAAAUUUCGAAAUGCAUAAAUGAAUGCUUAAAAUAAUUUUUUCAAAGAGAUUAUGAAUGAGUUGGGUACUUAUUAUCUUAUGUGGAACAUCUAUUCCAAUAAGAUUAAUUUCUUGAUCACAAGGAGUGAUGUUUACAACAGGAUUAGCAAAUUCAAAAAGAAUUUCCUUAUCAAGGAGCUUUGCUCUUAUACCUUGGUUAUCUACCCACAUGGGAUACAUAGAGCUUAAGAAGGGGAUUCCUAGGAGGGCUUUCUCUUUAAGGUCCUUAACAAGAAUGAAGGUUUGCUUAAUACAGAUGUCAUAGUUAUGGAUAUGAACAUCUGUUAAUUUAUACUUAAUGGCAAGCCUUUUGUCAUUGGCUCCAAAUAAAGACUGACUAGUCUCUUCACAUAAUUGAAUAGGUACAAGACCUUCUUAAAGGCAAUUCUCAACUGCACCUGAAUCAAUCAAAGCAAUAAUGUCAAAGACAAAUUUAUCUUUGACUACUAUAGUAAGGGAGACUUCCCACAUUUGGAAGAUAAUCCUACUAACGGUAUUCAAAAAAGCAUCUGUCUCAUCAUCAUUAACUUGUGAAGAUUUUGGAACAUCUACAAGGUUAUCCUGGUUAUUAACAAUUCUAUUGAUUUGUCCUUGGAGGUCAGAGAAACCUAAACUUGUGAAUUGUCUUAACUCCUUAAUUUACUUUCUAUACUGUCUUACUUCUUCAUGGAGAUCUUUAAUGCUUACUUCUUUGGGAGACUACUGGUCAAACCUAUUUAAUAUUUCAUUAAGGUUAUAAGGAUUUACAGUCUUAUUAGCUUCUGGAUUAACAACAGAUUUCUUAAAUACUUUAUAAAGAUCUUGCUUAGUCUUUUCAUAUUCAAUUUUGCUUAAAAUAUCUAGGACAAGUUCUUGAUCUUGGCUUAUGACAUUUAUGGUCUUAGGACGGAAAUUACAAUUACCCUUAACGCAUUCUUUUUGGUCACUAGAAGUUUGGCUAGAAACUUCACCACUACUGUCUAGUUGAUUAAUAUCAUUUUCAUUAUCUGAAUCAGUCAUUGACUCAGAUUCUAAGGUUUUUAACAAAACUUCGCAGAGCAUAUUUUUUAAAUCUUCUAAGACAUUAAGAUUAUUAAUCUUUUGUCUAACCUUACAAUCUUUCUUAUAGUGGCCAAUUUUGCCACACUUAAAACAAAUAAUUGGCUUGGAAUCUAAAGGGGUUUCUACAUUUUUCUGGGCUUCUUUGUUUAUCCUUCUUUGGACGUGUCUUGAAUGCUUGGUUUCAUUCAUCCUAUAAUUUCCAUAAGUUCCUCUCUUGCUAUGAUAAAACUUAUCUUUGCUAGGUUUCCUGUUUGUUCGUUGCUUAGAGAGAGGCUUAGUUUCUUUUUGGCUGAAACCAAAUUGGCUAUAAAAUGACCAAAAUUCUUUCUUGUAGAUCCUUUGUUCAUUCUUCAUUUGUUGCUUAAGCUUAAAGUCAUUGCACAACUUAAUACCUUCAGCUAUGACGAUGCUUAUAAUCUCACCAUAGGUUAGCUUAUCAUAAGGGUUUUGACCAUUAUAAUGAUCCCUUAUCUUAAUCCUAAUUCUCUCAAAGAAAAGUUUAGGUAGACCUGAGAUGAAUUUUUCUUUCCAAAAAGAUUGAUUACAGUCUGAUCUUAGCAUGACUUUGGUUAGGAAAAAUUCCUUAUACCAUCUAAAGUCUUGAAGCUUGGGACACUUAAGGUUGGUUAAGAGAUCUGCAGUCUUAUCCUUAAUUUUUGUAGAAUCUCCAAUGAAAUGCUUGGAUAUUGAAUAGAUUAGAGUAGCCACUGCAUCCUUUAUAUCUUGACCAUCUUCAUUCUUAACAACUUCAUUAUUCUCAUUAAUCUUGUAGGCUUUUAGGAUACUAUUUUUGUCAUCAAAAGUGAGAUAAUUAUCCCACCAUCCCUUAAGCUGUCCUGUAAACCUAGCAACAAUUGUCUAAGCUAUAGUAUGGCCGGGCAGUCUAUUGUUUAUAUAGGCUGUACUAACCAUGGUCAUUUCUUGAAGCUUAGUGAGUAUGUUAUACUUGGUCAUACCAUCUAUGUUCCAUUCAUAGAUUAUACCACUAGUGUAUGAAGCUUGAGUAUACUGAUUUCUUUCCUCAAACUGCAUGUCAGGAAAGGUAGGUCUAGGGUAAUAAUUCCUAGUCUUAAAGGCUUCUAGAUUGUUGAUACUUUUUGAAACGGUUUGAUUAUGAGGUUCCUUAAACAUCUUGAUUAGUUCAUCAACUUCUUCUUCUGAAUUGAUGUCACCCUUAACCAUAUUGAUUCUCUUAUGAGGCUGAAUUGUUAAUGGGGCAACAAGAUUAUCCUUAAUCUUUUGGUUAAUUCUAUCAACAAAAGCUUGGUUAACUUAGGGAUUUUCCUAGUAUUCCUUUGAGAAUUCAUAAGGCUUAAUCUUAUCAAUGUUAUCAUUGGUGACCCAAAUCUUAGUAUUAUUAAUACGCUUGGAGGGAUAGUCUGGAUAUUCCUCUUAUUUGAAGAGUUCAAACCAGAUCCAAAACUUAAUGUUUUUCUUUUCUUGUCUUAAGUACGCAUAGAAUUCUUCUUGGUAGAGGGUUCUAAUGUCUUUAGGGACAGUGCUAAAGAACCAAUCUUUUCUUUGCUUAUUGACUUCAGAAUAUAAGUCCUUUCUUAAGAUAUCUUUGUUAAUCUUAAAGUCUUCAUCACUUAGGCUUAUAGUAUUAAUCAUCUGGGAAUAUGUAGGAGACAUAACAGGGGACUCAUCCUGUUGUGAUUCCUGUGUAGACUCAUUUUCCUCAGUGUAAAAUGGUCUGGCCAUGUUGGUGUGACUUCUAACACCUGUUAGCUUAAUAUUCUUAGGAUUUGCUGAAUUGGAACCUUCUUCUUUCCUAGUGGUUCUUACCGGGAUAGAAGAACUUGAAGCUUUAGAGGGUUCAUAAACUGAAACUCUAGGGUUACUAGAAUGACAGAAAGAGUUGGAGAAAAUCAGAUCUCCUUCUCCAUUAGGAUAUUGAACAAUCUGUUCAAUCUUUUCAGAUCUCUGUUCUAUGGCUGGAACGACAUUAGCAAAAUGCCAAUUUUCAGGAAACUCAACCUCACUCCACAUGAUCAUUUUAGGGAUUAUGAAGUUUGACUUAUCUAGCAUAUCUGAGUGGAAAAGAGUAGUUUCCCCCUUAGGCCUGGUGCACAGUGCUCUAGAUCUAACACUUGUGGUCAUACUCUUAUAGGCAAACCUGGUUAUGAUGGAAACAGGAAUGUUUCCUUGCUUGAACUUAAAACCAUGGGUCUUAACAUGAAGGACAACCGAAUCUAAGAUAUCAACAUCUCUUAGUCUAACUGUGAAGUUAGGGAAACACUGAAAAUAAACAGGGUCAUUAUUCAGUCUAGCUUGGACUACACCUAUAAUAGAAUCUCAAUAGUCGAGAUGUCUAUUAUCUCUUAGACACAUGAUAAUAAAGGUGUUUAAACCUAAUCUUGUCAAAGGCUUAGCUGUAACUUGAAUCAUACCAAAGUGUAUGAAGUUGUAGUGGUCUUUCUUAUGCUUCUCCACUGACUUACUAUCCAAGAGUCUUAUGACUUGAUUGUCUUGUUCUAAACUUACUAACAUUUUAGAGGUUCUAAUGGUGUAGUCUGUAAAAAACUUAAAGGUUCAUUUCUUAUAAAUUUCUUGAUUACACACCUUGGGUAACUUCCAAUCAUCUGAAUCAUUUUAGAUCUUAGGAUAAUUGAUCUUUUCACUGUUUACAAUAGUAUCUUGAGAAUCAGUGGAUCUCAUAAACAUGGUUCUGAAAAUUGAACUCAUUUUAGGGUUUUAAUCUAGAGCCUAAUAGCAUAUUGAUAGACCUAAUGAGACGUCUCCCCAGCCCCUUACAGCCCUAACAAACGCCUAUCCACGGCUAACAACGGGCUAAACCUGACAGGGAUUGCACUCCUCGGCACAUUGCUACCUAUCCUAGGAUAGCUCAAAACACCUAAAACAAACCCGACUUCCCUUCCCGUGGCUCUGAUACCAUAGACACAUGACAAUAGAGGUAUUUAAACCUAAUCUUGUCAAAGGCUUAGCUGCAACCUAAAUCAUACCAAAGUGUAUGAAGUUGUAGUGAUCUUUUUUAUGCUACUUAACUGACUUACUAUCCAAGAGUCUUAUGACUUGAUCGUCUUGUUCUAAACUUACUAAGAUUUCAGAGGUUCUAAUUGUGUAGUCUGUAAAGAACUUAAAGGUUCAUUUCUUAUAAAUUUCUUGAUUAGAUACCUUGGGAAACUUCCAAUCAUCUAAAUCAUUUUGGAUCUUAGGAUAAUUGAUCUAUUCACUGUUUACAACAGUAUCUUUAGAAUCAGUGGAUCUCCUAGACAUGGUUCUGAAAAUCGAACUCAUUUUAGGGUUUUAAUCUAAAGCCUAAUAUAUAUAUAUAUAUCUGUGUGUGUGGACCUUGCAUUUUGACUCGAUGUGUUCCCACUCAAAGGUGAAACUCGUUUUUUUACUUAUUUGGUGAAAAUUUUAUUUUUUUUAGGAAAGACUUGGAGUCACCACUUGUUUUUGUUUUAUUUUUAAAGGGAAAACAAAAUAAGAAAGAAAACCCUAAGUGUGACUCCUUAUUUGGAAAAGAUGGUUUGCGAAAAACCAAAUCUGGGCUUGGGGGUCAGGUUACUUAUUGGGAAGGUACGAUAAAGACCGUAGCACCCCUCUAAGUCCCUAAAAAUGGGUCUUUACUAAUGAGAUGAAGCAAGCAUGAUAAUUGGUAAGGAAAUCAAUGGAUACCAAAAUGAAAUAAUCAAAUAAUAAAGCGAAUCAUGCAUAAAAAUAAGCGAAGUGGGAAUGAGAUCGUACCUUAGCAACAAUUAAUAGUGCGUUAUCAUGGAAAUAGGGUUAGCUCAAGUAUAAAAUCAUCACAUGCAUAUCAAAGAGCAAGGCAAAAAUCAACAAUACUCAUUAACCAUAACAACUGACAAUCAGAAGAGAAAACUCAUAUGUAGGGCCCCCACCAAAACCUAAUUGAUUUCGCAUGAAUUAAUCUCAUGGAUUCCAUUGUUUCUGGAGUUACAAAAAUUCAUUCAUGCUUAUUAAAAACCAAUGAAAACGAAAAAUUAUUUUAAAAUUAAAGAAAAUUAGAGAAAAGUGCUUACCUAAAAGGAAAUGUAGCAAGUUUAUUUAAAAACGAGAUUUUUAGCGACUUAAAACCCUAAUGAAUAAUGAAAAGUGGUAGAAUUAAAAAAUAUUUGAAAACUAGAGUGAAAUUAAAAUUAUUUGAAAGAAAACUAGAGUUUUGAAAUUUAUUUGAAAAUUGAGAUCUCAAAAAAUAUUUGAAAAUUGGAGUUUUGAAAAUUAAAUUAUGAAUUGGAGUCUUGGAAAUUAAAUUUGAAGAAAUUGGAGUUUUGAAAAUUAAUCGAGAAUUGAAGUUUUGAAAAUUAAAUUAUGAAAAUUGAAAUCUUGGAAAUUAUUUCAAGAUGGAAUUUUAAAAUAAAUAAAAUAAUAAUAAUAAUAAUAAUAAUAAUAAUAAUAAUAAUAAACAAAUGUGAAAAUUGGAAUUUUGGAAAUGGGAAAUGAAAUUCAGAAAUUGGAAUUUUGAAAAUCAUUUGAGAAUUGGAGUUUUGAAAAUUAAAUUAUGAAUUGGAGUUUUGGAAAUUAAAUUUGAAAGAAAUUGGAGUUUUGAAAAUUAAAUUAUGAAAAUUGGGAUCUUGGAAAUUAUUUGAAGAUGAAAUUUUCAAAAUAAAUAAAUAAGUAAAGUAAUGAUAAUAAUAAUAAUAAUAAUAAUAAAAUGUGAAAAUUGGAAUUUUGGGAAUUGGAAAUUAAAUUCAAAAAUUCGAAUUUUGAAAAUCAUUUGAGAAUUGGAGUUUUGAAAAUUAAAUUAUGAAUUGGAGGAUUGGAAAUUUCUUCUUUUUCAUUUUCACUAUCUUCGUGUCAUGGAAAAAAAGAGUUAAAUCAGAGCCCCUCUCUAUGUAUUGCAGUAUAUUAAAUAGGAAAGGAGACUGUUGAUUCAAAUUAAUUUUUAGAGUACCGAACUUUAUCUUACCCCAUUUAAAAUCUGAUUAAUUUUGCUUAAUUUAUUCUGAAUCUUUAUUUACUUUGCUUAUUUGAUAUGAAUUAAUGUCUUUUAUUCCUUAUCCUCCUAGUAUAUAUAAUAUAGAUUAUGAUCGUGUAAAAGAACUUAAUAAUAGGUUGUAUGCUUAAUGUAAAGAAUUUAAAGAAACUUGUGAUGAAUUACAUAAUUUAAGAACUAUUGUAAAAGAUUUAACCACAGAUAUUAAAAACCUAACUUCUCUUAAAUAUUUGAAUGAAUAUGAAAUAGCUAUACAAGAAGCUUUUGACGAACUUUUUGCUACAGAAUCCUUAAUUAAAAGAGAAAUUAUAAAAUAUUAUAUUGAUAAUUUAUAUGCUAGCUCAUCUAAUUAAAACAUAUUAAAGAUAAUGAACCCUCAUCUACAAACCCAAGAGGUAAAGUAGUUAAAAUUUUUAGUGGAAACACAAUUAAAAAUAACAAACGAAGUAUUACAAGAACAAAUUCAUAAAGAAAACAAAAAAAAAUAUAGAUAUUUUAAAAGAAAUCCAGAAAAGACAAAUAAAAUCUGUAGAAAAACUAAACACGGUCUUAGGAAUUAGAAAAAAAGCUGGAAGACUUUAAGAACCAUAACUUGCUAAGAAAUAACCUAGAUUAUAUUAAAGAACAAUUAGCUAGAGAAGAAAAAUUUGUUAGAAAAGAAAUAGAACAAAUAAAAUUAGAACAACAAAAUUUAAAAGAAACUUUAGAAAAAAUUAACCAAAAAGUAGAUAAACUUUUAGAACAAAGAAAUAUAGUAUUAUCAGAGGUACAAAAAUUAAAUAACCUUUAAAACAAUUUGAAAACUUUAAUUUAGGAGAAAAACCAAUAAUUAAAAUAGAAAGAAAAAUAAAUCCUUUUGAAACAAAAAAUCUAGCAAUAAAACCAUGGAAAUAGUAGAAGCAAUAAACCCUAGAGAUAAUGUAAAAGAAUUUAUUGAAGAAAAAUUAAAAAAGGCAGUAAAGGAAGUAACACCUUAAAAAAAACAAUUAGUUCAAAAUUAUAAAAUAACUAGAUUUUUAAAUCAACAUACUAUAAGUUCAAUAGGAAAUAUUGUAUAUUUAUAUUUAGUAUCUCCAAAAACAAAACACAAAUUAUUAAAAAAUAAAACCGAUAAAUAUAUGCACUUAGGAAUAAUUUUAAUAGGAAUAAUAUGACUUCAUCGUAAAGAAAUUGGAGCACUUAUAAAUAUUAACCUUUUAGAUACUAGAAACAAUAUAGUAGGACGAGCUCUUUUAGCUAGUGCAAAAGUUAAUAUGAACCAGAAUUACGCAGUUAUUGGCUGUAUACCUCAAUUUUGUAUAGAUCUUAAGGAAUUCACAGAAAAAUAAAAUUAACUGUAAAUACUAAAGCUUAUGAUAUGGAAUUAGGAAGUAAAAACCUUAGCAUAGCUAUAGGAUUUAUAUGAAAAACUACUAAUGCUUUAAGUUUAAAAUGUAUGAUGGAAUUCGAUGAUAUAGUAAAAACCUUUGGAAGUAAGACAGUAAAUAUGAUAGAAGCAAAACCUGUAAAUAUAGACUAUUUACAAGGACGAGAGUGGGAAUUACCUCAAAUAAAUAAACCAAUAAUAAAAUAUCCAACAUUCAGUAGCUUAUAUGAAAACCAAGAUGGAAGUGCAAGUAUAACCUUUGGAAAUUAUAAAACUGUAAAUGUAGAGGUAGAGUCAGAUAGUGAGAUAGAAACUGUAAAUGUUAUACAAGAAGAUAUUUUACUAGAGUUAGUAAAUAUAAUGUUAGAGGAAUUUAGCAAUCCAACAUUACUAGACCAACAAGUGGAUUAAGAAAACUGUGUUAAUAUAAUGGGUAAAAACUAUACAGAUGACCAAAUAAUAGAAUAACUCUAUAAAACCAAUUUAAUAAAAAAACUUAUAGAUAUAGAAAUGAUAAAUCAAUUUACUAUUCAACCAAAAAUUAACAAAAACAUAGAAAUAAUCUCAAACGAAUCAAUAAAUACAAUAAGUGAAGAAAGGGAAUUUGUAAAUGUAAAAAGUGAAAUAGUAAAAUAUAAUAAGCCGUAUAGCAAGCCAAAAGGACCUCAAUGGAAAACUAAAAUAGAACCUUCUAGUUCUUUGCAACCAGUAUAUAAUUCUUUGCAAUCAGUAUAUGAAUAUGGAACAAUAUUAGAUAUAGAUAGUGCACAAGAUCUUAGAAAAACCAUAGAAAAUUGGGAGCAAUCUUUAAAUUCAGCAGGUGUGGUAGUAUCAUUUGAAAACCAACAAGAAAUUUAUGAAUUUUGUAAAAACACCCUUAGAGAAACUGUACUACAAUUUUUUAGAAACAUGGAACAAGAAAACAGCAGUUAUUUUCAAGAAGUUAGAAAUAAUUUUAGUAUAUCUGUAUUUAUAAAUCUAAUAAAACUUUAUUUUUUGGGAACAACACAAGAAGAUGUAAAAGAACCUGCAAUAUACCUUCAUAAGUUAGAACAAUUGAAAUUAUGUAACCUUUCAUAUAUAAGGGAAUAUGAACAAAAAUUUAGGAAAUAUGCAAUCCUUGCUAGAGUAGAUAGAACCCCUAAAUAUUUAAAUAAAUAUAUAUUAAAAAUACAAGGACCCAUAGGACUUAGACUAUGGAAUGAAUUGACAACCUCCGAGUAUAAAAACUCUCCUUAUAUAGGUGCUAGAAUAGAAUUUGUAAAAAAUUGGUUAGAAAGAGAAUGUGUAAGCAUAGGAGAAAGAAGUCAGAUAAAGAAACAAGACAUAAAUCAACAACUUUGUAGAAAAUUAUAUAUAGGAGAAAAUCUAGAUAUGGGAUGCAGAGAAUAUAAGUUUAGAAAACCUAAGAGAUAUAAUAAAUUUUUAAGAAGAAAGUCAAGAACCUUUUAUAAAAAAACGACCAUAUCAGACAAGGUAUAAAAAACCUGGAAAGUUUUGGAUAAAAAGAAAAAGAACCUCAGAGAGAAAAAGACAAUGUAAAUGUUAUUUGUGUUGUCAGGAAGGCCAUAUAAGACCUGAAUGUCCUGAACUUAAAAAACCAUUAAAUGAACGAAAUAGAAAAACCCAAGUAAAAAUAAACCUAAUAAAUGAGUAUCAGCUAGAUAGUGAAGAAGAAAAACUUAUCAGUGAAUUAGACUUUGAAAGUGAAAAUGAAAAAGAAGAAAUUUGUACGAUUAUUGAAAAAGAGGAAAAUCAAGCUAAGAAAACCCCUUUAAUUUUAGAGAACCUUAUACAACCUUUAGAAAGUAAAAUAAAACCUUAUAAUAAAUGGAAAGAUUUACAAAUAAUAAUCAAAGGAAAAAUUUCAAAAGAAGAAGAAAAUAGUUGUUCAAAACCUAAGGACACAGAAGAACCAAAAAGUCCUGUAAAAGAACCAAUGAAUCUUGAAAAAAUAACCAUACAAACAAUAGAACAAGUAAAUAUGGCAAAUAAAGUUAAAUCUAUUAUUUUUCCAACAACAAUUAAAUUAAAAACCAUAGAAUUAAAGGUAGACGCAAUGUUAGAUACUGGAGCCAGUAAAAACCUUUUAUUUGAAACCUUAGUACCUCAAGAAGAUCAGCAAACAUUAGUUCAACCAGUAGAGUUAAUCCAAUAAAAUCAACAAAAACUAAUACUAACCAAGUAUAUUUCAAACGUACCAAUCAUAAUUAAUAACAUAACCUUAGUAUUGCCCCAAACUUAUCUUGUACCUACUAUAAGUUUAUAUCCUUUUAUUUUAGGUUUAAAUUUUGUACAUUCUUUACAAAAAGGGAUAACAAUACAAAAUAACCAAGUUAGUUUUCAUCCUAAAACUACAACAAUUGUUUAUACAAAUAUGGAAAAUGUACUAAAUAGAAAUCAUAAUGUAACAUCUCAUCAAAUUAGCAAAGUGGAGGCAUAAAAGGAUAGCAUAAUUAAUGACUACUUAGAACAAUUAAGAAAUGCAAAUAGAUUAAAAAACCUUAUAUUAGAAGCAGAAAAAAUAGGAAUUAUAGGAGAAGACCCACAAAAACAUUGGAAUAAAAAUAAGACAACCUGUAAAAUACCAAUUAAAAACCCAGAUUUAACAAUAAAAACGGCAGGUAUAGAAUGCAAUCUUAUAGAUACAAAGGAAUUCAAAAUUCAAACAGAAGAACUGUUACAGAAUAACCUCAUAAAACCAAGUUUCAGUCCCCAUAGAUCCUCAGCUUUUUUAGUUAGAAACCAUAAUGAAGAAAAACGAGGAAAAGCUAGGAUGGUUAUUAAUUAUAAAAGAUUGAAUGAUAAUACAUAUGAUGAUGCCUAUAAAAUUUCAAACAAAGAUUCUUUAAUUAAUUCUAUUAAAGGAUGUAAAUAUUUUUCUCAAUUAGACUAUAAAAGUGGAUUUUGGCAAAUUAGAUUAGAAGAGGAUAGUAAACCAUGGACAACGUUUUCAUGUCCUUGUGGAUUAUAUGAAUGGAAUGUAAUGCCAUUUGGACUAAAAAAUGGUCCUCAGAUAUUCCAACGAAUGAUGGAUAAUAUUUUUGGAAAAUAUUCUUUUGUUCUUGUAUAUAUUGAUGAUAUUCUUGUCUUUUCAUAUAGUCUUCAGGAACACAUAAAGCAUUUAGAAUUGAUUUUUGAAAAACCAAUUAGUCAUGGAUUAAUAGUAAGUAAAAAGAAAUUAAAAUUAUUUAAGACUCAAAUAGAAUUUUUAGGAUUAGAAUUAGAGGAUGGACAAAUAAAAUUACAAGAACAUAUAGUACAAAAAAUAAAUAAUUUUCCAGACAAACUUGAAGACUUAAAAACCCUUUAAAGUUGUUUAGGAUUAUUAAAUUAUGCUAGGCCAUAUAUUAAAAACCUUUGUAGAUUAGAUGGACCCCUUUAUAGUAAAACAAAAAACACAGGGCAGAGAUAUUUUAACCAAGAAGAUAUUAAACUUAUAUAGAAAAUAAAAGAACUUGUGAAACAUCUCCCAACCUUAAAUUUACCCUUAGAAAAUGAAUAUAAAAUAGUUCAAACCGAUGCUAGUCAAACAGGAUGGGGAGGUAUACUUUUAGCAGUAACUAAUAUAGGAGAAGAAAAACUUUAUAGAUAUUGUAGUGGAACUUUUAAUGACUAUCAAAAGAACCUUUGUUCUACAGACUUAGAAAUUGAAGCUAUAAUAUUAGUCUUAGAAAAAUUUCAAUUAUUUUUGAACCAAGAACAAUUUACUUUAAGAAUCGAUUGUGAGAAUAUUAAAAAAUUCUUUGAAAACAAAAAUUCUUCAAAACUGUCCACCAAAAGAUGGAUAAAGUUUCAAAACUCUUUAAUUGGUUUCAAACCUAAAUUUGAACAUAUUAAAGGAAAAGAUAAUAUAUUAGCAGACUGGUUAAGUAGACAAAUAAUUAAUAAUGUUGAUAAUACUAAUGAUUGAUUUCAUGAUUAUAGGAACAUGGCUCAAAGAAAACCUACGAAAGCUAGAACCUUUCAAUAUGGAACCAUAUGUCUAAACGAAGUGUUGAAUCCAAAUCUGAAGUUUAACUCUUUAUUUUCUCAAAACCUUUUUGAAGAACAUAAGGUUAUUGUAGAUAAUUUUUGGUAUCUAAAACCACAGAGUUUUCAAAACCAAAAUUUAGAAUACGCUUAUGGAAAAACAAUGUCAGCUUUAGCCCAACAUUUACAAAACCUUCAAAACCAACUAAUUGGGUUUCUAUUGGAGUUUUGAAAAUUAAUUAAGAAUUGGAGUUUGGAAAAUUAAAUCAUGAAAAUUGGAAUCUUGGAAAUUAUUUGAAGAUGGAAAUUUAAAAUAAAUAAAAUAAUAAUAAUAAUAAUAAUAAUAAUAAUAAUAAUAAUAAUAAUAAUAAACAAAUGUGAAAAUUGGAGUUUUGGAAAUUGGAAAUGAAAUUCAGAAAUUAGAAUUUUGAAAAUCAUUUGAGAAUUGGAGUUUUGAAAAUUAAAUUAUGAAUUGGAGUUUUGGAAAUUAAAAUUGAAAGAAAUUGAAGUUUUGAAAAUUAAAUUAUGAAAAUUGGAAUCUUGGAAAUUAUUUGAAGAUGAAAUUUUAAAAAUAAAUAAAUAAGUAAAGUAAUGUUAAUAAUAAUAAUAAUAAUAAUAAUAAUAAUAAUAAUAAUAAUAAUAAUAAAAUGUGAAAAUUGGAAUUUUGGAAAUUGGAAAUUAAAUUAAAAAAUUGGAAUUUUGGAAAUUGGAAAUUAAAUUAAAAAAUUGGAAUUUUGGAAAUUGGAAAUUAAAUUCAAAAAUUGGAAUUUUGAAAAUCAUUUGAGAAUUGGAAUCUUGGAAAUUAUUUGAAGAUAGAAUUUAAAAUAAAUAUAAUAAUAAUAAUAAACAAAUGUGAAAAUUGGAAUUUUGGAAAUUGGAAAUGAAAUUCAGAAAUUGGAAUUUUGAAAAUCAUUUGAGAAUUGGAGUUUUGAAGAUAUUAUGAAUUGAAGUUUUGGAAAUUAAAUUUGAAAGAAAUUGGAGUUUUGAAAAUUAAUUGAGAAUUAGAGUUUUGAAAAUUAAAUUAUGAAAAUUGGAAUCUUGGAAAUUAUUUGAAGAUGGAAUUUUAAAAAUAAACAAAUAAGUAAAGUAAUAAUAAUAAUAAUAAUAAUAAUAAAAUGUGAAAAUUGGAAUUUUGGAAAUUGGAAAUUAAAUUCAAAAAUUGGAAUUUUGAAAAUCAUUUGAGAAUUGGAGUUUUGAAGAUUUUAUGAAUUGGAGUUUUGGAAAUUAAAUUUGAAAGAAAUUGGAGUUUUGAAAAUUAAAUUAUGAAAAUUGGAAUCUUGGAAAUUAUUUGAAGAUGAAAUUUUAAAAAUAAAUAAAUAAACUACUACUAAUAAUAAAAAAAAACAAAUGUGAAAAUUAGAAUUUUGGAAAUUGGAAAUUAAAUUCGGAAAUUGGACUUUUGAAAAUAAUUUGAGAAUUGGAGUAAUAAUAAUAAUAAUAAUAAACAAAUGUGAAAAUUUGAAUUUUGGAAAUUGGAAAUUAAAUUCGGAAAUUGGAAUUUUGAAAAUCAUUUGAGAAUUGGAGUUUUGAAGAUUAAAUUGUGAAUUGGAGUUUUGGAAAUUAAAUUUGAAAGAAAUUGGAUUUUUGAAAAUUAAUUGAGAAUUGGAGUUUUGAAAAUUAAAUUAUGAAAAUUGGAAUCUUGGAAAUUAUUUGAAGAUGGAACUUUAAAAAUAAAUAAAUAAAUAAUAAUCAUAAUAAUAAUAAUAAUAAUAACAAACAAAUGUGAAAAUUGGAAUUUUGGAAAUUGAAAAUUAAAUUAGAAAAUUGGAAUUUUAAAGAAUUAUUUAAAGAUGAAAUUUAAAAAAAAAAAAUAUAAUAAUAAUAAUAAUAAUAAUAAUAAUAAACAAAUGUGAAAAUUGGAAUUUUGGAAAUUGGAAAUUAAAUUCGGAAAUUGGAAUUUUGAAGAAUUAUUUAAUGAUGGAAUUAAAAAAAAAAAAAAAGAGUAAAUAUAUAGAUUAAUAAUAAUAACGAAAAUAUAAUGAUUAAAUAAAUAAAUGUGAAAAUUGGAAAUUGGAAAUUAAAUUUGGAAAUCGGAAUUUUGAAGAAUUAUUUAAAAAACGAAGUUUUAAAAAUUAAAUUGGAAAAUCGGAAUUUCGAAAAAUAGUUUGAGAAUUGAAUUUUUAGUGAUCAUUUGAAAAUUGGAAUAGAAAUGAGAUUAUUCGAGAAACUGGGAUUUUAAGAAUCAUUUAAAAAGAAUUUAUAGAAAUCAAACUUUGACACCUGAAAUAAAAAAUAAUAAAAAAUAAAAAUUUCCACCAUGAGGCCAUAAUUGGAUCCAUGUCACUGCCACUUAUUUAUUUAGAAAACUUGAAAUGCCCCUGCCACUUAUGAGAAUUCCCAUCCCACCAUUGACUUGUCAUCCAUCAUUUAUUUAAACGUUUUCAUGUCAUUAGUGAAUUGCCACUUCUGGAAGAGGAAUAAUGAAGCCCCACUUCUCCACGAAAAGCAUCAACUCGCAGCCCAUGUACACCCGACAACACAUAAGUCUACCAUGCAGGGCUCAAAUGUGGGAGUUCAUCUCGACAUUGAAUUGGAGGUUGGGGAUCACGUGCGGGAGACCGGUGAUGGUGACAUUAGCGCGACGUGUGGCGGCGGCGACAAUGUCGACAAGGCCAAUGUUGGACUUGAGUUCAAGGAUGCGGAGAGGGCAAUGAUCUUAACCAUUGGAUAAGGCGGAGAGGAUGGGAGAGAGUGGGCUGUUGGUGAGGUGAGAAUGGAGCUGAUCGAGGAGUGUGACAAGGGUGGUGGCUGUAGGCCAUAGCUAGAAGGAGAGACCUUGGGAAAGGACCACUCUCAAUAGGUAUGUAAGAUGAGGAUUUGAAGGGUGGUUGGUGAGCGUGGUGAGGUUUCUUGGAAUUAAAACAAUCAUGAUUCCUCCAACUGCUUCUAAUCCAAGAGAGAGAGGAGUGAUAUCUAACAACAACAAGUCUUGAACUUUCUCAUUGUCCUCACUACUCAAAAUGGCAGCUUGUACUUUGAUAAAAAUUUCAGCAGGUAAGACCAAGUUCCAAAUCGUUUUUUCAAAAUAUCUAGCUGCACCAAUACCUUCAUAACCUUGAAAGUGAACAAACAAUCCUUCAUUCGAACCAUGAGUUGAAUAGAUACAUGAUAAAGACCUCAGGAGACGUUUGUCGAUAUUCAAACCAAGAACAAAGUCGUGCAUAGUCUAAUAUUCUCAAGAGAAGCAGGUACCAAAAACAGAGAGUGAACAACAAAAAUCUAGCAAUGAUGGAGGAGAUAAAGUAAAGCUACAAGUCAUUGAAUAAAACCUUGUUUCAUGCUUUGAUCAACAGGCCUGAACAGGUGGUUGAAACCAACUGGACUUUAAACGAAAAUCAAAAGCAUGGCUGGUAAAACUAGAACAAAGCUCAAAUCAAUCUAAAAUAAAUAAAUCGAAUGAAAAUGAAACAUGAACAUUGUAUAGCUUAACCUAAACAAUCCAAAAAUCAAUAAAAUGACAAAAUGCAUGACAUGACACCCAUACCCAAAAUUAACAACAAGUAGAUAGGCCUUUGAUGGCUAUGUCAAAGCAUCUAACAAGCUUCAAUAGUAACAAAUGAAAGAAAUGCAGAAGGAAGUGGAUAUUUUAUAGUGAAGAACUUACCUCCCAGAAGACGCAAGCAAAUGAAUCCCCCUUCAUUACUCUGUGUUUUGGUCUCUUCCUCUCUCCAAAACUCCCUCUUGCUCACCUUUUGAAGAACCCAAAGAAGAAGAAAAAAAUCCUCCUCUCCCGUUCCUCUAUUUUUUCUUUUCAUGCAAGCCUCUACCCACUCCUUGCUCCUACUCAAACCAUCAUUUUCUCUAUCUUGUUUUAGCCAUCCCCUCUCCAGCCACUCCAUUGCUUUAACCACCGCCAUUGCCUGGUCACAUCCAAGGCUACGCAUCUCAUGCAUGAAGCUUCAUGGAAGCCAAUCCCCCACUCGUCCAAGGUGCUGCCAACUCCUCCAGGUGGUCAGAAAAUAUCCCUCUAAUGUUAUUAAUAAAAGUAAUAAAAAAAACUAAUAGCACUUGGUUUGCAAAAGGGGCCUACAAAUAUGCCCCUCUUCGGUAGAGUUCACAAGUGUAAAGAAUGUGAACAUCGCAAUGAAAUGAGAGUGUGAAUGAUGAGUAUAAUGAAGUGAACUCUACCGAAGAAAAAGAAAGACCCCUAAAGGUAUAUAAGUAUAACACAAACUCACCCAAACCAACAGAGGAACAAAGAAGGCUCUAAAAUCCCAAGAGAAGGGUAGCUCUCGGAGUGUCUCUAAAGCUACGCUAUGGAUUCAGACACCCUCUAAAAUGUCUCUGAAAGUGACUCGAAGAUCAAUGUCAAAGAUGAGUAACGGUCGAACCACCUUGGAAUAUAGGAAAGAAUGCGUCCAAAGGGGACUGCCCUAUGUGAACUACAUGAGAACACUAAGUGUAAGGUGCCUAACAACAUGACCAAAAUAUGUGUCAUGAACUCAAAGGACUAUGUCAUUUGCAGAGGAAGGGAAGGUCUAGAAGAGCAUGAUGAACAAGCGAUAAGAACAAAGUAACGAGGUAAGGAAAAUGAGGACGAAUGUAAAAUCGCAAAGGCAAGAUGUGCGAUGCUAGUGAAUAUGAAUGCCAGGAGCUAUGACUCUGAACGAUAAGGCUGGGGAAAAAUGACUCUAAACGUCAAAAUGGAGGAAAUGUGGUGACUCAAAAUGUCGGAAUGAGUAUGCACAAUGGCUCUAAUCGUCAAAACUAAAGAAAGAUGUUGACACUGAAUACCAAGUUGAACAAUAGCUCUGAAUGCUAAAUUGAAGACAUGACUCUGAACGCCAAAAGGGAGGAAAGAUGGUGACUCAAAAUGUCGGAAUGAGUAUGCACAAUGACUUUGAACGUUAAAACUAAAGAAAUAUGUUGACAUUGAAUACCUAGCUGAAUAAUGGCUCUGAAUCCUAAAAUAAAGAUGUGGUUCUAAACACCAAACUGAAAGAGAUAUGAUGACUCUGAAUGUCGAACUAAAGGCAUGGCUCUGAACGCCGAACUAAAAAAACUGAUGACAUUGAAUACUAAAGACGAAGCUUUGAAUGCCCAAAUUGAAUUGAUAGCUCUGAAUGUUAGGAAUGUAGCUCUGAACGCCGAAAAUGUGGAAAUGAAUGCCCGAUUAUGAUAGAAUGGUGGCUCUAAACACCAAACUGAAGAAAUACAUGAUGGCUCUAUAUGCCAAACUAGAGAUACGACUCUGAACGCCAAACUGAAAACAUGGCUUUGAAAGCCAAGCUGAGAAGAUAUGGCGGCUUUGAACGCCAAACUAAAAAAGAUGAAGGGUCUGAACACCAUAACUGAGGACUGACAUCUUUGAAUGUCAAACUGAGAAAGACGACUCUGAACGUCGUAAUUAAGAAGCGAUGAUGGCUCUAAAUGUCGAGCUAUAAGGAGAUGGUGGCUCUGAACGCCAUAACUAAUAACUGACAUCUCUCAAUGUCAAACUGAGAAAGACGACUCUGAACGUCGUAACUGAGAAGCGAUGAUGGCUCUGAACGCCAAACUGUGAAGGGAUAGUGACUCUGAACACCAAACUGGAGAUGCGACUCUAAAUGCCAACCUAAAAAUACAGCUCUAAAUGUCAAAUUGAAACAAACAACAACUCUGAACGCCAAAAUGAAAAUGCGGCUCUAAAUGCCGAACUGAAAGAGAUAUGGUGGAUAUGAACGUCUAACUAAAAAAAGACAUGAUGACUUUGAAUGUCGAACUAAAGAUGUGGCUUUGAAUGUUGAGCUAAAAAAAACUGAUAACACUGAAUACUAAAGACGAAGCUCUGAAUGCUAAACUAAAAACACGACUCUAAAUGUCAAACUGAAACAAACAACGGCUCUGAACGCCAAACUGAAAAUGUAGCUCUGAAUGCCAAACUGAAAAGACAUGGUGGCUCUAAACGCCAAAAAGUUGGCGAUGAAUGCCCGAUCGUGAUAGGAUGAUGGUUUUGAAUGCCAAAUUGUGAAAUGAUAGUGACUUUGAACGCCAAACUGGAGAUGCGGCUUUGAACACCAAACUGAGAAGAUAUGGCAGCUCUGAGCGCCAAACUGAGAACUGACAUCCCUGAAUGUCAAAUUGAGAAGGACGACUCUGAACGUUGUAACUGAGAAACGAUGAUGGCCCUGAAUGCCGAGCUGUAAGGAGAUGGUGGCUCUAAAUGCCAAAACUAAGAACUGACAUCUCUGAAUGUCAAACAGAGAAGGACGACUCUGAAUGUUGUAACUGAAAAGUGAUGAUGGCUUUGAACGCCGAGUUGUAAGGAGAUGGUGGCUCUAAACGCCAAAAUUGAGAACUGACAUCUCUGAAUGUCAAACUGAGAAGGACGACUCCGAAUGUCGUAAUUGGGAAGAUAUGUUGAUUCUGAACGCCGUAACUAAGAAGGGAUGGUGGCUUUAAACGCCAAACUGAAAAGAGAUGGUGGCUUUGAACGCCGAAACUGAGAAGAGAUAGUGGCUCUGAAAGCCAAACUGUGAAGGACGACUUUGAACGUCGUAACUGAGAAGAUAUGGCGACUUUAAAUGCCAUAACUAAUAAGGGAUGGUGGCUCUGAACCCUAAACUGAAAAGAGAUGGUGGCUUUGAACGCCGAAUCUGAGAAGAGAUAGUGGCUCUUAACGCCAAACUGUGAAGGACGACUCUGAAUGUCGUAACUGAGAAGAUAUGACAGCUCUGAACGCUAUAACUAAGAAGGGAUGGUGGCUCUGAAUGUCAAAUUGUGAAUGAAGACUCUGAACGCCAAACUGUAGAUGAUGACUUUGAAUGCAAACUGUGAAUGAUGACUCUGAAUGCUAAACUAUAAGGAAAUGAUGAGGGGAAAUAUGCCUCAGUGUAGCAUGCCGCCACAAUUCUCAAUCCGCUGAAAUGGUCUAAAAGAGACUCCAUGAGUCUUAAAAGAUGCUCCGCUAGCGAGUCGGACUGGUCAAAUCAACUAUAAGUACGACAUCACAAUCCAUCUGACUAAAUCACGAGACCUGAUGAUGUGUCACAAUAAGACAGACGCCUCUAACUCAAAAUGCUCUACCAAAGGAGUCCAUCGUCAUCUCAAAUGAAUGAUCCAUUGGGGAGUCUCAAGAGAAUAGUUCACUAGGGCAAAUACCGCGACCAUAACACAACAAUCUACUGAGGGGUCAUAGAUAAUGGGAUGGUCAAAACCUGAAUAUCGUGCUCCACUGAAGGCUCAUCUCGGUAAAAAUCACCGAAAUAGUGACUAGUAAUGCAAAUAAAUAUCCCUCGCCCGAGUAAUGAAGAACGUAACAAGUUUGUGAGAAAACAAUCAUCUUCACAGCUAGAAGAGGGCAAUAUGUUCCCGUAUAGCAACUAGGGCAUCUAGUCUGUCCUGAUGACUCAAGAAUAGCUCCAUGGGAUGUAUAAGAGAUUUGACAUGUACUCUACUGAAAUGAUGAAAUGGGAGUAUAUGCACCUGGGAUAACUCCAUCACAAAAUCACGACAAUAUCAAAAAGUAUGAGUUUGACUGAAUGACUUAAAAAAGGCUCCACUAGGGAAUCAUCGUAAAAUAAAAAUAAAUCAUCAACUCAACAUGUAUCUCGUGAAUAUGGAUGAUAAUGCAAAUCAAUGGAGAUCUACAAAUCUCAACCAAAAUGGAAAUAUGCCCUAGUAUGGCAUCAGAUGUGUGGUAGGUCAGAAAAUCAGAUGGCACCAAAUCAUCCAUCGCCAAGUGUGUAAUUCCAACCAUCCAUAUCCGUAGUUGAAUCCAAUCAACAGAUCAAAGAAGUGUCUUUUAAAAGAAGAAAUGUGAUGAUAUCUCAAUGUCAAAAAGUGUGAGCCUGACUGGAUGGCCUAAGAGAGGCUCCCUUAAGAGAUCAAGAUAAGAUAACAAACAAGUCAUCAUCCAUCAGAUGUGUGGUAGGUAAAAAAAAUUAAAUAGUACCAAAUCAUCCAUCACCAAGUGUGUAAUCCCAGCCAUCCAUGUCCGCAGCUGAAUCGGAUCAACAAAUCAAAGAAGUGUCUCCUAGAAGAAGAAAUGUGAUGAUAUCUAAAUGCCGAAAAGUGUGAGCCUAAUUGGAUGACCCAAGAAAGGCUCUCCUGAGAGAUCAUGAUAAGAUAACAAACAGGUUAUCGUCUUAGCGUGUAUCUCGUGAGUGAUGAGGAUCAUGUGACUCCAUGAAGAUAUACAAAUCUCAACUGAAAGGGAAAUAUGCCCCAGUAUGGCAUCAGAUGUAUGGUAGAUUGAAAAUCGAACCACCUCAAAUCAUCCGUCAUCAAAUACGUGAUCCCAGUCAUCUAAAUCCAUAGCUGAAUUGAACCUUUAUAUCAAAAGGCGUCUCUCAAAAGAAGAAGCAUGAGACAUCUAAAUAUCAAAAGUGUGGGCCUAAUUGAAUGGCCCAAGAGAGGCUCUACUAGGGGAUCAUGAUAAGAUAACAAAUAGGUCAUCGUCUUGGUGUGUAUCUCGUAAGUGGAGAUGAUCAUGCAACUCCAUGAAAAUCUAUAAAUCUCAUUCGAAAAGGAAAUAUGCCCCAAUAUGGCAUUAGAUAUAUGGUAGAUCAAAAAAUUAAACAAUAACAGAUCAUCCAUCGUCAAAUGUGUAAUCCUAAUCAUCCAUAUCCACAAUUGAAUCUGGUCCAACAGAUCAAGGAGACGUAUCCUAGAAGGAAAAGCAUGAUAAGAUCCAAAUGCUGAAAAAUGCGGGUCUGACUAAAUGGCUCAAGAGAGGCUCUCUUAGGAGAUCAUGAUAAGAUAACAAACAGGUCAUCAUCUCAGCAUGUAUCUCGUAAGUGGGAAUGAUCAUGUAAAUCAAUGGAAGUCUAUAAAUCUCAACCAAAACAAAAAUAUGCCCCAGUAUGACAUCGGAUGUAUGGUAGAUAAAAAAAUCGGACAACAUCGGAUCAUCCAUCAUCAAAUGUGCAAUCCCAGUCAUCCAUAUCCACAACUAAAUCGAGUCCAAACAUAAAAAAUGUGUCUCCCAUAAGAAGAAGCAUGAUGAUAUCUAAAUAUCAACUAAAUCUCAAAUACAUGUCCAAGUAGGGGCUAUCGAAGAUGACAUUUGAUCCCAUGGCCUUAGGGUAGUCUUAAGACAUGGGACGUAAUGUAGGCUAGAGUGAUAAGAUAAUAGAAAUGAAAGGAAACUAGGCCCAAAUACCCAAUGAUCAAAAACCCAUGCCCUCAUGUAAAAAAAUGCAACAUGUAUAGAAAAACCUGUGAGCCAUGGACCUGAAGGUGCCCAAUGUGAAUAUAAUAUCAAUAAAGAGACAAUGAUGCAAAUCAACCUGAUAAUGAGAUAUGCAGGAAUGAUGAAAGGGAAAUAUCAAAUCUGGAAUAGGUCAACAUAAGAAAAGAACAAGGGGGUGAAGCGAAUGAGAUGAAUCACAAACAAUGACGAGGAUGAUAGCGAAACAAUGAAUAUAUAAAGAAAAGUGAUGAUCAACUCAAAUCAAACAUGGAGUGAAGUCACAUUAAUAAUGAAUGUAAUGAUGGAAAGGAAAAUGACCUAGAGUCCCUAGGAGAAUGUCACUCAUCUCACUCUCAAAGAGAUAUAACAAAGUGAAUACAAAGAAAAGAGGAUCCCAGAAAGCUCACAUACGAACUCUCAAUAACAAACAUACUCGAUAAAAUGACCCUCAGAUAUCAAUAUACACACUCAAUGAUGAAGAAUACUAUGCACAUGCACACAUGUGUUUAUUUUUCUUUUCUUUUCAUUUUCAUUUUUUUUUUACAUAUAUACAAAUACACAUACCCUGAACAUAAAAAAAUGAACCCCAAAGAUGAUAUCAAUAAUGGAUAGACACACUCCCAAGUGCUAAGGUAACAAAAACUUUCUUUGACGAGAUGACCUUCUCAAACUAAGGAUCUCUGAAUUAGUGUCCGUGGGAUAGAUAAUGGAAAUGAUGUGACUAUCCUCCAUGUAAUUAACUGAGGAGGAUCACCACUCAAGGUGGAGAGAAUAUGAAGCAAAACAAGCAUUAUAUAAGUUAAAAGAAGAAGAGAUGAAUAACAUAACCAAUGAGAUGUGAUGAAAUGUAGUAGUGUGGAAAAAUAAUGAGAGAAUGAUAUGCUCGUAGGUCCAAGGCUCAUGAAACUCCUUAAUGAAGCAUGCAUACACUAAAGGGCCCUUAUCCUAGUGUAGAAGUGUAAGCAAGGUGAUAAGAAAGAAAGACUCUGAUGCACAUGCAAGGCUCAAUGGGCUAGCAACGGUCUGUAUAUCAAAAAGGAAUAACAAGGUAUAUGGCUAACUGAAAUGAUGGUCACCCAUCCUACGACCAUGGUCUCAAACAUAAUACUUCUUCAGCUAAUCUGCAUUAAUUGGCUCCAACAAUUAGUUUUCAUCUAGAUCCAUCAACCAUGCAGCGCCCUCUAGGGUCAGCUCCCUAAUGAAAUAAGGUUCGCUCCAAUUGGGUCUGAACUUCUCUCUAGGAUCUUUGAUCAAUCCCCUGAUGACCUUCAGAUCCAAGUCACCUCUUUAUAGCAGUCUAGCCUUAACCCGCUUUUUGAAUGCACGGGCCAUCUUCCUCUGAUAAGCACGAACAUGGUCUGCUGCCCUCAAUCUCCUCUUAUCUAGGAGAUUAAGCUGGUCUAAUCGAGCCUGGGCCCAAUCUUCCUCCAAAAUCUGCUACUCCAAUGCUACCCUUAACGAACCCAUCUCUAUCUCAACUGGUAGUACUGCUUCCAUACUAUACACCAAGGAGUAAGGUGUAGCUCCUAUAGAGGUGCGAAAAGAAGUCUGAUAAGCCCACAAUGCAAAUGGAAGCUUCUCCGACCAAUCCCGAAAAGUCUCAAUCAUCCUAUGUAAGAUCCUCUUAAUAUUCUUAUUCACAGUUUCUACCGCUUCGCUAGUCUACGGCCUAUACGCAGACGAUCUAUGAUGCUGGAUACCGUGUCUCUAUAAUAAAGUGUCAACAUCUGCUUUGAAAUAUACUCCUUUGUCCUAAAUCAGCUCAUGAGGGACUCCAUAGCGACAAAUAAUGUGUGAUCUAAUGAAACUAGCAACCCCAGAUGAUGUCAAUCUUGCAUAUGAAGCAACCUCCACCUACUUGGUUAAGUAAUCAAUGGCAACCAGGAUGAACUCAUGACCAUUGGAAGACUUUGGAAAAAUCUUCCCAAUAAUGUCUAUACCUCAUAUUGAAAAUGGUCAUGGCGAAGUCAGUGCAUGUAACUCUGAAGACGACACGUGAAUGAGGUCUCCACGUAUCUGGCCCUCUAGACAUCUCUUAACAAACUGGCAACAAUCUGUUUCUAUGGUCAACCAAAAAUAGUCAGUCCUCACGAUCUUACAAGCUAACAUAUGCCUUCCCAUAUGUGGUCCACAGACACCCACAUGAACCUCUCUCAUCACUCGAUCGGCAGAGGGGCCGUCUAAGCACAAUAACAACAUCCCAUCAGUUGAUCGUCUGUACAAUGUCUCUCCACAAAUCACAAAUCGAGCGGCACACUGUCUCAAUGCUCUCUUAUCCUUGGUCGUGGCAAUCUUAGGAUAUGCACCAAGUCUUAGAAACUGGUAUAUGUCAUGGUACCAAGGCAAACCAUCAUCCAACUUUACCUCAUCAAUCAAGCAACAAUAGGCAAGAACUGAUCUUGACUCAAUCAAUAAAAGGCGAAUGACGAUAUCAGUAGGAAUAUCAAUCAUGGAAGCUAAAGUAGCUAAGGCAUCAACAAACUGGUUAUGCGCUCUAGGCCUCAUCAAACCUCCCAACCAAUAGCUCUAAGUAUGCAUGGUGAUUACUACCCAAAAAGUGCUAUUUUACACCUUUAAUUCAUUAUGUUUUAAGCACUUUUGUGUAGUAGUUCUCCAUCUUUAGUCCAAUUGGCAUAUUAAGGACCUAGCAAUGACUUCUAACAUAUUUGUGGAUAGUUUUAGUGUUUUGACAGCCUUUUGGAUCAUUAAGACAAGCCAAGUAAAGGAGAGAAGCAAAGAGAAGCAAAGAGGAAAAGCAAGCAAAGUGAAGAGAAGCAAAGAGGACAGCAACUGCAGUCUUCUUUCGCACUUUUGGAGCACUUCCCGAAGUCCAUUUUCUACAUGCUAUAUAUACCAUUUCAAAUCUUAGGAAGUCAAGAAUCCAACGCUUCAAACCGUGUACGAUUUGGAGCUGAAAUGAGGAAGAUCUGGCUUUCGGAAGACAACUGCUCCAGGCUUGUGUGAAAAUUUCGCACGACACCUUGUGUUGUGCGAAAUUUGCACAACACCUUCAAAAUUCGCAUAGCCCAUGCGUGGUGCGAAUUUUGCUCUGUUUUUGCCGACUCCACUUUAGAUAUUUUCUUAUGUAUUUUUUGAUGUAAUUUCCUUUCUUAUCCUUGUAACUAACCAAUCACAAGCUUUUACUUUUGUAAAGACUAUAUAAAGGGUGGAAAUCACCUCUUGGAAGAAAGAGGUGUUACGUUUUACACUUAGAUAUAUAUAAAGCUCUGUUUUGCUCUCUUCUCCUGUUCUUCCCCAUUUCUAUUUUCUUAGUAGCCAAACAGCCUCUGAGGGCUUUUCCUUAGAGGAUGAUUGGCUAAAACUUUUAGUUUCUCAAAGUAUGGAUGUUAUGUGAUGACUUGGAUGCAAUCCCAUGGAAAUUUCUCGCACCUGGAAGGUAAGGUAGUCGUUUUUCAUUAAAGGUUCAUUAAUGCAAAGUUUGGUUUUUAUUUCCUUUGGACAACUUCCAACGGCCAAUACUUGAUAAGCUUUUGGAUUUCUAUCCAUUAGUUAUCUCCUACAAGCUAUUGGAAGGUGAGGUUUUCAAUUCCAAGUUUCGCAUUAAUCCGUUAGAACCAAUUUCAAUGGCCAUUGAAAGGUGAGUUUAUCACCUGGAAUGACUUUGAGUUGCCAAUAUUUGGUAAGCUUUUGGCUUUAGACCAUUAGUUAUCUCUUACGAGCCACUCAAAGGAAGUCUAAGGUGAAUAACCAUUGAUGAAAUUCACUACCAUCUGUUUUGCCAUUUUAAAGGAUUAAAACUUGAUUUGCUAAAUCCAUACCGGUUCGGGAAGCAAGCAUCACCAUAGUUGCAACCCCAACGCGAGGAGCCUAUCCUGAGAUUUCCAAUUUGCAUAAGAGCCAGAGCAUAGCUAUCCUAUCUUUGAGAAACUUGUUUUUACACCCUUUCAUUUUAAUCUUUAAUGUUAGCUUAGAUUAGUUUAAAUCUUUCUAAAACAUUUACAUCUUCUUUUAAAGCUAACAUCCAUAAGAAAAUCACCUAUUUUCCUAAUUUAAAUAUCACUUGUGUUUGCGAAAACCCUUCCCAGUGAACGAUCCUAGAACCACUAUGCUAUAGUAGCUUGGCUACUUUAGUAAUAGUAUUUAAGGUAUAAAUUUUGUUGAUACGCCUUUAAAGCUAAGCUACCAUGAGUCGCGUCACAUGGUAAGGCCUAAGUUUCACAUCUCUAGUCUUCGAUUCGCCCUGAAUCUAUCUCAAUACCAUAUUGGAGUCAUCAAACACCUCCAUCUGUCUAAUCUUGAGCUCAAGAGCUAUUUCUAAUCCCAAGCUACAAGCCUCAUACUCAAUAAUAUUGUUUUUAGAAGGAUAUCGAUCCAAGAAUGCCAAACGAACAGAUAUAGGAAUGUGGUCACCAUGAGGGGAUAUCAACAAGAUACCUAUCUCAUAUCCAAAAUGGUUGGCCACACCAUCAAAGUACAUACGCCAACCUGACAGACUAGUCACAGUAGCAACAUCCUCAUCUGGGAAAUCAUCAUCAAUAGCUCUACCAUCAGAAAUCGGUAAUGAGGCUAAGUGAUCUGCAACGAUGCUUCCUCUGAUAGACUUCUAAGUGACAUAAUGAAUGUCAAACUCAGUCAGAAGUACCAACCAUCUCAUGAGGUGAUUGACCAAAGCAGGCCUUUCAAACAAAUAUCUCAAAGGAUCUAGACGAGAUAUCAAGUGCAUUGAAUACUCGGUCAUGUAAUGUCUUAGUCUUUGAGUAGCCCAAACCAAUGCCAAACAGAAGCGCUCAAUCAUGACAUAUCUCAUCUCAUAAUCUAGCAUCCUCUUACUCAAAUAGUAAAUAGCUCGCUCUUUUCUCGAAUAAUCGAGUUGAACUAAUAUGCAUCCCAAUGCUACAUCUAAGACUAAUAAGUAUAGUAGUAAGGGACGACUUGGUGUAGAAGGCACCAAGACUAGAGGUGACAACAAGUACUCUCUGAUCCUAUCAAAUGCGUGUUGGCACUGAUCAUCCCAAACAAUCUAUUGAUGCAUUGAAGUCUACCCAAGAAGCCUCUAAUCUCUCUCUCGAUCCUCGACGCAGACAUGUCAAUGAUGGCUCUAAUCUUAUCUGGAUCCACCUCUAUGCCUCUCUCACUGACCAUGUAUCCCAACAGCUUCCCAGAAGUCACUCCAAAAGUCAACUUCUUGGGAUUCAGUCUCAAUCUAAAUUGUUUGAUCCUCUCAAAGAAUCUCUCCAAAGCUACUAAGUGAUCUGCAAUAUCUUGGGAUUUCACUAUCAUGUCGUCUACAUAAACCUCGACAUCCCGAUGCAUCAUGUCAUGGAAGAGGGUGGUUGCUGCUCUCUAAUAAGUAGCUCCUGCAUUCUUCAACCUGAAUGACAUGACUAUAUAGCAAUAAGUAUCUCACUCGGUAAAGAAUGAUGUCUUCUCCAUGUCCUCUGGAGCCAUCAUAAUAUGAUUGUACCCUAAAAAUCCAUCCAUAAAGGACAACAUCGAGUGACCUGCCGUACUAUCAACUAGCAUGUCAAUGUGUGGGAGAGGAAAAUCAUCCUUAGGGCUAGCCUUGUUGAGAUCUCAAAAAUCANNNNNNNNNNNNNNNNNNNNNNNNNNNNNNNNNNNNNNNNNNNNNNNNNNNNNNNNNNNNNNNNNNNNNNNNNNNNNNNNNNNNNNNNNNNNNNNNNNNNAAAAUCAACAUAGACUCUCACUUUGUCGUCCUUUUUGGGAACAAAGACGACAUUGGCCAACCACUCGGGAUACUCGACCACUGAUAAAAAUCCUACACUGAGCUGCUUCUGAAUCUCCUCCUUCACCUGCAAGCUCCAACGAGAGUGCAAUCAUCUCAACUUCUGCUUAACUGGUCUGACAUGAGGCAAAAGUGGUAAGCGAUGCUGGACUAUAGAUGGACCGAGGCCUAGCAUGUCCUCAAAAGACCAUGCGAAAACGUCCAAAUAUGAUAUGAACAAUUGGGCGAGACUAUCUCUCUCAUCUAUAGAUAAGUCCAAUCCAACCCCAACUCCCUAGGCUAAUCUGUUGUGCCGAAAUCAACAAUCUCUGCGUCUUCUAUAGCAGGUGAAACUCUCUGAUCAAUGGGGCCCGAAUUAGAAGUAGAAGAUGAAUCAUCAUCUGAAUCAUGUUGUAUAAUCUCAUCAGCUAUAUCGAAUAUCUGUGAUGUGGGUGAAAAUGGUGCAGAUAAAGUGAUAUCAUAAGAGAUAGAGAGAUACUAAAAAAUUCUCAAAUCCAUAAAUGAAGAGUCAUGAACAUCAUCAGAACGGAAGACAAAUCCCAAUAAAACAUCAAAUGAAAGAGGUGGGUCCACAAAGUCAUACGCUCCCUCAACUGGGUUAACUGGGCCAUCAAACAAAUCAUCAACAACUAUAACAUCAUUUGGAAACUCUGAAGUUAAAGCAGUUUGGAUCUCCUCAGCAACCUCGAUGGCGGACACCCUGAAGAGAUUGAAUGGUGAAGCAAGCUCAGGCCAAACUAUCUCAUCGAUUUGACUCAUACUCAUCGCGAGCAUCCCAUCAAUGUACUCAUCGUGCGGAACAGCUCCAUCCACUAUGUCUUCGAUCUCGGCAAAUGUCCCAUGCUCAUUGAUCUCAUCCAGGAAAUAAAGAGUCAUAAGGCUCAUACGAUUUAGAGAUGAUGGGACGACCAAUGCAGACGUCGAAGUACUAGGAGCUCUAUCACUCAACUGUAAUUGAUGGACAAGACGCUAAAGCUCAGCCUCCUAAGUAGUGUUGAAUGCCCCAAUGAUCCCAUCCAAAUGUGUUUGUAGCUUCGACGCCCUCACAAAGUAGUCUGCCAAGCUCAUGGUGUAUGGGCGAACAGGAUAGUCAAAGGGGGUGUGAGUCAAUCGAGCCCUCACCCUAUCCUUGUGCAAUUGCGCCAUAUAUCGAUAAUCGGCCUAAGUAGGGAUGAAAUUGAGCCCAAAAGGAGUAUCAUGAUCAACUGUGACAAUGAACUCUCCAGAGCCAUGUUGAGGAUGUCCUAGACCCAAGCCAAGUAAGAAAGACAUAGACCUCAUCAUGUCCAAAACCACUAUACUACCAUGUGAUCUUUACAAAACUGCUCAACUUCCACAGUCUGUAUCUCAUCAAAGGUGAAGCCAGUCAGAAUUAGGUCGUCCCUGCCAUGACUAAUCUCCAAUACUAGCUCGGAAGUAGAAUAAGAGUCUCUAAUAGACUGUAUAGUAAUGACUCUGUCCUCAUGUAUGAACUUCACCUUCUGAUGAAGGGAAGAUGGUAUAACUCCAACUCUAUGAAUCCAAGGCCGACCCAAUAACAGGUUAAAAGACAUGAGAAUCAUUAAAACUUGAAAUAAAGUAGAAAAUGUGAUUGGGCUUAUCUACAAGUUGAUUACUACUCAAAAAGUGUUAUUUGAUAGCUUGUAAUUAACUUUUUUAAAAACUUUUUGAGUAGUAGUUAUUACCUUUUAACCCAAUUAACAUAUUAAGGACCUUUGCAAUCAUUUCUAAUCAAAUUGUGUAAGUUUUGGUGUUUUUGUUAGUAAUUUGAUCACCAAAGCAAUCCAAGAUUGAGGAGAGUUCUUUGGAAUCCAUGGCAAAGUAAUGGGAAGCUCAGAAACAUGAAGAACCAAAGCUUUGAAGCUUUAAAGUCCUUUACCAUAAGCAAAUCAUGAAUGAAAUGAGGGAAAGCAAAGAGAGAAAUCCACCAUGAAGCAUUCUAGAGGACAGCCACUGUCAGCCACUUUUGGAGCACUUCCUGGAGCUCAAUUUAUGCAUACUAUAUGUCGUUUCGAAGCUUGGGAAGUCAGCCAUCCAAUGCUUCAAACGGUGUGCGAUUCGAAGUUGAAAUAAAGGAGUUACAGCCAUUGAAAGCCGAUCACACAAAGCUGAAGACCAAUUUCGCGGGAUGCAAAAUCAGUCUUUGGCUGCGAAAUCACAAGAGGAUGGCUGCGAAAUGGUGUCCUUCAUGCUGCGAAAUUCUCCUAAAGCUUCCCGAUAUUUGCGACCGACAUUUUGAGAUUUUUUGUUUUAGAUAUUUGAUGUCUAAAUCCCCAAACUCUCCUUGUAAUCCACCUAUCAUAGGAUUCCUUAGUCUUUAAGCAAGAACAAAGGGUAAUUAGCCUCAUAUAUAUUAUUUGUAAUUUCCAUUACACAGAGAAGUCGGGAGCUUGUUCUCAGACAUCCUUUGUAUAGUUUUUGAAGGAAGUAAAAUACAGAGUCUUUGCUCUACCUUACCUUCUCGUUUUGAUUGUAUUGUAUAUUAUUUAAUUUUUCUUACUAGCCAAACAAGCUUUGAGGAUGUUUCCUCAGAGAAUGAGUGGCUAGGUUUUUAGUUUCUUGGAGCUAAGGUUGCCGGGUAAGUUCCCAAAUGCAAGAAUUGGUAGUUUUGUUGUUUCAGCCAUUAAUGAAGAGAAAGUGUGACCCAUUAAUGAUUUCUAUGUUUUUAGUUAACUUAAAACACCUUCAAUUCACCUGAGCCAACACUUGGUAAGGCAAGUGAUCUCCGUCCAUGGAGAUGCACUAGUUUAUCUUUUGCGAGCUUUUGGGAGGUGACUUGAAGGUAGGAUUUUCUAGAAUUGCCAACACUUGGUAAGCUUUUGGACUCCAAGAAGACAUUCAUUAGUUAUCUCUUGCGAGCUUGAGAAGGAGAAGGAAUUAGUGUUGAAAUCCAUUAAAGGGAAGCAUAUGUACAACACCGGUUAGAGAAUUAACUAUAUGUGAAUUCUCUAAUGCGAGGAAAAGAACCAAGUGACCAGAGCUCUGUUUUUGCAUGAGGAGCCUUCCCUGUGAACCUAAAACUCCAAGGAAUGUUUUUCUUCAUAAUUAAUUUCCAUUACUUUCGUUUUAGUUAGCUUGAAACAAAACCUUUUUCAACCAAAGUUUAUGUUUUCUUCUUAAGCUGACCUUGAAAUGAAAAAGCACCAAUUUAACUUUGAAUUAGUAUCAAUUGUGAGUUGAAAACCCUUCCCAGUGAACGAUCCUAGAGCCACUAUGCUAUAUUAGCUAAGGUUAUCCUAAUGCAUGGUGAUAUAGGCUAUAAAUUUUGUUGAUUACUCCUUUAUGAGGACCACAAUCAAGGGACACCAGCUGGACACGAAUCAAAUGGCACCAUUAUCAAGGACCAUUGAGAGGACAUGAAUCAGCUGAGACACCAAUUAGGAAUGAAUCACAAGUCCAACGUCAAUGUACCCAAAACCUCUCUGCGUGUACUGUCAUAGACUUGAACUGUCUAAGAAGAUGGCUCAAAGUUUGAAGGUUUGAAGCCGAGAGCGACUGCUGUAGCUAGUGGGCAAAUGUUCAGGGUAGAGCCAUUAUCCAAAAGGACUGAUGAAACUCGAUGCCCAUAACAACCAACAAAAAUGUAGAGAUGUAGAGUAUGGUUAGAACCUCUAUGAGGUAGAUCAUUAGUAGAGAAGAUAAUGCAUGUGGCCCUGUCAACUGUCAAUAUGUGGAUCAAUCCCUUACGAGAGGUAGAUGUCUCAACUCGUAUUUGACUCAAUGCUUUGACCAGUGCCUCCCGAUGGGAGGUAGAUGAUGCCAAAAGACUCCAAAUGGAUAUGCGGUCCUGAGUGCUCUAGAGCUGCCUCAAAAUCUCGUCGUCCUCUUGUCUAGUCUCCUCUCGAGUGGCAUUGCUCUCUACAGGUCUAGAAAAUGUGGGAGGCUGUUGUCGUACCACUCUCCCCCCACGGAUGACAUAUUGAACAUCCUGUGAAACCAUCUCAUCAGAAUCUUGACUCAAUAUAAACAGAGACUGAAUGCUAUAACAUGGGUGAAUCAAUGACCCAACCGUGGUCAACUACAAUGUGGCGUGUUAGGGACCAGUCUAAAUGGUGCAGAUGCCUGUGAGUCUGAGAUCACUCCAUCAACCUCAUAACUCUCAUCCACUACUAUGGGCUCCGACUCAUAAUCAUCCCAACUCAGCAUGUGAAUGCGAUCAUCAAGCUUAGUGAAAUCCAUGGAGUGUAUGCCAUCGGCCAAAAGAGGAACCACGUGUGUAGUAUGAGUCGGUAAUGGGUUAGUGGUUAAACUCAGCUGACCCAAGUGAACCAUGCCUUGAUCAAUCAAAUCCUGGAUGGUGUGCCUCAAAGCAAUACAAAGGUCAGUCUCAUGUCCUAGCCCCUAAUGGUAUGCAUAAUGUAAAUCCAUCCUGAAUUGUGGUGGGACGAGCUGAGGUAAUGGCCUAGGAGCGAGAGCUGUCAAUAACCCAGUCUCUGUGAGUUUCCAAAGAGCCUGGCUCAACGACAUACCCAACUAUGAAAACUGUCUCUGCGUUCUCAAAGCAAAAGGAGCGGAAGUCUAUGGAGCUCUAGGUCUGGGAUAGGAAGUUGGGUGUCUCACUGUAAACUGUGUUGCGUAGCAUGGCUGUACUAGAGUAGGAUAGGAAGUUGAAGGUCUCUCUAUGCCCUGUGCAGCAUAAUAAGGCAGUGCUGGUGGGAAAGAAAAGUAAGCCUGAUCAUGCGGCUGAUGAGGUGCUUGUGGCCUAUACUACACACGAGGUGGUGGUGGGUAGUGGAAUCUAGAAGUUUGCUUAAUUUUCUGAUAGCGUCUAGGAGGCCUCAACCCUGCUAAACUGAUAGCACCCACAUAUUCUGGCCUCUGUCUUCCUAAAGGCCUCGUCCCCUUAGAGUCAGUAGGGGAAGACUCGGAGCAUAAUCCUCUAACUAUGUCCUCCUUUAUGCUGUAUAAGGCUUGUACCAAAGAUCCAAAAUCCGUAUGACGGAAUCCCAUCAAGUGCCUAGCAAAUCGAGACUACAAGCUCCUCAUGAUCAUAUUAAUCUGAUCCCUCUCAGAUGGCCUAUCAAUAACCUGAGAAAUCUUCUCCCUCCAACGGGAGAUAAAUGAGGUGAUUGACUCCUCUGGCCUUUGCCUCAAAGCCUCCAACUCUCUCCUUGAAACAUCAAUGACAGUGUUAAAUUCAAAUUGUCUCAAAAAUUCCUAGGCCAAAUCAUCCCAAGUCUGGUGGCGUGAUACAUCCAAUGAAGCAAACCAACGUUAUGCCACACCACUCAAGGACAUAGGGAAAAAAUAACCAUAUGGGCCUCAUCCAGUCCAUGGCCCUCAUAAUCAUACUAUAAAGCCUCAAAUGGAUGCGAGGACAGCCAAUGGCUCUGUAUCUCUCAAUCUCAAGCAUCCUAAACUUGGCUGGUAAACUGGCCACUAGUGUUCCAUCAAAUUCCACCCAAGUAAUAGAUCCGUCUGAAGUCCUUAAUUACCUCAACCUCUGCUCAAGUCUAUCCAUACGCUCAUGUGGGUCCUCUGAGAUCGAGGUAGACGCUGUGACAGGAGGCGGGGCAACCUCGGUUUGACUAUGCAGAGUGAAAGGUAUAACCUAUGGUGCUGACUGACUGGGUAGUGGUACUAUAGAGUCAUACUGUGUGCCAUCCUGAGGCGAAACUUGUUGGGCAUGUUGUCCAUCUAUUAUUUGGUAGAGGUCAGCUAUAGCCUCCUGAAUCAAAGCCAUGACCGAAGCAAACUGAUUGAUGGUAACCACCUGUGAAUCCAUAUCCCUUUGAUCUGACUGGUUUGAUGCUCUGAUCAAUCUACCCCUAACUCUGAUCCAAGAAGAUGAACCCAAAUCAAGUGUGUCAAUACUCUUACAAUAGUGGAAAUACUAGAUAAGAUACUGUGUAAGGGAAUGUUUAUCAAAUAUGCCGAAAGGUAACCUAGAAGUAAUCAAACUGAUAUCCAAUUUUGAGCAAAUAUACGAGAGACUACUACAAAGGUAACUAAACCUAUCACUAUUGAACCAACUCUGAAGGCCCACAGAUGCACCCAUGUGUUAGGAAAGGAAAUCCCGAUUGAAAGAUCUAAGGCUCAACCUAUAAGGUCAAGGUGGCUUUAAAAAGAAGAGGAGUGGACUUUAAAGGAUCCCUAGCAGAAGUGAUCAUACCCUCCAACAGUACGUAACCCUCUGCACACUUCUAAAGAGACAGGGCGCUUCCAUACAAGGUGGUCAUCACCUCCACACAUACACCACCUCAACAUCUCAAGGGGGUUUCUUAUAGUGAAACCUCUCGUAACUCUCAACACUCAGUAGUAAACUAAAGUGCACAAUGAGUAGUGUGGGUGCAUCCGAAAAUCCUAUGAAGCUAAAAGAGAAAAUGAAACACAUUGGUCACACAAAUAUCCAUGAAACCUAGCUCUUGGCUAUACAGGUCUUCAAAUAUCAGACUCCAAUUAGUGUUAGUAUGUUCAUCUCCUCCAGAAUGCUCCCAAACAUCGAUAUAGCCCGUUGCUAGACCUUACUCCUAACCAAUUAGCUCGGUCAAAGAAACAAGCACUCAUAAGGCCUUACACUUGUUAAUGUAAGAACCGAAAUGAAGGAAAUGACUGAAACCAUAUGAUUGGAGGUAAGGAGAUUGAUAUGCGUCCCACGUGGACAAGCAACAUGCAAACACAUAGGAGAAGAGCAGUCAUGCAACAGGCAGUCAAGUAGAACGUAGGUAUAUCAUCCAUGUCCAUAUAUAAUCUAAAUAAGAAUAUAAAAAUCAAAAUGAAUAGCAACAAAGAUAGCAUGCUCAAAGAUGAUCAAGAUAAUAUCCAAGCAAAUGAGUCAAUCACUAAGACAAACAAGAUAUACAACAAUAUGAACAUACAUGUCAAAGUGGGUAAGAUAAUUAUGGUAAGAGCAAAAUCAAUAUGCUAAGACAAUAAAGAGAAUCAAUCAAUAUCAUCAGCAUGUUAAUGUCCCAAAUGGAUAUAGCGGUCAAGCAUAGAAAAUCACCACAUCAAAAUCCUCAAUGUGCUAUGAUCACUCAAGCAUAGAGAAGCACAGAGAGAAGGUAUCCAUCAAUCGCCUAAUCAAAUGUCACAUUUGCCUCAUCUUAAGUUCAAGUUUGACCCUUUAAAUUUAUCCAGCGGAGUCGCCAUUUUGUGGACCCCGCAUUUUGACUCGAUGGCAAAACUCGCUUUUUUACUUAUUUGGUAUUUUUUUUUUUUUUUAGGACUUGGAGUCGCCACUUAUUUUUGUUUUAUUUUUAAAGGGGAAAAAAAACCCUAAGUGUGACUCCUUAUUUGGAAAAGAUGGUCUGCAAAAAACCAAAUUUGGGCUUGGGGGUCAAGUUACUUAUUGGGAAGGUACGAUAAAGACCGUAACACCCCUCUAAGUCCCUAAAUAUAGGUCUCUACUAAAGAGAUGAAGCAAACAUGGCAAUUGGUAAGGAAAUCAAUGGAUACCAAAAUGAAAUAAUCAAAUAAUAAAGCGAAUCAUGCAUAAGAAUAAGCAAAGUGAGAAUGAGAUCGUACCUUAGCAGCAAUUAAUAGUGCGCUAUCAUGGAAACAGGGUUAGCUCAAGUAUAAAAUCAUCACAUGCAUAUCAAAGAGCAAGGCAAAGAUCAAGCAAUACUCAUUAAGCAUAACAACUAACAAUCAUAAGAGAAAACUCAUAUGUAGUGCCCCCACCAAAACCCAAUUUAUUUCGCAUGAAUUAAUCUCAUGGAUUCCAUUGUUUUUGGAGUUACUAAAAUUCAUUCGUGCUUAUUAAAAAUCAAGGAAAAUGAAAAAUUAUUUUAAAAUUAAAGAAAAUUUGAGAACAGUGUUUACUUGAAAGGAAAUGUAGCAAGUUUAUUUAAAAACAGGAUUUUUAGCGACUUAAAACCCUAAUGAAUGAUGAAAACUGGUAGAAUUAAAAAAUAUUUGAAAACCAGAGUGAAAUUAAAUUAUUUGAAAGAAAACUAGAGUUUUGAAAUUUAUUUGAAAAUUGAGAUCUCGAAAAUUAUUUGAAAAUUGAAGUUUUGAAAAUUAAUUGAGAAUUGGAGUUUUGAAAAUUAAAUUAUGAAAAUUGGAAUCUUGGAAAUGAUUUAAAGAUAGAAUUUUAAAAAUAAAUAAUAAUUAAAAAAAACAAAACAAAUGUGAAAAUUGGAAUUUUGGAAAUUGGAAAUUAAAUUCGGAAAUUCGAAUUUUGAAAACCAUUUGAGAAUUGGAGUUUUGAAAAUUAAAUUAUGAAUUGGAGUUUUGGAAAUUAAAUUUGAAAGAAAUUGGAGUUUUGAAAAUUAAUUGAGAAUUGGAGUGUUGAAAAUUAAAUUAUGAAAAUUGGAAUAUUAUAAUAAUAAUAAUAAUAAUAAUAAUAAUAAUAAACAAAUGUGAAAAUUGGAAUUUUUAAAAAAUAAAUAAAUAAGUAAAUAAAUAGAAUAAUAAUAAUAAUAAUAAAAAUAUAAUGAUUAAAUAAAUAAAUACGAAAAUUGGAAAUUGAAAAUUCGAAAAAUUAUUUGAGAAUGGAAUUUUUAGCGAUCAUUUGAAAAUUGGAAUAGAAAUGAGAUUAUUCGAGAAACUGGGAUUUUAAGAAUCAUUUAAAAAGAAUUUAUAGAAAUCAAACUUUGACACCUGAAAUAAAAAAUAAUAAAAAAUAAAAAUUUCCACCAUGAGGCCAUAAUUGGAUCCAUGUCACUGCCACUUAUUUAUUUAGAAAACUUGAAAUGCCCCUGCCACUUAUGAGAAUUCCCAUCCCACCAUUGACUUGUCAUCCAUCAUUUAUUUAAACGUUUUCAUGUCAUUAGUGAAUUGCCACUUCUGGAAGAGGAAUAAUGAAGCCCCACUUCUCUACGAAAAGCAUCAACUCGCAGCCCAUGUACACCCGGCAACACAUAAGUCACCAUGCAGGGCCUCAAAUGUGGGAGUUCAUCUCGGCAUUGAAUUGGAGGUUGGGGAUCACGUGCAGGAAACCGGUGAUGGUGACAUUAGCUCGGCGUGUGGUGGCGACAACAAUGUCGACAAGGCCAGUGCUGGACCCGAGUUCGAGGAUGCGGAGAGGGCAAUGAUCUUAACCGUUGGAUAAGGCGGAGAGGAUUGGAGAGAGUGGGCUAUUGGUGGGGUGAGAACGGAGCUAAUCGAGGAGUGUGACGAGGGUGGUGGCUGCAGGCCAUAGUUGGAAGGAGAGACCUUGAGAAAGGACCACUCCCAAUAGGUAUGUAAGAUGAGGAUUUGAAGGGUGGUUGGUGAGUGUGGUGAGGUUUAUGGGAAUUAAAACAAUCAUGACUCCUCUAGCUGCUUCUAAUACAAGAGAGAGAUGAGUGAUAUCCAAUAGCAACAAGUCUUGAACUUUCUCAUUGUCCUCAUUACUCAAAAUGGCAUCUUGUACUUCGAUAAAAAUUUCAAUAGGAGCUUAAAUGGGUUCAGUAGGUGGGACCAAGUUCCAAAUCAUUUUUCCAAAAUAUCUAGCUGCACCAAUACCUUCCUAACCUUGAAAGUGAACAAACAAUCCUUCCUUUGAAACCAUGAGUUGAAUAGAUACAUGAUAAAGACCUUAGGAGACGUUUGUUGAUAUUCAAACCAAGAACAAAGUCAUGCAUAGUCUAAUAUUCUGAAGAGAAGUGGGUACCAAAAACAGAGAGUGAACAACAAAAAUCUAGCAAGGAUGGAGGAGAUAAAGUAAAGCUACAAGUCAUUGAAUAAAACCUUGUUUCAUGCUUUGAUCAACAAGCCUGAAUAGGUGGUUGAAACCAACUGGACUUUAAAAGAAAAUCAAAAGCAUGGCUGGUAAAACUAGAACAAAGCUCAAAUCAAUCUAAAAAAAAUCAAAUGAAAAUGAAACAUGAACAUUGUAUAGCUCAACCCAAACAAUCCAAAAAUCAGUAAAAUGACAAAAUGCAUGACAUGACAUACCCAUACCCAAAAUUAACAGCAAGUAGAUAAGCCUUUGAUGGCCAUGUCAAAGCAUCCAACAAGCUUCAACAGUAGCAAAUGAAAGAAAUGCAGAAGGGAGUGGAUAUUUUACAGUGAAGAACUUACCUCCCAAAAGACGCAGGCAAAUGAAUCCCCCUUCAUUACUCUCUAUUUCAACCUCUUCCUCUCUCCAAAACUCCCUCUUGCUCACCUUUUGAAAAACCUAGAGAAGAAGAAAAAAAAAUCCUCCCAUCCCGUUCCUCUACUUUUUCUUUUCAUGCAAGCUUUUACCGACUCCCUGCUCCUACUCAGACCAUCAUUUUCUCUAUCUCGUUUCAACCAUCCCCUCUCUAGCUACUCCUCUGCUCCACUACUUCAACCAUCGCCAUUGCUUGGUCACAUCUAAGGCUACGCGUCUCAUGCAUGAAGCUUCAUGGAAGCCAAUCUCCCACUCGUCUAAGGUGCUGCCAGCUCCUCCAGGUGGUAAAAAAAUAUCCCUCUAAUGCUAUUAAUAAAAGCAAUAAAAAAAAACUAAUAGCACUUGGCUUGCAAAAGGGGUCUACAUAUUUAUAUAUAUUACAAUUUUUCCAAAUUCAUGUGGUAUAAUUUGAGUGAAAAUUUAUUAAAAACUCGAAAAAUAAAUAUUUGAUAUAUUUAAUAAUCUUGUUUUCCAGGCAAUAAAAUCUUCUUGUCCAACUCACGUUAUGUAUUAAAUUAAUAAUCUCACUAAAUAUAUAAGAUAAUAGUUUUUUAGAAAUUCUUAAGAGUCCAAUAAAAUAUAAAUUAAUAACUAAUGAAAUAUGUGAAAAAAAAACAAAAGAAUUCAUAAUACAAACUUUCUCAAAAUAUACAUUGAAAUUUAUUUCUUUUCUUUGCACUUAAACUAACUCAAUUUUAUCUUUAAUUUUUUUGUAAUAUAUAUACACUAAAUUAAUAAAUUAUUGAUUUAUUGAUAAAUUAAUAAUUCCUUUUUAUCCAAGAAUAAUAUUUUAUUUUAUAGGGUUUUUCCUAUAGCUAGGAGUGGCGCAAAGGAGAUAGCAAAUAAUUAUCCAUCAAUGAGUCAGUGCUACCUCCGGGUUAUGUACGCCACUUUAGUCAAGGUCUUCAUUGCAACCUAUAACAGGCUAAGCUAAGCUCUGAGUCAAGUCAAUUGGGUCCCCCAUCGUAAUCACUUUCAUCUUGAGUGAAAGGAGCCUUCUUGACCGAUUCACUCCUUCAGCAAAUCAAUUGCAUGGAAACGAGAUAAAUGUCUUUCAUGCAAAAAAAAUAGAGCUAGACUUAGAAUUUUAGGUGUCUGCUCAGAAAAAAACAAUGAAAUCCCAGGUUUUGAACUUCAAAACUGAAGAAAAGAAAGUACAAUUUAUUCAAGACUUUUAGGCCCCACUUAUAACAUGGAAAAUUUGACAAAAAGAAAUAGGAUAGACGGCAGCAAGAGGCUAAGUUGAGGCCGCCCACCAUAAUCGACAAAAUGAAACCGUAUGGAAAACGGAGGUAAGUCAGGUCAAGUGGGCCCACAUUCAAUUGUAUGGAAAGUGGAUUUCCCAUUUGCCCGGAAACUGCCUUGAAACCUGGAACUUAGCUGGAUUUAAAAGCAACAAACCUGGUUGUCAGUUGAUCAGCAACAACUGUGAAAACAAUUAAUGGCUGAAAGUAUUGUCACGUUUUUUCUAGAGAAGUUGACUGACCUGCUUUCCCAGGAAGCAUUUCUACUCAGCAGAGUGGAAGAGCAAGUGAAGCUGUUGAGUAACGAGCUCGAAUGGAUGCGCCUUUUUCUCAAAGACGCGGAUGCGAAGCGCAGAUAUGAUCCAAGAAUCAAGCUCUGGGUGAGUCAGAUCAGGGACGUAACCUAUGACGCCGAAGAUGUCAUCGACAGGUUCAUGUUCGAGAUGAAUCGCCAACAGCAAGGAAGUCUCAAAUGCCUCAAGUUCCUUAAGUUACGAUUUGUUCACAAGCUCAAGUCUCGAAUCAGAGAGAUCAAUAUCAAGAUUGAGAAGAUCAUGGCUAACAAAUCAAGGUACGGUGUCGAAACCUUACCAGCUGCAAGCUCGUCCAACGAAGUUGUGCCACAUAAAGAGAAGAGGGCUCCGAUUGUUGAAGUCAACGUGGUGGGAAUUCAAGAGGAUGCAAAAAGCGUUAAGCAAAAUCUGCUUAAUGGAGAGAUGCGGAGAGCUGUGGGUGUCCAUCGUGGGCAUGGGUGGCUUGGGAAAGACCACCCUUGCUAAGAAAGUCUAUAAUGAUAAUGAUGUCCAGCAAUGCUUUGAUUGUCAUGCUUGGAUUUAUGUCUCUCAAGAGUAUACAAUCAGGGAGCUUUUGCUAGGCGUUGCUGUUUGUGUUAGGAUUCUCUCCGAAAAGGAAAGGAGUAAAAUGAACGAGAGCGAGUUGGGGAAUAGGCUUCGUGAUUACCUGACUACCAAGAAGUACUUGAUAGUUAUGGACGAUAUGUGGAGAAAUGAAGCUUGGGAUAGGCUGGGCUUGUAUUUUCCUGACUCGGUGAAUGGCAGCAGGGUGUUGAUCACCUCACGCAAUAAAGAGAUUGGUUUUUAUGCUGAUCCACAAGCCAUUCCCCAUGAACUUUCUUUUCUGACUGAAGAAGAGAGCUGGGAGCUCUUUCUCAAGAAAAUUUUCCUGGCUGGGAGUGCAAAUGCUGUUUGCCCCAGAGAAUUGGAAGAGUUGGGAAAGAAAAUUGUAGCAAAUUGUGGGGGUUUGCCCCUUGCAAUUGUGGUCUUGGGAGGCCUUCUAUCAAGAAAAGAAAAGACACCGCUCUCCUGGCAAAAAGUACUGGACAGCCUAACUUGGCACCUAAAUCAAGGUCCAGACUCAUGUUUGGGGGUCCUUGCUUUAAGCUACAAUGAUAUGCCGUAUUACUUGAAGUCCUGUUUCCUUUACUGUGGUCUUUUCCCAGAAGACUCAGAAAUCUGGACAGAAAAGUUGAUCCGCUUGUGGGUUGCAGAAGGGUUUAUACAAAGAAGAGGAGAAGAAAUAGCGGAAGACAUCGCGGAAGAUCACUUACAGGAAUUGGUACAUAGAAGCAUGAUUCAAGUGGCUGACAAGAGUUUCGAUGGAAGAGUGAUGUCCUGUCGCAUGCACGAUCUGCUUCGAGACCUUGCCAUUUCAGAGGCUAAAGAUACAAAAUUUUUUGAGGGAUAUGAAAGCAUUGAUUCUACAUCCCCUGUUAGUGUUCGUCGACUAACCAUUCAUCAAGGUAAGAAGACUAAUUCUAAACACUUGCAUACUUCACGUAGUCUCCGAUCUUUCAUUUGUUUUUCUGUAUGCUUCCAAAAAAACAUUUUGAGAUCUUUACACAGGCGUGUCAAAUUGCUCACUGUACUGGACCUAGAAGGCAUGACUAUCAAUACCAUCCCAGAAGGCAUAGGAGAACUUAUCCACCUUAAGUACCUGUGCUUAAAGAGAACCCGCAUAAAAAGGCUUCCAUCGUCCAUAGGUCGUCUUACAAAUCUACAAACCCUAGACUUUCGAAGCACUUCAAUUGAAAUAAUUCCUUCUACCAUUUGGAAAUUGCACCAUUUGAGAUAUCUACACGGUCAUGGACUGGUUUCAAGCCAGUCAGUGAUAGAUAAGUGCAGGAAUGGCCCUUUGAGUGUUGACCACCUAACAAACCUCCAAUCGUUAGGUUUAAGAGCAGGCAGUUGGUGCUGUGGUGAAGGCUUGGGAAAAUUAACUGAGCUUAGAGAACUGACAGUUGCAUGGACCGAAAUCGCACAAACAAAGAACCAGGGAUUUUCCGAGUCAGUAAAAAAGCUAACUGCUCUUCAAUCCUUGUGUUUGUGUCCUACUGUAGAACGGGUUAACAUGCCGCAC
rnacentral:lncRNA from 1 species